rnacentral:lncRNA from 1 species
AGUUGAUUGCCUGGACAUGGUACUUUCCGAAAGAAGGUAGGUCUAGUACUGUAAUGUUGCUCUCACAGGACAGAGUAUACGAUAUGUUGCCACAGUACUUUGGAUCAUCGUUAAGUCGAAAAGGAUGGCUUAUGUUGUGGAUAUGGCCGCAGGAUGAAGUGCAGGACUUGGCACUACUGUUGUCAGCGUUACAAGUUUCACUGCAAAAGCAAAGAAGAAGAAAGGCUAAACUUAAGGUGAAGGACCUGGUUCCACUAAUUUCCAUUGCUCUGAGAGAGAGAGAGAGAGAGAGAGAGAGAGAGAGGGUACCAUAGCUUAAACACCAAGGAGUUAUAUAAUAUGGGAGGGGUUAAAGCACCUCGCUUACAGUUGCAGUAAGCCCGUCAAAUAUCCUAGGGAAAAGUCGGUCAAUGGUGUCCUAUAGAGAAAAGUCGGCCUUGGUGUUUGACACGGUCACUCAACUCUCUCUCUCUCUCACAUUGACGAGGGACACUGUAAUUGAAAAAAAAAAAUGUUCUUCAGAGAUAGAUCUUGAAAUUCUUAUUUUAUAUAAAAAAAACACCUAAUAUUAAAUUAUUAAUCAUUCAAAUGAAAUUCUUAAAAUUAAGUAUAAAUAAUACAUAACGAAAACUGAGCACAUACAAUCAACGGUCACGAUCGUGAAAUCCUCCGGAUCCUCAGAAAAAAAUCCGACGAUGAUCUUUUUCUGUGUAAAAUAAUUUGAGGGUAUAAUACUGGAUGUGGAGCCAAAAAUAUUCGCUAGGCGACACGUGGACUUUUGGACAAAAGAGGACAAAAAUACCCUCGAAGCAUACAAGGAUUCCUACGCGCGAGCAGUGGGCAAUCAUCUUUCAAUCAAGUCAAAAGUGCCCAAAAAAGGUAACAAUUAAAAACCUCUCUCAUCAAAUCCUUUCUAUAAGGUAUUUCCCAAAACCUAGUAUUUUCUAUUUCAUUAUUUAGCUAAUCAAUUAGCUAAAUAAUAUAAACCUACCAUAUCUCCUAAAAUCACCCAAUUAAUAGCCCAAAACCGGCCCCCACUAUUCACAUCCUCAUCUUUCCCAUUUUCCUUAUUAAAAUAAUCAUUCAUUUUUAUAAACCACCCAUUUUAUUAUUUUCAUAUUUAAUUAGCCAAUAAAUUGGCAAAUUAAACAUGAAAUUAACCCCCACAAAAACCCUAUGGCUGGCUACUAUUAUUCAAAAUAGGGCAAACCCUAACUCUAUAAAUAAACACAUAUUCUCACCAAAAAUUCAUUCCAACUCUCUCACAAAAAAUCACAAAUACUCUAAACACUAUUUCUCUCUAAAAUUCUAACUUUGGCAUCAGAGGUUCUUCGGCCAAAGCCCCCCCCAUUCAUCGUGGGCGCGUGAGGCUCUUGGCCUUAACCUAAGGUGCUAGUUGUUUUGUAGGUGCAAAAUCGUCCAAGAUCGAAGAGGAGAAAAUUUGCAUCCACAAAUUGGUGCUUUCAUUGAGAGUUGAAAUCCAUACUCGUAGAAGACUCUCGCACAAAAAGGUUUUUUCUUUUAUUUUCUAGUCCAUUUGAAUAUUUUUCAUACGUUCUUAUUAUUAGAAUUUUUUUACUUGCAAAGGUUCUUUGAUAAAACGUAUAAGCAAAAUAUAAUGGCUAGAAAUUUAGAAAAUUCCACAAGUGAAAAUUCUAAUGUUCAAGAAAUGGGAUUGCGGAGAUCCGUGAGGCUAAAUGCGACAAUAAGGGGAGCGGCAUCAUCAUCACGAGCUUCCACCAUGGGAACCACCAUGGUGGCUACCUCGGUAGCCACCCGCGGCGAGGUCCAUGGUGCCUUCACCACGGCCACCAUGGGAACCACCGCGGUGGCUACUUUGGUAGCCACUCGUGGCGAGGUCCAUGGAGCCUUCACCACGGCCCGGAGAUCCGUGAGGCAAAAUGCGACAAUAAGGGGAGCGGCAUCAUCACCACAAGCUUCUACCAUGGGAACCACCGUGGUGGCUACCUCGGUAGCCACCCGCGGCGAGGUCCAUGGUGCUUUCACCACGGACACCAUGGGAACCACCGCGGUGGCUACUUCGGUAGCCACUCGUGGCGAGGUCCAUGGAGCCUUCACCACGGCCCGAGCCGUGCCAUCCAAGGCUCACGGUACCAAGACCACGAUCCAAGCCGUGCCAUCCAAGUUUACGUGGACCCAAGCCCAAGCCUCGCAUUCACAUGCACCGCGCAUUGAGCAGCCUGUUCCCGUGAUCCAGCCUGUUCCCGUCAAGCAACCCACUCUCACGGCCCAACCUGCUCAUGCCGAGCAGCCUGCUCUCGUGACACAGCCUGCUCCCGACGAGCAGCCCACUCCCGUGGCCCAGCCUACUUUCGUCGAGCAGCCCACUCCGGUGGCCCAGCCUGCUCCUGCUAAACAGCCCACUCCUGUGGCCCAGCCUCCUCUUGCUAAGCAGCCUGCUUUCGUCGAGCAGCCCACUCCGGUGGCCCAGCCUGCUCCUGCCAAGCAGCCCACUCCGGUGGCCCAGCCUGCUCCUGCCAAGCAGCCUACUCUCGUGACCCAGCCUGCUUCCGACGAGCAACCCACUCCCGUGGUCCAGCCUGCUUCUUUCGAGCAGCCCACUCUCACGGCCCAGCCUACUCCUGUGGCUUUCCAAGCAGCCCAAGUCGGCCCAAGACUAUCUCCCGGACCUACCAUCGAGCCGAGGGCAUUCUCACCACAUUUUUUCACGGAUUUGACAUUUCCCAACUCAAAUCUCGCGCCCGGAGUCUACCACAUUUCCACUGCCCAAGGAGGCGCAUUCCUUCCAAGCUCUUCCAAUCCAAAUGGCGAACAACACUUGUCUCGACAAGUCAUAGAGUUGACGAGCGCCCUUGCACAACAGAAAACCUUGGUGAAUCAACUUUUGCAACGUAUCGGGAUCCAACGUGCCCCGGACGAGGUAUCCCGAAGUAGGACAAGGGCAAACGAACAUUUCCAGCAGCCACUCGACCAGCCACGAGCCGAACGUUUGGGCAGUGUACAUUCCCGUCUUAGAGCGCGAGGGAGCAUGCACUCUCGACUAGGCCCACGGAUGAGCAUACAUUCACGGUUGGGGUCAUACUCCGAUAGUCAACAUGAGCAACCUUCCGGGCAAAGUGUCUAUUCGCAGCUAAGCCCACAAGGAGCGUCAUCCACCUCACAUCAGAGUAGGCAGCACGACGGACGGAGAGAAGCAGUCACUCAAUCCAGCUCAAGUUCAACCAGCAGCCUGCGAAGAACUCGCUCGCCUACUAGGAACGCACCACAUGCACUGCAUUCGCGGCAUAGACGAGCCAAACACAUGGAAGAGCAGCUUAGACCAGCAAGUCAUGACUGGAGGCAGCCAAGAGCUCCGCUACCCCAACAAAGGCAAAUUCAGGAAGAAGUAGAGAGACUCUUGACCAAGCGAUUGCAUGAUUUCCAACGCAACGAGGUCACCGACGAGGCACUACGACGGAACAUGACCAACAUAAGCAAGCAGGUCACCCUUCACGGACGAGAUCGAGCAGGCAGAGCCUCCACGAGAGUUCAGCAUGCCACAUUUCACAUCUUUCAAAGGGGAUGAAGACCCGGAGAGACACUUAAAGCGCUACCGAAGCGCAAUGAUCCUUUAUCGAAACAACGAUGAGCUUAUGUGCAAGAUAUUCGCCACCACUCUACAAGGCGAGGCGCAAGAUUGGUUCUACACCCUGCCGUCACAAUCCAUCCGGAAUUUCUACGAACUUUCUUUGGUUUUCACCAAAGAAUAUUCAUCCUAUCGCUCGAUCAAAAAGAAAUCUGAUCAUUUGUUCAACGUCAAGAAGAACCCAAAGGAGUCAAUUCGCGACUAUGUGAGGAGGUUCAAAGUAGAGAAGGCAAAAAAUAGUCGGAUGCAACGACUCGAUAGCUAGAGCAGCCUUCCAAAAAGGACUUCCAGCAGACCACCCGCUAUUUGGAAAAUUGAUCAUGAAAGAAGAUCUAACUCUGGCAGACUCUUUUGCUUUGGCAGAGAAGUAUGCACUUUGGGAUGAGGCUCGCCAAUGCACAUUCAAGGACUUGAAGAAGUACCCGACAUCACCUCCCUAGAAGCAGCGGAGGACUUAUUCACAUGUUUGACGAUAUCUAAAGUAGCAAUAAGCUCUACCAUCAUGCGAGAAGAGAUGGGGGCCCGACUACCUGUAUUCCACAGUUACCUGUAUUCUACAGUUCAAAAGCUCUCCUCGAUGUUAUUAAAAAUUCAAAAGCUAACUUUGGUGAUAGUUGUUGCAACCCAGAAGCACAAGUUUUACUUUCAAACGCAUGCAAUCAUCCUAAUGACGUACUAUUCUGCCCAAUCCAGACGCGCGACGAUAAAGGUGUAGACCAUGGCGGAUGUAAAGUUUUCUGACGAACGCAACACUAGAAGGACACACUCGAAAGCAAGUUUUGUCCUCGUCACCCUAAAAGAUUCUACAUAGGAGCAACAUGUACCGGCAGUUGAGUACCAUUUCUUGCUGCGCAUCACACGGCCCUAGCCGACCCUUGCUCAAUGAUUCAACUCUAGAGUGGCCCAAUACCGGCAGUUGAGCAUCUCCUGUUGCGUAUGACAUGGCCCCAUCUCCACAGCUCCCUACUGCGUCUUCACGCCGAGCCUAAGUGACGUAACAGAGCAGCCCAACGAUGCCUCAGAAGUAGCCGAGCACACUCUAGCUGCGCCUACUCCACCCGAUGGAGACUUUUGGCAUUUGCAUGUCGACGACGCAGAAAAGCCUUCAUCACUGCCGGCAGAGAAGGCUCCAAAAAGAUGGAUCCCAUCUGGGAAGGUCCGUACAAGAUCAGCAGAGUAGGGGGCAAGAGUAAUUACACCCUCACCACCAUGAAGCAGCAAAAAUAUUGAAAAGAAAUGGAUGGCCUACAAUCUGAAGAAGUACCAUGUGUGACCUCCCGCUACAUCAAAACCCGAAGACUCAAUAAGCUCGACGGGCACCACCUCACAAGCUGGGGACUAUCCAGUUGUUAUGCAGUUCCUACCUUACAGCUAAAGUUCUCGUUCGUUUCACUCGUUUUUCAAUGAGGAAUUUAGAAGUAAUCACAACUUGGCUUGGUUGCAUGCUUACAACAACUAAUCACUCCUGCACUUCAAAAGAAGAUUGCGCCCUUCUUAGGGACUCAUCGCAGGAAUUGCGCCCCCCGAGGGACCAACCAUGCUCUCCAGUGCGAGAGGGUAAACCAAUUCUCCGACACCCAUAUGGGUCAGCUCUCCAAGACGGGAGGAUAAACUUUACACUCCGAAUAUCCAGACGUGGAUGAGCCUGGCUGCCCUAGUAUAACUAGAUGCACGAUGGCUUGCGCCGGGAUUCCUAGAAGUAGCCGCAAUGGUCUUUUUCAAGGCUUAGCUAACUGAAGGAUUUUGGGUCUCUUGGCCUAAUCCGUGGGGAACCGGGCCCUAGAGACGGAGAGGGCACAUUACGCAGUACAUCCGAUGGACGGCUGCCCUGGAAUCCUAAAGCUGCUACCGAGUGCACUAAGGUAGCCUACGGAUUCCGGAAGACUGCCUACGGCUUGCCCUUCGAGCAGUGAAGCCGCACUAGACUUAUACAACCGCACAUUCUUGUGAAAGGUUAAACAAGCUAGCGCGCAUAUACGAAGUUUUAUCCACUGCCGACAUGCUAUGUAGUUGAUAAGCUUCACCUCUGCCAAGCGCGGAACAACCUACACCAAGUCCUAAAGUGUUGUGAUACUUGCUACGCAACCUACGGAAUUGAAAAAAGUCAAGGUUAACAGCCGAGUGGUUACGCGGACUUGUCUACUUCUGUAAGUAAGGCAUCCGGCUGCCAACCCUAUGGCUAACAACUUUGCAAAGUUCUACACCAACACCUACGGCUGCAUAGGCUACGCGAGUUUGUCUGCUUAUAAAAAAGUAGCAUGCCUGCCACUGGUCUAUCAAGUCUAAAGGUUAGGGCAUGAACAAAAGAAGUGAAGAUGAAGAAAAACGAAGGAAAACAUGUUUAUAAACAACUAGCAAAGGCCGAAUGAGUUCAAGCAAAACAAGAGCUACAAGGAAAAACAAAGAAAAUCCUAAAGGCUACCUAAAAUACUACACUACAGCAGCUUGGACAUCCCACGACUACUCGAUCGCCACACCUUCAACAGCCGUAACGCUCUUAGCAGCGGCAUCAUCCGGCGCUUCACCCCCCGGCUGCCCUAGUCUGGGCACUAACUUCUCCAACUACUUCACCAAUGGAAGCCUUAAAAGUAAAAGCAAACAAGUCUUCCGGAGAAAUAGAGAAGGUCUUAAAACCUCAAGCCCAUCCUUCUCACCCUUCAGCUGCUCAUUCUUCUUAAGCAGACUAACACGGACGCGCUACAGCUCAUCCACUCUCUUCUUAGCAUAAGUAGCGAAACGAAGCUCAGAAAUUGCAAGCUUAAGAUCUUGAAUCUGAGGCGAAUCAAUCUCAGCAGCAAAGGGAGCAGGCUUUGGCGCCACUUUAGCAGCAGAGUCCACCUUACCACUCUUCAUAAUAGCAAGUCUCUAAAAAGGUGAACCGGACUUGGCUCCCAAAGAACGUCCUGGUACAAACUUCGGCACUGGGGGCAUGAUAAAACCUUUACGCUGAGUAAUCUUAUCCACAAUUGUACUAGCCAUUCUCAACAUGGAAGACGCCACAUGCUCAGAUCUAGCAGCCUUACAUUUCUUCCCAUUGGAAGAAGUCAUGUCAAUCACAUACCUCUCGGUAGCAAGUGGACCAUCAUGAGCAGCAGAAGAAGUCUUCAAUUUUUUCUUAACUGGCAUCUCAUGAGCAGGUGGGGAAGAUCUCUUCUUUCCAUCUUCAUUCAUAGUAAGCUCCACGAUAGCGAUCAGAUGAGCCAAUGCAUCCGCCUUGAUCCUCUUUACCUCCUCUUUCCGGAGCAGCCCACAUUUCUUUCAGCAAAUAGGACUAAGCAGCCAACGACAUUCAUGGUACUCAGCAGGGGAGCUCAACCCAGUAUUCCAGCAGGCAGGAGGCCUGCAUGCCCAACAUUCCAGCAGCCCGUGAGACCCGCAAUCUCCUUAUUUCUCUCAAUCGCAAGCCUGGCCUGAGUCAAGUCCAAUAGCCCAAAGGACAUGAGUCAUGCGAUUCGCCUAACACUGCGCCUCAGCGCCACAAUCCUCGACCCCAGCUGCACAAGCUGCCCUUGGUUCUAGCCAAGUCAAGCAGCUUAAAACAGUGGUCCCUACCACAAUACCUCAUCGGCCCAUGUCGAGCCGACUCCUGGCCUAUGCCAGCCGACGUGCCGCACCACCCCGAUGGCUGCCCUGCAAUAGCACUAUCCAAGAAGAAGGCAAGAAAAAUUAAAUUUUUCUUACAUCGGUGCGGCACGAAAAAGACGAAGAAAUCAACGAAAGACGGUCUUUUGCACAGGCAAGACGUAGAAGAUUGCUAGAGGAGAGGGAACAAAUAUCCUCUAACUUUCUCUCUCUUGUUGGGUAGAAUAAAUCGCUCUCCAAAGUUGAUUUAAUAACCCACUUAAGGUGGACUUAAAUAGGCUUUGAGAGAAAUUUAUUUCCCUUUCCUAGAAGGAUCUAAUUUCCAUUUAAAGAGAGAAUCAACAACAAAAUAGGAAUCAAUUUAGAGUUGCCUAAAGCGAGAAAAUCUCUACACCUGUUGCCCUUUUCUGCAAGCAGCCCAACAGGUGUGGGGGCAUUUGUGGAGCCAAAAAUAUUCGCUAGGCGACACGUGGACUUUUGGACAAAAGAGGACAAAAAUACCCUCGAAGCAUACAAGGAUUCCUACGCGCGAGCAGUGGGCAAUCAUCUUUCAAUCAAGUCAAAAGUGCCCAAAAAAGGUAACAAUUAAAAACCUCUCUCAUCAAAUCCUUUCUAUAAGGUAUUUCCCAAAACCUAGUAUUUUCUAUUUCAUUAUUUAGCUAAUCAAUUAGCUAAAUAAUAUAAACCUACCAUAUCUCCUAAAAUCACCCAAUUAAUAGCCCAAAACCGGCCCCCACUAUUCACAUCCUCAUCUUUCCCAUUUUCCUUAUUAAAAUAAUCAUUCAUUUUUAUAACCACCCAUUUAUUAUUUUCAUAUUUAAUUAGCCAAUAAAUUGGCAAAUUAAACAUGAAAUUAACCCCCACAAAAACCCUAUGGCUGGCUACUAUUAUUCAAAAUAGGGCAAACCCUAACUCUAUAACUAAACACAUAUUCUCACCAAAAAUUCAUUCCAACUCUCUCACAAAAAAUCACAAAUACUCUAAACACUAUUUCUCUCUAAAAUUCUAACUUUGGCAUCGGAGGUUCUUCAGCCAAAGCCCCCCAUUCAUCGUGGACGCGUGAGGCUCUUGGCCUUAACCUAGGUGCUAGUUGUUUUGUAGGUGCAAAAUCGUCCAAGAUCGAAGAGGAGAAAAUUUGCAUCCACAAUGGAUGUGCGAUUAAACCGAAGAACCCACCACCUCCAUCUUCUCCGACCAACUUGAACCCAGCCACUACUACAUGUCAUCCCGACAACCCACUCUCAGCUUCCCAAACCGCCAUUUUUCACCCACUCACUUACCUCUCUCUCUCUCUCUCUCUCUCUCUCUCUCUCUCUCUCUCUCUCUUACCCAAGCCACUGCCAUUAUUCAUUCAAUCAACCCAAAACACGAGAGCCACCCCAUCUCACCACUCGAACAGAUGCAGCCACCCACCCAUUUAAUCCCAGUCCAAAAUCAAACCCUCUCCUAAACCCACCCCAGAAUCCAAUAAUUUCAAAAAAUGGCUGAUUAUAUCAUUUCAAGAACCUCACAAUUCCAAAAACUAAAAACCCACUUCAAAGAUGUAAUAUUUUUCUCUCUUCCUCUUUUUGGGUUUUUUUUUUUUAUCAAUUCUCUUCUGGGUUUUUGUUUACAGUGUAAAAUCAACACUAAUUUACUAAUUUUGCUUUGAUUUUUCAAACACUAUUGAGGCGUGAUAACCUGUUGCAAGCUCAGCCAUGGCGGCUACUGCAAAAUCUAACGGAAAAACCAUCACAGACUCUGCCAUUUCAUCCAAGGUUCCGACAAUAGCAAACCCUUUAACGAAUAGCUGUCGCAGAUUUCUUCCAACAUCAAUCACCACGCGAAAUUAAUUGUCAAUGAAGACGAUCCCAUUCCCCUUCGAAAUCUGCUGGGGGAAAGAGGCCUUCUUUCAUAUCUGCUCUGAGACCUGUUUAUGCGAGAGAGUGGUGAGCCUGACGACAGAGAGAAAGAAGGGCAGGAUUGGAAAAUUGGAAAGUUCAUUUAUUGGUUACUGUUUAUCCGUGUUUCUUCGAAAUAAGCUGCUUUUUCCAGCUUUGGGUUUUCAGUAUUUUUUUAACCCAUAAUUUUGAAAGAAAAAAAACUGAUUUGAAAUGUUAUCAAACACUUAAAAUGUUCCAAUCUUUUUUCAUACCUAUUUUUUUUAUUAAAAGUUAAGCUAAACAAAAACCAGGAUUAAGUUUACUACUUUGAAGUUUCUUGCUUUUCAACAUUUCAUACAUUGAAUUUUUCUCAUCCAGUGUCAUACCUAAGGUGAGAAUUGUGGGACACUUUUAUACAUCCGUUAGAUUUUCUGUGAAUUAUGGGACACUUUUAUACAUCCGUUAGAUUUUUUGUGAUAACCUUCGCUGACCCACGAUGCGGCAUGCAUGUGGACAUUAAAAAAAAUUCAAAAAUUCAAAAAUUCAAAAAUUUUAAAAUUUAAAAUUCAAAAAUACUAAAAACCUAAACUUUUCAUAAUAUUGAGUUGAGAGACUGAAUCUUUUCACACUCGGCCAAAUUUUCUUUGAAUUUUAAUUAAAUGAAACAAUGAAUCUUGAACAAAGCAAAACAAAACGUAAUAUUGAGAGAUUCAGUCAUUGAAGUGGACGUGGAUGUUGGGUACUCAAUAGUCCAAGAAUGAAAAUUCUCAUAUCAGUUUCUAUCCAAAAUUUUGGAAUUAUGUGUGUUGCAACGAUUGUCCAAAGGAUUAUUCUUCUUUUAUUAAAUUUCCAUGAAAAAUGAGCAUGGGGGCAUAAAAAUUGAACGAAUGAAAUUUCAACGAUUUGAAAAGGGUUGUGAGUUUGACACGUCAUUUUUCUUCCUUUAAUGCAAUCAUGUUUAUUAAAAGACAAAAAUAAAUAUGACUUUACAUAAGGAGAGAGAAAGAAUAGUUUUCUUUGAAAAAAUCAACCAUUUAUUGAAGAGGGAUGUUGAUAAGGAGAUGAGACAUUCAUUAGAAGCUAGAAAAAAGAAGUUAAAAGUGAUUUAGAAAAAAGCAAGAAAGCCACAUUUUCAAAGUGGUGGUCAUUGCACAAUACUUAAUUAGAAGAAAACUCAUAGUAUUGUAUUUACAAUUUCAAGUCUUUAUGGGGAACGAGAGUGCAAAUUUUCCAAUUGGAAUAUGAUAUGAAAUUUCUAGAUAACUAUAUAUGACAAAGAAAGAAGUCUAAGUUUCUAAGUGGUAGGGCUUCCAAUUGAUGUGAGUUUGUUGAGAAAUGUAGAUGAAGAUGAAUAUUGUUGUUGAUGUUAGUGAACAACAGAACAAGUUGCUUCUCCUUUGGCCUUCUAACAUGAUAUCACGGAAAACAAGUUGUUGCUAAUAAAUGUAUCUGAUUGGUGGACUUAGACGUGCGCGGUACGAUUUUUGAUAACGAGAAAAGAUGGACAGUGUCAUGACAAAAUUUAUCCAAGUAGACCCAAAGGAAAGACUUAGGAACUUCAUAUGCAGUGGGAUAAAAUCUUAAGCUAAUUUCCUUACCUAUUUUAUAGUCAUUAAGUAAAAUGUAUAUGUAUAUUUCUAGAUGCUGACACACCAAUGUACUUACUAUUAACUCCUUUCAAAUACCCAUUCGCAGAAACGCAAAUCUCUCUUGCAUGCUUGUUGUAAUGCUCAUGUAGUGCGUAUCUAAUAUCUUAUGUGUAUAAUUUUUUGUGAUCCAUUUUUUCAUCACUAUGCCAAAAUCCCUUUAGAAUUUGCAAUUUAUCCAUUUGGUUAUGGUAAAAAAAAAAACUCGGAAUUUCAUUUAAACUCAAAAAUCUAGAAUUGGGAAAGCAAUUUUCCCUUGUUCGGCAACUUGUAGCGAUAGCAAAGGCAAAUUGUACAGGAAAAAAGUGGAAAUUGGGGAUGAAGAUCCAAUUUUAAUUUCGUCAAAAUAAGUGUAAUUUCACAAUUCCAACAACGUUGAGAACAAAUGCAUUGCGGGGAAAUCUUGCGACCACCAAACUUUACGAUUAGAGGGCCAAAUUUCAUGAUAAAACGUAAUAAGGGUUUAGGACUGCAUCGUUCACUUUGUUAACUCUCCAAUCUUCGACGGGAUUUUCAACUCGUGCAUCAUCUUUUGCUUUGUUCUAGGUCAAAGCCUACUCUUUUCUUUCUUGAAUUAUUUUAGCUUUGAGGGUAUACUCUUUAGGCCAAUUGUGAAUUUUGCUAGUUAUUUUUAUUUUCUGAUGGUCAUAUGUUUGUUUUGUUUUUUUUUUCUUCCAAUUGAGAUGUGUAUUGGUUGGAUCAGUAACUUUUUUUUUGGAUUUUUAUUUUUAUUUUUAUGGAUUUUGGUGUUAGUUCCUUGUUAUAGAUGUUGUGGAGCAAAAAAUAAUCUCAAAAAUCGUGGAGGUGACACACGGAUUUUUGGACAAGAAUGACAAAAUUAUCCUCGAAGCACAUCAGGAUUCCCACGUGCAUGCAACGGACAAUAACGGCUCAAUCAUGGAAGAGUCAAAGGUGAUCAAUAUGGUAUUUAUUCAAAUCCCUCUCAUCACUCCUCAUCAAUCCCUUUUUUAUUUUAUUCAAAAGGUAACUCCCAAAACUUCCUAUUUAAUUUAGGGAUCAUUGUCAUGUUAAUUGCAAGAUAUUAUUUCACAAAAUAUCUUGUAAUUAUUCUUCAAUUACCACCAUGUAUGGCCGGCCACUCCUCACAUUAUGGGCCGGUCACUCCUCACCCUAUGGGUCGGCCACUCCCUAUAAAUAGCCCUAUUAUUCCACUAAUAAGGAAGCCAUUUGCUACCCACAAACUCCUAAACACAUUCUUUCAGAAUUCUAACUUUGGCAUUGGAGAUUCUUAGGCCAAAUCCCCCCUCCCAUUCAUCAUGGGCGCAUAAGGCUUUUGGCCUUAGUCUUAGGUAUUAUUAUUUUGCAGGUGCAUUUUUGUCAAAGACGAAGAUGGUGAAAAUUUGCAUCCACAAAUUGGUGUUUUCAUUGAGAGUUUGAUUCAUAAGCUCGAAGAAGACUCACAUUCAAAGUUUCACAUUUCUCAUUCAUAAGUAAAUUUUUCAUACGUUCUUAUUCCUAAAAUUUUUUAAAUCUUUGAAUAGACGUAUGAGAGAAAUACAAUGGCUAGAAAUUUAGAAACCACGACGAACGAAACUUCCUACGUUCAAAGAUCCAGAUAAAAUGAUGGAAAUUGCGAUGUAGCCCCACCACGACGAUCCACGAAGCUCAACGUGGUGGCAAAAUGAGUAACUUGGCCACCACGGAGUACCACCACCACCAUAGCCAAGGCAACCCAUGUUGCAGUGGGGAGUGGGACAGCUUCAUGGCAGCAAAGCCACGAAGCAACAAUAAAUGCCAUCUUGCAGUAAUGAGCCCAGGCCCGUGUCACAAGGCAGUCAACCCAGCGCUAGGUAACCUAGAUCUAGUAGGCCCACGACGUUGCCAUAGCAGCUGAGGCCUAAAGCAAGGCCCAAACAGUUGCGGUUGCGGCAAAUGGAGCAGCACAACACUGGCGGGGCCAAUGCACCCUUGGCCUAAUGCUAAGCAGGCUAAAUCGCACCACACCCACUAUUCAAACUAACCCUAAGUUGAGUAAGUAGCAUUGAAGGUUGUCAACCGCAAGGCGUUGAAGUACGAAUAAAGUUACACACCCCGCACAUGACUUGGCCCACUUCCGCGGCCCAACUUGCUCGCAAGGUCCACCUAGUGAUCCCGACUAGUCGAAGGCCAGUUUAAUCAUCCCAUCUUCAGAUUUCUGGACUGACGAUUGAAUCGGGGGUAUUUUCACCCCGAUUUUCUACAGAUUUGACAUAUCUCAACUCAAAUCUCGCACUUGGAGUCCAUUGCACUUCCAUUACUCAAGGAGACGCAUACCAUUUAAGAUCUUCCAUCCCAAAUGGCGAACAACACUUGUCUCGACAAGUCAUAGAGUUGACAUGCGCUUUUGCGCAGUAGACGACCUUAGUGAAUCAGCUCUUGCAACGCACAUAGAUGCAGUGUGCCCCAGACGAUGUGUCCCGAAGUAAGACAAGUACAGAUGACGAUUCUCUCCAGCAGCGUCCCAACAAGCAGCCGCUCGACUAGCCACGAACCGAGCGUUCUGGCAGUGUACACUCCCGUCUAGGUCCUCAAGAAAGCGUAUACUCUCGUCUUAGCGCGCGAAUGAGCGUGCACUCAUGGUUAGGCCUAUGGACGAGCAUACAUUCACGGUUGGGACCAUACUCUUAUAAUUAACAUGGACAACCUGCUAGACGAAGUGUUCAUUCGCGGCUAGGCCCGCAAAAAGCAUUUUCCACCUCAUAUUGGAGUAAGCAGCACAGAAGACGAAGAUAAGCAGUCAAUUAAUCUGGCUCAAAUUCAAUCGGCCACCUGUAAGUAACCAGUUCGCCUGCCAAGAACGUAUCAUAUGCAAUGUAGCCACGACAUAGACUAGAUGAGCACAACGAUAAGCAACCUAGACUAACAGGUUACGACUGGGGGCAGCCAGAAGCUCUGCUGCCCCAAUAGAGGUAAAUUUAGAAAGAAGUUGAGAGGCUCAUGACCGAACAAUUGUGCGAUUUCCAACGCAACGAAGCUACUGACAAGGCGCUUAAACGAUACACGACCAACAUAAAUGGGUCACCUUUUAUUGACAAGAUUGAGCAGACAGAACCAUCCUACAUACACUGGCGGAUACAAAGAUUACAUCUAUUUUAACAUAUGCAUCAACUCAGCCUAAUGGCGUGUCGAGGGCAAAUGGGUACCAGAAUGGCACACCAGCCCAACCACCAAGAACCAGGGCCAAAUCUUAUUUUCAUCACUCCACACGAUUCAAUACUUGAGCAGCACAUCACCAGUAAUCGAGCACCGCAGACCUAAUGGUCCAAUUCCUCCUGAUGCACACAAGCUCACCCCAGCUCCACGCUCAAAGCCUUGCCUACCUGCUCCACAACACUCAGCCACCCUUGAUUUGUCACCAUGGCUCACAAUUAUGCCAAUUUUGCACCACAGCUCAUAGCCGUGCUAAUCUUGCCAUGCGGCUCUUAACUACGUUAACCAAGCCCACGAUACUUUAUACUUCAAAGCAUCCAACGACGGAGUAGAACACGAGGCUCUACUAGCAGCCCCUGCUAGUGAAAGACUUUGCGGUGAAGAGGCUUCCAAUCCAUUCAAAUUCUCAGUUGACCACCUGUUGGGUUUUACGACUCAAAAUUAGGAUGAUGCAAAAAAAAUUGUGUUACCUAUUUGGUUUUGGUGUCGUAUUUGGGUUUGGAUUUUGACCUCUUAGUUGGUUUCCGUGGUGGAGAGAUUUUGUUAAUUACCUAUUUGAUUAGGAUUUGGAUUUACUUCCUAUUAAGAUUCUUAUUGUAACCUAAGUCUUAUGCACUAUAAAUAGGACCUCAGGGUUAGUGUAUUUUGUGUGGCUCAUUCGUGUGGCAAUUUGGUGAGAGUCAAUUUGUGAGUUUGUGAGUUAGAGAGCAAUUUGGGAGAAUCUUCUCCGUUAGUUUUGGGUUCUCUACUCGUUUGGUUUAGGGUUUGUAAUUUGUGGGAUUUGGAUUGUGAGAGUCUGAACACUAUUUUGUAAUCUCCGUUUGUUUAGUGAAAUUUCUUGUCAUGCUUCGCUCGUGGACUUAGAUUUUACACCGAACCACAUAAAUCUCUUGUGUUAGUUUGAGAUUGUUUGUUUUAGUUUUCACCUACGACGUUGAUAUCGGUACUUUGUUAGAAUUCGCUUUCCUUUGCUCAUAAAAGUACAACAAGUGGUAUCAGAGCCCGGCUUUCGGCUUGGGCUUUGCUUGGCAAUCACUAUGAAGCCUUCUGUGUCGUCGGUGAAAGUUGAUAUUGAAAAGUUCGAUGGCAAUGACUUUGGUAUUUGGCAAUUGAAGAUGCGUACUUUGUUAAUUCAACAAGAGCUUUUAAAAACGCUAAAGGGUGUGAAGGCUUUCCUGAAUUCGUGGACUGAUGAAGAAAAAAAAAGAUGUUAUGGAGCGGGCACUUGGAACAAUCCUGCUAACUUUAUCGAAUGAAGUCUUGCGUCAAGUUGGUAGCAUCAAAUCUGCACCGAAGUUGUGGCUAAAAUUGGAGAGUUUGUAUAUGACCAAAUCCCUUGCUAAAUGGUUGUAUUUGAAGAAAAGUUUGCGUACUCUUCGUAUGGAUGAAGGUACGUCAAUUCAUAAGACCAAAUCCUUAUUGCUGCCAAAAGUCCUCAACAGUUCCAAGGGAGAUGGGUAAGAGUUCGUAAUAGUGAGAGAUUGAAUCUUUUCACACUCGGCCAAAUUUUAAUUUUAAUUAGAUGAAACAAUGAAUCUUGAACAAAGCAAAACAAAAUUUAAUACUGAGAGAUUGAAUCAUUGAAGUGGACGUGGAUGUUGGGUACUCAACAGUCCAAGAAUGAAAACUCUCAUAUAAGUUUUUAUCCAAAAUUUUGGAAUUAUGUGAGUAUUGCAACGAUUGUCCGAAUGAUUAUUCUUCUUUUAUUAAAUUUCCAUGGAAAAUGAGCAUGGGGCACAAAAGUUGAACGAAUGAAAUUUCAAUGAUCUGCAAAGGGAUUGUGAGUUUGACAUGCCAUUUUUCUUCCUUUUAUGCAGUCAUGUUUAUUAAAAGACAAAAAUAAAUAUGACUUUACAUAAGGAGAGAGAAAGAGUAUUUUUCCUUGAAAAAAUCAACUAUUUAUUGAAGAGGAUGUGGAUGUUGAUUGAUGCGCAUUGUGAAUAGGAAAAAAAUAACCUUGAAGGGAGACGAGACAUUCAUUAGAAGCUAAAAAAAAGUUAUAGUGAUUUAGAAAAAAAAAGUUUUAACGAAACAUUUCCGGUACUGUUUACUCUUUACGAAAAACCACAUUUUUACCUUUCCUAACUACUAUUCACUACAUCUUUAUUUAUCAUUUUUCAUUAAAACUAAAGUUUUUGUUUUAACUUUUCGUUAGUUUCCUUUAGAAAAAAGCAAGAAAGCCUCAUUUUCAAAGUGGUAGUCCUUGAAACAAUACUUGAUUAGAAGAAAAGUCAUAGUAUUGUAUUUACAAUCUCAAGUCUUGAGGGGUAACGAGAAUGCAAGUUUCUAAUUGGAAUAUGAUAUGAAAUUUCUACAUAACUAUAUAUGACAAAGAAAGAAGUCUAAGUUUCUAAGUGGAAGGGCUUCCAAUUGAUGUGAGUUUGUUGAGAAAUGAAGAUGAAGAUGAAUAUUGUUGUUGAUGUGAGUUAGUGAACAACAGAACAAGUUGCUUCUCCUUUGGCCUUCUAACAUGAUAUUACCGGAAAACAAGUUGUUACUAGUAAAUGUAACUGACUGGUGAACUAAGACAUGCGGUACGAUUUUUGAUAACUAGAGAAGAUGAACAGUGUCGUGACAAAAUUUAUCCAAGUAGACCCAAGGGAAAGACUUAGGAACUUCAUAUGCAGUGGGAUAAAAUCUUAAGCUAAUUUCCUUUUUAAUCUUAUAGUCAUUAUGUAAAAUGUAUAUGCAUAUUUCUAGAUACAUACACACCAAUGUACAUAAUAUUAACUCCUUUUAAGUAGUCAUUUGCAAAUCCCUCUCGAGUGCUCUUUGGAAUGCUCAUGUGGUGCCGUUCUAAUCUCUUAUAUAUAACUUUUUGUGAUCCAUUUUUUCAUCAAUAUGCCAAAAUCCCUUUAGAAUUUGCAACUUAUCUUUUUGGUUACGGUAAAAAAAAAACUCGGAAUUUCAUUUAAACUCGAAAAUCUAGGGAUGUGAAAGCAAUUUUCUCUUGUUCGGCAACAUGUAGCGAGAGCAAAGGCAAAUUGUACAGGAAAAAGUUAGAAAUUUGGGAUGAAGAUUCCCAAUUUUAAUUUCGUCUAAAUAAGUGUAAUUUCACAAUUCUAACUACGAUGAGAAUCACAAAUAUAUUGCAGGGAAAUCUUGCGACAACCAAACUUUACGAUUAGGGUGCCAAAUUUCGUGAUAAAACCUAAUAAGGGUUUAGGGCUACAUUGUUCACUCUGUUAACUCUCCAAAUCUUCGACGGGAUUUUCGGCUCGUGCAUCAUCUUCUUGCUUUGUUCUAGGUCAACGCCUCUACUCUCUUCUUUCUUGUAUUAUUUUAGCUUUUCAGGUAGACUCUUUAUGGCUGUUGUGAAUUUUGCUAGUUAUUUUUAUUUUCUGAUAGUCAUUUGUUUGUUGUGCGUUUUUCCUUCCAAUUGAAUUGUGUAUUGGUUGGAUUUGUAACAUUUAUUUUUUUUAUUUUAUUUUAUGGAUUUUGGUGUUAGUUCUUUGUCAUGGAUGUUGUCCUUUUGAAGGUUAACAAUAGCCAAGACUAAACAUGAUGAUUUUGGUGUUAAUUACUUUCUCAUGAUACUAAUGCCAUAUUGUUCUCUAUUUUGCACUCACAAGUAAAGAGAAAUAUCCUAGACCCUAACUGGAUAUGUUAUUGUCAUGGUCAUGCAUUGGUAUGGUAACAAUAUGUUUGGAUAAGGAAAAUAAACUUAGAAUUUGACAAAAGAUAAAAUUUAUAAAUUGAUACAAUCAAUUCCUUUGUUUAGAUUCAUAAACAUAGAAAUUUAAACUUUCCGCGUGAGAAAAAACUUGGAAUUUGGGACCUUCAAUUCUCAUGUUUAAAUUUUAUGUAAAUAGGUGUCAUUUCUAAAUUUCAGUAAGUGAGAAUUUAAAAAUAACAAACAUGUAUUCAAAUUUCAUUCAUCUUUUAGGUUAACCAAACAAGAAAUUUUAUAAAUUCUAGAAAAUAAAAUUUCGUUAUUUCAAUUUCUGUUAUUUUAAAAUUAGUAAUCUUAAAUUUUCUCAUCCAAACAAAAAGUUUCCUUGUCAUAGAACUUUCAAUUGGGAUCAAGGAAGACAAUCUUUUCACAACUGAUUAUUCUCACCAAAUUUUAUUAUUAUUUUAAAGCAGAUCAAUACCAAACUUCAAAAGCAAAGUAGGAAGGCUAAAAUUAAGGUGAAGAACCUACUUCCACUAAUUACCAUGGGAGGGAGAGAGAGAGAACCAAGCGAGAGAGAAGAGAGAGAAAACACCAAGUAGUAUUAUAAUAUAGGUGGGGUUAAAUCACCUUUCGUGAAGUUGUAGUAAGAGCAGCUCCAGCGGGAGCUCCAACUUGAUGUACCGGUGAGAUUUCCUACCCAAUAGCCCCAGCUCCUUGCUCCAGUCCAUGCGGGUGAUUGGGCUGAGGGGGGCCGAGUGAGAGGCCUGACUCGAAUCGGUGGCCUGAGAGCCUGAGACCAAAAAUUAUCUUUUUGGAUAAUGACACGUGGUGCAACGAGAACGAUUAAAAAUCUUAUCCGAAAUUACAAAUAGAAUUAUUUUGUAUUAUUUUAUAAAAUAAAAAAUACUAAUAUUUUAUUGCUUAUUGACAUGACUAUUCAAUUACGGGUGGAGAUGCAGAAGACAAUUAUUAUUCAUUAAAGGUAAUUAUUGUUCAUUGGAGGGGAUUGAAUAUGAAGUUGCACUAGAAGGCCUUUGUCACGGCAAUAGGCAAUUACUGUUCUAAGGACUUCUAUCCUAGAAGAGAGACAAAAACACCAAGUAGUAUUAUAAUAUAGGUGGGGUUAAAUCACCUUCCGUGAAGUUGCAGAUAGAGUAAGGACUUCUAUCCUAGAAGAGAGACAAAAACACCAAGUAGUAUUAUAAUAUAGGUGGGGUUAAAUCACCUUCCGUGAAGUUGCAGAUAGAGUAAGGACUUCUAUCCUAGAAGAGAGACAAAAACACCAAGUAGUAUUAUAAUAUAGGUGGGGUUAAAUCACCUUCCGCGAAGCUGCAUUAAGGACUUCUAUCCUAGAAGAGAGACAAGAACACCAAGUAGUAUUAUAAUAUAGGUGGGGUUAAAUCACCUUACGUGAAGUUGCAGUAAGGACUUCUAUCCUAGAAGAGAGACAAAAACACCAAGUAGGAUUAUAAUAUAGGUGGGGUUAAAUCACCUUACGUGAAGUUGCAGAUAGAGUAAGGACUUCUAUCCUAGAAGAGAGACAAAAACACCAAGUAGUAUUAUAAUAUAGGUGGGGUUAAAUCACCUUCCGUGAAGUUGCAGUAAGGACUUCUAUCCUAGAGAAAAGUCGGUCAAUGGUGUUUGACACAGUCAGUCAACGAUAAAGACAGAAUUGUGUAACCAUAAUUCUCUCUCUAUCUCUUUUUCAUUAACGGAGGACAGUGUAUAAUUACUACGUAUACAUCUCUGCUCAAUUAUUGAAAAGAAAAAUCCAUGUGCAUUAUUUUUAUUAUUAUUAUCUCAGAAAUGCAGAAAUUGAUCAUCUCUUCCUUCUGCAUAUUGAUACUGGUUUUCUUCAAACUAGUUGAAGCAAGCCAAUAUGUGUGCGCGAAAUCCAACUGUAGCAAUGAUCAACGCCCGGCUAUCCAUUUCCCAUUGAACAUCAGGCGCACACAUCAUUGUGGAAAUUCUGGGCUUGAAUGCAAUGGGAGAUAUGGGCAGCAAAUACUAAUAAAAUUAUUUGUCAAACACAUUGAUUACAAGCGUCAGGAAAUCCAAGUCUAUUCCCCAAGUAACUGCCUGCUGCUAAAGCAUGUUGAAAUCCCAAACAUGCCACCCUCUCCCUUCAACGUGUCAGUCGAUGACUACAUGAGUACCCUUACCUUAUUCAGUUGUCCUACUUCUGUUGCAAGACGAGAUACGUAUCAAGUCCCCUGCCUCGGCGACCCUGGCAAGAAAACUUAUGCCAUUCGUUCUUACUAUGAUUUUGGAACUCUCUUCCAGAAUCUACAAUCCUGUACAAAAAUGUAUGAUGUUUUAUCAGUUCCAAUAGCCUAUGAAUAUUAUGUUUUUCGUUUCAAAUGGUCUAUACCAAAUUGCAGAAAAUGUGGAGAGGGAAAGAAGUGUGGAUGGCAGAACAAUGAAAUUAAAUGUCUUCCCUGGAGGAAACCAAGUAAGGAUAACAUAUGUAUUCAUUGCUAGUUUUAAACAUCUUUACAUUUAUGUCUUAGUAAUUAUUAUUUGAAGGAUGUUGUCCAAUCCAUUUUUACUAGGAAUAUUACCUGACAGUCUCGUUUAAAUUCGCAAUGAUCUUCUACAGGCAACACAUGGAAAAAAGUGGUUACAGGUGGAAUCCUGUGUGCUUUGCUUCUUGUUCUACUGACGAUUGCAGCAUAUCGGGUAUAUAGCGCUGAUAGAAAGGAGAAAGAGAGUCGAUUAAGAAUUGAAAGAUUCUUGGAGGACUACAAAGCACUCAAACCAAGCAGGUAUUCGUACGCAGAUAUUAAGAGGAUUACAAAUCAAUUCAAGGACAAGUUGGGCCAAGGAGCCUAUGGAACUGUCUUCAAAGGAAUGCUCUCUUCUGAAUUUUUUAUUGCUGUCAAAGUCCUCAACAGUUCCAAGGGAGAUGGGGAAGAGUUCGUAAAUGAAGUGCGAACGAUGGGUCAUAUCCACCAUUUAAACGUGGCUCGCUUGGUUGGAUUUUGUGCUGAUGGAUUUGUACGAGCUCUUGUUUACGAGUUCUUCCCCAAUGGUUCCCUGCAGGAUUUCAUUUCAUCUGCAGAUAGUAAGAAUUCAUUUCUUGGUUGGGAUAAACUGCAAGAUAUUGCCCUAGGCAUAGCCAAAGGAAUUGAAUAUCUUCACCAGGGAUGCGAUCUACGAAUCCUGCAUUUCGACAUCAAACCCCAUAAUGUUUUGCUAGACCAAAACUUCACUCCAAAAAUUUCUGAUUUUGGUAUGGCCAAGUUAUGUUCCAAGGAUCAAAGCUUGGUGUCCAUGACUACAGCUAGGGGGACCAUGGGCUACAUUGCACCUGAAGUGUUCUCCAGGAAUUUCGGAAAUGUGUCUUACAAGGCAGAUGUCUAUAGCUUUGGAAUGCUGCUGCUUGAGAUGGUAGGAGGAAGGAAGAAUAUUGGUUCAAUCACGGAUAACACUACAAAUGAAAUUUACUAUCCACAGUGGAUUUAUAAUCUUCUAGAGGAAGGGGAUGACCUACGAAUCCACAUUGGGGAAGAAGGAGAUGGUAAAAUUCCAAAGAAACUUGCAAUUAUAGGGCUAUGGUGUAUCCAAUGGCACCCGUCGGAUCGUCCUUCCAUGAAAAUAGCGGUUCAGAUGUUAGAAGGAGGAGGAGAAAGCUUGAGUAUGCCGCCUAAUCCCUUUGUGCCUACUGGUUCUACAACUAGGAAUGCAAGACGCCUAGAGCUAGAAGCUAUUGCUGAAUUAGAGUAAAAUGUAUAUGCAGAUAUGUAGACGUAUAGAUAUAGUAAUAUUUAUAUUGAAUAAGAGGCCGUUUGAUAACCAUUUCGUUUUCAGCUUUUAAUUUUUAUUUUUCACUUUUUUGAAAACUAAAAACUAAAAUCUUGUUUGGUAAAUACUUUUAGUUUAAAAAAAUUAUGAAGACUGAGAACUAAAAUGUGAAAGCUCAAAGGAAGUAGAUUAAAAGUAGUUACCAAACAAACUGGAAUCUCAAUAAUAAAAAAAGAUUGAAUUGCACAAUGCAAUCCAAACCAAUCAAAACAUUAAAAUAGCAAAAAAAAAUUAAAAUUCUAGUUGAUUAGAUUCUAAACGUAGUAAAAAUGAACAGAUCCAAUGAAAAAACAAAAAAUUCUCAAAUAAAAAUAGGGAUAAAGUAAAAUAUUUAUAAAUAGCUCUUUGUCUCUUAUGUCAUCAAUUAUUUCUAUAGUAUAUACAGGUUUUUGGAAAAAUUAGGUUCUCAUCCCUUAUUUUCAUAUUACAUUGAUUGAAAUCUUAUUAUUUUUCUAUUUUAGAUCAAGGUCCCUUGACUUAUUCCAUGUCAUCAUUUUAGUAUUUAAAAUAUUACACGUCAUCAUAAACGAAAUCUCAUCCCUUUCUGCAUUUAAGGCAAAAUAAACUAUAUGAGUAAGUUUAAAACAAGGAAAAUCCAUUUGAACUCCUCCAUUCUUCUUCUUCCCUUAUGCACAUCUGGAAUCUACAACACCCCAAACCCAAUUUUCUCCAUUUUUUCUCCAUUCCUGAAUUGAUCCAAUGCAUAUAUGUUGAAUAAACCUAUUGUGAUUAAAAUACAAAUUAGCAUCAAUGGUUUUAUCGGCUUGUGAGAUUUGUGUGGCAUAGGCAAGGCAAUGCAGGCAUUGCUUUCUCAAGGAAUCUGGUUGAUUCAAACAUGCAGAGACUGUAGAGUGAGCGGGCUAUGUGAAAAUUGUACCAUUCUGAAGUCAUUUUCUUUUGUUCUUUAUAUUUUUUUUCUUUUUCUUUUAUUAUUAUAUAUUAGUCUUGGUUAUUCAAUGUCUGGUUGGCUACACUUAUAUCCAUGGGUACAUUUUUAAUCUACAUGUUUCGUUCUAAUAUAUCUAUUGCUAUAAUAUGUUUUGGUUGGUUCAAAUUUGUUUUACAUAAAUAUAUGGGUACAAAGUUUUUGGAGAAUAUUAUGUAAAAUGGUUUUUAAGGUUGCUGCAUUUUACGUUCCCACAUAUGCAUGUCUAUAAAACAAUGUGGUAUGAUGUACAUUCUUUUCUUUGAGUUUUUAAAUGUACCCAUGAGUUUUCUUGUAAAUUCGUAUGUACCCAUAUGCUAUUUAUGUUAUGGGUACAUACAUUAUUUUUGGUCUAAGUUCAGGAUACAUUGCUUUUGUAUGUAUGAAUUCAUGGGGUACAUUAUUUCCCUUAAUACUACUCAAUAAAAUUCACAAAAAUAUGUGUAGUGUGCAUGAUUUUUUAUUGUAGAAAUUGUUUGUUUUUUUUAAGUCUCAUAAUUCAUGAAAUUUGUACAUAUAUGAUCCCAUAAAUUUUUUAAUUUUAUUAAAUUUCUGUUAGACUUGAUCGAUUGAUUGAAUCUCAUAAUACUAGGAUUUUGAAUUACAUAAAUUCUUGGAUUUGAAUCCCUUAAAUGUUGGACUGCAAUCAAUAUUUUAAAUUACAGUUUUUUGUUUAAGAUAUCAAAAAGAUGACAUGGGAAUAUAGUAAUACUAAAAUGCUGAGGUGUACAAAGUCAAGGGACUUUGAUCAAAACAUAAAAAACAAUAAGAUUUCAAUCUAACAAUUGAAUUGACUAGGGACCGGAACCAAAAUGACCCUAGAUUUUUAUUGAGUUUAAUCUUAAUCAAAAAAAGACUUCUUGUAUCACAGAAAAUACAAGAACCAUUAUUUGAAUGAAAUAAAAGCUAUGGGAUGGAGAUAUAAAUGGAUCCUUUUAUUCACAAUCGGAUUAUAUUUAUUUGAUACACUGUUGUCAAUAUGAAUGUUGAGAAAAGACUACAAAAGAAAAAACAAUUUAUAAAUAUAACUAAAAAUUCCAAUUUCAAUCAAUUAGAUAAUUAGAAUUAUAAGAAGAAAAAAAACAGAAAUCUCAGUUUUCAGUUUAAAAAAAAAUGAAAACAAAAACUGAAAACUGAAAACAAAAUGGUUAUCAAAGCCGUCCAAAUAAUAGAAGUUUGUUUCCACUCUUUGUUUAAGCAUAGAUGCCAAUUUUUGUUUAUCAUUUUUUUAACCUCUAUUUUUUGUUACAGUAGAAGCCCUAGAAGGAAAUCGAGCACUGGACUUACCAAACUCUUAACUUAUUUCUACACACCAAGAGCUUGAUUUCGGUUCUUAUUUAUACUAUUUAAGCUAUAAGCCGUGAUAAGAAUUAGAGAACUAUCAUUUGUUGUGAGCUUCAAUUGGUUAGCACUUUGUAUGUUUUCAUUAGAAUUUAUAUUUCACUUAGACUUUCUUAUUAAAAAAGGGAUCAUUUGGUGACUUCACCAUGACAGUCCAAUUUUAUGGGGGCCAUGAGUACUCACAAAGGUAUUUCAGCCUCCCCCUAUAUCUACCGUCGCGUGAUUCACCAUUGCCGGGAAUCGAACUCAAGACGUGUUGUAUAGAAUACAAGCCUAAAAUUCGUUUCUAACCACUGAGUCACCCCGCGUUUGAUUAUAUUUCACUUAGACUUAUCUUGCGGUAUAGCAUGUCAUCCCCGCCCAAGUUUUUCUGUUCGCAUUGAGUUUGGGAUACCAAAACUUGCCAAACAAAGUAGAUUGAUUAGUAAGCGAAGCUAAUUAUUCGACUAAACAUUGUUUAGAAUUUUAAUUAAAAGAAACAAUAUGAAUCUGUUUUUUUUUUUUUUUUUUGACAAACUAUAACGUUAAGGAGUUAAAUUGUUAGUUGUUAAGAGUACAGGGAUAGGUGAGGAUCGAACCUCCACCAGAGUGCAUAGACAUUAUUGGUUCUACAACUGCGGUAAAUCACAUAAAACAAAACGUAAUACUUUGAGGAUGGAAGACACUUCGUGGAUAGCGGGCAAUCAACACUAUCAGUCGCUAUCCAAAACUUGGAAUUAUGUUUAUUGUCCGAAGGAUUUUUCUUCCAUUAAAUUGCUAAGGAAGAUGAGGAUGGGUGGAGUGUCUAAAUGUCAAGGUUGAUAAGAAAGUGUAUGGUGUUCAGCAUGCGAUUGAGAUUUGUUGAGUGGCACAACAAACCACAUAAAAUUUUCUAAAUGAUAAGCAAUGAUAAGCUUGAGUAUAAUUUUUUACCACGUAUUUAUCUUUAAAAUCAUUAUAAUUAGAUUUUCUCUUAAUUAAUAUAGACCGUUAGAUUGACCCAAGUUUUUUUCCUCUUUUCUUUCCCCUCGUUUUUUUCUUCUCUGAUUUUCCAUUCACCGUGUAGCAGUCGUUCUUCCCCAACUAAGUUUCUUAUUUUUCUUCACAAAAAAAUUGUAGAAAAUAUUAAGAAAAGAAAAGUCAUCAAUAUCAGACUCGAUCAGGUAAUCGUUCCAACCUUCCCAGCAACUCUCAGUCUUAACAAGGCACCAAAUUUUCUCCGCCACCUAACUCGUCAUUCAUUCAUGGGUGUUUCAAGCUUGGUGAAAAUUGAUAGAGUUCCAUGUGUGUACAGGGAUGUGAACAUAUUGGCCACUCUCUAAGAAUGAGUCAUUGGAAAAGUUGAAGGAAAGAUGUAACCGAUGAAAUUAAUGGAUUGGAAUUACAAUGAAGUCUGUGUUGGUUUAUCACAAAGAACCCAGAAACAAAAUUUUAAAAGCAAACAAUUACAACUUCUCAAAUAUUAUGUAACAAACUUUCAAUGAAAUGUUGCUCAUAAUUGAAAAAAGGUUGACGAAGGACGGAGUUGGGAUUAUUUUAGAUGGGGAAGAGUUAAAAGAAGGAAGCACCAUUUAAUUACUAAAAGUAAUUGGAGAAAUGGUAAUUCAAUGGUGGGCGUUUUUAAGGUGUGGACCUUGUGUCACACCCCGAUCCCAACAUACAUUGAGGAUCGACACCUGACAUGGGGACCUAGGGGACAUAAAUCUUACGUAAGAUACAGAAUGAAAUACUAUAAAUAAUAUCCCAAAAUGAAUAUGAUAGUGGGUUCACCCCCUAUAAAAUAUAUACAAGUUUGUACAUUCACAAAAAAAAAAAAAAAAAAAACACACACACACACACACAAAACUCUUGCUAGGCCAAGACUUGCCCAUGGUUCUCAAAGGAAAGUCCUAAAAGAAAUAGUACAAUGAAGGAUAAAGGGGUAACCUAAACACUCCAAGUCUCUGAUCUCUGCACUGCUACCCCCACCGGCUCCUCGUAAUCUACCUCAGACCUGUCACUUGUACAAACAGUGCCUACAUUGUGGGAAUGGUGCACCGGGCAAACAAAAACCCAGAUAAGCUGCAAAACUCGUGUGGUAGCCGGCCUGGGACAUGGGAGGGGGCCGAGUCUUUCAGAAACCCUUGGGUCAUUGAUCUUCAAGCUUACAUGGAUGGGAUUGUCUCGACGUUGCUUUAGGAAGUCUCGACAGUCGUGAAAGACGGCUUUCGAUCCUUCCACUCCUUCUGUAAGAAGGUGUCUUCCUCCACUCCUUCUGCUUCGGGUUGAAGCAGCUGGGUUGAGAGAAGUCUCAUGUUGGUCGCGAUUUCGAUGAGUAGCUCGCUCCUCAACAGGAAUACCCAUGUCGAGGGAAAAUGAGCCUCUGUGUUGGAGGCACCCAGUUGAUGGUUGACUUCCACAGGGGUGAUGAGCUCGUGUGUUUUAGUAUAUCUAGCCUCGUGGAGCAUCUCGAAGACCUUUUCAUACUGCUCUUGGAGGAUCUCAUUCUUCAUCGCUAUCUUGUUGUUCUGAGCCUCCAGCUCAUCGACUUUAGCCUGAAGAGCAAACUUCUUUUGUUCCUUCUUUCGUUGUUUCGCACCAGGUGUAAGAGGGGUGUCAUUCUGUGUGCCGUGGCUUCCUUCGCUCCCCAUGUUAGAGAGGGAUGCCUGGUCAAAAGAGAGAGUACGAAUGGUGGAAACCAGCUUGGCAAAGCUAAAGAGAGUGGGAAUAAGUGUCGUUCCCACAGACGGCGCCAAAUGUUGAUGCACAAAAUCAGUGAGGACUUUGGUACAACAGAAAGUGUUAAGUUUGUGUCCUUCGCUAGAUUGGUCCGGUCAUUAGUGUGGAUAAGUAUGUAAAUGGAUAGGGACAGGGAAGCAAACACAAGAUGUAUGUGGUUCACCCAGAUUGGCUAUGUCCAUGGAGUGGAAGAGUUCUCAUUAAUUGUGAAGGGUUUACACAAGUACAUAGGUUCAAGCUCUCCUUUAGUGAGUACAAGUGAAUGAUUUAGUACAAAUGACAUUAGGAAAUAUUGUGGGAGAAUGAUCUCCUUUUAUAGAAUAGUUUCUAGCUUUGUUCUGACAUUGACACGUGUCAUGCUGUGAUUGGCUUUUGAUGUUGACAUGUGUCGCAUUGUGAUUGGCCUCCUGGUUUGAGGGAAACUCUUCUGGGUCCUUGACAGUAUAACGUUGACAGGUGCUCAGUAGUUUCGGGAUUGGUCAAGUAUGGUACAAACAAAGUCACUGAAAACUUCGAAGGAGUCACCCAGACAUCCAACGACUUUUCUAAAUCAAAUCUCAGAGAUUCCCAAAACUAUCGUUCACAAAUACACUAAAAACUAAGGCUAGAGUGACACAGUUUGGCCAAAGCCUACAUAAGUAACCAAAUAAGAAGUGGCCCCCCCAUAGCGGAUUAAUCAAGUAGAGCCACUCCUGAGAAAGUAACCAAGUAGGUAGUGACCCCAUCACGAAUUAACCAAGCAGAGUCACUCCUACGAAACUGUUAGGUAGUGAUCACCCAUCGCGGAUUAACUAAGCAUGAUCACCCCUAAGUACGUAUGGCCAUACCUAAGAAAUAAGGAUCGCCCAUCGCGGAUUAACUAAGCAUGAUCACCCCUAAGUACGUAUGGCCAUACCUAAGAAAUAAGGAUCGCCCAUCGCGGAUUAACCAAGCACAAUCCAAAAAUAUUAUGGGUCCCCUAUCGCGGAUUAACCAAGCAGGACCAUCCAUGUACCACUGCUACAUGGUGCAGAUUCGGUGUCACCUAACCCCGUGACACUAGGGUAACGGUCCUCUACUAGCCCUCACGUUUUUCAAACAUUUCAAAUAUAUAAUUUAAAACACAAUUCAUAAACAUUUCGAAUAGGGAAGUCACAUAGUGUUUAAUAAUGUAGGUCAAUGGAAAACUUUAAAAACAAUUAUUUAGCAUAAAACAUAUUUUAGAAAUCCAUGCUGUAUCCACAAAGUAUACUAGCACGGGAGAUUUUCAGGGUAAUAACUCUAUCACAUAUAUUAAAGUCACUCACCUGGAGUCCGCACUAACGCACCCUAGCACGAAUAUCAAGAUGUCACGUACUAUCAUUUGUAACAUCCCACAUCAACCAACAGAGAGGGGGUGAUGUGUCUUAUAUGUACAUGCCCACCUCUAUAGCACGAGGCUUUUUGGGAGCUCAUUGGCUUCAUAUUCCAUCGGAACUCCAAAGUUAAGCGAGUUUGGGCGAUAGUAGUCCAAGGAUGGGUGACCCACUGGAAAGUUCUCGUGUGAGUUCCUAGAAACAAAACCGUGAAGGCGUGGCCAGGGGGGCCAAAGUGGACAAUAUUGUGUUACGACGGAAUUAAGACUGAGAUGUGACAGAAUGGUAUCAGAGCCGCUCUGCCGCGUGGUGCAAGUGUGCCGAAGAGGACAUCGAGCCCCUAAGGGGGGUGGAUUGUAACAUCCCACAUCGACCAACGAAGAGGGGGUGAUGUGCCUUAUAUGUACAUGCCCACCUUCAUUUAGCACGAGGUCUUUUGGGAGCUCACUGGUUCCGGGUUCCAUCGGAACUCCGAAGUUAAGCGAGUUCGAGCGAGAGCAUUCCCAUGAUGGGUGACCCACUGGGAAGUUCUUGUGUGAGUUCCCAGAAACAAAACUGUGAGAGCAUGGCCGGGGCCCAAAGCGGACAAUAUCGUGUUAUGGCGGAGCCGAGAUUGGGAUGUGACAUCGUCACCUAAGACAAAGUACAAGUCCACAUUUAGAGUUCUUCGAGUAUUCACAUAAUCAAAAAUUUACAUACGCACCCUACAACUAAUGAAGAGAAAUCGAGACACGUUGACAAAAAGUCAACCGUCGAUCAACGGUAGGGUCCACAACCCUACGUAACUUAAUCCGUAAGAUCCAGCCACUGUAUUUGUGAUUCAUAAGUUCCUAAGGUCCUCAAAUCUUACGUACAAUAACAUACUAAACUUUAGUGACGAUCUAAUGGUCGAAUCAUCAUUUACUAUAAUGUUCAAAUGACGCAAAUUCGUCAAUCGGAUGUCAAAUAUGGAAUCGGUCAUCGAAUUUAGCCUAGGAAGAUCAAGUGGUGUCUCAAGCCACGCACCACCAUGCGCAGCAGUUGGCAACCCAGAUUCGUCGAAAAAAUCACCUGAUUCCAAAAUGAAUGUCGUGAGACGUGGAGUAAAUUGUAUACCUGUGAGAAGCCCAAUUUGGCCAGGAAGUGGCCUGAAAUCACUUUAGACCGUCGGAAACCCUAAAAUAGGUGAAUCUCGAUUAGUCAUCUCUGGUAUUCCACCGUCCUCAAACUUGUUUAGGGUUCUCAAAAAAAUGCUAAUGAUGAUGGUGAUUGAAGGAGAACGUUUCAGAAAUAGUGAAUCGCCGGCGAGGGUUUCACGGAAUCGACAUGGGUGUUCCUCGUGGAACCAAGACCAAAUCUCAACGGUUUUGGCUAGAAAUGGAUGCUGGGAUGUCGUGGUGAGGUUUGGUAUUGAUGGGAGGUCGAAGAAAGUCAAAAAAAUCGACGAAAAAACUGUCGUCGGAGUCACAGGAAACGUGUUAGAAAAAUGAGUCGCCGAGUUUGAAACGGGUCGAAGGCUUUUGGGACAGCUACUUAAUCUCUCUUCUCUGAUUAGUCACUCCACUCACUCUCUCAUUUGAUUGGUCCAGCCUUCCCACAUGGUGGGAGUUCCCUCAUAUAGUAACCCAAAAUUUACUAUUUAAAUUUGGUAUCAAACGUCCGUAACUUUUUUGUUAUAGUUCCGAUUCACAAACGGCUUUCGCCUACGCGCUCGUAUGAUCGAAUUAUACUUGAAAACAUUAAUUGUGACCUUAAAAAGGUCUACAAGUUUUAAAAGAUUAAUUACAAAAAUUCACACCUUGUAACUAUACGAUUCAAAUUCUAAAAUUAACGGAAUUAAAAUAAACUAAAAAUAAUGUAAACACGAAAUACAGACUUUAAUAAUGAAAUACGUAAUUAAUAGUGGAAUUCUGGGGAUGGGAUUUCACACCUUGCGUCCGGACCUUGAGUGCGGAUCAGAAUCCAAAGGUCGUGAUCUGACGAGCUCAUGUAUAGAACAGAGUUGUUGUGACCCAAUGCAAUUCAAAACUUUUAUGUUUUUUUAUUUACUGGGUACGUUUUUGUAGGAGGAAAAGGGGAAGUCGAGGGAUUCUUUGCGCAAUAAAGAGGGAAAGAGAGAAAAGGGGAGCUAAGAGGUUCUUCGCGCGUUAAAUUUUUGCUUCUGAUUUUGCAACCUAGAAAUAAAGUAUUUUCUUUAUGGUUUAUGGUUCAAGAAUAUAAUGGAUGCAACCUAAAAAUGUUUAUUUUUUUAUUUUUUACUUUUUUUCUUCUUAUGUUGGCUUUUGGUUUAUUCUUAUAAUGCACUAUAUAUUAACUAAAUUUAUAAACAUUUUGUAUCUUUGUUGCAGUCAAAUUAAUCAUAUGGGUUGGCAUGACGAAGUUCGACUGAGACAUACAGAUGUUUUGCAAUCUUAAGUCUAACCUGACACACCCCGACCUCAAUAUCCAGUGGACACCAAAAUUGAGGUGUGAUGGCCAUCAUCCGGAUGGGUGACGAAACCAUUAUAUGCAUGAAAACAUAAUUACCCAAACACGUCUUAUUAAAAUAUUGAGUAAAUACCAUACAAGAUAGAAUACGUCAGAGCUGUUGCAAAAUACCUCAACGUCCGAUGUAAUCACUGAUAGAAUUACUGAAUCAUGUAUAAAUGGAAAGCUGAUAAAUACAUGUAAUUUGAGUGGAUACUUACCAGCAGCAUGGAUACAAUAUCAUCCACCAGUCGUAACUAGUGAAAGUUGGAUAAUAUAAUCAUGUCAUUGCCGAGUAAUCUCAAGGCAAUGACAAGAUGAGAAUGUAACUGAGUAAUCAUAUCAUUACUAAAUAAUCUCAAAGUAAUGACAAGCUAAGAGUAUAACCGUAUAAUCAUGUCAUUACCUCGUAAUCUCAAAAUAAUGAUAAGCUGAGAGUAUAACUGUAGUACCUCUUAUUAGUGCAAUGCAUGAUAUGAAUUCCAUCUCACAUAUAUAUGCAAGCCAUAAUCAAACCAAUAAACAUCCAACAAAAGCCACAAUCCUUUUAACAUUCGACCACAAGAUCAAUUUUCAUAUUUCCCAAACCUAGGUUCCAAAGCAUUGUUUCGAAUUAUUAAUACAAGAAACCACCACCACCUCAAUCAACUCCUAUUCACAAGUGUAAGCAAUUACUAAAUGCAUCACUUUCGACUCUAGUCUUAAUUAGAUUACUUGGGAUACUCACACCAUCAGAUCCAAGUACUAUUUUGAUAAACUUUAAAUAGCAUGGUUAAAAUAAAUGAAACACUUUUAGAAAAUAAGUGAAGAUGUUGUUUACAAAUAUAGAUGCAUCUGUAUAUAAAAGCUUUGGCGGUUGAUCCGUAUACACACUUCCAGAGAUAUAAGCAAGUUCAUUGGAAUAUACAUACAUAGUUAAUGUAUUACAAUAUAAUUAAUAAGAAAACAAUUGCAUCCCUUUCAGAUUAUAUAUAUAUAUAUAUAUAUAUAUAUAUAUAUAGACACACACAUACAUACACACAGGCCCUUUAUGCAAAGGAAUUUCCAUUUUUUUUCAAAAAUGGGGAUUAGUUGUGGGGCCCACGCUGCAUUGAACUUUAACGAUCCGAACAGUCUAUUUUGUAAGUCUCGAUUCAUAGAUCAUCCUUGUAAAAAUUCAAUUCAAUCCGAACCCAUUUGCCUAUUUAAUUAUCAAGAUAAAAUUUUAUUGUUUCUUAUAUAACAAAGUAUUCGUUAAUUUCUUUGAACUCAAUUAGAUAUCUUAAACAUUUCCGAUUUGGUUAAUAUUGUGUAAGGAUGAUCUAUGUGGUGCAACUUGAAAAAUAGACGAUUACGAUCGUUAAAGUUCGAUGUGGUGAGAACCCUACAAUUAAUCUUCAUUUUUAUAAAAGAAUGGGAACCCCUUCCCUUAAAGGUUUCCUAUGUAUAUAUUUGUUCUCCAGACAUAUGCAAAAGGUAAUGUAAAACCAAUGAGAACUUAAAUAGAUAUUCCAUACAUAGGACAAUUCCAUAUAUGCUUUUUCAACAUUUAUAUCGAAAAGCCAAAUUGUUUUGAGGAAAUUAAUUGUAGCAAUGAUCCCUUAACUUUUAUCUUAUUGGAGCAAUGGUCUCUCAACUAAAAAUUCAUAACCAUUGGUUCCUUAACUCCACACAACGUGUAGUUAUGGUCAUUUUCAUUAACUCCGUCAGAACUUUUGUUAAAACAAGUAAUGUUAGAAGAAUCAUUGCUACAAUUAAGUUAAAGUUGGGGACCAUUGCUCUAAUUAAAUUAAAAUUGAGGGAUCAUUUCUCCAAAUUGCUUAAAGUUCAAGGACCAUUUCUACAAUUUUCUCAUCUAGUUUCCCAUAUUUACCCCAUGAUUCAGCUUCACAUGCAUUGCACAUGACUCAUUUUGAAAUUUUUUUUAACGAAAUUGAUGAAAAUGACCAUAAAUGCACGUUUUGAAGAGUUAAGAGACCAAUGGUCGUGGAUUUUAGUUGAGGGAUCAUUGCUCCAAUUUAGUUAAAGUUAAGGGACCCUUGCUACAAUUUUCUCAAAUGUUUUGUAUGCGAAAAUAGGCAUUUGUAAAGUUUGGCUUGUUCAUGGCAUUAUUACUUUAGUCUAAAGUAAGGCUGGAAAUGGCACUGUAGAAAUGAAUAGUGUUCCAAUCCGAAUUUCAGUUUAAUUACAACAAUGCCAUUGCUCUUUGUGUUGCCUUUAGGUGAGCAGCCCGGCUUGCAGCCAGGCCCAAAUGUAUUGGUUUUAGCUGAGAAGCCCGGCCCUUAGUCAAGCCCAAAAUUUUAAAUUACAGUUUUGCCCAUACAAAAUAACAAUCCGAUUGUAUCGAGAAGGACAAUUUUGUCCUUUCAGUUUUGGGUGAGAUAGGGGGUAACAGGGUAAGUUUCAUUUGCUGUCGUUGAAUGAGGGUUUCGAGGAUGAGGGCUCUGUGUGUGUGGGUGUGUGAGAGAGAGAGAGAGAUAGAGAGAGAUAGAGAGGGAUAUGGCGAUGGAAGGAGAGCGAGGGGGAAGGGAAGGGUUCUCGGCACUGUUGCUGCAUGUGAAUUUCACAAGUGGGAGAGUGGGUAUGGUCAGAGAAGACCAUAUAGGUCGUUGGGAUUUCAGGGAAACGGGGUAGGGGUCAUGAAUGAACCCUGCUGAGAGUGGGUACUGGAUCUUGCGCUGCAUGCCUCAAAUCAAAGAUAAGUUCGUUUUUUUUAUUGUAUUUUUUAUGGUAGCUUAGCUUUUGGAAUUGUUUAGUAUGUUAGGUCCGAUUUUGGGGGAUUUAUCUUUUUAGAGAGAGAGAUGGACAGGGAGAUAGAGAUAGAGAGAGAGAGAGAGAGAGAGAGAGAGAGAGAGAUGAGGAAGCAUGACUGUGUGCAAUUUUUUAUGUUAAUUAAUGGGUUGGUGCGCAGGGUGAGUGACAGAGUGACAGAGUGAAGGAGGGACGUGUGGGAGGGUAUGAGUUUUCAGUUCUUUCUUUUGAUUCAACAGGUUAUACACUGUUUGAAAAACCUUUUUUUUAUUAUUUUGUUCUCGUUUGCUUUGUUAAAACCAUCAUUUGAAUUUUUGGGUUUCAUUGUGCUUAUUUCUCUGCUUCUUCAUAAUUUGCUGGUGUUUGCUUCUCAUCCCUCUGUUGGUAGAUCUUUUUCUCAUUUCUUGGUUCCUUAUGUAUUCUUUGGUACAAAUCUGUUUACUUUUUGGCUGUGUGAUAAUCUUAGCAGGUGAACUAUAUGAACGUUUUUUUGAAACGAGUUAAGAAGAUCCAGCUGAAAAGAGCAUACAAGAUAGAGAACUGGUAUGCUGCUCGCCAGGGAAAGGCUGCUGGAAAGGUUGAGACGGAUGCCUCUUUCAGAAACCAGGUCAGUUUCCUGCUGCUCGGCGUCUUAAUGUAUCCAAAUUGUUUAUCUUUUGAUGAAAUUAGCUGGCUAUAUUUUCUAUUUUAUUUAUCUGCAUAUUAUUUUGGUUUGUUGAAAUUUUGACUAUAGUCAUUGUCACAUGGGCGCCUAGCCCAACCCAAAUUAGUUGAGGAUAUUUAAAUCUUCACCAUGGUAUUAUAGUACUCACUCACAGUUGUGAAUACUAAGGUGCAUGCAUGGCAUGAAGAAGUGGACCGUGCACGCCAAGGUCAGAGGGAUGCAGAAGGCAAGCUUUUUUCUUUGGAGGUAAGUAUCCUUUGUUUAUUGCCCAACAGUGUUGUUAUUAUCAAUUUGUAGCUUUGCGUUCUGAAUUUUUUGCUUUGUCAAACAACCUUCUUGAAAUGCUCGAUUUCAAGCCGAAGUCCAAAAAAUGAAAGUUGAGAUGGCUUCCAUGAAGAGGGAUGUAGAGCAUUACUCGCGCUAGGUGAAAUCUGCUUCCUCUCUUUUCGUAUAUCUUCAUAUGAAGAGUUUUACUAAGUUAUAUUGAGAACUAUGUUAUUUAUAGGUUAUAUUUUCCAUUUUGCAGGAACACAUGGAGCUAAGGAAGAGCUAUCGUGAACUCACUGAUCUACUGGUAAUGUCACUCAAACUGCUUUAUUUGUGCAUGCUGCUACUAUGCGCUUGAAUGCAUUUUAUUACUGGCGGGAUGCGAAGAAAGCUAGAUAUAUGUGCUGGAUCGCUUGAUUAAUGUUAGGGUUUUAACAACUAAUUGUUAGCAGCUAGAAGCCCUGGUUAGAUUAAUGCUAAUUUGAUUUUCCUUACAGUACUUGAGUGCCAGUUUCAUAUUGUUUGUUCCCUGUUGGAUACCUGCUGUACAGUUUCAUUUCUGUUUCUUCAUAACUUUCUUGGCCCUGGGAUAUAUGCAUAUUGAGUACAAUGAAUAUCCAUUGUUCUCUAACUGUUGGGCUUUACUAUCUUUGUAGCAGCCUGCCUAACAUUUUUUAGGCUCUACACUCUACCAUCCAAUUUAUGAAAAAUUCAAAGAUUGGACGAUAUUGAUUGCAGAAAUGAAAAAAAUACUAUGAUAUUAGAAAGGUGAAUGUAAUUGUGUUAGAAUAAGCGUCUAGCAUGAUGGGUAAUAUUUUAAGUUUGUAUUUCUAAAAUUUUUUCGUUCUGGAGUAUGAUUUACCUCAAUUGUUUUGUACUUUAAUCUUUACUAAUUUUCAUUGUGGAGUAUGAUUUGCCUCAACUAACAACUUUUCAUUGUUUAACUUUUUCCUCCCUUAGAUAGUUGCAUAUGUUUGAUUUGUUAAUCUGCUUCUUACACAUGUUGUUUCCUAAUGGUGUAGGUGGGUUGUCGGAUGCAUGUGCAGAUUACUUGAAUAGACGAAGCUAAGAAUGACUUAGUAUUAAGUGAGACAGAAGCUUGGGUCAGUUGGAUUUUGACAUUUGAUUUAUUCAUGUUUUUUGUUGCUUGCAAUGUUCUCGCAUUGUUUGUUCUGAGAUUCUGUGAUCUUAUUUUUCAUAGGAACUGACAUUGGUUUGCCAUAUAAUGUUUCAGGAACUAAUACAACAACUAAUCACCUUGCUUAGCUCUCAAGACACAUACUUAACAGGUUAACAAACACUAACCUAUAAACUGAUCUGCUAAGCUGGACCAUUAACCUCUGUUUAUAUCCCUGCCACUCAUCUUUUGGCACUUAUCAAUAGCAAAAUCUAGAGUUGUUGAAACCCCAAUUUUAAUGAAUAUUAUUUUUAGUUGAUAAUUAAAAUUAAUUGAUGAUUAAUCUAUUCCAUUGUGCAUUAUUUUAUCGCCAAAUACUUUGAAUAUUCAUUAGCAAAAGAUAUAGGGUUCACUAUUUAAUGAAUAGAAUUUUGAUGGUGGAUUGCAUUUCCUGAGUUAUAAAUGUGGUGAAUCCAUUAUUUACUAGCUGAAUAAUCAUAAUGUUUUGGCCACUUACCUUGAAUUUUGUUCAAAUUGAAGAAGUCACAUGUUUCUUUCUGUUGUUGAGGUAAUCUCUCUGUUGAAAGCUUCUAUUUCUUUUUUUUUUUUCUUUUUUUCAUUUGGGUAGAUUUUUUUUUUUAUGGAUUUAUGUAUUUUUUUUCCAGAGAAUUCGAAAUGAAAUAAGAAUAGCGGAUUGAGCAUAAACAAAUUGAUGAAAUUUUUAUUUGAGUGUUUGUGUUAGUCCUUUUUUGAUUUGUUGAGGUUUGGAAUUAUUUGAGUUUUUUUGCUGUUAGUACUAUGAAGGAUGCUUGGCAAUCGCGAAAUGGGGGCUACCUCUUUGGAAAGAGAAGUCUCGCUAUCCAACCUCUCAUGAAUUACAAACAGGGUGAUUUCUUGCUGAAAAACCACUGAACCAGUAGAACUUUCCUCGGUUCUUCAAUUCGAUUCGAAUAAUUUUUUUACCCAGAAAAGCCAGCGUUUCCUGGUGGGUUUUACAGCUUUCUCAAUGUUUUUGUGAUUUUGGAUUUGCAAAUUUGUUUUCUGUUCAAAUUUCCUUUUGUGAUUUUGGAGGUUUUGUUUAUCGAUUCUCUCACUCAUCUCUCAGCUCUCUCUCACUUUUGAGGUACAUGCCGUUGGAUUCCGUUUGCUGCUGCUGAUCUGUAGGUAAAGCUUCAAUUACCAUAUAAAGUUUACAUUUUUCAUGAUUUCUUGAAUUUGGGUUUUAAACAAAGGAAAUAUUGCUAGAUUCUUAUCUUAUGUGCAAAUUACUGGCUAUUUGGAUUGGUGCCUGAGAUUUAGAGAAUGCCUCGCAGCUUUAAUUUCUUUUUCCUUCAUUAUUACUGUUUUCAAAAUUUUUAUUGCUGGGUAUUGAUAAUUUGUAGUAUGUGAGGGCUUCAAUAUGUUGGAAUUUUGAAUGGUUAUUGCUUCAUCGGAAUUUGGGUGGUCCAAAUUUUGAAUUAGAAGAAACCCAUUUGAUUAAUAUUUUUGGUGGAUUGGUUCUCUGUGUUUUCCUUGCUAUUUCUCCCCCAGUUGGAAAUUGGAAGCCCCAACUUUGAGCUCAGAGCUUGAAUUUCUCAAUCGUUCGUUUCUCUGCACUCUCAUCAAUCACUCUUGAUCCUCUAUCUAAAGAACUGGGUAAUUUUCCAGCUCUAUCAAGUAAUACUCCAUUUAAUUGCUUAAUUGAGGUUUUUUGUUUCUCUUUUUCGCUCUUUCAUCAGUUCAUUGACUUUGAUGUUGAGCUUAAGUAAAUGGGAGAUCAUUAAUUGGCAUUGUUCAAGAUAUAAUUCUGUGUUUUUGGAUUUGUGAAACGAUUUGCCUAAUGAUGAUAGUGGUUAAAAUAAAUUUUUCGUUAUGAAGAGAACAUUGUUCUUCAUUUGCCUACGGUUUUAACUACAAAGUUAAACUACUAUGCUUUUGUUCAAUUGACUGCAACUCAUGCCGCAGUUUGCUUCACAAACCUCUACGGUUAGCUUCCAUACAGUAUGUUGCAAGUUUGAGGAUAUCUUUACAUCUUAAUUUUUGCUCUCUCUGGUUGCUUCAAGUUUGUAAUUUUACGUGUUACAUUGCUACUUGAUUUGAUUAUAAAAAUGCAAAACAAAAUCCGUUUUGCUUUUAUUCAACUUAAAUGUAUCCUUUUGUUUGUUCAUAAUUGUGUUGAAUUUAUUCAACUUAAAUGUGUUUUAUUCAUCUAUUUACGCUUAAAACAACUGGUUCCCCUAGCAAUGCGCGGGCCUAAUUUCUAGUACAUAUACUAAAAGCCAGCAGAAAAUUACUGUUCAUCAUGGGAGAUAGAGCACUGUUCAUUAACAGUGAAAGGGCGAAAAUGCCCUCGGUUUCUUCUUUACUUCACGUACUGUUUACGAAUUGCUACAGUAUAAAGUCCGUUUUGUCCUUCCUGUCCACACAUCUUUCAUCGUCCGUUUCUCUUGCUUCGACCGUAUCUUUUUUGCUUUACCUUUCCUCUUCAUUUUUCGCAUUCGUUAGGCUGCGAUUUUCGGAGGUGGAUUGUUUGCCCUCCCAUUUCCAUGCUCUCCCCAUGCCUAUGUGGUCACAGUUAAACCACGUCAAUAUUUUAUAUUAAUUUUUUAUAAAAAUAAUAAAACAAAAAGUAAUAAGAAUAUAAAAUAUUGACGUGGCUUAACGUGGUCCGUGAUCACAGUAGGCAUGGAAAUGGUCCGCGACUUUCUCCCUUUUCGCCAGCCCCUCUUUUGCUCUCAAAUCCUUGCUCUUUCUUUUGCAAAAUAGUCUCAGAAGAGAUCCUGGGUUUAUCGAAUCCUUUGUUGUUCGGCGUUUUGUUCUCAUCUUGUGAUCGUCGGGUCAGCAGCUUUAAGGUAAGUUUGUUUUUAAUGAUUUAUCCUCAUUUUACGAUGUCUGGGCUAACAAAUUUAAGAUCUUUAUUUUUCUUUUUGCUGCGGAUCUGCAGGUUUUGACAAGUUUUUUGUGAAAUUGGUGCUGUCAGUGGGUGUUAACAUCAGGUACCCAUGUUCAGUUUUUCGUUUUGAUUUGAAGGAAUUUCUUGCGCAGAAGUGCUAGGGUUUCUUGGUGAGUUCUUCGGGUUGUGCAUAUGGGUAAUUUUCUUUUCGGUUUAACCCGCUGCUUCUGCUGCUCUCUCUCUUUCUCUCAUCCCUGCCUGCUCCUCUCCAAUUGUUUGCUGUUCUUAAAUAUUGUGUUCAUUGCCUGAUACAAGGAGCUGCAGCAAUCUGUUUUAUCCUACACGGGACAACGAGGCAAUGGCGUGACAACAGGUGAGCUUGGAUAUCCAAAGAAAGAGAACAGUUGGUUCAUCUGCUGGAGUCUGAAGCUCAGAGAAGUGGAGGAAAAUUGCAGGUGUGCGAGAAAUUUUAUUUUGCUGAUAGGACUCCUUAUUUACGGAUGCAUUUUGAAAUAAUUGAAAAGUUGGAUUUGAGUUAACAGCUAUAAAAAUGUAGACAUGAUUGCUGAGAUUAUGCUAUGAAAGUGGAAUAAAAAAAUGGUAGUUUAUAAUAUUGCGUACCAAUUUUUUUCUCUCUUUUUUACCAAAUGAUAAGGGUGGUGGCUCAGGCCGCCCCCCCUACGCGUCCCCACUCUUCGACAAGUUGAAAUCAUGGUGAUAGUUUAUGGGCUGUGGUCUUGGGAUUCUGCAAAUAGAUUAAAAAACAGACACUUAACUAUCUUGUUAUUAAACAUUUCUGCAUCAUUCAGUUGCUCUUGAUUUUCGUCUUUUAAGCGAUCUUAUUUCUGCGAUCUGACUUGAGGAGGGUUUUUAGACCUAUGGUUGUGGGUGUUUUGUCUGACCCCAUUAAAUUGGUUUCCGAGAUUUGUAGACUUGCGAUCGGCAGUCAAACAUUUUGUGAUUCUUGCUUUUUUUCCGACUGGGAUUGACGAAUUUUGGCCGAAUCUGUUUCCUGUUUUCUUCUCUGUUUGAGCGGCCGCUGCCUUUCGGUCGUUGAGCGCCGGCAGUCUUUAGAUCUUUGGCAAAUCAAUUUAAUACAACCGAGGUAUGUUUUAUAACUGCUGUCUUUCAAUUUUUGUUCUGUAUUUUUGUUAAUUUGGAUGAAGCUCUAAUAAUUUUGUUUUGGAUCAGUUGUGGUCCUCUGUUAGGAUUUUCCUGGCUAAGAGGGUAUUUGCGUUUUUGUUGCUUGGUUGGUCGAUCACAGAUUUACGAACAGCUGUGGUGGUCCUGUUAUUUUUUUGGUAUGUUUUUUCUCCUUUUUGGUUUUUUCCCGGUUUGAGCACCCAUUCAUGAAGAAUUAAAAUGUGUUUAUAGUUUUUCAGGAGAGAUUAGAAAAGUGAUUUCAAUUUGGGAAAAUUUAAUGUUGGUUAAAAUUUGUCUAUAAUUUUUGGGAAGGAAUGAGAGGACCCAUUGAAGUAUGUGUUGUGAUUAUUUUUUAUUCAUAUUUUUAACAAAUUGGGCAUGAAUUGGUAGGUUAACUGUGUGUGUUUAUUAUUUGAAUCGGCCAUGUUUGUCUUUCUAUGGUUCUAAAAAAUUUGUAAAGGCUGUUAACUUGGAAGAAAAUGGGAUCGAGGGUGAGGGGAAAACGGCAGAGAAAGCAUGGAAGAGAGAUUUGGGAUUAGGGGUAGGAAAACAGAUGAAAAGAAUAUGAUAGAGGAAUGAGUUCAGUUCAUUUUCACUAUUUUUUUUAACUGAUUUGGAUUUUGUUUGGGUUUGAGGCCAUCAUUGGCGUUAAGACGUUUAUUAUCAGAUCGUGUGUGUUUUUUGCUAACUUUUAUUGGUCAUUUUUAUGUUGUUCUUAUGAUUUUGUGUGGUAGGGUUUCUGAAUUUUAUCGUUAUUCAUUUGGUUUUUUGUGUGUGUUGGUUUGUUUAUUUUGCAGGUUGUGUUUGUGCUGGGACAACAUUUUCCACCUUCUGUUUGCACUGGGAUGAUUGCGUUUUAAAACUGUUGGGGUGAGAUUUACAUAUGGAAUCAUUCCAUUUUUUUUCUUCCAAAUAUGUGCAUUUAGUUCUUUUUAUUUUAAAUUUUAAAAAUUAAAUCGUUAUUUGAGUAAAAUGUUUUAUUAAUUUAUGUUAUGUGUUGUGAUCAGGAAUUCUGUUGGAUUUGCAAAUUUUGGUUUGAUGAGAGAGAUGAGGAGUUUUUUUUGUUUGAAUUUUUUAUUGGACCGAUUUUCAAUUGGAUUGCAUUCUGCCUUUUUGCACCAUUCUUAUGCAAGCAAUUCAUUGUUUUAAAUACAAUUUGAAGAGAGCUGGGUUGCGGGUUGGAUAUAAAAUGUUAAGGUGAGAUAAAAUCGAGAUACCAAGGGUGGAAGAAUGAUUCAGAAUUGGGGGAGGAAAACAGAGGGAAGAUGGAAGAGUAUAAGAGAAGGAUAGGGUUGACCUCAUUUAGAGUUUUUAUUUACUUUUUUUUUUAUUAUUUAUAAAUUGAUUCAGGACUAGCAUAUCAUUUCUAAAUUUCUAACAUUUUUGUUUAAUUUGACUCCAGUUGAUGGAAAACAGAGCUCUUACUCCUAUCAAUCAGUUGGUCCCGUACAUAAAUGCAGAAAAAUCAAGGUUCGAGUUUGCAGAGUAUGCAGACCAAGGUUUCCUGAAACUACUGGUGCUGUCACGCCCCAAUCCCGACCUAUGUCCAGGAUCGACACGUGACGUUAACAAAUACCCAUAUCUCUAACAUACCCCGCCUCCGGAAUAUGGGCAAAGCACAACUGCGUAAUAAUUUUUCGUAUACUUUAUGGCUGCAUCUAACAUCCUCGUUAGAUUAUCAUACCUUAUGGCUACAUCUAACAUCCUUGUUAGACUGCCUACGUACUCUCAAAAGGGAUCAAACCAUUCGUAGUUCACCACACUCCAAUCCACAAAAAUUUGCACAUGCACUGAUUAUAAAAUGGAACUGCACCUAUAGAAACCUAAUCAUAACCCGUGGGCGAUUUGCUCCCACAUAAGAAAGACGUCCACAGUACCAUGAAAUACUUCCACAUCUUUCCUUCCCAUUUACACAAUAUUUUAUUUCACCUCCCUGAUAAAUAUAGCAUUUACAUUACAUGUGGCAGACAAAUUUGCAUAUUCAACUAUAAUAAAAUACAAUCUUAGUAGGAAAAACCUACAAGACCACCACUCGUUUGAGCCAAACUUUAGCUUAGCACUCAACUGGUGCUCACACCAUGUGAGUGCACGAUCCUUUAAGAUGGAUGCGAUGGUUCUCUUUUGAGAUUAAUUUUGUUACAGGUAUAACAUAGUUGGCAACCGUUUAGAAAUAGAUGCCUCAUGUUCAAAACUCUCAUUACCAAAUGUUCUAACAAGUUAGUAGAGAAGGUAAAAGAACCCAAAUGGCGAGAAAUAGUGUCCUGAUGAAACAAAAGAUGUAACCCUCAUUCAAGCACGAACAUCAUUUCCUUGAGAAUCUGCGAUUUCUUCCCUCAUUUGGUCAAUAUAGCUUGUAUUCCAACUGCAACUUACUAAUAGCAUUUGUUCUCUCCUCGAAUGAAACCAUAACCAGCCAUUUUAAAUAAAGCUGAACAGUUUCACGUUGGGAAAAUAAAGAUUAUAACAUACAGGUUUUGGAUUAGAUUCCCAAACCAACAGAAAAUUAAGAUAGGAAUCUAUUUUGGGUUAACUGAGGUAUGAGUGGUAUACAAAUGAGAAAUUCCCUACAAAAGUCAAUAAAACCAGUUACAUAACAUGUUGAAUAUAAUACAACAUGAAAUAAGAAGCACCACUUGUUUAUCUGACUUUUUAUACAUGUAUUUUCCUAAGGGAUAAAAACGUGCGGGUUUUGGGAUCAAUCUGAAGAGGGCUUCACCACGAAUACAUAGCCUUUGACCGUGCAUGAUUUCGUUGCCGUAUGAGAAAGUUAUCAUUUUUUUUUUUUGUGAAGAAGAAUUAAGGGGGAGAAGAACAGCUGCCCCCUCUGUUUCUGCAUCUGCCCAGCGGGGAAAGAAAAAGAAGAGAAGCCCUUGGCUUCUAGAAUACUCCCUCCCCAAAAUUACAAUUUUGCUCUCUAACUUUGAUUGUUUAUAUCUUAUUCGUUAUAACUCUGUUUCACGAACAGCUUUUGCUUACAUGCUCACAUAGUCGUCAUCUAUUUAAAUAUAUCAAGAAAUACAAUAAAAUACAUCCUCGUAUAAGUAUGUUAACCAAUUAGGGCACUUUCGUCAUUUCCACUUAUCGAUAGAUUUUAACACGUUAAUUAUAAUAAUGUCCGGAAACAGCUUUAAAAUUUCCAAAUUCUAUUUCCAUAACCAUAAAUCGAUUUAUUAAUUUUUCAGGGUAUCACAGGUGCAUAUUCAGGCUUGCAUUGUAUAUUACUUUCCUAUUAAAAAUUUGUUUGGAAUUUGCUUUUCCCACAAAGGAGAAGAGCUGACAGUUACGCUGUGGGCAGAUGUUGCUCGAAGUAUUGCUUCUUUAUCCAUUGAAUCAUUGUCUCUGCCGAUCUUUGCGGUUUUCACAAGUUUAAAGGUCAAGCUGUACCUAGGUGUUUGACUUAAUUAAAAACUAAUCUAUUUAUUUCGGAGGCGGAGCAAAAUGCUAUCUGUCUUACCCCUCUUGGUGAUCUUAGUCGGAAAGAUCGGCUAGUUUGGGAUGUGAGUAAGAAUGGGCAGUACUCGGUUCGAUCGGGCUAUCAUUGGCUGCAAUCUAGGUCUGUUGGGUUCAGGGAUCAACGCCAGCUUGGUGCUUGCUUAGUUCCGAGGCAUUUGUGGCGCAUGGUUUGGUAGUUGAGUGGGCCUCAUAAGCUCCGUCAUUUCUUUUGGUUAUCUUUGCAUAAUGCAUUACCGUCAUUUCUUUUGGUCCGUGACCAGGCAUGAGGAGAGCAUGGAAAUGAGAGGGCAGACAAUCCACCUCCGCGACUUUCUCCCUUUUCGCCAGCCCCUCUUUUGCUCUCAAAUCCUUGCUCUUUCUUUUGCAAAAUAGUCUCAGAAGAGAUCCUGGGUUUAUCGAAUCCUUUGUUGUUCGGCGUUUUGUUCUCAUCUUGCGAUCGUCGGGGUAGCAGCUUUAAGGUAAGUUUGUUUUUAAUGAUUUAUCCUCAUUUUACUAAACUAUUUAUGGUAACUUAGUAUGGUAACUUAACUAAGUAAGUUUGCUUUUAGCCCAAGGGUUGGAGAUGGUCUUAGUAUGGUAACUUAACUAUUUAAUUCCAUCUCAUUAAACUAAAAAAAACAAUUACAUAAAAAUAAGGGAAACCUUGUCCAGAGAGACCUGAGAAAGUCCACCCCUAAGGACUUUGCGCCAGCACCCAGCGUAUUUAUCUACUCAAGUGAACAGUAAUAGACUGGAGUGAACAGUAAUAGGCCAAGGCAUCUCCACCCCUAAAAAAAUGCGCUGGCACCCAGUGCAUUUAUUUGGUGUGUUUUUUUUUUAAAGUUUAUUUCAGAUAAGAUUUUUAACCAAUUUCGGAUAAAAUUUCAAAUAAACUUAAAAAAAAACACUCUAAAAUAAAAUUACAUACUCAUCAAAUAAACUUAAAAAAACACACUAAAAUAAAAUUACAUAAACUCAUCAAAUAAAUUAAGGAUGAGCUUUUUGGUAUUUUUUUUUCACACAAAAAGUAUAUGAAAGCUUUGGUAGAAGGUCUAGAAAAUAUUGAAAUGUGGUGUAAGGUGGAAGAUGAGGGUUAGGUAUUUAUAGAAAAAAAAUAAUAACUUUUUUAAAAUUUUACUGUAUUUUAAAAAAAAAUCUGUAUUUUUUUAUAUUUUUAAUUAAUUUUAAUGUAGUUAAUUAAUUUGGACCGUUGGAUUUGAAAAAUAUUCAAAUCCAAUAGCCCAGGAUCGGCCACGUGGCCAACGCCAGCAAAUGGCCCAGCUUCUUGGUCAGCCUGUUUUGUGCUGGCCCAGAGACCAGUUUGGGCUGGGUGCCAGUCUGUUUUGUGGGCUGGAGUGAAUGGACAGGGUCCCAGCCUGUUUUUUGUGCUGAGUGCUGGCCUAAUCCACCACCGGUGGACUUGCUCUGAGAGAAAGUGACGACUUCUCCUCUCAUUCCACUCCAUACUUGAUCUCUAAAGUCCAUUUGGCAUGUAAUUGAUGUUCAAUUUCAAAUUUAGUGGUAGCAAUUAGCAAAGCUAAUGAAAGAAUCAAAUAAAAUGAAAGAAAAAGCAUCAUGAAAUAAAUCAAGAUGAAGAAUGAAAUUUUGGCAACUCGCCAUUCUCUUCUUUUAUAUAAAAGAUACAUCCUAUUUGUAGUGAAAACAGGUCCCGACAAACCCAGUUAUCCUCAAGAAGUAUUUUGUAUGACUUUAAAAACAUAAUCCGUGAAAUUAUCUCUUGGCUGAGAACAACAACAAAUCUUCAUGCAUAGCUUGUACAGAAAGACAUCAGGCAUACAAAAGAACACGCAAGCAUAAAAUAAACGACGCAGGGAAAACCAAAAAUACUAUAGAACACGUCGCUGUCAAAAGAACAUGAAUAAAUGAAAAUUACAAAACAAAGAAGUGAUGAGAAACCAAAGUACCCAUUUCAUAAUCUAGUUGCUUUUUAGUUUGCUUGCCAUUUUUAGUUCUUCAAUUUAGAGAGAAACGAUAAUUCAGCACAUGAAUAAAGUGAAAACGUAAAAGAUAUGUGGGAUAAGCUGACAGCCAUCCCUGAGUAAUGCAUUCACUUAUGAACCCCAAACACAACGAAACAAAAAUUCACACAUGAACUACAGCUCCGCUAUGUAACAAGAAUUAAAAGCAUCUCAAGACAAAAUGGCAAACUAUAAGAGCACUGUAAAAGUAAAAUUGCAAGAAAUCUAAUACUUGGAGGGCAAGUACUACUCAGACGAAAAUGAAAGAUUGAACUACCUCGCGUGGAACUGUGCCUUGGUUUUUUCCCAUGCUUACAGGAAGCUUUGCACUGAGCUCUUAUAGCCCAAAUUUUCUCUGAAAGAAAAAAACACAAUUUUGAAAUAAGAUUUUCAUAUUAUACCUUAAAGAGAAGAAUUAGAAAACAAAAAAGAGAACAAUGAGUACUAUUCAUCAUAUAUUGUUAGAGUGUGUGGUCCUUUGGUCCAAUGGUCCUGCAGCCAUAUUUACUUUAUAACUCUUUCUUUUAGUCUAAAAAACAUCUUGGAUCUCAAAUUAAUAUGAAUACGGAUUCAUACGCAUGCAUUGCAUUACAACCACAAUGCAAUAUCUCAUUAGAAAUCCCCACACAAAAUUUUUUUAUUUCUACUUUGAUUUUAGUUUAUAUUUUUUCUAAAGCACGAGGGAGCUAAUUUUUUUUUAAAUUUUUUUUAUUCCAAUAAUGUUAUAGGGUUGAAAGGAUAUUAUCAAUUUAAUUGAUUGUAUUUGAUUGGUGGAACUUCUAUAUCUAUAUUUCAGUUUUUCAAAUUCAGCACUGGGAGAGUCAUUCAUAAAAUGUUUGACAGUGAGAUUACCUCCAUGGAUUAUGCUCACAAUGGACAGCUCAUUUUCCGCAGUGAUGGGACAAUAUAUUUCAGUCAUUCGCCAUUCAAUCAAUUCAAACCGAGGAACAAGCAACAUCAAGAAGAGGAUCUGCCAUGUCAGGAUCACUGUCGUCCAAUUAAUACAAAAAAUCUAGAUAAAAACGAUCAAUUUACAUAAAAGCCUUUCAUUUUCUCAGCAACCAAGCAAAAGAAAAUACCUAUCCGUUAACACUCGAUUUGGGAGUAAAUGUUGCUGAAACUGGACUUCAAUCCCCUCAACCGCAACAACCGAAUCGAGGUGUGCAAGUCAUUGAAAAACUCACCCAAGAUUUCAAAAUCUGCAUAAAUAAAUAAAUAAGCACAUAAAUUAGCCAACCCUGUUAUGAUCCCACAUCGGGUACACAAGAAAUUGUGUAGUGGUACUUAAGUGCAAGGGGUCCUCCCACCUAUUGGACUAGUUUUUUGGAUUGGGCUCUUCCCUUGGGCUUGAGUACCUAACAUUGGUAUCAGAGCCUAGGUUCCCGACGCUGCGGGACUUGGCGAGUGGUGCAGCCUCGUGGUGCCGCCUUGAGAGUAUGGGCUCCUAAGGGUCUUGGCGACGGGCAAGGUAUGAAAUGCCGAUAUUAUCGCGAUAUUUCGCCGAUAAUAUCGGUUUUUUGAGUUACCGAUAUUUUAAUACUUAUCCACUGAGUUUUCGUCAAAAUAUCGCGAUAAUAUCAACAAUAUCGCGAUAUUACCGAUAAUAUCGCGAUAUUUUGGAGAUGUGCGAAUCGGAGAAGAACGCCGGAGCUUUUACAGCUCCGGCCGACUGUAAAAGAGCACCCUAGACUCCGAUCUAGGUAUCAAAAUGAAAUACAAGAUGAGAGGAAUGUUUUUAUAACUUCCGUUUGCCGUGAAACGGUCGAAGGUGUUCGGAAAGUUCGUCGACACCCACGGCCUCGCCAGAGAUGGGUGUGCCUAUUCCCGAGCCGAUUUCGUCCCAAAAACCUUGCAAAAACACGAGAUAGAACUUAAAUUUCACGUCUAAGCUUCAAUCUAGAAUAGAAUGAGGUAAACCCGAAGCUUACCUAACCGGAGAAAUUCAAGAAACUCGUCGGAGGGUUCCUGCGUCGCCGAGUUGCAGAGACGAGAAGGAGAGGGAGAAAGACGAGGUUGCUGAUGACGAUGGGUGUCUUCCUCAAGCAAGUGCGAUGGUGUGCGUGUGUGUAUGUGGGUCUCGGUGCAGAGAGAAAGGAGAGAGAUGAGAGUUUCGAGAGAGAGACGGCACCGACGAGAGCUAUUUGUUUUUUUUUAUCUUAAAAAGAGAGAGGUCUAAGAGAAAUGGGAAGAGAGGGCCGAGUGAAAUGAAAGGAGGUCCUUGAAUUAUUGAGAGAUAUCUCUGAGAGAGGCCUAGGAUUUCUAAAAGGUAAUCAUAAAUGGGAAAAAUGGGGCACAUCUUAGCCUUUAUUUUGGAAUCCUAAGAAGUUCACCACAUGGAUGCAUGACAUGUGUGCAUGCCAUGUUUGUUGAAUGGGAAAAGUCUGACACGGAAAGACAAAGAGUCGUUUGGGGCUCUGGGCUCGAGGCAAGACAGAAAGUGCUAGGGUUUUUUUCUGAAAUGAACAUAAGCUGCUAAAUUCGCAUAUAUUAUAGUUGUUGCUAAAGAUUGUCACUAGUGUGGACUUGGACGUGUUGGUCAACAUGUCCUCACAAUCCCCAAGUUCUCUGGUUCGAACCCUUGCGCCCAUCAAAUUUUCUUUCUUUUUGAUGCGCUUUUCCCAUGGCUCUAGGUCUUGAUUUCGAAUCCAAGUGAGCCCUUUCCUUUUUCUUUUUUGUUCUUUUUGUUUUAUUAUUUGUUUAUUUUAAUUUAUUUGUUUCUUUUAUGUUUUUCUUUUCUUUUAGUUUCUUUGUCUUAGGCGUUCGUUUUUAUUAAAGUAGGAUGUAAAAUCAAUUAUCUUAAAAUUAUGUGUUUUUAAAUUUUGGACUUGUUUGUUGGAUACUUUUUUUUCAUUUUAUCAUUCUUUUAUUAUGAAAAUAUGCUAAAAUAUGCUAAAAUAUCACUUAUGUUUUUGUGAAAAUAUGCUAAAAUAUUUAUAUAUAUGAUUUUGUUUUGAAUUCUUUUUGUACUAAUUCAUUAUAUAUAAAUGAUUAUGGUGUGUUUAAACUUCUUUAAUUAAUUACUACAUAUUUUCUAUACUCACAAUGUUUGCCAGCUCGCUAUAUAAUCAACUUAAAUCAGUUAAAUCCAUCAUGCAAUGCAUUUCCUUCCAAUUUUUUGUGAUAAACUUGUGAACACGGAAAAUUCCUGAAACGAAAGAGACAAGAACGAACGUGCACAAACAAAUAUUAUGUAUUUGAUGAUUUUGGGUUACAAUCUCUCUCUAUUUGAUCCUCUGAUUCAAUCUCCGUAAGGUGUGUAUUUGUGGAUGUGUGAUUGAUCCAAAGGGCCGUUGGGCUUGAUCUAAUGAUGAACGUUCUUCAAGGGCCGUGGACUUGAUCUUGAAGGUGGAUUUGAGCGGAUCUUCAAAGGGGCUUUUGGGCUUGAUCUUGAAGAACGGUUGGAUGUGUGGAUUUGUCGAAGUUGUUGAUCCAAAGGGCCGUUGGGGCUUGAUCUUGGAUGAACGGAUGAUGAACGAUGGUGCUUUCUUCAAGGGUCGUCGGGGCUUGAUCUUGAAUUGGUGGAUGGUUGAUCCAAGGGCCGUCGGGGCUUGAUCUUGGAAGAACGAUGAACGAAGAACGAAGAACACUUUCUUCAAGGGCCGUCGGGGCUUGAUCUUGAAUUGGUGGAUGAUUGUUGAUCCAAAGGGCCGUUGGGGCUUGAUCUUGGAAGAACGAUGAACGAAGAACAAAGAACGCUUUCUUCAAGGGCCGUCGGGGCUUGAUCUUGAAGGUGGAUGAUUGUUGAUCCAAAGGCUGUCGAGGCUUGAUCUUGGAAGAACGAUGAACGAAGAACACUUUCUUGAUUCUUCGGGAACCUGGACGCUUGAGAGCUUCGGAGUUUCAGAGCUUCAGAGCUUCAAGGUGUAAUAUGAAUUGGUCCCCCCUAAAUGAAUGAAAUGGGCUUGUAUUUAUAGAAUUUUCCAAGGCCUAAUUUUGAAUAUAAUAUCUCAGAUGAAAUAAGUCGUUUCUGCCAGGUGUUAACACGUGUCCUAUUUGAUGACUUUUCCAACUCAUUUCAAUUUUCGUUUAGUCACACGCUACGUGUAAAAUUUAUGUAAUACAUGAGCGUUGACACUUUGAUUUAUCGGUCAACAUUUAUUUACCGAAAUUUCGAUGUCUACAAAUGCCCCCACUUCAAGGCACGUCGUAUACCUGUGCUUGUCACGUGUAGGAGAUGCGUUUUGAAGUCCCUUACCGUAGAUGCCGAUUCAAGGGCCGUUGAAGCUUGAUCUUGAAUUGGGCUUGAGAUUUCUUCAAGGGCCGUUGAGGCUUGAUCUUGAAUUUUUGUUUGAAAUUUCUUCAGGGGCCGUCGAGGCUUGAUCUUGAAGGUUGAAAUUGGGCCACAAGGAGCUUCAUGUGGUAGAUGAUCUUUGGCUUUGGUAGUGGAUGAAUCGGCACGUAUUUUAUUGCGCUUGUUGACUUUCCACAGCUUUGAUCUUGAACUGGGUUGGAGGAUUUUCUGGAUUCCUCCAAUUGUUGAUUUUCCACAGCUUAUUCUUGAACUAGGUUUUGAUUCAAGGGUGGUAGACACUUGAUCUUGAAUCGGACUUGUGAUUUCCUCGAUGGCCGUCGAGGCUUGAUCUUGAAUUUGGUUGGAAACUUCUUCAAGGGCCGUCGAGGCUUGAUUCUUGAAGGUUGACUCGAACAUAUGGCAAGCAGGCACGAGGUGAAGGUGACGACUUGUUGCUUUGUUCAAUCUUUCUAAUUCACACCUGAGCAGUUUGGUCAACGGUAUGAUCCUCAAGAUUGAUGGGCUCUUCUUCCAGUUGGUGACUUGAUCUUUAAGGAUUUGAUUCAAGGGUGGUGAAUCGGCACGUGCAGCCCACAACGCCUAGUAAGCCGACCCAAGAAUUUGAGGGUCAAAACGGAUUCACCGUCAGAGUGAUUGCAACUUUGAUGAUAUGAGAUACUCUUGCUUUUGAAGAAGUAGUGGAUGAAUCAGCACGUGCUUUGUUGCGCUUGUCUCCACAUGCUUCAAGGUAUCAUCUUUAUUUCCUUUAUCUAUUCCUCAGGCAGAUGUGGCAUCUUCUCGAGUUCUUCAUCUCAGACUCUUUCUGCUGAGUUGACUGUUCAUGCUGCAUUCUUCUCUGCUUGUUCAUUCUGCACGUUGUCUCCACAUGCUGCAAGGUAUCAUUUUCACUUGCCUUAUCUGUUCUCCGGGCAAAUGUGGCAGCUUCUUUGAAAGUACAGUAGCAGCGGGAGGCGAGUACUCGAGAGCAGUGCUAGGUAGGCAAUCAGGGAAGGGUUCCAAGCAGUCGGUUCCUUACCCGAGUUUGAGUGGAAGUUCCGGCAUAUUGUUUUUUUUAUCCUUGUCUUUGUAGGUAAGAACAAGGACAAAGGAAAGGACAGGGAGAACGCAUGAUAUGAGAUACUCUUGCUUUCUACCCUGGUGAUAUGAGAUACUUUUGCUUUGGAGUCAUUGGCUUGCAGAGGUACCCCAAGGAAUAAGGAACACUGAAUGACUCGAGAGGCUUCGUUGGGAAAACAUCUUUGGAGAUGAAGAAAGACUUUGUGUGUCUGCCUUGCUAUGGAAGGCGAAGGUAGACAAUUAUAGGAAGUUCUUUGAUACCUGUAGAUGUACUAUUCUUUCACUCGUGUCGGCAACCAAUGCGUGAUUGAUCUAUAUGGCUUCACGUGCUUCCUUCUUUAUCAGAAAUCUUCGACAAACUGUCCGUAAUUUCCGCCAAGCUGAGUGUGCAUGUGAUAGGUGUUGACGCGGCUGAAAAAGACUGGCGCUUAUUCGAUAACUGGGAUCUGCGCUUCGACAAAUUACCCGUGAUUUCCGCAAAGCUGAGUUUGCGUGUGAUGGGUGCUGACGUGUCUGGAAAAGACUGGCGUCUCUUCGAUGUCUGGGAUCGGCACUUCGACAAAUUGCCCGUGAUUUUCGCAAAGCUGAGCUUGCGUGUGACGGGUGCUGACGCGUCUGGAAAAGCAAGAUGCUUCUUCGAUUUCUGAGCUUGCCUCUUCGAUUUUUGAAUGGCCUCUUCGAAUUCUGAGCUCGCCUCUUCGAUCUCUGAAAUCCCGUCGAGUGUUGAUUUUUUAUAGAGGCAUGCUGUUCGUUUCAAAGCACACUUGAAUUUUACUUGUGAAAACUCCCUUCUUGCACUUCUAAGAUCUUGAUUCGUCUGACCUCUUCUUCCUUCAACACUUUGAAAAUGUCUGGACCCUCCGACCGUCGUUUUGAUUUGAACUUUGGUGAAGAUGUAGUCCCGUCUUCUCCAGAUAACAUAUGGCGCCCAUCCUUCAUAUCCCCUACUGGUCCUCUUACUGUUGGGGAUUCGGUGGUGAAGAAUGAUAUGACCGCUGCGGUGGUGGCCCGAAACCUUGUCACUCCCAGAGAUAACAGACUACUUUCCAAACGGUCUGAUGAGUUGGCUGUUAAGGAUUCUCUGGCUCUCAGUGUGCAGUGUGCGGGUUCUGUGUCCAACAUGGCCCAACGCCUAUUUGCUCGAACCCGUCAAGUUGAAUCGUUGGCGGCUGAAGUGAUGAGUCUUAAACAGGAGAUUAGAGGGCUCAAGCAUGAGAAUAAACAGUUGCACAAGCUUGCACACAACUAUGCCACAAACAUGAAGAUGAAGAUUGACCAGAUGCAGGAAUCUGAUGGUCAGAUUUUACUUGAUCAUCAGCGGUUUGUGGGUUCGUUCCAACAGCAUUUGCCUUUGUCUUCUGGGGCUGUACCGCGUAGUGAAGCUCCUCAUGAUCAACCUCCAGCCCCUCUUCUUUCUGGAGUUCCACCGAGUGGUGUGACUUCAAACAGUCAACCUCCGACGUCUCUUUUCCCUAGAGCUCCACCGAGCACUGAGACACCACCUGAGCAAUAAAGACUCCCUCCCGUUUGUUUGCACAUUUGUAAAUUUUUUUUUUUUUUUUUUUUUUUUUUUUUUUUGGUAUGUAGAAUGCAAUUUUAUGUAAAAUUUCCAGAAAAAAUAAAUAAAAUGGAUUUUUAUUUCUCUUAAUGCUUUUUUUUUUUUUUUUUUUUUUGCUGUAUAUAUUAUACACACACAUUUAUACAUACAUAUAUACAUACAUAUAUAUAUAUUUUCACGUGGAGUGAUCCACCAUCCCAAAACCCAUUUUCCCUUUGUUUUUUUUUGCAUGGUGCUAGCCACCAAGAAUUCACCUUUUUUUUUUUUUUAAUUAAUUAAUUAAUUUAUUUAUUUAUUAAUUUAUUAUUAUUAUUUCUUUUUCGUCUGCUUUCACAUGGUGCUUGAUCCACCACUCUCUUUUCUUUUUUCACGUGGUGCCAGAUGCACGCCCCUUUUUUUUUCACGUGGUGACAGCACCACUCUGCUUUGCUCUACCACAUUUUUUUUUUUUUUGUAUAAAUUAGGAUGCUUGGCUGAGGGAUUUUGUAGGGAAGGACGAAGACGGACGGAGAGCCGGAGUUUGAGGAAGAGCUUCUCGGCCGGCUAGUCGUUUGACAGCGGUCUUUGAAGUUGGUGGCAGCUGCGAGGCAAGAGACGGAGGAGGACAGGGCAGCUGUGACGGACAGAGACGCCAUGGCAGGACCUCGAGGAGUUUUAAGAUACUGGUGCAGGUACUGGCGAGGUGAUUUUGACGAGAAAAGCAUGAAGAGGGCGUCGAGCACCAUGGGCCUGCAAUCCUUAAGGUUGAUCUCGUAGUCCUUGAGCUCUUGUUCAGGCAUGACGGGAUCCGCUGCGGUCUUUUUUAUCGGCAAUAAAGUUCUUUGCCUCAUAAAACAGCCCAGAACGCGAUAGAAGAGUUACGAACAAAGCACAAUGUGCAACUGUAGGUGUCUUGAUGCAGUUGAAGUAAAACUUCCCUUCCUCGACCAUGCGUGCUGCAACGCAAGCAUGAAGGACAGCAGCAUAGGUGAUUUCAUCGAUCUGUGUACUCGUUUCCUUCUCCAUUUGGCAGAAUAAAUCUACUCCGAUCUUUCCUUGUCCGUGUAAGCUGUACCCAGUUAUCAUCACUGUCCACGAAACAAGAUCUCUUGUACUUCGACCCUGGCAAAAACUUUUGCAGCUGAUUUGAUAAAUCCCGACUUGACAUACAUGUCCAUAAGAGCAUUCAGAACGGUGAGAUUCAUUCGAAUACCAUGUCGCAGCAAGAAUCCAUGAGUCUCUUUUGCCAUGUUUACCUGCAGACAUUCUUGCGCAUGCUGGGAGAACACUAGAGACCGAGAGCGGAUCAGGUUUCACCCCGUCUCCAACCAUCUGCCUAAACAGCUUAAGACCCUCAUUGAAGCAUCCCCUCUUCACAUUGGCAUGAAUCAUUUCUGUCCAAGAAAUGACAUCUUUCUCCGGUAUUUGGUUGAAAACUGCCCAAGCUUCGUCGACACAGCCACAGUCCAUGUAUAUUUUCAAGAUGGUAUUGCUCACCAACACAUCAUACUCCAAUCCACGUUCCUUGGCAACCCUGUGGACUUUUGUUCCAUCAAUCAACGAUCUCAACAUGCCACAGGCACCAGCCGCCGUCGCCACAGCCACAGAAUCUAUCUGUGCUCCGGACUCCACCAUUCUCUCAAACACAUGAACCGCCUUGCCGGGUUUACCUUCCGCAAUGUACAGCCUGGCCAGCAUUGUCCAUGAAACAGAGUCCGUAACCAGGGACUUGUCAAACAGCCCUUUCGCGGAGUCCGCGCUGUCGAGGCGACCGUACAACUCAAUGAGAGCAGCAACCACGUACCGGUCACCAGAGCAGCCGAGCUUGUGAGCGUGGGCAUGGAGUUGCUUGCCGAGGGAGAGAUCAACCGAAAGGCGAGAGGCAGACAAGACGCGAGGAAGAGUGUGUCUGUCGGGCGACGAACGCGCGGAUGAGCAUUUGGUGGUAAGUGGCGAGGGCGUGGUGGAAGUCGGCAUUGGCGAUAUGGGUCUGGAUAAGUCUGUUCCAUGCAAAGGUAUCUGAGUGGGGCAUUUUGUCGAACACCUUGUGGGUGACGGCCACCUUCGUGGUGGGUUUAGCAUUUCGGGAGUGCUUGUAGUGGGCUGUGUUGAUUGGGUUCUCGGUGACGAUCAAGCGCUGGAUUUGGGCGGAUGGAAGGGCUUCCAUUUCAGUUCAGUCGCACCCAAUUCAGCAUUGCCCGUACGGAUUCGAGCGCAGUUAUCGAGGAGGAGUUUCCUUAAGAAUAGAACCAAUCACCGACUCCUCAAACCCAUCCGGAUAUGCGAUUUUCAUGAGGUGCAAACAAGAACCCUCUGCCAUAAGUGGCAUGAUCACCCAAAGGUUUCUUUCAACGACAAAUGAACAAAACGCCCUCACGACAUUGGGAUGAUCUAUUAAUCUCAUCGUCUGCGCCUCCCUCCGGAUAUCCUCGAAAUUGCUAUUGCACCGAUCGAGAUCCAAGCACUUGACGGCGACGACUUCAUUGAAAGGGAGAUAGAUCGCUCUGUAAACCGUUGCGCUGGCGCCAUAUCCGACCUCUUCCAGAAGCUUGUAGUCGUUCGGAUUCGCCGAGUGAAGCCUCGAAUUGCUACCCAUCCUCCCCAUCUGUUCGAGGACUUGUGCUUCAGAUAUGUCGUUUUGAGGCUACGGGCUCUGCGUUUGGGCUGUGUGCCAGUUUGGGCUUAGUGUUGCUUUGGAGAGAUCUAGGUUUGGUUGAAGAGGUACGGUGAAGCCAUGGGCAAGGGAGAUGACGAAUUGGGCUUGGAGGCUGACACUUGGGCCUGGAUGGCCUCCUUUUGAGAGGCUUGCUGCUGAUGGAUAUACAUAUAUAUAUUUGUAUGUAUAUGUAUGUAAAAGAAAUCUUUUUUUUUUUUUUUAAUUUUUUAAUUUUUUUUUUUAUGUGACUGAACUCGAAAAAAUUGAACAUUCGAGCUGCCUACGUACCCCUCCAAAGAAGAGAUCAAGUCGCAACGUAGUUCAAAUACAUUUUUGGUAUUUUCUUUUUGUGUCGUUUGCAGUUUUAACUCAUGCAGGCAAGGAGUGUUGGUGUCGUUUGCAGUUCCAACUCUUGCAUACAAGGAGCGUUGGUGUUGCCUUUUAUGCUCGUGUAGGCCAGGAGCGUUGGUUCGUGCAGUUUAGGCUCGUGCAGGCGAGGAGCCUUUGGUGUCGUUCGCAGUUUCAACUCGUGCAAACAAGGAGCAUUUGGUGUCGUUCGCAGUUUCAACUCGUGCAGACAAGGAGCAUUUGAUGCCGUGUUGCAGUUUAGGCUCAUGCAGGCGAGGAGCGUUGGUGUCUUGUAGUUUAGGCUCUUACAGACAAGGAGCUUUGGUUCGUGCAGUUUAGGCUCGUGCGAACAAGGAGCAUUGUUGGUUCGUCAAGCGAUCCGAGAGAGUUGUUCCUCACAAUCUUCAUAGCAAGGAGCCUUGACCGCGUGAUUGAAGAAGUCUUCGGGUAAAAAGUCGCGCAUCGUGAUGGCAACAGACAAUCUUUGUGUCGUAGUUUCAUCAUCUUCAACACGUUCACGUUGCUUUGAAGGUUGACAAUAGCUGCUUUGCCCCCUUUUCAAUUGGCGGACUUGUGGAGGAGACGUAUGCUUCUUGUGCAAUUUCUUAGGAGUGACUUGAGUCCAUCCUUCAAUUUUGCUUGUCUUGGACGAUGCCCCCAGCGGUUGAGGUGAAAACUUUGAGUCGGAAGAGCCAGAAGUGAAGGUGGUAUAGUUUGACUUUGCCACUUCGUCAAGAUCUAGCUCGAUGAUUCCUUUCUGAGCCAGCUUCAUGAUGAGAUCUUUCAGCACGAAACAUUUUUCUGUCGGAUGACUGAUGAAGCGGUGGAAUUUACAGUACUUUGGACUGUCGGUGCGAUUCAUCUCUUCUGGCCGUUUGCACUCAGGCAAACCAAUCACCUUCUUUUCCAACAGGUCAUCCAGUAUGGCAACCACAUCAGAGUCGGGGAAUGGAUAAGUCUUCUCCUCAAGCUCCUUUAAAGUGCGUCUACGCAUUUCUUGAUCACGAAAAGCUUCGGUUUGAAUCGCCUUGCCUCGUGUGGAUAUUUUGACGGGAGAUGUGUUGACCGUCAUCGCUUCCUUGGUGGGUUUCCAUGCAGCCUUUUCCACCUUUGUCCCAAGAACUUUGUCGUUCUUGUAGUCGGCGAUUGGUUCUUUCUUCCCAUGAUGGGCGAUGCUCAACUCCAUGUCAUGGGCGCGAGUGGCCAAUUCCUCGAAGGUCCGCGGUUUAAUGCCUUGAAGGAUGUAUUGCAAACCCCAUUGCAUGCCUUGGAUGCACAUCUCGAUUGAAGAGGUUUCCGAGAGCCUGUCUUUACAGUCGAGGCUUAGAGUGCGCCAUCUGUUGAUGUAGUCAAUGACUGGCUCGUCCUUCCACUGCUUUGUGCUUGUUAGCUCUAGCAUGCUCACAGUGCGGCGAGUGCUGUAGAAGCGGUUGAGGAAUUCCCGCUCCAAUUGCUCCCAGUUGUUGAUGGACUCAGGCUCUAGGUCAGUGUACCACUCAAAGGCGUUUCCUUUUAGUGAGCGCACAAACUGCUUGGCGAGGUAGUCCCCUUCGGUCCCUGCGUUGUUGCAAGUUUCAACAAAGUGGGCAAUGUGUUGUUUCGGGUUUCCCUUUCCAUCAAAUUGCAUGAACUUUGGCGGUUGAUAACCCUUCGGCAUCCUUAAGGCGUCGAUUUUCUUUGAAUACGGCUUCGAGUACAACCCGGAGGUAUUUGAGCUCCCUUCGUACUGUGCCUUGAUGGUGUUGGUGAUCAUCUAUUGCAGCUGCUGGAUAGAAAGAGAUCCCAUGAGUGCCGCUGCUUGGUCUGGCUCCGGCUUUGCAUCGUUUUUCUCCACCUGAGGCUCAUCUUCUUCGUCAUCUCUUCUCUUUAGUGGAUCAUUCUCUGGGUCGGGUUUAUCGCCGUCCUGCGCCUUUAGUCGAUUGACGAGUGCUGCAAUUUGCAAGUCUUUUUUCUUCCACCGUUCGGGUCAGCCUUGCGAUUGCUUCAUUCAUCUGAGCCAGUUGUUCUUCAACGGAGGUAACGCCGAUAGUCAUGACUUGUGCGACCAAUAUACGUGACUUUCCUUUAGACAUCCAGGAUGCUGAUGAAGAACGUCGUUGGCUGCUUUGGGAUGUCAUCUUAUGUGCCUCAGCAUCAUGCUUCGGUGCCCCCAGCGAGGUCAGGUUGAUGACAGACUCGCACCUUGGAUGCUCCCCUUGCUCUUUUAGCGGCACCAAUUUUGAAGUAGCAUGUUGGGGAGCGGUUGUGGCGCCAAUGGAUUGUCUGUUUGCGGCAGAAGUGCUUAGGAUCCUUCCCUCAGUGGUUGCGAGAAUGGCUUGUCCUUUGCUUGAUGCCAUUGACUUUGAGGUGUGCUUGGAUUCCUUGAACGAAGAAAGAGAUGAGAGGUAGAGAUUGUCCCACCGGGCGUGCCAAUUUGUGAACACGGAAAAUUCCUGAAACGAAAGAGACAAGAACGAACGUGCACAAACAAAUAUUAUGUAUUUGAUGAUUUUGGGUUACAAUCUCUCUCUAUUUGAUCCUCUGAUUCAAUCUCCGUAAGGUGUGUAUUUGUGGAUGUGUGAUUGAUCCAAAGGGCCGUUGGGCUUGAUCUAAGGAUGAACGUUCUUCAAGGGCCGUGGACUUGAUCUUGAAGGUGGAUUUGAGCGGAUCUUUAAAGGGGCUUUUGGGCUUGAUCUUGAAGAACGGUUGGAUGUGUGGAUUUGUCGAAGUUGUUGAUCCAAAGGGCCGUUGGGGCUUGAUCUUGGAUGAACGGAUGAUGAACGAUGGUGCUUUCUUCAAGGGCCGUCGGGGCUUGAUCUUGAAUUGGUGGAUGGUUGAUCCAAGGGCCGUCGGGGCUUGAUCUUGGAAGAACGAUGAACGAAGAACGAAGAACACUUUCUUCAAGGGCCGUCGGGGCUUGAUCUUGAAUUGGUGGAUGAUUGUUGAUCCAAAGGGCCGUUGGGGCUUGAUCUUGGAAGAACGAUGAACGAAGAACAAAGAACGCUUUCUUCAAGGGCCGUCGGGGCUUGAUCUUGAAGGUGGAUGAUUGUUGAUCCAAGGGCUGUCGAGGCUUGAUCUUGGAAGAACGAUGAACGAAGAACACUUUCUUGAUUCUUCGGGAACCUGGACGCUUGAGAGCUUCGGAGUUUCAGAGCUUCAGAGCUUCAAGGUGUAAUAUGAAUUGGUCCCCCCUAAAUGAAUGAAAUGGGCUUGUAUUUAUAGAAUUUUCCAAGGCCUAAUUUUGAAUAUAAUAUCCCAGAUGAAAUAAGUCGUUUCUGCCAGGUGUUGACACGUGUCCUAUUUGAUGACUUUUCCAACUCAUUUCAAUUUUCGUUUAGUCACACGCUACGUGUAAAAUUUAUGUAAUACAUGAGCGUUGACACUUUGAUUUAUCGGUCAACAUUUAUUUACCGAAAUUUCGAUGUCUACAAAACUAAUAGAUAAUUGACUAAAUAAACAUCCUGCAAAGUUUCAAUAAAAAUUUCCAAGUUUUUCUUACAAUUUCUGUGGUUUCCAUAUUAUUUUUAUCGAUAUCGAUAAUAUCCCGAUAUUUCAAUCGAUAUUUCCGUGUUUUUGGACUACCGAUAUUUCCGAUAUCAUCGAUAUUUUAUACCUUGGCGACGGGGGACUUGCCGACUGGUGCCACCGUGGACGUUGGGUCUUUCGAAAUGUGGUGUAAUGUUAUGAUCCCACAUCGGCUACACAAGAAAUUGUGUAGUGGUACUUAAGUGCAAGGGGUCCUCCCACCUAUUGGACUAGUCUUUUGAGUUGGGCUCUUCCCUUAGGCUUGAGUACCUAACAAACCCAUAAAUCAAAGAAAUCAAAAUCCACCCAGAAUCAAAGAAAUCAAAAUCCAUCCAGAACCAAAGAAAUCAAAAUCACACACAGAUAUACAAGGUGUACAGUACUGACAUGCCUUAAAUGAUAUUAUUCACAAGAUUUAUAAAGCUCAUGUCGUAAUACUUGUGCAGAAUCUAUCAUUCACGGCGUCACUUUUGUGCAAGUUGUAAAUAAAAUUAUUCACAAUUUAAACAUUGUGUGUCGUAUUUGACAAUUUAUACUACGCACUUUCUUUUUCUUUUAAAGCUUUGCGUUAUGUCGUGAAGUUGACUUUCUAUAUAUUUGGGUUGUACCUUUUAUGGCGCAAAUAACACGUCGUAAAUAAUGGCUUUUAGCACAGAAGUUUUGUGGUAAAGAAGCCCGCGCACUAAUUCAUUCUCGCGCCUUCUCUUUUUUAUUUAGCCGCUUCUUUUUUUAUUUUUUAUUUUUUUUGUUAAAUUCCCCUCAAAUGUUAAAAGAAAAAUUAAUGAAAUAUUUGAAAACUUUGAGUUUUAACGAUAAGGAUAAAAUAAAAGGUAAAAUGAAUAGUACCAAAAUUGACUUUUUAGUGUUAAAAUAUGAUUUUUCGUUAAAGUGAACAGUGCCGAAAGUUUUUCGUUAAAGUUCAAUGUUAAAAGGUUUGUAUUUUCUUGGUAAACUUGAAAGACAAACAUUGCAAUUGCAUUUUCAUUUACCCAAUAUUAAUUGUCGAGAGCCCACCCCCUUCCCUUCUCACUGACAUCGUAACUCUCUCCUCUCCAUCGAUCUCGCUCCAUCUGCUCGCCGUCGCUCUAUAUGCUCGUCAUCACCGUCGAUUCGUCUGCUCGUCGUCACCGUCGCCCAUCUGCUUUCCGUCACCGUCGAAGUGCCCCGCCAUUCAAGAUCUGAAAUCCCCAAUACAGGGUGCUUUGCGGCAUUUCGUUCUCCAAAACUUUAGGUAUGCUCUCAAUCUGUAUCAACCCUAUCCUGUCCCCUCUAGAUUUUUGUUUAGUCUCAACUUUAUGGUGCUUUUCUUAGAUUUGUUCUAUCACUGUAAUUUUAAGGGAUUUUAGGUAAUAAAUUUGGUUGAGAAUCUCAGUUAGGUUUGUAAUUGUUUUCUUGGUUGCCUGGGUUUGAGGAUGAUUAAUCCACUUUCUGAAGUUUAAUUACUUUGAACUUUGAUUUGUGGGAAACUGCAAUCAAAAUGUUGCUAUGGCUUUAUAGUUAGAAUCGAUUGUGAGUCUUUGCACCACAUCAAGCAAUACCCCGGUGUUGUAAUUCCGAGGUUUGUAAUUGCCGCUGUUAAUGAUGGUUUGGUCCAUCCUUUUUAGGGAGAUGACUUCAAUGAUUGAAACUAGUUUAUCAUUAUUUCAGAACUCUGUAAUACGAGACAUGAUAUUCCAAAAAAUAUUUGCAUGAAUAUAUGUGCAUUGACUGACUAUUUUUCAGUCUUUGAUAGUGGAGAUAACUCUUUCAGGUCAUAUGUAGUUCUUACAGAAAUUGUAUGGUAUUUUGGUUGGUUUUGUGUUCUGGUUGUAGCAAACUGGUGGAUGCCCUGAGAUGAGUAGUUAUCUACAAAGUGGAUGGAUCCUGAAGAGUACAAAGUCUAAGGCAUUUUAUGUAAAGGUAAAUCCUGUUACUUUUAAUUACUUAUAUGUGAAUGCCUGCCAUUUGAAGUAAAAAUUCUUUUAGCCAUUACAUUCUUCAUAAAGAUCUUUAUAUGCUCAAAAGAAGGAUUUUUUUUAGAUGCCAUGUAACUGGUGGUGGCUAGCCUCUUCUUUUUAAGACUCUAGUGUGUUUCAAUUACACUAGUCAAUCGUUCUUAUGUGUAUUAUGUUUUGUUGAUAAGAUGGCCAAGACAAAGUUGUAGAGCCCUAGUAGCAGGGUGCUGUUGGCAUUUAUAUUUUUCUUUUGAAGGGGUGUUUAUUGCUUUUAUACUUUCAUUGUUUACUCUCAUACAUACAAUACUGAAAAAUAAGCAUGUAUUGACGCGUAAUUUUAGAUCCAUAUUUAUACAUAAUUUUGAUUACAUGUCCAAAUUACCCAAGAUUCUUUUUCCUUUACAAAUUUGUGGAGUGCAUUACAUGGAUAUGAUUCAUGUAUGAAAUACACAUGACUCUCACUAAUUUAAGGGCAGCAUCAUUGACUGUACAGUUUUCAAUUCUUUAUAAUCAUGAGUAUAGACAUUUUUUAAUUCUUUAUAAUCAUGAGUACAACAAUAGUUUCUAUAACAAAAUUCUGUUAAAUAUGUAAUAUCAGUAUUUGUUUUCCAGGUUCAUUAGUUGAGGAUGAUUUUUCCAAGAAAGAAAAGAUCGCGGCUUUCAGGCCGAUCUAAAGAACAUUAUGUUGAUAUUGCACCUGAGAUCUUACAAGAAGAGGACGAAGAAGUACCAGAUGACCUAUUUACAGAGGAGUCGAAUCAAACUAAAAGAAAGAGGGGUCCUACUAGAAUGAAGACAAUUUCCACAAAUGAUGGUCAACGAAUUGAGAUUGAAUGGAAUGAAAACGGCCAGUUUAUUGGUGACGGAUCUAUUGACUUAUCUUCUUACAUGGGUUCUUUGGUCCGAGAGGUUGUCCCUAUAACAUUUGAUACUUGGAAGGAUGUUCCUAAGAAAACAAAGGACAUCCUAAUCAAGGUAAUAUGCAGAUAAGUCAAUUCUGAUCCCUCUACUUCAAGGUGAACAAUUUAUAGUUUAUAAAUUUUACUUGUGUUAAUAUAUAUUUUUUGGUAAAUGUUAUGGAUAUUUUAUCAAAUCAGAGAGUAAAUUCGUAUUAAGUGAAGAUUGGCAAAGAACAUAUUGUUUUGAAAGGAUGAAUAAUGUUUGCAGAUCACAUAUAUCAGUAGUUGUGAAGUCCAUAAGAGAAGCAAGAAAUUGGAAAGCAAGGCUUCGUCUAAAACCAAAUAAUGUCAAAUUAAUUCAAGAUUGGAAGACUUCCCUUGCAAAGUGUAAGCUCAUUUUCCUUUUCUUUUAUUUCUAAGAUUAGUUAUCUUCUUUUGAGUUCAAAAUUGGGUCAGAGAAAUCAAACUGAUAGUAGUUAAAAGUCUAUUUCAACACCAAGCCUUGUCUACACAAGAAUUUGGUGUUAGUUAAACAUGUGUAUGAUUCUAUCUUGAUUGCAUGUUAAUUUAGUUUGAAGAUAGAUUUGGUACAUGCUAGCUAAUUGAUACGUGAUAUGAAUCUUUGGUUUCCUUUUGAUAGGACAAAAGCGAAACAUUCAGAGAGAUGAAGUCUAAGCAACUCCGCACACAUGUAGUCGCAAGGGAUAUGGUAGGUUGGCGGAGGAUUUGGUAAUUACAUUUCAUUCUAGUGCCUUCUUUUCUACAGGACAAGAACAAUUUACUAAUUUUAUUCUGUGUUCUACUGUGUGUUUACUACAUUUAUGUUUCUAUUUUGUAGAAAAGAAAAAGUGUAGACCCUUCUCUAGUUUCUAGAGGUGAUGUUUGGAUUGCAGCACAUACUAAAAAGGGUGGUGGACCAUCCAAUUUGCUUGCUGCAGAGACUAUUGUAAGUAAUUUUUAACCAUUUAUUUCUUCUUGUUUGUUGAUAUGCAAUGAUGAAUGAGGUCUUAACUUUGAUGUGCAACGUUAGGAAAAAAAUUAAGCAAUAUGGAAAUGGAUCAUCAUCUGGUUUUCGAGGUGACGUUCUUUCCAAAGUUUUUGGUGCUGAGCGACAUGGUCGUGCAAGAGGAGUUGGAGGUGGUGUUCCUCCUACAAAGCUUGGAAUAUUUUCACAACAAAAAUUGCGUAAUCACCAAAUGGAUGAAAAGGUGCACAAUUUAACUAAUCAGGUCAGAGCACUGACAGAAUUGGUGUAUCUUUUUAUGAAAAAUCAGGUUAGUGAUUUAAUAACAUUGGUAUCAUAUUGAAUAUUUGUGAAAUCAGUUUUAGUGACACAUCAAAUCACAGGGUAAUGAUCUACCAAGUGAGGCAUCUCCUGACACACAGGUUGCAGCUCCUGAGGCACAUGUUGAUACUGUCGCAAGAACUGAAACUUGUCUUUCCCAUUGCGCAACAAAUGAAUCGUGGUGGCGAGGUUGAUACACUUUUUCAAUGAGCCUUCUAACUAUUAAUGCUCAUUGACUCUGUUAAAAGCUCUGCCAUUUUCAAUCUAACUAGACACUAGAAAUGAUCAUUGACUCUGUUAAAAGUUAUGAUGUUUUGGUCCUUCUCCAUAGUUGCGCAUCUACUGAUGUCUAUUUUUUUUCAAAUACUGCAGGUUAUUUCUGAAAACAUUGAAACAUCGUGGUGUACCAGAUGGUUUGAUUAUAAGACACCUUCCUUUUGGUCCACCAACUUAUUUAUAACUGCUAAAUGGUACGUAGUGUGAUAAUUUUCAAAUAUUUUGAUAUUAAGACAGGUGUAGGACAACAUAGAAAUUCUUAGGGCCUUCAGCAACAAAAUUAUGAAAAAGUGAGUGAGAUACAAUUAAAAAAAUGAAAGAGAAGGAUCAUGAUUCAUGAUCUAAAGGUUUGAAUAGGGUAGAAAGGAUUUAGUUUCGUUGUUAAAAUCGAUUGUGAGUCUAUUGUUAUUGUAUUGUCAAUUUGUUUAUUUACUUGAACUUCCUAGUAUCAAUUUGGUUCGAUAUAUCUAGCACCACCAUAGAUAUAUCUAGUAUCAAUUUGGUUAGAUAUUGUCAAUUUGUUAUUGUAUUGUCAACUAUAGAAUGUGCAUCAGUUGUAAAAGGAACAAAACAAUUCAGAUUUUUUGUUUAUGUCCAAACUUAGAAUUGUAUUGUAAUUGACAAUUUCUACUAAUUAAUUUAAAGUAUUUGGAGUUUAAUAUGUUUAUGAUCAAUAUUGUUAUCCUUCUAUUGUAUCAGUUUAGAUGUUAUGAAGUGAGGUCUGUCUAAAAAUGAUAUGCUAAAUAUAGAUGUAAAUUACGGCAUCUAAAAUCAGCAAUAAUUGUUGAUGGUAGUCUUUUUUUACGAUGCACGAUGUAUGCCGUAAUCACCUUCACAAUAUUACGACACUCAACAAAUGCUGUAUCAAAUAUAAAUUACUGCACACAAGUAUGUCGUAAUUGUUUUUCAGUAUUACGACACCCUAUUAACGCUGUAACUAAUACCAAUUAAGGCGCGUAGGACAUGCCUUAAGAACAUUUAUGGCGUGUUUUACUUAAAUUAUUCACUACUAUUAGAGUACGUCGUAUUUGUCAAAACAUCUUUUACAACAGGGGCUUUUACUGCUUGGAGGCUCACGUCGUGAAUUUCCAUUUACGGCACCCUUUGUGCGCCGUAAAAGGCCAAUUCUAUUGUAGUGAUCCAUGGGUACAUUUUUAAUCUACAUGUUUCGUUUUAAUAUAUCUAUUGCUAUAAUAUGUUUUGGUUGGUUCAAAUUCGUUUUACAUAAAUAUAUGGGUACAAAGUUUUUGGAGAAUAUUAUGUAAAAUGGUUUUUAAGGUUGUUGCAUUUUAUGUACCCACAUAUGCAUGUCUAUAAAACAAUGUGGUAUGAUGUACAUUCUUUUCCUUGAGUUUUUAAAUGUACCCAUGAGUUUUCUUGUAAAUUCAGUAUGUAUCCAUAUGCUAUUUAUGUUAUGGGUACAUAAAUUAUUUUUGGUCUAAGUUGGUGGGUACAUUGCUUUUGUAUGUAUGAAUUCAUUGGGUACAUUAUUUCCCUUAAUACUACUCAAUAAAAUUCACAAAAAUAUGUGCAGUGUGCAUGAAUUUUUAUUGUAGAAAUUGUUUUUUUUUAAUUUUUAAUUUUUAAGUCUCAUAAUUCGUGAAUUUUGUACAUAUUGAUCCCAUAAAUUUUUGAAUUUUAUUAAAUUUCUUUUAGACUUGAUCGAUUGAUUGAAUCUCAUAAUAAUCCCUUAAAUGUUCCAAUCAAUAUUUUAAAUUACAGCUUUUUAUUUAAGAUUUCAAAAAGAUGACAUGAAAAUAUAGUAAUACUAAAAUUUUAUUUUAAAUUACAUUUGUGUAACAAUCAAUGGUAUGUUAAAACUGGGCAAAAAAAAAAGGUAUAUUAAAAAAUUAUAAUUUAUUCUUUUUUUCAUAACUGUCUUCUGCUUAGAUUAAAUUUUUACCAAUUUGGGGGAAUUAGUUCUUACCAAUAUAUAUGCACAGUAUUUGCUUUUUACCUGGGCUUAACACAUGAUUAAUUACUUUCCUACCUGCUAACGCGUUGAUUUGCGCAUCCAAAGUAUUAUCAAAGUCACUGCCACCAAAAAGGUGCCCACUCCACAACCUUUGGUUGAACCAAAGAACAUCACAACAAUAAGGAAAUCGUUAAAUCUAUCUCCGCAACAUUUUUAUUAAUCAUUAGAUAGAUUAAACGAUUCCCCUGUUCAUAUUGUGUUCUUUUGUUGAACCAAACCAUGUCAACAAAAUAUAUCUAUGGUUAAGCAUCUAGAUUCAUGCUUUUGGAUGUGCAUCUUAAACCCCUCAAUGAAUAGCCAAGCAAUUUAUCAUGUGUUUACAGUAGGUCAAAAGAAGAAAGUGUUUGUCUAUAUAUUGGUAGGAACCAAUUCCUCUGAAGAGGAGAGAUGGAAGUGAUGAUAAUACUUUAAAUAAUCAAAGCCCAAACAUUUUAUCAAAUUUCAUCUCUGUACUCCACGGAGACACUAAAUGAGACAUAUCUGGUCCAUCUCUGAACAUCUUUUCUUACCGUUCUUACAAUAGAAAGGGCACAAAAUUGACUUACACAGUCUUGCACAAUACUCACUUUGCUUCAACCCAUAUUUCACUUUGUCAAAUCAUACACGUUCCUGCAAUAGGUGAACUCAUAUGUAUCUACCACUUCUUGCUAAUUUUAAUUUUUCCAUUCCCAUUUUUGCUACAAGUUUCACAUAAAUUUUUUAUUGCACUUGUCAAUUCUUUAUACUUUUUUAUUGUAUUUUUUUUUUGUCUUUUUUUUGUAUUAAACAAUUACAUGUCCUCCAAAAGUUUUGCUUAUUGCCCUAUUUCAUCAAGCUCGGUAUAAAUAGAUCUUAAUUUUUUACUACAGUUAAAUACAUGGACAUGCCUCCACAAAUACAAAUUAGUUCUUGCUUAAAUACUUUGUGUGUUUACAUAGAAAAUGUUCCCAUCGUCUACCAAAAUCCUCCACACAUGAAAACAAAAAUUCUUACUCAAAAAUACAUAUUACAAUACCACCAUAUCUGUUGUUUUUUAUUAAAUUAACACACUGUUUUCAAUUUUAUCUUUAACACAAAAGAAAAUGCUCUUACACAAUAUGCUUGUUUACAUUUUAUAACUUAUCUACCACAUGUUAAUCGCAAUUAUAUAAAUAGGAAAACACGUGUCAAUAGAAGUGUGAUGCAUGCUACUUCGUUAACAAUAGUGGCAACUAAACAAUUAAAUAAUUUGUUUCAAUUAGUUAGUACAUUUUAUAAAUUUCUUAAUUAGAACUGUUUCAGUAUAUUCAAUACAUUUUUAAACAACUUUCCAGUUAGUUGCCCAAACUAAUUAUUCCAGCUUAUUCAUAGUAUAAUACCAACAAUUUAACAACCAAUGAUACUUCGUUUAACAUAAACUUCAUUUGGAAAAAACAAAAAAAUAUCUUUUUCUCUGCUGAAAAAUCCAACAGAGUUAUUGAUGCAGAUCAGUUAUACCAACAAAUUACCAUAGUUUACCCAAUGCUAUACAGGUUUGACUUUUGUUUAUAUUCUUGGAUCUGUUGCUUGGUUGUAUAAUUUGGUUGUGUGUUUUGUUUCAGGACAAUUUGUUCUUCGUUUCUUGAGGCUUUUGUGUGUAGAUUUGAAACCGUUUAGCUUUCAAGCCGUGUAUACUCAAGGUAAAUAAUUUCGUUUUUUUCUUUGUAACCUUUUUUGUAAGAAAUUUUUAUUUAAUGUUGUGAGAGUUGUGUUUUCUAGAGUAUGAAAAUUGAAUCUUUGUGAUCUUAUAUCCUUAGAUAUGUUUCUUGGUUAUAUGAUUUGGCUGUGUGCAUUGUUUCAGGACAAUUUGUUCUUCGUUUUUUGGGGCUUCGGUGUGUAGCUUUGAAGCCUUUUGUAGUCAACAUAAAUAAUUUUAUUUUUCUUUGUUUCUAGUCUUCUUUGAAAGAAUUUCUUAGUUAAUAUUCUGAGAAUUAUGUUUACUAUAGUAUGAAAAUUGAAUCUUUGUGAUCUUGUAAGUGAUGUAACGUCAUUGCAACAUGUAUGACUGCCAUUAUCGAACAUGAAGAGCUUUUUGAUUUUUGUACUCCGUCCUUUCAUACGAUCUGACUCAAAAAUUGUUUCAUCACAGGUUCUAACAUGAUUUUUGCGACGUCUUAUGAAAAUACAAUGUCACUUCUGGUAUUCCAACUUAAACAAAUUACAAGGGAUGUCUAGUUUUAAACCUGCAGUUAGUAUAUACUAAAACGACGGUUUUGGCCCUGCUCUCGACUUCUUCAGAAACCUCGAGAAACUUCAAACUGAGAAAGCUUCUCCCUUCCAUCUCUGCUACGCGAUCUCUGCUUUGCGAUCUCUGCUUCCUCCGUGAUUUCUUCCCUCCUGAUCGACAUCUAUUCGAAUUGAAAACCUUCUGGAGCUCUCUUCCCCAAAUUUCAGCAGCAACUUUGCUCCAGAUCUUUCCAAUUGAAAUUCCUCUCCUUCACAUUUUGCAUAUUGAAUUUCGCAUCAUUAUCAUCUCCCUAGAACCUAGGAGUUUGGUUCGGUUUCGAGUUUUCCGACGGAAAUCCGGCGACAGCGGCCAUCGAGGUUGGUCUGAAACUAUUCCUCAUCACCACAAGUACUUUCUACACCUAUUACACUUUAGAAAAAAUUUCAUGAUUUGGUGGAAUCCAAUUUAAUGAUUAGAAAAAUUUUCAUUAAUUUUCUGGGUUCGUGGGUUGGAGGUGGAUUAGAAAUUUUUUCAUUAUUUUUCUGGGUUUGUGGUUUUUUUCCAAAACGUUUUUCCUUUCUACUAAUCCAAGUUCCUUCACAUCAAUCUCUCUGUUUCGUUCUUGAUCUUCCGCGAGUAGAAUACCUCUCCUUGCUCUCGAGCGCGUGGGCAGUCGCUCCAAGGCAGCCCAUGACGUCAUUUUCCGAUUCGACUCGGAGGAGGUUGGCUGCUCUUCUUGGCUGAGCUUCAUGGCUGGCCGAAUUCCCCUAUUCCCUUCCUCUUAUACUCUUUUGUAUUCGUUCACCAAAACAAUAGGAAAACGUCUCCGUCUGUUUGAUUGACGGCGAAGAAAAAAAGACGGAGAUAAAAGCCUGACGGAAGCUGAAAGCUUGGACUCUGUUUGUAUUUUUAAUGGAUUUUCAGAACACAGGUCAAGAAUACUGCGAUUUGAGAAAGAAAGAAAGAACCACGUUGACAUAAUAUAUUCACAAUAGGCGUACAUAAAGCUUUACUGUGGUUCCAUUUUUUUGCAUAUUUCAAAGGCUCUGAAUUGUUAAGGGAAUUAGCCUUUUGUUUUAGGAAGAACUUGGAACCCCCUCCGUCCAUUCUAUUCCCGAUGGAAUUAACACUUAGAUAGUACUAUGACAAUGUGUCAUUAAUUGAUGCAUACCUGUAUAAAUUUAGGCCAAGUGUUUUAUACACAAAUUGAUACAGAUUAAGCUUCUGGGUCGAAAUCAUAUACCGGUGAGCUAACUACACAAUGAUACAUUCUUAUCUGUUAAUUAUCUUUGGUUACCAGCUAUCCAUGUUGCUGACAUAUUAAACUACACAACAUCUAUUGUAAUUUAUGUCUUAUUAGUAUCAUCACUUUUGUUCUUUAUUUCAAUGUCUAACAUAAUGAUCUGGUUUCAAUUUGCUACAGGCAUUAUUUCCAGACAAUAGCUAUGGUUUUGAUUGUAGCGGUGACUGAAAAAUUAUUCCGAAACUAACAUUUGAGGAAUUCAAGGUUUGUUAGUUAAUUUGUACAUCAGAAUACCAUGACAAACUAUGAAGUUGUAAUUGUUGACCUUACAAUGUAUCUUUUUUGGUUUGGAGCAUUAGACUUAUAUGUGUUGCUUUCACUUCAUGAAGGCUAACUCUUUAUUUUAGGCCUUAGAAUAUAAUUUUUUGGAGAAUCUACAUUGUUGAUAAUUUUUUGAACAAUAUUAUCCCCAAAAUUUCUCCGCAUGUUACCCUCAACGUAGACAUCAUAUAACCAUCAUUGAACUUCUGAACCAAAAAUUUGAGUUUUAUGAUUAUAACUAAACGUCUAUAAACACAUGAUACAGAUUGAGACGAAUGUCAAAUUUAAAAUGGCAUUAAUCAGGACAGCUGCAAACUCUGAUUUGCGGCCUUUGAAAUGGAGCAGUUACUUCUUGCUUCACUUCAACAGCAUAGUCCAGCUUCUAAAUUCAGUUCUCAGGUAUGAGGUUUCUCAGUUACCUCUUUUUUGUAAUAAAACAUUUGAUCAGUACUUGCCAGGAUAUCCAAUUAAUUAGGUCAGUUUUUGUUAGCGGUAAUAAUUUGUUUUUGUAGCUUUAUAUGUGUCUCUGUCUCCAAAUAUGAUGAUCUCUUAAUUUGCUUCUAUAGCUUUUGUAAUAUAAUGAUCUCUUAAUUUGCUUUUGCAUAUCUUCUUUGCUUCCUCUGCUAGCUCUAUAUGAGAUUCCAUCUCCAAAUAAUUAUUCCUUAUUUCCUAUUUUUACAGGAAGCAAAUCAUUGAAUACACAUGGAAAAUUAAAAGGGUUUUAGUUUUUGGAGUAGUUUAAAUUUUUUGUUUGUUAUUGCUUGUAUUGCUGUUAAAUAUUUGAUGGGUAGUUUGAAAUGGGGAACUUGGUUGAUUGAGUAUUAACUUUUAUUAAAUUAAUAUUCUUAUUCAAUAUUGAAUUAAGACUCCUCUUAUUAAAUUAAGACUCUUAGAGUGCGUUUGUUGCGCCAGACUGUCUCGGACUGGACUAGCUGCCGGGACUAAGCUGGACUGGCUUAGACUGGACUAAGCUAGACUAACUUAGUGAAGCGUUUGGUGUAAUGUCGGACUAAGAAGCAGGAUAAGAAAAACAGUACUGUUCACCAGAUUUGUGUUUGCUUAGACUAGGAUUACAAAUUUUUGCCAUUGUGUAAUAGAGUAAUGCUACAAAUCUCAUGAUAUGGGUUAAUUGGAGCAUAUUUUUGCCAUGUAUAUUAUGAAUCUUAAAAAAAAUUGACAAUUGUUUUGUUUCUAUUACCUGCUAAUAGAAUUGGGUUUAAUUUGCAAAUGUAGCUUAGUUUAAACUCUAUCACCCAACAGAAGAAAAAUAAUAGUGCCCAAUACAUGCAACUUCAACAAAUACAAGUACAUAAGAAGAUCUCCAUAAUUUAGAAAAUCCUAGUUAACAUUAGUUAACAUUAGCCAAAAUAGAUCUCCAUAAUUUACAAAAUGGCUAGUUAACAUAAGCCAAAAUACUAGUGCAAAGCUAAGUUAUAAGCCAUAACAUAAGAUUGUAUGAUUAAUAAAAUACAUCCAUGUUAACAUUAAUAAAAUACAUCCAUGUUAACAUUAGCCAAAAUCCUCAUCCGCUUGCGUUGUCGCUUAAAAGCCUUUGGACGAACACUUUCUUGAGUUCCGGUUUGAUUGCCCUGAACACUCCCACAUUUUUUGGUUUAUCCAAAAUAAGAGACAAUGCAUCAAUUUGAUCCAUAGGAGAGAGACCCAUUACUUCAAGUUCAUUAGCUAUGUCAGUAUGAUCUGCAAUACCUUGAACUAAAGCUUCAGUUACCAUUUGCAUCCUCUUCCCACUUUCAACAUAAAAAUCUUUCAGUCCACUGAUAAUUGCCUCGGUUCCAUCACUUGAAUUUCCCACAGCUCUUUUCCUCUUUCUUUGGCUAUUUUCAGAUGGGGUGCUUUGUUGGCUUUGUUGGUUCAUUGAAGAAACAAAAUUUUCACCUCCAAUAUCACUUUCACCAACAUGAUCAUGACUUUGUUCCUCCACCAUUUGAGCAGGGGUUUCGGCUACAUUACCCGUAGCCCGAUCUUUUCCAAAUAUAUAUGCAAAUCUAUCAAACAGUGGAAAAGGUUUGCUUCUCCAUCCAUCGGCUUCUUUAUUUCUCUAAGAUUAUAUCAACAUAGCAAAACUAAAAUUUAGCAUGCGUAACAAAUAUAGCAGCAAGAAUAUAACUAAUGUAUAAAUAAAAUAGGAUAUGAACCUGCACAUAAGUUUGCCAUGAGUCAUCACUGUCAACUUCAACGCACUUUUUGACAUCAUUUCAUGCAAAUCCACUUGUGUUUAUCAUGUCAACGACCAUACUAUAUGUUUUUUUCCAUUUCUUCAACUUGGACUCAAUAUGUGGAUUUGCCUUUAUAUUUGAAUGAGGACAUAAAACAUUGACAACUUUUGCUAUUUCAACCAAAGUACCUUGUUUGAAAGCACCGGUGUCACACCGUUGCUUCCGAGCAACAAAAUCCUCAAGAACUCCUAGUAAUACUUCUUCCUCAAAUGCUUCCCAUUUACGCCUUCUUCCUUUUGGCUCUUGAGUAGCAUUCAAAAUAUUUUCGUUAUCCAUACCUAAACAAAAAAUAUUUUAAUGAAGGAAAAUACCAUACAAAUAAUCAAUUUGCAUAAUAUCCAAUCAACUUGCAUAAUAUCCAAUUAAUUUGCAUACCAUCCAAUCUUUGUGCUAAUAUCUAACAAAUGCAUGAUAAAAAGGAAUACUAAAAUAAAAUGUUAUCAUUAACACAUAUAGCUAGUUCGGUUGCUGGUUCCUAAUUGCUCUCCAUUCAUUAUACAUUUCCUGAGCCAUGUCAUUCCUCUUUGCAGUCCACUGGUCAGAUGUUUGAACACUACCAACAUAUUCACCUUCUUCUGUAUUUUGUCCAUCUUCUAUUAUUGGAAAAUUCUCCAUUGGAUCUACAGACAUCUCUUGCCUAAUAAGAUUGUGUAGUAGGCAACAAGCGGUAAUUAUUCGACCUUGUGUCCUUAUCGGAUAGAAAGAUGGACUCCUUAGUAUCGACCACCUUCCUUUUAGCAAGCCAAAACAGCGUUCAAUUACAUUCCUUGCCUUAGAAUGCUUCAUGUUAAAAUAUUCUUCCUUAUUAGAAGGUGUUCGUCCCUCCCAUUCAGAUAAAUGAUAAGGUAUUCCUCUAUAGGGUGCAAGGAAUCCUUCACCAUUUGUAUAACCACCAUCUACAAGGUAAUAAUAACCUAAUGAAAAAAAAAACAGACCUUAUUAGUGUUUUGUAGUUGACAAACAGAACUAGACCUAACUUACAAAGUUGAGACUAAGUAAUAGUCUUACCCGCUGGUACCUUAAAACCAUUAGGCCUAGUAAUUGCAUCAUGUAGCACUCUAGAGUCUGAUGCAGAACCCUCCCACCCCGUAAACACAUAUAUGAACUGCAUAUCUCCUGAACACACACCUAACACAUUAGUUGCGACUCGACCCUUUCUUGUUCGGUAUCUUGGUUUGUCAAUUUCAGGUACAUGCACAUCAAUGUGUGUUCCAUCCAAUGCUCCCAAGCAAUUCUUAAAAAAAAAAAAAAAAGUUUUUGUUAAUUUAUACAAAGGGAAUGAAGAGUUAAAGCUUAGGGAAAAUGAAAAAAAAUUCUCAUCAUACCUUAAAACAUCGCCACCUAGGAUCUGUAGAAUCAAUAGGCACAGGCUGAGGGACUUUUAGUAGGAUACCUUGUAAUCGCAAAAUUCCUUGCAAUACGAUAUUGAAAUACCUACUUAUAGUCUCUCCCGACCUAUAAAAUCUACCGCCAACACUACGAUUCUUAGUAUGAUGUGCUAAUAUUUGUAAAGUCAUACACACAUGCUCCUCUACAGACACCAAACCAUCAGUUUUUACCCUCCCAUCUUGACGAAGUAAGUCACAUAAUAUGCCAAAAGUCCUUCUAUCCAUUCUCAAUUCGUUGACACAUUCAGUAUCAGUAUUCCCUAUUAUACCAUUCAGAUAACACAAACUAAUCUCUCGUCUAAUAAGUGAACGGUUAGUCAAUGUGGGUCGUUCAACAUGUCUCUGUUUGCCACGUAGCAUCAUCAACACAAGAAUCGUACAAAUGCAAAUUGUCUCCAAAUAAGACAUCUCUAACAAUAAGAUCAAUAAAAGCUUCCUUCGAUCCAUAUCUAUCCAAACAAAAAAAAACAAAAAACAAAUUAAGGACAUUAUAUAUGUAAUAUUUACUGUUAUUAAGGGUUAUGGAAAUGAAGUGAUUAUGAUACGAAAUGAACUAGAUCAAAGUAACUAGCGAAGUCACAAUCCGAGGCAUCAAAUAUACGGGUGGUGUUGGAAAAAAAAAAGUUAUCAUUAACCCGAGGCAACAAAUAUACAGGUCAGAUGCACACACUGCAUACACACUCACACACAUACUCACACGGACAUACACACUAUCACACACGGACAUACACUCACACACACCCUACAUACAUACAUACAUACACACACACACUGCAUACAUACACACACACACACACUGCAUAUAUACACACACACACACACUGCAUACAUACACACACACACACACACUGCAUACAUACACACACACACACACACACACACACUGCAUACAUACACACACACACACGACAUACAUACACACACACACACACACACUGGUCAGAUGCACUGCACUCACACGGACAUACACACUCUCACACACUGACAUACAUACACACACACCCUGCAUACAUACACACACACACACUACAUACACACACACACACACACACACACACACUGCAUACAUACAUACACACGCACACACACUGCAUACACACACACACACACAUUGCUUUAUGAAAACCCCAAAUUCCAAAUUUGAAACCCCAAAUUCCAAAUUUCUAAUCUCAAUUUCAAACCCCAAAUUCCAAAUUUCUACUACAUACUUACAUACACACACACUGCUUUAUGAAAACCCCAAAUUCCAAAUUUCAAACCCCAAAUUCCAAAUUUCUAAUCUCAAUUUCAAACCCCAAAUUCCAAGCUUUAUGAAAACCCCAAUUUCUAAUCUCAAUUUCACCCAAAUAUCAAAACCCUAAAAUUUGUUCAACUGCAGAAUCAAAUAAAGCUCAAACCCAAAACAAAUCCGCCCAAAUCGACGAAAAAAAUCCACCCAAAUCGACGAAAAAAAUCGAACAAUCGAAGCUUACCAGACAACUGGAGGCAGAUGAGGGCGAGCAGAUCUGUUACGUGAAGACGAGGGAGUGGACGACGAGAGGAACAGAUGAGGAGCAUGAUGCAGAUGAGGGCGACCAGGAUGCAGCUGACGGCAAGCAGGAUGCAAAGAUAAGGAUGAGGAGGACGACGUGAGGGAGGAGGACGUCGACGACACUCUCUCCUAGGAUGAUCGAGGUUCUUUCUCGCAAGAGCGCAAUCGGAUGAGGAGGACGACGUGAGGGAGGAGGUUUUAUGAAUCUGGACGUUUUUGGGGUGGUUCGCUAAGAACUCCUAGCGAGGGUUUAAUCCGUGCGAGUCAGAUCUAAUCCCAUUAAACCUAAUCCUUGCCCCUACCAAACAUCAGACUACAAUACCAAUUAGUGGAGUCCAGAACAGUCCCCCCUAAGAAGGUCAAACAAACACGCCCUUAAGGCUCUAAUCUAAUGUUCAUGCUCAACAUCUCCUCUAUCUUUCUACGAUUGGUAAAACUUUUGUAUUAUUAUUCCAAUUUUGGUUACUGGGUUGUGGAAUUUUCCAUUUUUUUUCUCGGUAAUCAAUACUAUAUAUAUGCAUGACAAGUAUAAACAAUAUUUUGGGGCAAAUUUAGUUGUUUAAUUUUUAAUUUUUAUGUGACAGUGAGAUUAUGGUAGGAUUUCGUUUAGAUUCUGCGGCCCAAUGGGAGUCUCUGCUUUGAUAAGAUUGGGGUUGAUGCCAAGAAAGCCAAUAAGCCUACUGUGGACGCCGUAGCCGCCUGGCGCUGUUUUCCAAAAUCCUCUCUCACUUGGUUAAGCAAUUAAGACUUUUUGGUUCAGUUUUUAUUAUGCCCAAUUUUGUAUUUAAACCUUAAAAAAAUUUAAACUGAUUUGGGGAUACUGAAAUAGGCUGCAGAGCUGCCAUCCCUGAAUCAGAAGAUGUUCAGAAGGAAGAAGAAGAAGAAGAAGAAGAAAGUCGUGGAAUAUCAAAAGCUUUUAGCUUUGUGAAAGUAUGCUUUUUCCCAACUCACCUCUUGCUUUUGUUGCACUGAAUUGGUAGAUUGGGUUCAAAAAUAUAUAUAUGUGAUUUUUCGUGUAACUAUUUCUUUACAUAAUUACCAAUUGGAGGUGAUUUUAGAUCAUGUAACAUUUCCUCGCUAGAACCAAAGAUUGUCGUCGCUCAGAGCUGCGUUUCAUGAAACAAGUUCAUCUCCUGCCAAAUUUGUGUACCCACCUUUUAUUCAUGAGGGUUGGUGCUUGCUUGCAACACAAUUUGGUGUUAUUAAGUUUUGCGGUUUUACAAUUUGUUCAUGCUUAAACCUCUUUCAAAUUUUCAUUUCUGUGUAAAUCUUGCAGGUAGGACGACACACCUAUCUUGGCAAUGUCGGGAUGUCUAGGCUUGGUGGAGACGUGGUCUUAUGGAAGAGGUGAAGUAGCUUAGCUCGAUCUCAUUAGCUCUUAUCUGUUCUAUUAUGUUAAGAUCAAUAGUAAAAAGUUCUAUUGAUUUUAUAAUCAAAGAUACAUAUAUUAUAGAAAUAGAGGGUAUAUCAUUAAUUUCUUGAUGUAAACAAUCAUAACUUGAGGAACCAUUUAAAGUAUUUUGGUAAUCAACAUACUUAAACUUAAAUGUGAUAUAUCCAUUUAGUAUUUUUUUUAUACAAUGAUAAUACUUAAGUAUAAUUUACAUCAUAUAUCUUUUGAAGUACAUGAAACUAUGAAGAAAAUGAUAAACCAAAUCCCAUUCCAUCUCUGUUUGCUACUGCACAAUCACAAUCCAAUUCCAACAUGGAAUCCUCAGACGACAUGCCUACUGCAGAACAAGUUUCAUACUGACUUAACUUAUAUUUAGUCCACGUCCUGUUUAGAUUGUAAUCCUAGUUCUACGUGUGUUUGUAUAGUACUCCUAUAAAUAUCAAUGAACAUCGCUCACUCUAAUUAAGAGUUGAGAUUUUGCAAAUCAUAUUUACUAUCUUUCAUGGUAUCACGAGCCAGCGUCUAACGACAACGGUUCCUAUUAUAAUUUUUUUCUCUUUUGCAGAUCCUAAACUAUGGCAUCUUCUUCCUCCUCCGCUGCUCCCUCCAUCACAAAUUUUCUUACGAUCAAGCUCGACCGCAACAACUACCCUCUCUGGCAUGCUCAGUUUCUUCCCUUGCUGCGCAGCCGCAACUUACUCUCUUAUGUUACUGGCGAAACUCAAUGCCCCUCUGCCUUUCUUCUUGAUGACAAUGGUAAAUUCACCGACAAAGUCAUUCCAUUAUAUAAUGAAUGGAUCCAGACUGACCAGAUGAUCCUAUCUUGGAUUACGAGUUCUCUUACUCCCAAGGUUCUUGCUACGAUCGUCAACAAAAUUGAUUCGGCCUCUGCUUGGUCGUCAAACCCGAAUUAAUCUAAUUGUGGGGGUUUUGUUUUAUAUCAAUAUAUUGCAACAGAAGUCACACUUUGAAGAGUUCAUGCUGCACAGAAAGAUGAUGAAAUGUUACCCGUUGAGUCUAUCAUUGCUCCAUUGGAGACAGAGCUGAAGCUUACUGCAGGAGUUAUACAGUUGUUAUGCAAUAUGACCCCUUUAAUUUUAUUUUAAAACUGAUACAAAAUACUACAAAAAUUUAUGUAGUAUUUUUGUAUUAGUUUUGAGUGUCUAUUUUGGCUUCCAUAUAUCGUCUGUACAUGUGAGAGGUAUAGUGUUCAAUAUGUAUUUGGUUUCUAUAUUGUUAAUGGAUCCUUUUUUUUUUAAUUUAAUUUAAUUUUAUUAAGGUAACCAAGUUGCAGGAUGACAUCAGAACACUUGAUCUGCAGGUAAACCUUCAAUUUCCAUAUGAAGUUUGCAUGUUCGUUGUUUCUGGAAUUUGAGUUUUUAUUAUUUCUCAAUUCUAUCACAUAGAUUAUGAUUUCACAUAUGGGAUUAUUAAUGGCAAUUAUAUGAUAGAAGAAUUGGGAUUAGAAGAAGAUAUUGAGUUGUUUUAUUUAUGGGGAUUAGAAAAUGAUUAUCAUACGAGUGAUAUUUAUUUUUGUGUGGAUUGUUAAUAUAUAAAACUAUAAGCUUUUGAGAUUGGGAGAUAAAACCCACAAAUUCAAAUCAGACAAAAUAAAUAAAAAAUUUAACUGACUUAAAGAUCAAACUCCAAAAGGGUAUUAAAAACAAGGCUUAUUUGAUCCAUUGAGUGUGAAAGUUUUGAGCUUUGAAGAAGCAUAGGAGGAGAGUUGUUAACCAAGCUGCAUUAUCCAUGUAUUAGGAUGUUGAGGGUAGGCAGGAAAAAUACUUUUUGACGCCAUAUCCAGAGGAGCAUAACGACAGGCCUGCAUUUUUGCAGCAAGGACCAAAACAAGUAGAAGUGAAGGCUUGACUAUUUGGGUAUUAAUCCUAAACCUAAUUAUUCUUAUUUAGGUUUAGGAUAAAUGAUUGAGUGUGUCUCGAUGAUUGUAUUACCAUGUUUGAUGAAUGACUUGAGGAGUUGGAAAUGCUUUAUUGCUUAUGUUUUUCUUAGGUGUGUACUUUGGUUAUUUCCGAGCUUUUCACGACUCUUGAUACCUAAUAGAGAAUAUGGAAACCCCAACUUUAAUUUUAUGAAUUGGUUUUGGUGCCUAAAAUGAAAUCUAGCAUAGUGAAAUCUUGCAUAAUGAAAUUAUGACAAAUUUCCCUUCAUCUUUAGAUUUUCAUUUAGUUCAAUUUGUAUGCAAUUUAGGGUUAUUCAAUUCAUGAGUGAUCAAAUUAUGUUUUUAAUUCCUUCUUCUUUUGAUUUACAGUUCAGCAUUGUCGUACAAAAUGAAAAAGGUGCCAGUAACAGAGUUAUGGAUUUGGAUGCCUUUAGUGGAAUAAAACUGAAUUUUUUAACUUUGUAUAGUUGUAAACAUAAAAUACUCCAUCAGAUAGACUCAUAGCAUUUGAAAACAAUCCUUGAGGAUGGCAUAACAACAUCUCCAACUUUUGUCAUGUAAUGUAUGAAUGUAAAUAGCACUUUGUAAACAUAUGGAUGUAAUAUAUGUAUAUAAACAGUCUUUAGCAUGUAUAUUUUUCAAAACUUUCUACAUCUUCAACAAUGUUUCAAUGAUUUCUUGAUGUAAACAAUGAUAAUUUGAAGAACCAUUUAAAGUAUUUCGGUAAUCAGCAUACUUAAGCUUAAAUGUGAUAUAUCCGUUUAGUAUUUUUUAUACAGUGAUAAUACUCAAGUAUAAUUUACAUCAUAUAUCUUGUGAAGUACAUGAAACUAUGAAGAAAAAACCCUAAUUAAUCUGAUUAUGGGGGUUUUGUUUUAUAUCAAAAUAUUGCAGCAGAAGUCACACUUUGAAGAGUUCACGCUGCACAGAAAGACGAUGAAAUGCUAUCUGUUGAGUCCAUCAUUGCUCCAUUGGAGACAAAGCUGAAGCACACUCCAGGUGGUAUACUUUUGUUCUGCAAUAUGACCACUUUAAUUUUAUUUUAAGACAGAUAGGGUUGAAAAGAAUUUAUGUAGUAUUUUUGUAUCAGUUUUGAGUGUCUAUUUGGACUUCCAUAUUUGGUCCGUACAUGUGAGGUAUAGAGUGUUCAAUAUGUAUUUGGUUUCUAUAUUGUUAAUGGAUCUUUUUUUUUGUUUUAUAGGUAACCAAGUUGCAAGAUGAAAACAGAACACUUGAUCAGCAGGUAAACCUUCAAUUUCCGUAUGAAGUUUGCAUUUUUGUUGUUUCUGGAAUUUGAGUUUUUUGCAGGAUGAAAACAGAACACUUAAUCUGCAGGUAAACACUUGAUUGGUUAUUUCCAAGCUUUUCACGACUUUCGAUACCCAAUAGAGAAUAUGGAAACCCCAACUUUAAUUUUAUGAAUUUGUUUUGGUGCCUAAAAUGAAAUCUAGCAUAGUGAAAUCUUGCAUAAUGAAAUUAUGACAAAUUUCCCUUCAUCUUUACAUUUUCAUUUAGUUCAAAUCGUAUGGUUUAGGGUUAUUCAAUUCAUGAGUGAUCAAAUUAGGUUUUUAAUUCCUUCUUCUUUUGAUUUUCAGUUCAGCAUUGUCGUAUUUUGGAUGCCUUUAGUGGAAUAAAACUGAUUUUUUUUUAACUUUGUAUAGUUGUAAACAUAAAAUACUCCAUGAGAUAGACUCAUAACUUUUGAAAACAAUCUUUGAGGAUGGCAUAACAACAUCUCCAACUUUUGUCAUGUAAUGUAUGAAUGUAAAUAGCACUUUGUAAACAUAUGUAUGUAAUAUAUGUAUAUAAACACCACUCUUUAGCAUAUAUAUUUUUCAAAACUUUCUACAUCUUCAACAAUGUUUCAAGCCCCGCAGCAACGGGCGGGUACACUUGAUAGUAUACAUCUAAAAUUAUAAGACUAAAUCCUUUAGUUCUUGGAUUCAUCUAAGAACUACUUAUUCCAGCAGAUGCUAUGCUUGCACUACUAGAAUUUAUGGCUUGCCCUGUCAACUAUUGCGCGACAGAAGAUUUCGUCGGUUUCACUUUUUUUAACCGACAUAAUAUAAGUUUAGUAGGGCAAAAUCAGUCAACAAACUGGGUUGACUGAAUAAAUUUACAGGAUGGCUAGAGUUCGUAGGUUAAGACAUCAGUCGUUGGGCAAACAUUUGGAGCGAAGAUGUGAGUGUUUUAACUGACGAAUAAGCUGGUCGUCAUGUAGAUCUUCUUUCCCGACUGACGGUUCAACAUGUAGCUCUUUGGAUAAUAAUUCAUCUUCAAGGGGAACAGGUUGCCCCUCAGAUGAAUGGUUAGAGGCAAUUGUGAGACUAUAAUUUUCUAGGGCCGAAAUAAAAAAUACAUAAACCCUCACUCAUUCUGUCUCUGUAACCAUCCACCAAAUACCCUUUCUUCCCUUUCUAUUUCUCUCCUAGUAAUAUCCCCUGACCGAAUCACACAAUCCAACCAACUCUCUUUAAGCCUCCCUCACUGAUUCCAUGGAUUUCAUGGACUUAUCCCACCCUCUCUCCUUCCCUCUAUAUAUAGCAAGUCCCCUUGCCUCAGUGUCCCUGGCAACAGAAUUUAUGGCAUUUCUUCGUUCUUUCAAUUAUUUGAAAGCUUCCUAGCCCUGCAAUCUUGUACAAAGGCGUAUGGUGUUUCAUCAGUUCCAUUUGGUGGUUGGGUGGGAAAUGAAAUUAAAACACUGCAUUUCAAAUGCAUUUCAAAUGGUCUAAACCAAAUUGAAUCAAAUGUGAAGCAAAGGGCAAGAGGUGUAGAUUGAAGAACAAUGGCACCAAGAGCGAAAUUGAACUUGUUGACAGGAGGAAACCAAGUAAGGAUAACACGUCUAAAUCUUAUUUUGAAUCCAUUCAGCUCAUGAUGUUUUGAAUGAUGAUGAUCGGUAUACUCUGCUACAUGCUGUGAUUUUUCCGCUUUCAUGUAAUUAACGGCUUAUAUGUGGUAACGAUAUUGAUUAAAAAAGGUCGUACCCAGUGCAUAAGGCUCCCGCUUUACGCAGGGUCUGGGAGAGGUGAAUGUCGGCUAGCCUUACCCCCAUUUUAUGGAGAGGAUGCUCCAAAGUCUCAAACCCGAGACCUACCGCUCAUGGGCGAAGGCAUUUGCCAUCGCACCAAAUGCGAUAUUAAUUAAUUUCGAGAAAUGACAGUCUGAUUUUUGCAACUGUCUUUUGCAGGCAAAACAAAGACGUUUGCAAGGGUGAGUUGUGUAGGAGCUUUGUUUCAUGUCCAAAUGACACUUGAGAAUAAAUGUUUACACUCAUGGAUAAUAUCUAUCUAUUUGCAGGAGCAACCCUGGGUUCAUUUGUUCUGUAACUGCUGGUCAUUGCGGCAUAUCACGCCUAUAGCACUGACAAAAGUAAAAAGAGAAUCGAAUGAAAUUUGAUAAGUUUUCAGCGGACUACAAAGAUCUUAAGCCAAGCAUAUAUUCCCAUGCAGAUAUUAAGAGGUUUACAAAUCAAUUCAAGUACAAGUUGGGCCAAGGAGCAUACGGAACUGUUUUUAAACGAAAGUUUUUUUCUGAAUGCUUUGUUGCCAUGAAAGUACUUAACAUUUCCAAGGGUGACGGGGAAGAGCUUGUAAAUGAAGUGGGAACAAUGGGCCAUAUUCACCAUGUCAAUGUGGUUCACUUGGUUGGUUUUUGUGCUGAUGGAUUUAGAUGAGCUCUGGUUUAUGAGUUCUUUCCCUUUGGUUCACUCCAGGAUUAUAUUUCAUCAGCAGAUAGAUUUCUUUCCUUGGUUGGCAUAAGUUGCAAGAUCUUGCUAUCAGCAUAGCCAAAGGAACUAGGAAUGUGAUCUACAAAUCCUCCAUUUCGAUAUCAAACCCCAUAAUGUUUUGCUCGACCAAAAAAUCACGCCAAAAAUCUCUGAUUUUGGUCUGGCCAAGUUAUGCCAAACAAUUACAGACAACAGUUAUUCACUAAAUCACUUUAAGGCAAGAAUUUAAUUAAUAAUACAUUACUGCACUUUCUUAACCAUUUGACUAUCACCUAGCUGACAAUGAACACGUUAGCUCCGCGUUAGAACAUCUUGGGUUCAAUUCAUUGUCUUGAAUAUCACCCAUUGUCACAGGCGUCUGUUGGGGGCAUAGAGAAGGCCUGAGAGGCAUUUGCAGACAUUCAACAUCUCCUCCAAGCAUUUUGACAACUUUGGACAUCGAAGGGCGAUCAUUUGGUUUCAUUUGAAUACACCACAAGGCGGUUAUAACCAUCUUUCUUAUUACUUUCUUUUCCUCCUCUGUAACAUUGUCCAUUUCCAGGUCAUUUCCCACAAUAUAUUGAUCGUAUACCCACAUUGGGAAGUAGAUUUGGCUUGAAUGCUCUACCGUUGGAUUCAAAUUCUUCCUUCUGCUUGCCAUUUCCAUCAACAACAUUCCAAAACUAUAGACAUCUGACUUGUAUGAGACGCAUCCAAUAUUUUUGUAGAACAACUCAGGAGCAAUAUAUCCCAGUGUACCCCGUGCUGCCGUCAAAGAGACAAUGCUAUUAUCUACAGGAUACAAUUUUGCAAGCCCAAAGUCAGAAACCUUUGCUUUAAAGUUCUCAUCAAGAAGGAUGUUAUGAGGCUUGAUGUCGAAAUGUAGAAUUUGCAUUUCACAACCUUGGUGUAGAUAUUCGAUCCCUUGAGCCACUCCAAGAGAAAUCUCGUACAUGUUCUUGAUAGUUAAGGGGACACUUCCUUCUUUGGAAUAAAUGUAUUUAUCAAGAGAACCAUUAGGCAUGAAGUCAUAUACUAGAGCGCGUUUUGAUCCCUCAACACAGUAUCCAACAAGUUGUACCACAUUGGCAUGGUGAAUCCUUCCGAUUGUAGCUAUUUCGCUAAUGAAAUCUUGGCCAUCAGCUUUGGGCUUGCCCAAAACUUUAACUGCUACAAAUCGACCACUGCGUAGCUUUCCCUUAAAUACAGAGCCAAAGCCACCUUCGCCCAACUUGUCCUUAAACCUGCGAGUCAUUUUCUUGACGUCCGAGUAAGAGUACCUUAUAAGCAUGAUGUUGUUAUUGCAUUGCAGAAAAUCUUCUAUUGUGCUAUACAUUGAUAAAUGUCUUCUGCGCCAUGUGUAGAUUAGAAAUGCAGUCACAACUGGAACUCCAAAAACAAAUCUGGCUAGGAAAAAUAACCCUGCAUGCAUGGACAAUAAUAUGUUAGAUCCACUGUGUACUACUUUUUCUUCCCUUUCUUUCCAAAUUACUUUAUCUUUGAUGUAAUUAAAGAGAGAGAAUGGGAAAUCUACAUAUGUUGAUAAUAUAAUCUCGUCUUAGUCCUUACCGAUCCAUAUGAGUAUAAACCAUCCAAGUGCUGCAAAAAAAUCAAUCGACUAUGAGUUUGAAAAGUGCAUAAAGUGAAAAAAAAAAAAAAAAAAAAAAAAAUCAAAGGGUGCCUUUAUUGACACCCAAAUUUUAGUUAGUUUUACUCAACUAAAAAAUUUUUGUCAUCAAACUUUUUAAUUUGCCGUCGAAAUUGAGUUCACCCAACCACAAAGCAGCAACUACCACUCACAAAAAAACCAACAACACACAGCCACCAGUACCAUUCACCAAUAGAAAGAGAAGGAACACACAGACCCACCAAGGAGCCGGCAUCGACGCAUCUACGAGGGAGGGACCGGAGGGUGGUGUAGUUUUGUUGGGCGCGCGGUGGUUGUUUUGUUUGUUCAUUUUCUCUUUCUUUUGGUAGGUGGAGGCUGGUGUGGAUUUGGGCGAACUUAAAAAUGAGGGGAAACUAUGAAGUUUGACAAAAUGUUUUAGUUAGGGGAACUUAACUAAAAUUUGGGUGCCGAUAAAGAUACCCAAUUUCAAAAAUACUUGAGCUUAUAGACUAAUUAAAUGAAGUUGAUCUUACAGAUCUCGUGGCUGUAUGAUGAAUGCCACUUGCCAGCUGCAAUAGAUACCACGGAAAAGUGAAUAAAGACAUACAGUUACUAGGUUUAAGAAGUACAGAUAGAGCACACAAAAAAUAAAAGAAGCUUUUGGGAAGAAACUUCUUACGCCAAUAGUUGUGUUCUUGACCUACAGUAAAAAAUGUGAAGAAGAAUACACAACAUUAGCAAUAGCUCACCCAGUCUUCGGAAUUUAAAAAAUCAAGUUUGUCUCGAUCGAAAACUUGUAAAUAAAACAAAAAGAGGACCCCUUACGGAUUUGGUGCCAUAGAUAUUGAAAGAAACCUACAAAAACAAAGAAAGAACAAGACCACAUGCAUUAGCAUAACAAGUGUGAGGUGUAUAAGCCGUUAGAAAAUAAAUUUAAAAUUCUAGUGCUGUCAAUACAUUGAUAAUAUAUAUAUAUAUAUAUAUAUAUAUAUAUAUAUAUAUAUGUAUUAUUUUUCUGAAAAUUUAACUUUCUCCCUCCAAACUCAUUUUUCUAGUCUCUAGCCCAUCAUAUAAUAUUUAUCAGAAUAAAACCAAAUGAUUAGGAUCCAACUAAGAAACUUACCAAAUUAAGUUUGUGUGUCCAUUUUUAUAUUUUUUGGAUCCCUAAUAUACCCCAUCUAAGCCAGUAUGGAAAGUUCUUGUAAUUUUGCUUUAAGUGAUCACGUGCAUUGAAUUUGGCAAGGUCUUGUAGCCAUGAAAUAUGGUUCCAGAUGGAGGAAUGAAUUUGGAUUUUUUUUUAAUUUCGGCAACAAAUUUCAAUUUGAAUAUACCUAAUUUAGUGUUUAUUUUCAACAAUAUCUAUUGUUUAAUUUUAUGAAAAUAAUUAACCUAAUAUGAAAAUUAAUUUUAUGAAAACAAUAUCUAUUGUUUAAUUUUAUACCUACAGGAUAAUUACAUGAAAAUAGUUUACCUACUAUGAAAAUUAAUUUUUUGAAAGCAAUAUCUAUUGUUUAAUUUUAUGAAGAUAAUUUACCUACUAUAAUUACAUGAAAAAAUUUACCUACUAUGAAAAUUAAUUUUUUGAAAACAAUAUUAUUGUUUAAUUUUAUGAAAAUAAUUUACCUACUGUAUAAUUACAUAAAAAUUAGGGAAAAUUAGAAUCCCCUACAGUUUUUAUAUAUCAUUUAGAUUAAACAUUUGUACUUUUUUAAAAUUUGAUUAAAGUGCUUUGACCAAUAGUUACCUCUAUUUUUUUAAAUUAAAAUAAUUUUUGAAUUUAUCCUUUUAUCUGCACAAUGCACUUUUCCUUAUUUAGUGGAGAUAUUAGUAAUGAAACUAUAUUUUCCCUUCUUCCAAAUAUGUUUUUUCGAUCACAGUUUUUUUUUUUUUGGGUAUGCAAACAUUUGAUAUUAUUUUUUUUCCAAAUGGUUUUUUCUUUUUCAAAUAGUUGGUGAUCAACAUAUAAGCUCUGUGUAUUUUUUUCAAUGUUUUUGUGAAAUUAUAUUUUUUUUGCUGUUUUUUAAGUAUAGUUGUUGACGAAUUAUUAUUAGGUACAAUACAUUACGUAUAUAUUAUCUGCGGGUACGUUUGAAUUUACUAAAAUCAUUAAUUGGUACGUUUGAUUUGAUACAUAUUGUUAAUAUUGGUACAUUAUUUUUAUUUUGGUACGUUUUAUUUUGAACACAUUUUGUAUUGGUACGUUUAUAGUAUUCUCAAUCCUAUUUUCUCUUAACGUACUAAAAGAAAAACUCAUUUUGGUACGUUUGAUUUUGGGGGAUUUAAAAAUAUUUUAAACUAUUUUGGAAAAAAAAAAAUCUUAAAUCGUAGAUAAUUAUUGCUAAAUUGUAGCAUUAUUGUGAAAAUAAAUUGAAUCUAACCAACUUUUUUUUUUACAAUUAUCUCUAAUGGAGGAGAGUGUAAUCAAAAGGCUAGAUUAUAGGAAAUUUGUUACAAUAUAAUGGGCAUAUAGCACCAAAAUUAUGAUAAAAAAAAGUUUAAUCAAAUCAUUAAAAGGCAUGGAUGUUUGAUCUAGAAAAUUCAAAACUGAGGCGUCUAUAUCAAAAGAUCCCUAAAAAUUAAUGUGCCUACUUUUUAAAUUUGUAACAAAAUUAAUUUACCUACUUUUUAUGGUAUUAGUAUACAUAAAUGUAGAAUAUAUGUCCGUAUAUAUUUGAUCUAAUUAGGUUUUGGAUUGGAGGAGUUGACACAAAAUUAUAAAUAUAUUAAACAAAUUUAUCUAUUCUAAAGUUGGAGGGGAAUUGGUCUGUACAUUGCUACAGUAAACAAAUGCUACUCAAUUUCACGUUAUUUACAACAAAGCUAUCAGAUUUGGGUUGGGUUGGAGGGUAAUUUGUUAAAAGUUAGGAGGGUAAUUUUGUGCAUAGGGUUUAGGUGCCCUCCUAUACAUGACCCUUGAGUUUACUUUAUUUACACCACUGCCAUCAAAUAUGUGGCUGAAUUGGAGGGUAUUAUUAAAAGUUAAGAGGGUAGUUUUGUUCAAGGGGUGGGGGCGACAUUCGCAGACGGAGGCCGAUGGGAGCCAUGCCCAUUGCACAGAGAGAAAGGGAGUGAUGGGGGAAAUUACAGACAGAAAAGGAAGGGAUGGGAGGAUUUGAUGGAUGGUCACAGAGAGAGAUUCGGUGAGGGAUGUGAGGGGAGAUUACAGAGAGAUAAAUAAAAGGGAGGGAUCGGGGGAUUUGAGGGAUGGUCAGAGAGAGAAAUAGUGAGGGAGGGAGGGAUGGGGGGGCUGAUUUUCGGUUCCUCCUUCAGAUUUGUUCCGUAAAACCUGUUGGGUACAAUUCAAUUUCCUCCCCCUUUCCCCUGAACGAAAAAUUCGAAACCUACAAUUCAAUUUCCUCCCUCCUUGGCUUUCCGCUUUACUCAUCUCCCGGUGGUUCUUUCUCUCCAUACGAUUCGAUUUCGGUGAGUUCUUCGUUGCCCUCAUGAUUUCCCAGUUUGAUUUUUUGAGCGUCCUUAGUCGUUGUUUUUAUCUGGGUUUACUGCAUUGUUGCUUUUAGUUUCUGGAUUUUUAUUUGUUCCGCGGUUCGAUGAAUCGGUUAAUAAUUUCACACCAUGGGAUUUUCGCAUGGAAUUGAGCGCGGGGAUUCGGGGUGGGGUUUUACUGAUAAUUUGUCUUCAUUCAAAUGAAUGGUUAAAAUUUCUGAAGUGAGUGUGCAGGUGGGCCCGUUCACUAACUAAGCUUUCAAGGGAACCCAUCAGCGGUUUGCUUGCUGGGGGAAUUCGGAGACUACCAGUGUAUGAUUUAGUUAUCAUUUAUUUUUUUACUUAAAUUUAUCCAUAUAUAAUAUGUGGGUAAAUUUACACUAAACAAUUGUGAUAAGCCAAUAUGCCAUACGACUUUGAAAGCAUUGAUUUUGUGUUUAGUUUGCAUUUUUGCAUUGUGAAUGUUGAAUUUUGUGUUUGAAUUUGUAGCAUGAUCUUCCGCUGCAGCAUCCAAAUUUUGCAUUUGUAAAUUGUCAAAGAAAAACGAAGUAUGAGGAAAUUAUAGGAGAUUGUGUCGGCUUUGGCCAUGAAGGGUAUCAGCAGCUUGUUCCCCCAUACAGGUGAUUAAUCGUUUUUCAGUCUGUGUUCUAUUUGGAUGAGAAAGUGAUUGAAAAUAUGAUUUUUUUAUUUGUUGGUUGAUUUUGUAUGGACGAUGUAUUAAUUUUAUUUUUUUUGGGAUUUUGUGUAUUGGGCAUUGUGUAGAACCAGCAAUGCAAGAGCAGGAUCUGAUCAGUCAUGCCUGAAAAGGGGUUUGUUUCUCAAAUCACAUUAAUUAAUUAGAUUAUUAACGUGCGUUGGAAGGCUCUUCAAUAUGAUUUCUAAUUUCUCCUUUCCAGCAUUCUCUUUUUGGUUUUUGGAGUAUGUAUGUGAUUUGUAUUUUUUUAUAGAAUAAAAAUUAAUAAAACACGAGAUGCAGCAAUUAAUUUGCAUCCUUAUGACAACACAUAUGAAAGUGCAUUCAAUUUCAAUGUGCGAAUGUGUGACAGGAUGUGCCUGCCCGCUGCUGCUGGUAUGCUUGCUGUUGUUUCUCGCGUUGUUAAUUUUUUGUGUGUGUUGAUUUGAUUAACAACUCAAGCGUAUCUUUUUUUUUUGUGUUGGUUAGCAGCCAGUUUUAUGGCCCCGAUCUAGUGAUGCUUCUCAGUGACUGUGGUAAUUGCAGUUCAUUGCCACCAGUUGGUCAGCUACCUGCUCUGAAAGAGCUAUACGUAGAAGGGAUGAAAGUUGUUAAGAGUGUUGGUGUUGAGUUGUACGGGGGAAAUCAACCAUUUCAAUGUUUAGAGAAGCUAAAGUUUCGGGAGCUAUAGCAGCCUAGUCCAAGUGGAUGUGAAAGUCCAGACUUUCCUCAUCUUAAGGAGCUGGGGUUAUACGAAUGUCCGAAGCUGAGAGGAAACUUGCCCACUCAUCUUCCCUCCUUGAAAACACUUCAUGUGAACAAGUGUGAGGUUCUACAUAAAAACAGGGCCAGUAAUACCCUGAACGUGGAAUCCUUACGAGGAUCUCUUGAAAAACUGACAAUAAAUGGAUGCCCGGGUCUCUCAUUGUUACUAGAGUCGACGGAGACGCUGCCGUCGCUUCAGAAGCUUGAUAUUGAUAAUGUGGUGGGAAAGAGUUGUUGGCGCAAAUGGUGCACAACAGCAAUCGUCUUCAAAGUUUGACUUUAUAUAAAUGUUCCUCACCCUUGUCGUUCCUUACAAAUGGUCUGCCCACCACGCUGACAUCACUGAGCAUAACAGAUUGCAAGAAAUUAGAAUUCCCAUCACGUGAGAUGAUGGCCAAAUUGACUUCCCUUCAGUCUUUGCGUCUAUCCAACAGCUGUGAACGCAAAGGCUUGAGUAUUUGCAGUUUAGUUUUUUUUUUCUUCAUUUUAGAGAUUUUUCUACUGUUUGGUUUUUGGGUUUUGUCUAAUUUUUGUGGUCUGCUUUAUAGAUUGUUCUCUUUGGAAGCUUCUUUCCAGCCUUGACCUUCUUCUUGCCUGGUGCCUUCUCAUUGAGUAUUGGAGGAGCAUUAAAACACAGGUGUGUGUGUUUUGUCGACAUAAGAGAUGAAUGACAUAAAAACAUCCGUCUCUGUAUUUUUUUGUGCUUUUUCUAACCCAUCAAUUUCUUUUGAGUCAACCAAAUAGUCCCAAAUUGCAACUUAUGUUGUGAGGUAUUAUUGUCUAAAAUUAAGUAUGCAUGUAUAUUUUAUGUUUGUGCCCGCGCACACAUCCGCAUGGUGUUAAUCUCUGUGGGUCAUCUAUGUAUAUGUAGAUAUAUCUAUAUGUGUGUGUGGAAUGCAACAUAUCGGAUUUAGGUUAUACUGUGCAUAGUUUUAUUGCCUGUUAUUAUCUACGAUAUCACUAUGCCAUUUCUAUGCAGGCUCUGAAAGUUAUUCAUGAGCUUUAUAAGCACUUACCAUAAUUUAAGCAGUCUGUUUUGGGUUCUUUUUCAUUAGGUCAUUAGCUACAGAUUAAUGGAGAAACGAGGACCAUGCCACUGAUUUGGGUUCUUUUUCUAAUUUUCUGAUUUUGGGGUUUUGCAGGGAGAACUCCGCCUAUGUACUUACAUUGCCGAUCCCAAGCUCGGAUAAAGGAGGAGGGGGAGGGCGUCAGGUAGUCGACAGUCGGCACUCCAUGAUCACGUCGAAUCCUUAUGAAAAUGAAUUCAGAAUAAAAUUGCGCUAAAGCUAGGGCGUCACCCGUAAGUGGCGCGCUGUGUGGCCCGAGCACAGUGAUAAGUGAGCAAGGGUCGCUGUAUCUCCAUCGGCACCCGGAUGCAGUGUUAAAUGAGCAAGGGGGGCAUAGGAACUUCUUUUCGAACGACUCCACUCAAAGUUGUUUGGGAGCAUAUGCUCCUAUCAACUUUACACGGGACACACAAAAGAAGUACUUUGAUCCUAUUAGACGGGGGAGGGUGAAGAAGCUAGGACAGAAGGGUAGAGUUCAAGAAAGCAAAAUGCGUUUAGGAACGUGGAAUAUAGGAACCUUAACGGGAAAAUCUAUGGAAGUAGUGGAAGUUAUGGUGAGGAGAAGGAUAAAUAUUAUGUGCCUACAAGAAACUAAGUGGGUUGGUAGUAAGGCAAUUGAUCUAGAAAACUCAGGGUUUAAACUUUGGUAUUCGGGCACAAAUAGAACGAGAAACGGUGUUGGCAUCAUCGUGGACAAGACCUUGACACAAGAUGUUGUAGAUGUCAAGAGGGUAGGAGAUAGAAUCAUGGCAAUCAAGAUUGUAAUAGGACAAGAACUUAUCAAUGUGGUUAGUGCGUACGCACCUCAAGUAGGGUUGGAUACGAGUUCGAAGGAGAAAUUUUGGGAAGACCUUGGAGACUUGGUGUAAGGAAUUGCUCAGACGGAGAAGUUAUUUAUAGGAGGAGAUUUAAAUGGACACGUGGGCAGAGAGACAGGCAACUAUGGAGGUUUUCAUGGUGGCCAUGGUUUUGGGGAGAGAAAUGAGGAUGGGGAAGCUAUCUUGGAUUUUGCAAUGGCAUAUGAUCUCUUUUUAGCCAACACCUUCUUUAAGAAGAAAGAAGAACAUGUGAUCACCUACAAGAGUGGGUUGUCAAAAACACAAAUAGAUUUUCUUCUAAUGAGAAACGAGGAUGGGGAAGCUAUCUUGGAUUUUGCAAUGGCAUAUGAUCUCUUCUUAGCCAACACAUUCUUUAAGAAGAGAGAAGAACAUGUGAUCACCUACAAGAGUGGGUCGUCAAAAACACAAAUAGAUUUUCUUCUAAUGAGGAAAGGGGAUCGUAUAACUUGUAAGGAUUGCAAAGUUAUACCAGGAGAGAGCGUGGCUAAUCAACAUCGCUUGUUGGUGAUUGAUGUACAUAUCAAAAGAGUGAGACAAAAGAACAAGACUUGGAAGUGCCCAAGGACUAGAUGGUGGAAUCUAAAAGAAGAAAAACAAGCCAUUUUCAAAGAGAAAGUAAUCAUCCAGUGUGUGGGAUAGAGAUGGGGAAGCUAGCCAAAUGUGGGAUUCAAUGGCUAGUUGUAUCCGAAAAGUAGCAAAAGAGGUAUUAGGAGAGUCAAAAGGCUUUGCCCCACACCAAAAAGAAUCUUAGUGGUGGAAUGAGGAGGUACAAACAAAGGUGAAGGCUAAGAAGGAAUGUUGUAAAGCCUUAUACAAGGAUAGAACUGAUGAAAAUGGUGAAAGGUAUAGAAAAGCGAAGCAAGCUGUGAGAGAAGCUAAGUUAGCGGCUUACGACGAUAUGUAUAAACGACUAGAUACCAAAGAAGGAGAGUUGGAUAUCUAUAAACUAGCUAGAGCAAGGGAAAAGAAGACAAGGGACCUAAACCAAGUGAGGUGCAUCAAGGAUGAGGAUGGAAAUGUUCUUGCUACAGAGAACGCGGUUAAAGACAGAUGGAGAGGUUAUUUUCAUAAUCUUUUCAAUGAAGGACAUGGAAGGAGUGCUUCUUUAGGGGAGUUGAGUAACUCAGAAGAGUGUAGAAACUACUCUUUUUAUCGUCGAAUCCGGAAGGAAGAAGUGAUUGUAGCUUUGAAGAAGAUGAAACAUAGAAAAGCAAUAGGCCCAGACGAUGUACCAAUCGAAGUGUGGAAAGUUUUGGGAGAGACAUGUAUAACAUGGCUCACUGACCUUUUCAAUAGGAUUUUGAAAACGAAGAAGAUGCCAAAUGAGUGGCGAACGAGCACUUUGGUGCCUAUCUACAAGAAUAAGGGCGACGUACAAAAUUGCAUGAACUAUAGGGGUAUUAAGCUAAUGAGUCAUACAAUGAAGCUCUGGGAGAGAGUCAUUGAGCAUAGAUUGAGGCAAGAGACACGGGUUUCGGACAACCAAUUUGGGUUCAUGCCAAGGCGCUUAACCAUGGAGGCAAUCUAUCUCUUACGAAGAUUGGUGGAAAGAUAUAGAGAUGGGAAAAAGGAUUUACACAUGGUUUUUAUAGAUUUGGAGAAAUUCGUAUGAUAGGGUCCCAAUAGACAUUCUUUGGAGGAUUUUAGAGAAGAAAGGAGUACGAGUAGCAUAUAUCCAAGCUAUAAAUGAUAUGUAUGAAUGAGCAAAGACUGCUGUAAGAACUCAUGAAGGACAAACUGAAAGUUUUCCCAUAACUGUAGGAUUACACCAAGGCUCAUCCUUAAGUCCCUACCUUUUUGCGUUGGUAAUGGAUGAGUUAACAAGACAUAUUCAAGAUGAUAUUCCUUGGUGUAUGCUUUUCGCAGACGAUAUAGUGUUGAUAGAUGAAACACAGGAAUGGGUAAAUGCAAAGCUUAACCUUUGGAGAGAAGUGUUGGAAUCUAAAGGUCUUCGCCUAAGCCGAUCAAAGACAAAAUAUAUGGAGUGCAAGUUCAGUGCAAAUGGAGGCCAAAACGAGUUAGGGGUGAGGAUCGGAGAUCAAGAAAUACCAAAGAGCGACCGUUUUCGUUACCUAGGAUCUAUCUUGCAAAAGAACGGAGAAUUAGAUGGAGAUCUCAACCAUAGAAUACAAGCUGGAUGGAUGAAGUGGAAGAGUGCAUCCGGCGUGUUGUGUGACCGCCGUAUGCCACUGAAGCUCAAGGGAAAAUUUUAUAGGACGGCAAUAAGGCCGGCGAUGCUGUAUGGCACAUAAUGUUGGGCGGUGAAGCAUCAACACGUACACAAAAUGGGUGUAGCGGAGAUGAAGAUGCUUCGUUGGAUGUGUGGGCACACGAGAAAGGAUAAGAUUAGGAAUGAGGAUAUCCGGGGUAAAGUAGGAGUAGCCGAAAUUGUAGGAAAGAUGAGAGAAAAUCGGUGACGGUGGUUUGGACAUGUGCCAAGAAGGCCUACUGACGCUCCGAUUAGAAGAUGUGACUACUGGACAGAGGUUCAGGGCCGAAGGGGUAGAGGAAGACCUAGAAAAACUUUGGAAGAGACUCUAAGAAAGACUUAGAGUACCUGGAUCUAACGAAGGACAUGACACAGGACCGAGCAUAAUGGCGUUCUAAGAUUCAUAUAGCCGAUCCCACUCAGUGACUUGGAUUUUCCAAGUCUCCAGCCGAGAAGUUUUCCUCACUCAGGAAAUUAAGGGAACACUACCCCAACCUACAUGCUCCACUCACAAAGCUUCAACAAAAGAAAAUUCAAAGAACUUAGCGAAGAAGGCUUUGAUGUAUUUAACACAAUACGUUGAAAUGAAGGAAAGCUUAUUUAUUGAUAUCAUCGAUAAGCUACAAAUAUGUACAUAUACAUAAGUCAAAAUAAACAAACAAGAGGGAGCCUUCACAAAGGUUGCUUAGGAGAAGUCUCAGCAGUCGGUAGAGCCCCAGAAAGAGAAGGCACCGGAGGGGGAUCAUUCGGAGCCUCAGUACUGGACAGAACCCUAGAAGGAGGAGGCAUAAGAGGUUGAUCAUUUGGUGCUUCAUUACGCGGUACAGCCCCAGAAGACGAAGGCAAUAAAUGCCUUUGGAACAAACCCACAAAUCUCUGAUGAUCAAGUAAAACCUGACCAUCAGAUUCCUUCAUCUGGUCAAGCUUCCUCUUCAUGUUUGUAGCAUAGUCAUGUGCGAGCCGGUGCAACUGUUUAUUCUCAUGCUUGAGCCCUCUAAUCUCCUGUUUGAGACUCAUCACUUCAGCCGCCAAUGAUUCAACUUGGCGGGUUCGAGCAAAUAGGUGUUGGGCCAUAUUAGACACAGAACCUGCACACUGAACACUGAGAGCCAGAGAAUCCUUAACAGCUAACUCAUCAGACCGUUUGGAAAGUAGUCUGUUAUCUUUGGGAGUGAGAAGGUUCCUGGCCACCACCGCAGCGGUCAUAUCAUUCUUCAUCACGGAAUCCCCAACGGUAAGAGGACCAGUAGGGGAGACGAAGGAUGGGCGCCAUAUGUUGUCUGGAGAAGGCGGGGCUUCCUCUUCAACAAGGUUCAAGUCAAAACGACGGUCGGAGGGGCCAGACAUUUUCAAAUGUGUUGAAGAGAGAAGAGGUCGGACAAAUCAAGAUCUUAGAAGUGUAAGAAUGGAGCUUCUACUGGUGGAGAUUCAAGUGUGCUUUGGAACUUAAUGUCAGCCCCUAUAAAAAUCUGCACUCAACGGAGCUUCAGAAAUCGAAGAGGCGCCUGCUCAGAAAUCGAAGAGGCGUUUGCUUUCUCAAAAGCAAGGCUGCUCAGAUACCACGAGGGUCGAUCUCAGAAAUCGAAGAGGCGUUUGCUUUCUCAAAAGCUGGGCAGCGCAAAGACCACGAAGGCCGAUCUCAGAAAUCGAAGAGGCGCUCAAAAGUUGGGCUGCUCAGAGACCACGAGGGCCGAUCUCAGAAAUCGAAGAGGCACCUACUUUUCCAGCCUUGUCAGUACCUGUCACACACACACUCAGCUUUGCGAAAAUUAUGGGGAUUCGGUCGAAGACUUCUGGUGAAGUAGAAAGCACAUGAGUCUUACUGUUCAAUCACCCACUUCCCACACGCAACAGUAGCUCAUGGGUACCACAUAUAACUUUUCCAAAGUUCUCUGCCAAAGUUGAACACGUGAAGUUUGCAGCUCCCACUACAUCGCUCUGAUCAAGAAGGGUAAAAGAAUAGCAAAGAAACAACACUAACAAAGUUUAGACACAUAAAUUUUGAUGGUCGAGCUACCAUAUUAUUACCCACAAGGGUAAAGGAACAGUACCACUGCUGGAUAAUUGGAAAGUCCCUGUGUGUCAACCUCUGUGCUUCGUGGCAAGGUAGACUAUCAAACAUGCCCAACCUUUACUCACAUUCGAGAAAACACUCCCAACAAGAUUGCUUGCUCCAAAAUCGAAGAGGCACCGUCCUUCGAAUCUCGAGAGCCAGACUCCCAACAUGACUACUUUCUCAAAAAUCGAAGAGGGUAAAGGAACAGUACCAUUGCUGGAUAAUUUGAAAGUCCCUGUGUGUCAACCUCUGUGCUUCGUGGCAAGGUAGACUAGCAAACAUGCCCAACCUUUACUCACAUUCGAGAAAACACUCCCAACAAGAUUGCUUGCUCCAAAAUCGAAGAAGCAUCGCCCUCCGAAUCUCGAGAGCCACUCCCAACAUGACUACUUUCUCAAAAAUCGAAGAGACAUCGCUCUCCGAAUCUCGAGAGCCAGACCCCCAGCAUGAUUGCUUUCUCAAAAAUCGAAGAGGCACCGUUCUCCGAAUCUCGAGAGCCAGAUCCCCGAUAGGAUUGCUUGUUCGAAAACCGAAGAGGCAACACUUUCCCAAUUUCAAGAGCCGGAUCUCCUUGGAUAAAGCUAUCUGUAAUCUUCACUCGCAACAUUAGCUUUCCAGCUACCACAGACCACUUUUUCAAAGUGAUCUGACAACGUUAAAACAUGUGAAGCUGGCAGCUUCCACUACCGUGCUAUGACCAAGUAGGGUAAAGGAAUAGCAUUACUACUUGUUGUUAAGGAGACUCCUAUAUAUGUCGACCUCCAUCCCCAACGGAUAGGCAGACCUGCAAAAAUGCUCAACUCUUCCUCAUAUCUGAGAGGGCACUCCCAACGAAGCCUUUCGAAAUAUUCAGCUUUCUUUCCCCCCGAUAAUACCUCUGCAAACAAGCUAUACUAGAGCAAGAAUAUCUCAUAUCAUCAGGGUUAAAAGCAAGAGUAUCCCAUAUCAUGCUUUUUCCUUGUCUUUUUCUUUGGCCUUGUUCUUACCUGCAAGACAAGAAGAAAGAGAGCAAUCAGUCAGUACUUGGAAUCAAGCUUCCAGCCAGGAACUGACUGCCUGGAACCCCUUACCUGAUUACUUACCUGACAUUGUUCUCGAGUACUCAUCUUCAACAUCUUAUGCUUCCAGGGAAGAUACCGCAUCUGCCUGAGGAACAGAUAGGGCAAGGGAGAAGGAUAUAAGGAAGCAUGUGGAGACAAGCGUAACAGCACACGUGCCGAUACAUCCAUUACUCUGUCAAAGCAAAAGUAUCCCAUAUCAGUAGGGUCGAACGUACUCUAGAUUUGAUGGACUUGUUUUGACCCUCAAAUUCUUCAGUCGGCCUUAUACUCUGGAGGAAACCAGAAAUUUCUCCAGCUCAGUGCAAGAAUAAGCUUGUGGAAAGUUACUUCUUCAAAAGCAAAAGUAUCACAUAUCAUCUCUUCUCAUUUUCUUCUCUUUAUCCUUCAUGCUGCCUGCAAGAUAGGGAGAUUGUGAACAAUCAGCUGGAGCUAUGAUUGCUUACCUUGUCUGUCACCUCUUUCAGCAGAUCCCCUAGCUCGGCGAUUUGGGGGACUCCUACUACAUGGUUUGUAUCGCGCUUGACCAAGCCUGAAACUACAAGUAAGCUUCAAGUGAAAUUGAUACAUUACCUUGUGCAUCUCCACCAGUUAAAGAUACUACCCCUGGAUGGAGGAAGAGUACUUCCAGAGAAGAUGCCCCAUCUACCUAUGAGACAGAUAAGGCACGUCAAGACGAUACCACACUCUGAUACUUAGAAGUUUCGUGAUUACGAGAUCAUUCUCCCACAAUAUUUCCUAAUGUCAUUUGUACUAAAUCAUUCACUUGUACUCACUAAAGGAGAGCUUGAACCUAUGUACUUGUGUAAACCCUUCACAAUUAAUGAGAACUCCUCUAUUCCGUGGACGUAGCCAAUCUGGGUGAACCACGUACAUCUUGUGUUUGCUUUCCUAUCUCUAUCCAUUUAUAUACUUAUCCAUACUAAUGACCGGAGCAAUCUAGCGAAGAUCACAAAAAGCGACCGUUUUCGCUACCUAAGAUCUAUCGUGCAAGAGAACGGAGAAUUAGAUGGAGAUCUCAACCAUAGAAUACAAGCUGGAUAGAUGAAGUGUAAGAGUGCAUCCGACGUGUUGUGUGACCGUCAUAGGUCACUGAAGCUCAAGGGAAAAUUUUAUAGGACGACAAUAAGGCCAGCGAUGUUGUAUGGCACAGAAUGUUGGGCGGUGAAGCAUCAAUACGUACACAAAAAUGGGUGUGGCGGAGAUGAGGAUGCUUCGUGGGAUGUGUGGGCACACGAGAAAGGAUAAGAUUGGGAAUGAGUAUAUCCGAGGUAAAGUAGGAGUAGCCGAAAUUGAAGGAAAGAUGAGAGAAAAUCGGUUCCGGUGAUUUGGACAUGUGCAAAGAAGGCCUACUGACGCUCCGGUUCGAAGAUGUGACUACUGGACAGAGGUUCAGGGCCGAAGGGGUAGAGGAAGACUUAGAAAACCUUUGGAAGAGACUCUAAGAAAAGACUUAGAGUACUUGGAUCUAAUGGAGGACAUGACACAAAACCGAGCGCAAUGACGUUCUAGGAUUCAUAUAGCCGACCCCACUUAGUGGGAAAAGGCUUUGUUGUUGUUGUUGUUGUUGUUGGGGUUUUGCAGGGAGUACUAAUGUACUGAUUUUCUGGGAUUUUUUUUGUCCUUGCAGGAUUUUUGGUCUUUGAAAUGGGUAUGUGUUGUUUUUAAUGUUUCAGUUCUAGCGUUUUCCGUUCUUCGUUGCUUCGUGAUUCUCAUUUUUCAGUGUUGGGUGAUGGAAAUUUGUUAAAGUAGUUGGUAGUUUUUUGAGAAAGUUGGCAUUUUUAGUUAUAUUUUCUGUUUAAUCCUAAAUGUUUUGAAAACUCAUAAUUUUUUUGUUCUGGGAUUUAAAAGCAUCUUUUCCAGAUUGGUUACAAGGGUUAUGUUCUCUUCAAUUGGUUCACCUAAUUUUGAUUAGUUUUAAGUUUUGUCCUUUAAGUUUGUCUUUUAAGUUUUGUUCUUUAAGUUUUGUCUUUUAAGUUUUGUUCUCUAAGUUUUGUCUUUUAAGUUUUGUCUUCUGUGCUGUAAUGAGAGAUUUCCGUUGGCCUUUCGGAUUUUGGCAUGGGAAAGUUCACUUAUUUGCAAGGUUCUAAAAAACGCUAGGCGUUAGUUGGGCGGUGGGCUAGCGCCUAGCGGCUAGGCGGCUAGGCGGGAUCUAGGCGGGAUCUAGGCGGGCGCCUAGGCGGCCUAGGCGGAUUUAGGUAAAUUUCUUAUAUAUUUUAUGAAUUAAUUAAAUUUACUAUAUCAAAUGUAAAUAAUUAUUAACUAAUAUGUUAUUUCUUAUAGAAGAACAUACAUAGUGAAUGUUUUAUGUACAUAUAUAAUAUAUUUGUCUAGGAAAAAAAAAUAUUAUCUAAAUAAUUUUUAUAACAUAUAUAUAUAUAUAUAUAUAUAUAUAUAUAUAUCCCAAACUUUUAAAAAUAUAAAUAGCAUUGGGAGAGGGGCGUAGGGUUUCUAAAAGCACACUCAGAAAUAGAGCAUAUUUUAGUCUUUAUUUUAGAAUCCUAAGGAGCACCCUACUCGGAUGCACGACAUGUGUGCAAAUCUGGAGAUUCUUGCUGUAUCGGAUACACCAAUGCUUAGUCAAAAUUUCCUGCUAGGGUUUAUGGUGGACAUGUGUGUGUGGUCUUCAUUAUUAAACCCAUUAGCACCUCACCUUUUCACAUCACCCGUCCAUCACCUUGGGUGGUUUUGAUAAUUAAAACCAUCAACAUCCAUGGUUUUGAUAAUUAGAACUACCAACUUUUCCUUGGAUUUGAGAAUCUGAGAUCCCAUUCAUCGCCAUCAAAUAUUGAAAUGUUUCAUUGUUCAUCUCUUUCUCCCUCUUCUCACUCUCUAUUCCCUCAUCUUCACAGAGAUGAGUUACAGAAAUUCUCCGGUAAUCUCUCUCUCUCUCUCUUCGUAAUCGACGAGCUCCUCGACUUGAAGUCGCAGCCAAGUUAUGAAGAAUCGAGAUGCGAGAGCAAGUGGAGAGUGGAGACUCUGGAAAUUGGGAGUGACGAUCGACGACGAUGAGUCGAUGACCCAGGAAACCUCUUGAAGUUGCAGCAGGUGAGUGCACUGCAGUUGAGGAAGAAGAGACGAAGAGACUUAGUUUCUGAAAUUAGGGUAGCUGCAAGGCACGGGAACUUAAAAACAAAAAAACAAAAAGAAAACCGCCUAGCUCCGCCAGCCGCCUAGCCUGCCUAGGCGCCUCCUAGCCCGCCUAGGUGCCGCUUAGCCACCGCCUAGAGCCCAGCCGUUUUUUCCCACCGUUUUGCACAAAAACGCCUUGGCCACCCUCCGCCUAGCGCCUAGGCGGCCGCCUAGGCCGUUUUUUAGAACACUGCUUAUUUGUCUAAUUAGAUUGUGGAUGCCUUCGAUUCUUUAUUUAAUUGUUCUGUUUGCGUUCGGGUGUGAUGAUCUAAAUUUCAUAUGUUUGGAAUUAUUUACUUAACACCAAUUUGUUACAUUCAGAUCUCCACCCCACAUUUCACUAGUUCAAAUUCCAUAGAAGUUGGUUAUUGCAGAUUGCGUCUACAAUUAGAUCAGAGAUCAACUACUCUUUUGUUAUCCUGCAGAAGAUUGCUUUUGGGAAGGAUCUGAAGUAGUUUCUCUCUGUAUGUUUAUUCCCAUGUAGCUCUGUCUUUUCUAAUUGAUGGUGUUGAUAUUACACUGUAAUUCAUGAUGAUGAUUUAAUUGUUUAUUGAUUUGUAAUUGUUUGUGAAUAAUGUGGCAUAUAUGAAUUGCAAUCUGUGUUUGUAUGAAAGGGAUGGCAUAUUAUGUUGCUGACUUAAUUGUUUAUGUUUUUCAUAUUUGCGAAUGGUGUUAUGAUCAAUUAGGUGAUUGCUGACCUGUGACUUUGUUUGGAGCUCAAAUUUUGUGAGCAUUACAUUGGAUUGUUUUGAUGUUGUUUUGGUUGACAAUGCAGGGAUAGGAGAAACAAAGAGGAUGACACUUAUAACUGCCAUUCCCCAUCGGCCGUCUUCAAAUUUGGAUCACAAGAAGGGAGCAACAUAGGUGUUUUCCUUCUUUAUUUAGAUAUGGUUAGUGUAAAUAAUUGGACAAAAGAGCCAAACAAACCCUGUUCUCUCAAAUGGAGUUGAUGAUGUGGUCGACGGCCACCAGCCCCAACUCAAGAGUUUGGCCUUCAUAUAAUUGGAUUGUAGUAUAAUUUUAUUUUUGUUCAUUUCUUUUUUCCUUUAUAUAAGUGCAGGUGUUGUGAUGUUUUGAAUAAAGGGUGAUGAAAGGUGGUUCACACUUCCUCCUUACUUAAAGCAAGUGGAGAUGACGGUUUGUAUAAAAAGAAAAACUUGCCACGUACUUCAAUUUUCUAUUUUAUUAAUUAUUGUUUGGUUUUCCAAAUGUUGUAUUCACAAAGAGAGACCAAUUAUGUCUUUGAGAAACAAGUUUCUUUGUCUACAUUGCGAGAAUUUGCAGUUUGCAACUUUCAUUGGUUAUUAUAUUUGAUUGAGUUAAACUUGGAUUUCUGGAUUCUGACUUUUUCGUUUGUUUCUUUGUUGCAGAGUUGGCUUCAUUUCAUUCCAGGAACUCUCUAAAUAGGGCCAAGAACUCACUAAAUAGGUAGUCAAGAGGAAUUCAGUUUUGCCUUCAAUUUUUGCCUUCUGUUUACAUUCUUCCUGGAUGCACUCUCACCGCUUCUCUCGCUUACCACUUUUUUCUCACUCACCGCUUCAUCUCUUCUGUUGCUUACAAGGUCGUGUCAUAUAUUUUUUAAUUUUGUGGUUUAAUUUAUUGAAUAUUUGAAAAAAGAGAUAAAAUUAUAAGAUACUAUAUAAGAUACUAUAUAGUAUCUUAUAAAUAAAUGAAUCACAAAUGAUACUAUAGUUGUUAAAAAAUCCCAUUACUCAAAACUCCAAUUCCCUCCCAUUACUGAAAGCUCCAAUUCCAUCAAAACCGAGAUGGUAAAAGUACAAACUGGCUAGUUUCCACCAAAAAAAAAAGUACAAACUGGUUACAAAAAUAUGUUUUGUCCCAUCCAAUUGACGAAAAGAGAUAAAAUUUUCAAUUUACAAUUACUGAUAUGAUGUUUGUUUUGAAAAUCAUUAAGGUGAAUGGAGAGAUUUACAACCAUGAAGAGCUGAGGAGCCGUUUGCCAAAUCAGAUUUAUAAGGUCUCAUCAAUUAUGAAUAAACGACUUUUCAUUCCCAAUGACCUUUAUCGUUUUUCUUAAUGGGUUAGCUGAACAUGAGGUAGAUGCUGACUUUAUCAAAUAUGAGAAUGUUUUAGGAUUUCAUUCUAAUUUUUUGGCUGUUUGAUUACUUUGCUUUUCGUAAUUUGUUUUGCUUAUCGUCAAUUGGAUGGGACAAAACAUAUUUUUGUAACCAGUUUGUACUUUUUUUUUUGGUGGAAACUAGCCAGUUUGUACUUUUACCAUCUCGGUUUUGAUGGAAUUGGAGCUUUCAGUAAUGGGAGGGAAUUGGAGUUUUGAGUAAUGGGAUUUUUUAACAACUAUAGUAUCAUUUGUGAUUCAUUUAUUUAUAAGAUACUAUAUAAGAAACUGUUAUUAGCACUCUAAAAAACUCAUUCUACACUCGCGACAAGUGUAUUUUUCUUUUUAAUUAUGGAAAGUUUGAAGGGCAAAAUGAGAAUUUUGGAGUGCCAAUAACAAUUCCCUAUUAUAUAUAGCUCUACUGGGAAGGCUACUGUAUAUGUCUUCAUCCUGUUAAAUUGUAUAUGGCUCUUGAUGUCGGCUGAAUUAAAUCAAAAUGAAAACCAAGCUGAUCUUACCAGCCGAUAUCACUUAUCACUUGCUUAUUUAAAUUAUUUGAAGAUGCGUAUGUGGAUUGGUGAUUUUGUUGGAUUCACUUAGCUCAAAUAUAUGUUAUCUGAGUCGCUACAUUUGAGAAUGUGAUUCUGUUCCUACCACCAUUUUGCCCACUUUUUGUGGAAAUUAUUCAUUCCUGUUGUGAAUAAUACAUUCAUCCCCGGCAACGAAGUGCGGGCACAUUUUAUAGUUUAAAUUAAAUCACACAAUGGGUCAUCAAUAAUGACAAACUCGUCAUUUAUGCGAGUCAAACAUGAGGCCACCUACCUACUAGUUUAGUGGAAUACCACAAAGUGACAUGUUGAUACCUUUAAGUCUCAUAUAAUGGAUUGCAGAAUUAGGAUAUACCUAGACUAAUUUAGUCAGUGCGUGAACCCGAACAAUUAACAAGGGUUUUAUUCUUGCUUGAAUGUUUGUUAUAUGUUCCUAGUUUGACAAGGCAAUUAUAUUUCCGAUUACAAAAGUUAUUAAUUUAGUCGAGAAUUGACGCACCUGAAAUGGUGUGAGGAAAACAUGUAGACACAUCAACCGCAGUCCACUGUCCUGGGCAUCUAUCUUCCCCGAAACGAAGCUCAAAGCCAUACAUGAGGGCAUUGUGUAUGUCUUUAUAAGAGAAGUUGCUGUAGUCUUCAACGUAGCCGGCAGCCAAACUCAUCCACUCUACACUGCAACCCUCAUCCAAAUCCCAUGCUUCCAACCUGCCCCCGACAUAGUCAGCGACCAUGACAUAGCUAUACGUUUUUGGUUGACUCGAAGAAGAAGAAGAAGUAUUAUUCAAGCAUGGAGCAGUGUCCACGUACAGAGAAGAAUUCGAUGGAUUCGAACACUUCAAGUAAUAUAUAGAUAGAGAAUUGAUGUCAUAGGUGGGCCAAUAUGGAGAAUUGAUGUCCUCGGUGGUGGGCGGAAUAUUUUGAGACAUGGAAGAGCAAUUGUUGUUGUCAAGCCCAGGAUCUAGAACUCGGAUUGUAUUGUUAAUGUAGUUGAUUGCCUGGACAUAGUAUUUUCCGGAAGAAGGUACGUCUAGUACAGUAAUGUUGCUCUCACAGUACAGAGUAUACAUUAUGUUGCCACAGUACUUUGGAUCAUCGUUCAGUCGAAAAGGAUGGCUUAUGUAGUGGAUAUGGCCGCAGGAUGAAGUGCAGGACUUGGCACUACUGUUGUCAGCGUUACAAGUUUCACUGCAAAAGCAAAGAAGAAGAAAGGCUAAACUUAAGGUGAAGGACCUGCUUCCACUAAUUUCCAUUGAUCUGAGAGAGAGAGAGAGAGAGAGAGAGAGAGAGAGAGAGGGUACUAUAGCUUGAACACCAAGGAGUUAUAUAAUAUGGGAGGGGUUAAAGCGCUUCGCUUAAAGUUGCAGUAAGCCCGGCAAAUAUCCUAGGGAAAAGUCGGUCAAUGGUGUCCUAUAGAGAAAAGUCGGCCUUGGUGUUUGACACGGUCACUCACUCUCUCUCUCUCUCUCUCUCUCUCUCUCACAUUGACGAGGGACACUGUAAUUAACAAAAAAAUUGUUCUUCAGAGAUAGAUUUUGAAAUUCUUAUUUUAUAUAAAAAAACACCUAAUAUUAAUCAUUCAAAUGAAAUUCCUAAAAUUAAGUAUAAAUAAUACAUAAUAAAAACUGAACACAUACAAUCAACGGUCACGAUCAUGAAAUCCUUCGGAUCCUCAGAAAAAAAUCCGACGAUGAUCUUUUUCUGUGUAAAAUAAUUUGAGGGUAUAAUACUGGAUGUGCGAUUAAACCGAAGAACCCACCCACCUCCAUCUUCUCCGACCAACUUGAACCCAGCCACUACUACAUGUCAUCCCGACAACCCACUCUCAGCUUCCCAAACCGCCAUUUUUCACCCAUUCACCUACCACUGCCAUUAUUCAUUCAAUCAACCCAAAACACGAGAGCCACCCCCAUCUCACCAGUCGAACAGAUGCAGCCACCCACCCAUUUAAUCCCAGUCCAAAAUCAAACCCUCUCCUAAACCCACCCCAGAAUCCAAUAAUUUCAAAAAAUGGCUGAUUAUAUCAUUUCAAGAACCUCACAAUUCCAAAAACUAAAAACCCACUUCAAAGAUGUAAUAUUUUUCUCUCUUCCUCUUUUUGGGUUUUUUUUUCUUUUUUUUUAUCAAUUCUCUUCUGGGUUUUUGUUUACAGUGUAAAAUCAACACUAAUUUACUAAUUUUGCUUUGAUUUCAAACACUAUUGAGGCGUGAUAACCUGUUGCAAGCUCAGCCAUGGCGGCUACUGCGAAAUCUAACGGAAAAACCAUCACAGACUCUGCCAUUUCAUCCAAGGUUCCGACAAUAGCAAAACGAAUAGCUGUCGCAGAUUUCUUCCAACAUCAAUCACUACGCGAAAUUAAUUGUCAAUGAAGACGAUCCCAUUCCCCUUCGAAAUCUGCUGGGGAAAGAGACCUUCUUUCAGAUCUGCUCUGAGACCGGUUUAUGCGAGAGAGUGGUGAGCCUGACGACAGAGAGAAAUAAGGGCAGGAUUGGAAAAUUGGAAAGUUCAUUUAUUGGUUACUGUUUAUCCGUGUUUCUUCGAAAUAAGCUGCUUUUUCCAGCUUUGGGUUUCAGUGUUUUUUAACCCAUAAUUUUGAAAGAAAAAAAACUGAUUUUAAAUGUUUAUCAAACACUUAAAAUGUUCCAAUCUUUUUUCAUACCUACUUUUUAUUAAAAGUUAAGCUAAACAAAAAUCAAGAUUAAGUUUACUACUCUGAAGUUUCUUGCUUUUCAACAUUUCAUACAUUGAAUUUUUCUCAUCCAGUGUCAUAUCUAAGGUGGGAAUUGUGGGACACUUUUAUACAUCCGUUAGAUUUUAUGUGAAUUGCGUGGCACUUUUAUACAUCCGUUAAAUUUUUUGUGAGAACCUUCGCUGACCCACGAUGCGGCAUGCAUGUGGACAUUAAAAAAAUUCAAAAAAUUCAAAAAAUUUUAAAAUUUUAAAAUUUAAAAUUCAAAAAUACUAAAAACCUAAACUUUUCAUAAUAUUGAAAGACUGAAUCUUUUCACAGUCAGCCAAAUUUUCUUCAAAUUUUAAUUAGAUGAAAUAAUGAAUCUUGAACAAAGCAAAACAAAACGUAAUAUUGAGAGAUUCAGUCAUUGAAGUGGACGUGGAUGUUGGGUACUCAAUAGUCCAAGAAUGAAAACUCUCAUAUCAGUUUCUAUCCAAAAUUUUGGAAUUAUGUGUGUUGCAACGAUUGUCCAAAGGAUUAUUCUUCUUUUAUUAAAUUUCCAUGAAAAAUGAGCAUGGAGCACAAAAGUUGAACGAAUGAUUAUUCUUCUUUUAUUAAAUUUCCAUGGAAAAUGAGCAUGGGGCACAAAAGUUGAACGAAUGAAAUUUCAACGAUUUGAAAAGGGAUUGUGAGUUUGACAUGUCAUUUUUCUUCCUCUAAUGCAAUCAUGUUUAUUAAAAGACAAAAAUAAAUAUGACUUUACAUAAGGAGAGAGAAGGAGUAGUUUUCUUUGAAAAAAUCAACCAUUUAUUGAAGAGGAUGUGGAUGUUGAUUGAUGCGUCGUGAAUACGAAAAAAAGGACCUUGAAAGGAGUUGAGACAUUCAUUAAAAGCUAGAAGAAAAAAAAGUUAAAAGUGUUUUAGAAAAAAAGCAAGAAAGCCUCAUUUUCAAAGUUGUGGUCAUUGCACAAUACUUGAUUAGAAGAAAACUCAUAGUAUUGUAUUUACAAUUUCAAGUCUUUAUGGGGAACGAGAGAGCAAGUUUUCCAAUUGGAAUAUGAUAUGAAAUUUCUACAUAACUAUAUAUGACAAUGAAAGAAGUCUAAGUUUCUAAAUGGAAGGGCUUCCAAUUGAUGUGAGUUUGUUGAGAAAUUAGUGAACAACAGAACAAGUUGCUUCUCCUUUGGCCUUCUAACAUGAUAUCACAGAAAACAAGUUGUUACUAAUAAAUGUAUCUGAUUGGUGGACUUAGACGUGCGCGGUACGAUUUUUGAUAACUAGAGAAGAUGGGCAGUGUCAUGACAAAAUUUAUCCAAGUAGACCCAAAGGAAUGACUUAGGAACUUCAUAUGCAGUGGGAUAAAAUCUUAAGCUAAUUUCCUUACCUAUCUUAUAGGCAUUAAGUAAAAUGUAUAUGCAUAUUUCUAGACACACCAAUUUACUUAAUAUUAACUUCUUUCAAAUACCCAUUUGCAGAAACGCAAAGCUCUCUUGCAUGCUUGUUGUAAUGCUUAUGUAGUGCGUAUCCUAUAUCUUAUAUAUAUAUCUUACUUUUUGUGAUCCAUUUUUUCAUCACUAUGCCAAACGAAUAGCAAAACGAAUAGCUGUCGCAGAUUUCUUCCAACAUCAAUCACCACGCGAAAUUAAUUGUCAAUGAAGACGAUCCCAUUCCCCUUCGAAAUCUGCUGGGGGAAAGAGGCCUUCUUUCCGAUCUGCUCUGAGACCGGUUUAUGCGAGAGUGGUGAGCCUGACGACAAAGAGAAAGAAGGGCAGGAUUGGAAAAUUGGAAAGUUUAUUGGUUACUGUUUAUCCGUGUUUCUUCGAAAUAAGCUGCUUUUUCCAGCUUUGGGUUUUCAGUUUUUUUUACCCAUAAUUUUGAAAGAAAAAAAACUGAUUUGAAAUGUUUAUCAAACACUUAAAAUGUUCCAAUCUUUUUUCAUACCUACUUUUUAUUAAAAGUUAAGCUAAACAAAAACCAGGAUUAAGUUUACUACUCUGAAGUUUUUUGCUUUUCAACAUUUCAUACAUUGAAUUUUUCUCAUCCAGUGUCAUAUCUAAGGUGGGAAUUGUGAGACACUUUUAUACAUCUGUUAGAUUUUAUGUGAAUUGUGGGGCACUUUUAUACAUCCGUUAGAUUUUUUGUGAGAACCUUCGCUGACCCACGAUGCGGCAUGCAUGUGGACAUUGAAAAAAUUCAAAAAAAAUCGAAAAUUUUAAAAUUUUAAAAUUUAAAAUUCAAAAAUACUAAAAACCUAAACUUUUCAUAAUAUUGAGAGACUGAAUCUUUUCACAGUCGGCCAAAUUUUCUUCGAAUUUUAAUUAGAUGAAAAUAAUGAAUCUUGAACAAAGCAAAACAAAACGUAAUAUUGAGAGAUUCAGUCAUUGAAGUGGACGUGGAUGUUGGGUACUCAAUAGUCCAAGAAUGAAAACUCUCAUAUCAGUUUCUAUCCAAAAUUUUGGAAUUAUGUGUGUUGUAACGAUUGUCCAAAGGAUUAUUCUUCUUUUAUUAAAUUUCCAUGAAAAAUGAGCAUGGAACACAAAAGUUGAACGAAUGAUUAUUCUUCUUUUAUUAAAUUUCCAUGGAAAAUGAGCAUGGGGCACAAAAGUUGAACGAAUGAAAUUUCAACGAUUUGAAAAGGGAUUGUGAGUUUGACACGUCAUUUUUCUUCCUCUAAUGCAAUCAUGUUUAUUAAAAGACAAAAAUAAAUAUGACUUUACAUAAGGAGAGAGAAAUAGUAGUUUUCUUUGAAAAAAUCAACCAUUUAUUGAAGAGGAUGUGGAUGUUGAUUGAUGCGUCGUGAAUACGAAAAAAAAAGACCUUGAAAAGAGAUGAGACAUUCAUUAAAAGCUAGAAAAAAAAAAGUUAAAAGUGUUUUAGAAAAAAGCAAGAAAGCCUCAUUUUCAAAGUAGUGGUCAUUGCACAAUACUUGAUUAGAAGAAAACUCAUAGUAUUGUAUUUACAAUUUCAAGUCUUUAUGGGGAACGAGAGUGCAAGUUUUCCAAUUGGAAUAUGAUAUGAAAUUUCUACAUAACUAUAUAUGACAAUGAAAGAAGUCUAAGUUUCUAAGUGGUAGGGCUUCCAAUUGAUGUGAGUUUGUUGAGAAAUGAAGAUGAAGAUGAAUAUUGAUGUUGAUGUUAGUGAACAACAGAACAAGUUGCUUCUCCUUUGGCCUUCUAACAUGAUAUCACGGAAAACAAGUUGUUGCUAAUAAAUGUAUCUGAUUGGUGGACUUAGACGUGCACGGUACGAUUUUUGAUAACUAGAAAAGAUGGACAGUGUCAUGACAAAAUUUAUCCAAGUAGACCCAAAGGAAAGACUUAGGAACUUCAUAUGCAGUGGGAUAAAAUCUUAAGCUAAUUUCCUUACCUAUUUUAUAGUAUUAAGUAAAAUGUAUAUGUAUAUUUCUAGAUGCUGACACACCAAUGUACUUACUAUUAACUCCUUUCAAAUACCCAUUCGCAGAAACGCAAAUCUCUCUUGCAUGCUUGUUGUAAUGCUCAUGUAGUGCGUAUCUAAUAUCUUAUGUGUAUAAUUUUUUGUGAUCCAUUUUUUCAUCACUAUGCCAAAAUCCCUUUAGAAUUUGCAAUUUAUCCAUUUGGUUAUGGUAAAAAAAAAAACUCGGAAUUUCAUUUAAACUCGAAAAUCUAGAAUUGGGAAAGCAAUUUUCCCUUGUUCGGCAACUUGUAGCGAUAGCAAAGGCAAAUUGUACCGGAAAAAAGUGGAAAUUGGGGAUGAAGAUCCAAUUUUAAUUUCGUCAAAAUAAGUGUAAUUUCACAAUUCCAACAACGUUGAGAAUCACAAAUGCAUUGUGGGGAAAUCUUGCGACCACCAAACUUUACGAUUAGAGCGCCAAAUUUCAUGAUAAAACGUAAUAAGGGUUUAGGACUGCAUCGUUCGCUCUGUUAACUCUCCAAUCUUCGACGGGAUUUUCAACUCGUGCAUCAUUUUUUGCUUUGUUCUAGGUCAAAGCCUACUCUUUUCUUUCUUGAAUUAUUUUAGCUUUGCGGGUAUACUCUUUAGGCCAAUUGUGAAUUUUGCUAGUUAUUUUUAUUUUCUGAUGGUCAUAUGUUUGUUUUUUUUUUCUUCCAAUUGAGCUGUGUAUUGGUUGGAUCAGUAACUUUUUUUUUGGAUUUUUAUUUUUAUUUUUAUGGAUUUUGGUGUUAGUUCCUUGUUAUAGAUGUAUAGAUGUUGUGGAGCAAAAAAUAAUCUCAAAAAUCGUGGAGGUGACACACGGAUUUUUGGACAAGAAUGACAAAAUUAUCCUCGAAGCACAUCAUGAUUCCCACGUGCAUGCAACGGACAAUAACGGCUCAAUCAUGGAAGAGUCAAAGGUGAUCAAUAUGGUAUUUAUUCAAAUCCCUCUCAUCACUCCUCAUCAAUCCCUUUUUGAUUUUAUUCAAAAGGUAACUCCCAAAACUUCCUAUUUAAUUUAGGGAUCAUUGUCAUGUUAAUUGCAAGAUAUUAUUUCACAAAAUAUCUUGUAAUUAUUCUUCAAUUACCACCAUGUAUGGCCGGCCACUCCUCACCCUAUGGGCCGGUCACUCCUCACCCUAUGGGUCGGCCACUCCCUAUAAAUAGCCCUAUUAUUCCACUAAUAAGGAAGCCAUUUGCUACCCACAAACUCCUAAACACAUUCUUUCAGAAUUCUAACUUUGGCAUUGGAGAUUCUUAGGCCAAAUCCCCCCUCCCAUUCAUCGUGGGCGCAUAAGGCUUUUGGCCUUAGUCUUAGGUAUUAUUAUUUUGCAGGUGCAUUUUCGUCAAAGACGAAGAUGGUGGAAAUUUGGAUCCACAAAUUGGUGUUUUCAUUGAGAGUUUGAUUCACAAGCUCGAAGAAGACUCUCGCAUUCAAAGUUUCACAUUUCUCAUUCAUAAGUAAAUUUUUCAUACGUUCUUAUUCCUAGAAUUUUUUUAAAUCUUUGAAUAGACGUAGGAGAGAAAUACAAUGGCUAGAAAUUUAGAAACCACGACGAACGAAACUUCCUACGUUCAAAGAUCCAGAUCAAAUGAUGGAAAUUGCGAUGUAGCCCCACCACGACGAUCCACGAAGCUCAACGUAGUGGCAAAAUGAGUAACUUGGCCACCACGGAGUACCACCACCACCAUAGCCAAGGCAACCCAUGUUGCAGUGGGGAGUGGGACAACUCCAUGGCAGCAAGGCCACGAAGCAACAACAGAUGCCAUCUUGCAGUAAUGAGCCCAAGCCUGUGUCACAAGGUAGUCAACCCAGCGCUAGGUAACCUAGAUCUAGUAGGCCCACGACGUUGCCAUAGUAGCUGAGGCCUAAAGCAAGGCCCAAGCAGCUGCGACUGCGGCAAAUGGAGCAACACAACACUGGCGGGGCCAAUGCACCCUUGGCCUAAUGCCAAGCAGGCUAAAUCGCACCACACCCACUAUUCAAACUAACCCUAAGUUGAGUAAGUAGCAUUGAAGGUUGUCAACCGCAAGGCGUUGAAGUACGAAUAAAGUUACACACCCCGCACAUGACUUGGCCCACUUCCGCGGCCCAACUUGCUCGCAAGGUCCACCUAGUGAUCCCGACCAGUCGAAGGCCAGUUCAAUCAUCCCAUCUUCAGAUUUCUGGACUGACGAUUGAAUCGGGGGUAUUUUCACCCCGAUUUUCUACAGAUUUGACAUAUCUCAACACAAAUCUCGCACUUGGAGUCCAUUGCACUUCCAUUACUCAAGGAGACGCAUACCAUUUAAGAUCUUCCAUCCCAAAUGGCGAACAACACUUGUCUUGACAAGUCAUAGAGUUGACAUGCACUUUUGCGCAGUAGACGACCUUAGUGAAUCAGCUUUUGCAACGCACAAAGAUGCAGUAUGCCCCAGACGAUGUGUCCCGAAGCAGGACAAGUAUAGACGACGAUUCUCUCCAGCAGCGUCCCAACAAGCAGCCGCUCGACUAGCCACGAACCGAGCAUUCUGGCAGUGUACACUCCCGUCUAGGUCCUCAAGAAAGCAUAUACUCUCAUCUUAGCGCGCGGAUGAGCGUGCACUCCUGGUUAGGCCUACGGACGAGCAUACAUUCACGGUUGGGACCAUACUCUUAUAAUUAACAUGGACAACCUGCUAGACGAAGUGUUCAUUCGCGGCUAGGCUCGCAAAGAGCAUUUUCCACCUCAUAUUGGAGUAAGCAGCACAGAAGACGAAGAUAAGCAGUCAAUUAAUCUGGCUCAAAUUCAAUCGGCCACCUGUAAGUAACUAGCUCGCCUGCCAAGAACGUACCAUAUGCAAUGUAGCCACGACAUAGACUAGCUGAGCACAACGAUGAGCAACCUAGACUAACAGGUUACGACUGGGGGUAGCCAGAAGCUUCACUGCCCCAAUAUAGGUAAAUUUAGAAAGAAGUUGAGAGGCUUCUGACAGAACGAUUGUGCGAUUUCCAACGCAAUGAAGCUACUGACAAGGCGCUUAAACGAUACACGACCAACAUAAACGGGUCACCUUUUAUUGACAAGAUUGAGCAGACAGAACCAUCCUACAUACACUGGCGGAUACAAAUAUUACUUCUAUUUUAACAUACGCAUCAACUCAGCCUAAUGGCGUGUCGAGGGCAAAUGGGUUCCAGAAUGGCACACUAACCCAACCACCAAGAACCAGGGCCAAAUCUUAUUUUCAUCACUCCACACGAUUCAAUGCUUGAGCAUCACAUCACCAGUAAUAGAGCACCGCAGACCUAAUGGUCCAAUUCCUCCUGAUGCACACAAGCUCACCCCAGCUCCACGCUCAAAGCCGUGCCUACCUGCUCCACAACACUCAGCCACCCUUGAUUUGUCACCAUGGCUCACAGUUAUGCCAAUUUUGCACCACAGCUCCCAGCCGUGCUAAUCUUGCCAUGCGGCUUUUAACUACGUUAACCAAGCCCACGAUACUUCAUACUUCAAAACAUCCAAUGACGAAGUAGAACAUGAGGCUCUACUAGCAGCCCCUGCUAGUGAAAGGCUUUGCGGUGAAGAGGCUUCCAAUCCAUUCAAAUUCUCAGUUGACCACCUGUUGGGUUUUACGGCUCAAAAUUAGGAUGAUGCAAAAAAAAUUGUGUUACCUAUUUGGUUUUGGUGUCGUAUUUGGGUUUGGAUUUUGACCUCUUAGUUGGUUUCCUUGGUGGAGAGAUUUUGUUAAUUACCUAUUUGAUUAGGAUUUGGAUUUACUUCCUAUUAAGAUUCUUAUUGUAACCUAAGUCUUAUGCACUAUAAAUAGGACCUCAGGGUUAGUGUAUUUUGUGUGGCUCAUUCGUGUGGCAAUUUGGUGAGAGUCAAUUUGUGAGUUUGUGAGUUAGAGAGCAAUUUGGGAGAAUCUUCUCCGUUAGUUUUGGGUUCUCUACUCGUUUGGUUUAGGGUUUGUAAUUUGUGGGAUUUGGAUUGUGAGAGUUUAAACACUAUUUUGUAAUCUCCGUUUGUUUAGUGAAAUUUCUUGUCAUGCUUCGCUCGUGGACUUAGAUUUUACACCGAACCACAUAAAUCUCUUGUGUUAGUUUGAGAUUGUUUGUUUUAGUUUUCACCUACAACGUUGAUAUCGGUACUUUGCUAUAAUUUGCUUUCCUUUGCUCAUAAAAGUACGACAAGUGGUAUCAGAGCCCAGCUUUCGGCUUGGGCUUUUCUUGGCAAUCAAUAUGAAGCCUUCUGUGUCGUCGGUGAAAGUUGAUAUUGAAAAGUUCGAUGGCAAUGACUUUGGUAUUUGGCAAUUGAAGAUGCGUGCUUUGUUAAUUCAACAAGAGCUUUUAAAAACGCUAAAGGGUGUGAAGGCUUUCCUGAAUUCGUGGACUGAUGAAGAAAAACAAAGAAGUUAUGGAGCGGGCACUUGGAACAAUCCUGCUGACUUUAUCGAAUGAAGUCUUGCGUCAAGUUGGUAGCAUCAAAUCUGCACCGAAGUUGUGGCUAAAAUUGGAGAGUUUGUAUAUGACCAAAUCCCUUGCUAAAUGGUUGUAUUUGAAGAAAAGUUUGCGUACUCUUCGUAUGGAUGAAGGUACGUCAAUUCAUAAGACCAAAUCCUUAUUGCUGCCAAAAGUCCUCAACAGUUCCAAGGGAGAUGGGUAAGAGUUCGUAAUAGUGAGAGAUUGAAUCUUUUCACACUUGGCCAAAUUUUAAUUUUAAUUAGAUGAAACAAUGAAUCUUGAACAAAGCAAAACAAAAUUUAAUACUGAAAGAUUGAGUCAUUGAAGUGGACGUGGAUGUUGGGUACUUAACAGUCCAAGAAUGAAAACUCUCAUAUCAGUUUUUAUCCAAAAUUUUGGAAUUAUGUGAGUAUUGCAACGAUUGUCCGAAUGAUUAUUCUUCUUUUAUUAAAUUUCCAUGGAAAAUGAGCAUGGGGCACAAAAGUUGAACGAAUGAAAUUUCAAUGAUCUGCAAAGGGAUUGUGAGUUUGACAUGCCAUUUUUCUUCCUUUUAUGCAAUCAUGUUUAUUAAAAGACAAAAAUAAAUAUGACUUUACAUAAGCAGAGAGAAAGAGUAUUUUUCUUUGAAAAAAUCAACUAUUUAUUGAAGAGGAUGUGGAUGUUGAUUGAUGCGCCGUGUGAAUAGGAAAAAAAUGACCUUGAAGGGAGACAAGACAUUCAUUAGAAGCUAAAAAAAAGUUAUAGUGAUUUAGAAAAAAGAAAUUUUAACGAAAUAUUUCCGGUAUUGUUCACUCUUUACGAAAAACCACAUUUUUACAUUUCCUGGCUACUAUUCACUACACCUUUAUUUAUCAUUUUUCAUUAAAACUAAAUUUGUUUUUGAACUUUUCGUUAGUUUCCUUUAGAAAAAAGCAAGAAAGCCUCAUUUUCAAAGUGGUAGUCAUUGAAACAAUACUUGAUUAGAAGAAAAGUCAUAGUAUUGUAUUUACAAUCUCAAGUCUUGAGGGGUAACGAGAGUGCAAGUUUCUAAUUGGAAUAUAAUAUGAAAUUUCUACAUAACAAUAUAUGACAAAGAAAGAAGUCUAAGUUUCUAAGUGGAAGGGCUUCCAAUUGAUGUGAGUUUGUUGAGAAAUGAAGAUGAAGAUGAAUAUUGUUGUUGAUGUGAGUUAGUGAACAACAGAACAAGUUGCUUCUCCUUUGGCCUCUAACAUGAUAUUACCGGAAAACAAGUUGUUACUAGUAAAUGUAACUGACUGGUGAACUAAGACAUGCGGUACGAUUUUUGAUAACUAGAGAAGAUGAAUAGUGUCGUGACAAAAUUUAUCCAAGUAGACCCAAGGGAAAGACUUAGGAACUUCAUAUGCAGUGGGAUAAAAUCUUAAGCUAAUUUCCUUUUUAAUCUUAUAGUCAUUAUGUAAAAUGUAUAUGCAUAUUUCUAGAUACAUACACACCAAUGUACAUAAUAUUAACUCCUUUUAAGUAGUCAUUUGCAAAUCCCUCUUGAGUGCUCUUUGGAAUGCUCAUGCGGUGCCGUUCUAAUCUCUUAUAUAUAACUUUUUGUGAUCUGUUUUUUCAUCAAUAUGCCAAAAUCCCUUUAGAAUUUGCAACUUAUCUUUUUGGUUACGGUAAAAAAAAACUCGGAAUUUCAUUUAAACUCGAAAAUCUAGGGAUGUGAAAGCAAUUUUCUCUUGUUCGACAACAUUUAGCGAGAGCAAAGGCAAAUUGUACAGGAAAAAGUUAGAAAUUGGGGAUGAAGAUUCCCAAUUUUAAUUUCGUCUAAAUAAGUGUAAUUUCACAAUUCUAACUACGAUGAGAAUCACAAAUAUAUUGCAGGGAAAUCUUGCAACAGCCAAACUUUACGAUUAGGGUGCCAAAUUUCGUGAUAAAACCUAAUAAGGGUUUAGGGCUGCAUUGUUCACUCUGUUAACUCUCCAAAUCUUCGACGGAUUUUCGGCUCGUGCAUCAUCUUCUUGCUUUGUUCUAGGUCAACGCCUCUACUCUCUUCUUUCUUGAAUUAUUUUAGCUUUUUAGGUAGGCUCUUUAUGGCUGUUGUGAAUUUUGCUAGUUAUUUUUAUUUUCUGAUAGUCAUUUGUUUGUUGUGCGUUUUUCCUUCCAAUUGAAUUGUGUAUUGGUUGGAUCUGUAACAUUUAUUUUUUAUUUUAUUUUAUGGAUUUUGGUGUUAGUUCUUUGUCAUGGAUGUUGUCCCUUUGAAGGUUAACAAUAGCCAAGACUAAACAUGAUGAUAUUGUUAAUUACUUUCUCAUGAUACUAAUGCCAUAUUGUUCUCUCUUUUGCACUUACAAGUGAAGAGAAAUAUCCUAGACCCUAACUGGAUAUGUUAUUGUCAUGGUCAUGCAUUGGUAUGGUAACAAUAUGUUUGGAUAAGGAAAAUAAACUUAGAAUUUGACAAAAGAUAGAAUUUAUAAAUUGAUACAAUCAAUUCCUUUGUUUAGAUUCAUAAACAUAGAAAUUUAAACUUUCCGUGUGAGAAAAAACUUGGAAUUUGGGACCUUCAAUUCUCAUGUUUAAAUUUUAUGUAAAUAGGUGUCAUUUCUAAAUUUCAGCAAGUGAGAAUUUAAAAAUAACAAACAUGUAUUCAAAUUUCAUUCCUCUUUUAGGUUAACCAAACAAGAAAUUUUAUAAAUUCUAGAAAAUAAAAUUUCGUUAUUUCAAUUUCUGUUAUUUUAAAAUUAGUAAUCUUAAAUUUUCCCAUCCAAACAAAGAGUUUCCUUGUCAUAGAACUUUCAAUUGGGAUCAAGGAAGACAAUCUUUUCACAACUGAUUAUUCUCACCAAAUUUUAUUAUUAUUUUAAAGCAGAUCAAUACCAAACUUCAAAAGCAAAGUAGGAAGGCUAAAAUUAAGGUGAAGAACCUACUUCCACUAAUUACCAUGGGAGGGGGAGAGAGAGAGAGAGAGAGAGAGAGAGAGAGAGAGAGAGAGAACCAAGCGAGAGAGAAGAGAGAGAAAACACCAAGUAGUAUUAUAAUAUAGGUGGGGUUAAAUCACCUUUCGUGAAGUUGCGGUAAGAGCAGCUCCAGCGGGAGGUCCAGCUUGAUGGACCGGUGAGAUUUCCUACCCAAUAGCCCCAGCUCCUUGCUCCAGCCCAUGCGGGCGAUUGGGCUGAGGGGGUGCCCGAGUGAGAGGCCUGACUCGAAUCGGUAGCCUGAGAGCUUGAGGCCAAAUGAUGCAUGGACGUCAGCCACGUUAUAAGAAGGAAGCAUAAACUAUGAAUAAUGAUAGAGAUUUAGAUUUUGGUGUGUGAUUUCAUCGGAUGGAUGGUGGGUUAUAUGGAGGAAAAAAAAAAGAUUAGGUUGUAGAUAAUGCCACGUGGCAUGCCGUCAUUCGUUAAAAAUCUGAUCGAAAUCUAUCAUCAAAGAUUUUAAACAGAUUAUGACACGUGACGCAACGUGAUUGGUUAAAAAUCUUAUCAGAAAUCUAUCCUUAACGAUUCUGAAAAGGUAACGAGAUGGGGCACGACGGCAUUGGAUAAAAAUCUUAUCGAAAUCUAUCACCAAAAAUUAUCUUUUUGGAUAAUGACACGUGGUGCAACGAGAACGAUUAAAAAUCUUAUCCGAAAUUACAAAUAGAAUUAUUUUGUAUUAUUUUAUAAAAUAAAAAUACUAAUAUUUUAUUGCCUAUUGACAUGACUAUUCAAUUAUGGGUGUGGAGAUGCAGAAGAUAAUUAUUAUUAAUUAAAGGUAAUUAUUGUUCAUUGGAGGGGAUUGAAUAUGAAGUUGCAGUAGAAGGCCUUUGUCACAGCAAUAGGCAGUUACUGUUCUAAGGACUUCUAUCCUAGAACAGAGACAAAAACACCAAGUAGUAUUAUAAUAUAGGUGGGGUUAAAUCACCUUCCGUGAAGUUGCUGUAUGGACUUCUAUCCUAGAGAAAAGUCGGUCAAUGGUGUUUGACACAGUCAGUCAACGACAAAGACAGAAUUGUGUAACCAUAAUUCUCUCUCUAUCUCUUUUUCAUUAACGGAGGACAGUGUAUAAUUACUACGUAUAUAUCUCUGCUCAAUUAUUGAAAAGAAAAAUCCAUGUGCAUUAUUUUUAUUAUUAUUAUCUCAGAAAUGCAGAAAUUGAUUAUCUCUUCCUUCUGCAUAUUGAUACUGGUUUUCUUCAAACUAGUUGAAGCAAGCCAAUAUGUGUGCGCGAAAUCCAACUGUAGCAAUGAUCAAGGCCCGGCUAAUUUCCUUAGGAGGGAGAGAGAGAGAGGGGAGAGAGAACCAAGUGAGCGAGCAGAGAGAGAAAACACCAAGUAGUAUUCUAAUGUUGGUGGGGUUAAGUCACCUUCCAUGAAGUUGCAGUAAGGACUUCUAUCCCAGAGAAAAGUCAGUAAAUGAUGUUGACACAGUCCGUCAACGACAAAGACAGAAUUGUGUAACCAUAAUUCUCUCUCUAUCUCUUUUUCAUUAACGGAGGACAGUGUAUAAUUACUACGUAUAUAUCUCUGCUCAAUUAUUGAAAAGAAAAAUCCAUGUGCAUUAUUUUUAUUAUUAUUAUCUCAGAAAUGCAGAAAUUGAUCAUCUCUUCCUUCUGCAUAUUGAUACUGGUUUUCUUCAAACUAGUUGAAGCAAGCCAAUAUGUGUGCGCGAAAUCCAACUGUAGCAAUGAUCAAGGCCCGGCUAUCCAUUUCCCAUUGAACAUCAGGCGCACACAUCAUUGUGGAAAUUCUGGGCUUGAAUGCAAUGGGAGAUAUGAGCAGCAAAUACUAAUAAAAUUAUUUGUCAAAGACACAGAUUACAAGCGUCAGGAAAUCCAAGUCUAUUCCCCAAGUAACUGCCUGCUGCUAAAGCUUGUUGAAAUCCCAAACAUGCCACCCUCUCCCUUCGUGCCAGUAGUCGAUUACAUGAUUAAUUUCAUAAACGUUACCUUAUUCAGUUGUCCUACUUCUGUUGCAAUACGAGAUACGUAUGGUUGUCAAGUCCCCUGCCUUGGCGACCGUGGCAAGAGAACUUAUGCCAUUGAUUCUGGGGUUUAUUUUGAAACUCUCUUCCAGAAUCUAGAAUCCUGUACAAAAAUGUAUGAUGUUUUAUCAGUUCCAAUAGCCGAUGAAUAUUAUGUUUUUCGUUUCAAAUGGUCUAUACCAAAUUGCAGAAAAUGUGGAGAGGGAAAGAAGUGUGAAUGGCAGAACAAUGAAAUUAAAUGUCUUCCCUGGAGGAAACCAAGUAAGGAUAACAUAUGUAUUCAUUGCUAGUUUUAAACAUCUUUACAUUUAUGUCUUAGUAAUUAUUAUUUGAAGGAUGUUGUCCAAUCCAUUUUUACUAGGAAUAUUACCUGACAGUCUCGUUUAAAUUCGCAAUGAUCUUCUACAGGCAACACAUGGAAAAAAGUGGUUACAGGUGGAAUCCUGUGUGCUUUGCUUCUUGUUCUACUGACGAUUGCAGCAUAUCGGGUAUAUAGCGCUGAUAGAAAGGAGAAAGAGAGUCGAUUAAGAAUUGAAAGAUUCUUGGAGGACUACAAAGCACUCAAACCAAGCAGGUAUUCGUACGCAGAUAUUAAGAGGAUUACAAAUCAAUUCAAGGACAAGUUGGGCGAAGGAGCCUAUGGAACUGUCUUCAAAGGAAUGCUCUCUUCUGAAUUCUUCAUUGCUGUCAAAGUCCUCAACAGUUCCAAGGGAGAUGGGGAAGAGUUCGUAAAUGAAGUGCGAACGAUGGGUCAUAUCCACCACGUAAACGUGGCUCGCUUGGUUGGAUUUUGUGCUGAUGGAUUUGUACGAGCUCUUGUUUACGAGUUCUUCCCCAAUGGUUCCCUGCAGGAUUUCAUUUCAUCUGCAGAUAGUAAGAAUUCAUUUCUUGGUUGGGAUAAGCUACAAGAUAUUGCCCUAGGCAUAGCCAAAGGAAUUGAAUAUCUUCACCAGGGAUGCGAUCUACGAAUCCUGCAUUUCGACAUCAAACCCCAUAAUGUUUUGCUAGACCAAAACUUCACUCCAAAAAUUUCUGAUUUUGGUUUGGCCAAGUUAUGUUCCAAGGAUCAAAGCUUGGUGUCCAUGACUACAGCAAGGGGGACCAUGGGCUACAUUGCACCUGAAGUGUUCUCCAGGAAUUUCGGAAAUGUGUCGUACAAGGCAGAUGUUUAUAGCUUUGGAAUGCUACUGCUUGAGAUGGUAGGAGGAAGGAAGAAUAUUGGUUCAAUUACGGAUAACACUACAAAUGAAAUUUACUAUCCACAGUGGAUUUAUAAUCUUCUAGAGGAAGGGGAUGACCUACGAAUCCACAUUGGGGAAGAAGGAGAUGGUAAAAUUCCAAAGAAACUUGCAAUUAUAGGGCUAUGGUGUAUCCAGUGGCACCCGUCGGAUCGUCCUUCCAUGAAAAUAGUGGUUCAGAUGUUAGAAGGAGGAGGAGAAAGCUUGAGUAUGCCGCCUAAUCCCUUUGUGCCUACUGGUUCUACAACUAGGAAUGCAAGACACCUAGAGCUAGAAGCUAUUGCUGAAUUAGAGUAAAAUGUAUAUGCAGAUAUGUAGACGUAUAGAUAUAGUAAUAUUUAUAUUGAAUAAGAGGCCGUUUGAUAACCAUUUCGUUUUCAGCUUUUAAUUUUUAUUUUUCACUUUUUUGAAAACUAAAAACUAAAAUCUUGUUUGGUAAAUACUUUUAGUUAAAAAAAAAUGAAGACUGAGAACUAAAAUGUGAAAGCUCAAAGGAAGUAGAUUAAAAGUAGUUACCAAACAAACCGGAAUCUCAAUAAAUAAAAAAGAUUGAAUUGCACAAUGCAAUCCAAACCAAUCAAAACAUUUAAAAUAGCAAAAAAAAAUUAAAAUUCUAGUUGAUUAGAUUCUAAACAUAGUAAAAAUGAACAGAUCCGAUGAAAAAAACAAAAAAUUCUCAGAUAAAAAUAGGGAUAAAGUAAAAUAUUUAUAAAUAGCUCUUUGUCUCUUAUGCCAUCAAUUAUUUCUAUAGUAUAUACACGUUUUUGGAAAAAUUAGGUUCCCAUCCCUUAUUUUCAUAUUACAUUGAUUGAAAUCUUAUUAUUUUUCUAUUUUAGAUCAAGGUCCCUUGACUUAUUCUAUGUCAUCAUUUUAGUAUUUAAAAUAUUACACGUUAUCAUAAACGAAAUCUCAUCCCUUUCUGCAUUUAAGGCAAAAUAAACUAUAUGAGUAAGUUUAAAACAAGGAAAAUCCAUUUGAACUCCUCCAUUCUUCUUCUUCUCUUAUAAACAUCUGGAAUCUACAACACCCCAAACCCAAUUUUCUCCAUUUUUUCUCCUUUCCUGAAUUGAUCCAAUGCAUAUAUGUUGAAUAAACCUAUUGUGAUUAAAAUACAAAUUAGCAUCAAUGGUUUUAUUGGCUUGUGAGAUUUGUGUGGCAUAGGCAAGGCAAUGCAGGCAUCGUUUUCUCAAGGAAUCUGGUUGAUUCAAACAUGCAGAGACUGUAGAGUGAGUGGGCUAUGUGAAAACUGUACCAUUCUGAAGUCAUUUUCUUUUGUUCUUUAUAUUUUUUUUUCUUUUUCUUUUAUUAUUAUAUAUUAGUCUUGGUUAUUCAAUGCCUGGUUGGCUACACUUAUAUCCAUGGGUACAUUUUUAAUCUACAUGUUUCGUUCUAAUAUAUCUAUUGCUAUAAUAUGUUUUGGUUGGUUCAAAUUUGUUUUACAUAAAUAUAUGGGUACAAAGUUUUUGGAGAAUAUUAUGUAAAUGGUUUUUAAGGUUGCUGCAUUUUACGUACCCACAUAUGCAUGUCUAUAAAACAAUGUGGUAUGAUGUACAUUCUUUUCUUUGAGUUUUUAAAUGUACCCAUGAGUUUUUUUGUAAAUUCGGUAUGUACCCAUAUGCUAUUUAUGUUAUGGGUACAUACAUUAUUUUUGGUCUAAGUUCAGGGUACAUUGCUUUUGUAUGUAUGAAUUCAAGGGGUACAUUAUUUCCCUUAAUACUACUCAAUAAAAUUCACAAAAUAUGUGUAGUGUGCAUGAUUUUUUAUUGUAGAAAUUGUUUUUUUUUAAGUCUCAUAAUUCAUGAAAUUUGUACAUAUAUGAUCCCAUAAAUUUUUUAAUUUUAUUAAAUUUCUUUUAGACUUGAUCGAUUGAUUGAAUCUCAUCAUACUAGGAUUUUGAAUUACAUAAAUUCUUGGAUUUAAAUCCCUUAAAUGUUGGACUGCAAUCAAUAUUUUAAAUUAUAGUUUUUUAUUUAAGAUAUCAAAAAGAUGACAUGGAAAUAUAGUAAUACUAAAAUGCUGAGGUGUACAAAGUCAAAGGACUUUGAUCAAAAAAUAAAAAACAAUAAGAUUUCAAUCUAACAAUUAAAUUGACUAGGGACCGGAACCAAAAUGACCCUAGAUUUUUAUUGAGUUUAAUCUUAAUCAAAAAAAGACUUCUUGUAUCACAGAAAAUACAAGAACCAUUAUUUGAAUGAAAUAAAAGCUAUGGGAUGGAGAUAUAAAUGGAUCAUUUUAUUCACAAUCGGAUUAUAUUUAUUUGAUACACUAUUGUCAAUAUGAAUGUUGAGAAAAAGACUACAAAAGAAAAAACAAUUUAUAAAUAUAACUAACAAUUCCAAUUUCAAUCAAUUAGACAAUUAGAUAAUACAUCAGUAAACGCGGGGUGACUCAGUGGUUAGAAACGAAUUUUAGGCUCGUAUUCUAUACAAUACGUCUUGGGUUCGAUUCCUGACAAUGGUGAAUCACGCGACGGUAGAUAUAGGGGUGUUGUUGGAAGUUUUGAGACUCAAGUCCUUUAUAUAGAUUUAGUGCUUUAGUUUAGUAAUUAGAAUAUGGGUCAUUUGGAAAUGGAUUGAAGGUUUGGGCCUUAUGGUUGUGUGGAUUAGGCUUGUAUAAUAUAGCCUAAAUACAAUUAAUAUUAAUUAAUCAAGACAAGGGCCUUGGGCCUUACUUGGGGCCUUGGAAUUUAAAAUUAAUCUGAUUCAUUAAUUUUAAUUUUCGGAUUAAGUUUUUAAUUAAUUUAUUAUUAAUUAAAAACGUUUUGAUUAAAAGACACAGCUCUUAGAAAAGAGUUAUGAACCUUCAAAUACACUGAACUGGUAUUUGAAAGGGUGUGAAACAACCUAUAUAUCUGCAAUCCAUGGUAUCCAAAUAAAUCAUCUUUUCUUCUUCCUUUUCUUCCGUACAAACUUUCCAGAGAGAGUAAACACACAAAGCAAUUCGCUAGAAUUCUAUAAUUUAGUGCGGGUUAUAGGAUUAGGUAGUUGUAUCCUGGUCGAGCAGACGUUAUAGAACCACAAGCACAAGAGUGGGACGGAAUUACUGUUCGAAUGACAUAGCUUUUACGUUAGCCUCUACCUUCUGUAAUCAAGUUAGUACCGUUGACAUUCUUAUAUUAAUUUCUGUAUUUAUUGUAUACUUUUCAUUUUGUAUAGCAAGUACCUUUUGUUAAAUAAAAAUUGUGAAUUUCAAGUUCUGUUUAUUUCUGUUAUUCUGUUUAUUUCUGAAUUGUUCUCCAACACCCCUAUAUCUACCGUCGCGUGAUUCACCAUUGUCAGGAAUCGAACCCAAGACGUGUUGUAUAGAAUACGAGCCUAAAAUUUAUUUCUAACCACUGAGUCACCCCGCGUUUGAUUAUAUUUCACUUAGACUUAUCUUGCGGUAUAGCAUGUCAUCCCCGCCCAAGUUUUUCUGUUGGCAUUGAGUUUGGGAUACCAAAACUUGCCAAACAAAGUAGAUUGAUUAGUAAGCGAAGCUAAUUAUUCGACUAAACAUUGUUUAGAAUUUUAAUUAAAAGAAACAAUAUGAAUCUGUUUAUUUUUUUUUUUGACAAACUAUAACGUUAAGGAGUUAAAUUGUUAGUUAUUAAGAGUACAAUGAUAGGUGAGGAUCGAACCUCCACCAGAGUGCAUAGACAUUAUUGGUUCUACAACUGCGGUAAAUCACAUAAAACAAAACGUAAUACUUUGAGGAUGGAAGACACUUCGUGGAUAGCGGGCAAUCAACACUAUCAGUUGCUAUCCAAAACUUGGAAUUAUGUUUAUUGUCCGAAGGAUUUUUCUUCCAUUAAAUUGCUAAGGAAGAUGAGGAUGGGUGGAGUGUCUAAAUGUCAAGGUUGACAAGAACGUGUAUGGUGUUCAGCUUGCGAUUGAGAUUUGUUAGAGUGGCACAACAAACCACAUAAAAUUUUCUAAAUGAUAAGCUUGAGUAUAAUUUUUUAUCACGUAUUUAUCUUUAAAAUCAUUAUAAUUAGAUUUUCUCUUAAUUAAUAUAGACCGUUAGAUUCAUCUAAUGACCCAAGUUUUUUUCCUCUUUUCUUUCCACUCUUUUCCAUUCACCGUGUAGCAGUCGUUCUUCCCCAACUACGUUUCUUAUUUUUCUUCACAAAAAAUUUGUAGAAAAUAUUAAGAAAAGAAAAGUCAUCAAUAUCAGACUCGACCAGGUAAUCGUUCCAACCUUCCCAGCAACUCUCAGUCUUAACUAGGCACCAAAUUUUCUCCGCCACCUAACUCGUCAUUCAUUCAUGGGUGUUUCAAGCUUGGUGAAAAUUGAUAGAGUUCCAUGUGUGUACACGGAUGUGAACAUAUUGGCCACUCUCUAAGAAUGAGUCAUUGGAAAAGUUGAAGGAAAGAUGUAACCGAUGAAAUUAAUGGAUUGGAAUUACAAUGAAGUCUGUGUUGGUUUAUCACAAAGAACCCAGAUACAAAAUUUUAAAAGCAAACAAUUUCAACUUCUCAAAUAUUAUCUAACAAACUUUCAAUGAAAUGUUGCUCAUAAUUGAAAAAAGGUUGACGAAGGACGGAGUUGGGGUUAUUUUAGAUGAGGAAGAGUUAAAAGAAGGAAGCACCAUUUAAUUAAUAAAAGUGAUUGGAGAAAUGGUAAUUCAAUGGUGGGCGUUUUUAAGGUGUGGACCUUGUAUCACACCCUGAUCCCAACAUACAUUGAGGAUCGACACGUGACAUGGGGACAUAGGGGACAAAAAUCUUACAUAAGAUACAGAAUGAAAUACUAUAUAAUAUCCCAAAAUGAAUAUGAUAGUGGGUUCACCCCUAUAAAAUACAUACGAGUUUGUACAUUCACAAAAAAAUAAAAAAAAUAAAAAUAAAUAAAAAUAAAAAACACACACACAACUCUCGCUAGGCCAAGACUUGCCCAUGGUGCUCAAAGGAAAGUCCCAAAAGAAAUAGUACAAUGAAGGAUAAAGGGGUAACCUAAACACUCCAAGUCUCUGAUCUCUGCACUGCUACCCCCACCGGCUCCUCGUAAUCUACUCAGACCUGUCACAUGUACAAACAGUGCCUACAUUGUGGGAAUGGUGCACCAGGCAAACAAAAACCCGGAUAAGCUGCAAAACUCGUGUGAGUGACAAUAAUGCAACGUAUGUGAUAAUCAAGAAAAACAGACCAUCGAUCACAGUUUAUAAAUCUCAAAUAUAACUUCAUACUUAUGAAAUCAUAAUCAAGUCACUGAAAACUUCGAAUGAGUCACCCAGACAUCUAACGACUUUUCUAAAUCAAAUCUCAGAGAUUCCCAAAACUAUCGUUCACAAAUACACUAAAAACUAGGGCUAGAGUGACACAGUUCAGCCAAAGCCUACAUAAGUAACCAAAUAAGAAGUGGCCCCCCAUAGCGGAUUAACCAAGCAGAGCCACUCCUGAGAAAGUAACCAAGUAGGUAGUGACCCCCAUCACGGAUUAACCAAGCAGAGUCACUCCUACGAAACUGUUAGGUAGUGAUCACCCAUUACGGAUUAACCAAGCAUGAUCACCCCUAAGCACGUAUGGCCAUACCUAAGAAAUAAGGAUCGCCCAUCGCGGAUUAACCAAGCACGAUCCAAAAAUAUUAUGGGUCCCCUAUCGCCGAUUAACCAAGCAUGACCAUCCAUGUACCACUGCUACAUGGUGUAAAUUCGGUGUCACCUAACCUCGUGACACUAGGGUAACGGUCCUCUAGUAGCCCUCACGUUUUUCAAACAUUUCAAAUAUAUAAUUUAAAACACAAUUCAUAAACAUUUCGAAUAGGGAAGUCACAUAGUGUUUAAUAAUGUAGGUCAAUGGCAAACUUUAAAAACAAUUAUUUAGCAUAAAACAUAUUUUAGAAAUCCAUGCUGUAUCCACAAAGUAUACUAGCACGGGAGAUUUUCAGGGUAAUAACUCUAUCACAUAUAUUAAAGUCACUCACCUGGAGUCCGCACUAACGCACCCUGGCACGAAUAUCAAGACGUCGCGUACUAUCAUCUGCAACAUCCCACAUCGACCAACGAAGAGGGGGUGAUGUGCCUUCUAUGUACAUGCCCACCUCCAUAGCAUGAGGCAUUUUGGGAGCUCACUGGCUUCAUAUUCCAUCGGAACUCCAAAGUUAAGCAAGUUUGGGCGAGAGUAGUCCCAGGAUAGGUGACCCAUUGGAAAGUUAUUGUGUGAGUCCUAGAAACAAAACCGUGAAGGCGUGGCCCGAGGGGGCCCAAAACGGACAAUAUUGUGCUACGACGGAAUCGAGACUGAGAUGUGACAGAAUGGUAUCAGAGCCACUCUGCCGUGUGGUGCGAGUGUGCCGACGAGGACGUCGGGCCCCUAAGGGGGGUGGAUUGUAACAUCCCACAUCGACCAACGAAGAAGAGGUGAUGUGCCUUAUAUGUACAUGCCCACCUCCAUUUAGCACGAGGUCUUUUGGGAGCUUAUUGGCUUCGGGUUCCAUCGGAAAUCUGAAGUUAAGCGAGUUCAAGCAAGAGCAUUCCCAGGAUGGGUAACCUACUGGGAAGUUCUCGUGUGAGUUCCCAGAAACAAAACUGUGAGAGCGUGGCCAGGGCCCAAAGUGGACAAUAUCGUGUUAUGGCGGAGCCGAGAUUGGGAUGUGACAUUGUCACCUAAGACAAAGUACAGAUCCACAUUUAGAGUUCUUCAAGUAUUCACAUAAUAAAAAAUUUCCAUACGCCCCCUACAACUAAUGAACAGAAAUCGAGACACGUUGACAAAAAGUCAACCGUCGAUCAACGGUAGGGUCCACAACCCUACAUAACUCGAUCCGCAAUAUCCAACCACUGUAUUUGUGAUUCAUAAGUUCAUAAGGUCUUCAAAUCCUACCUACAAUAACAUACUAAACUUUGGUGAUGAUCUAAUGGUCGAAUCAUCAUUUGCUAUAAUGUUCAAAUGACGCAAAUUCAUCAAUCAGAUGUCAAAUAUGGAAUCAGACAUCGAAUUUAGCUUAGGAAUGUCAAGUGGUGUCUCGAGCACGCACCGCCGUGCGCAACAGCUGGCAACCUAGAUUCGUCGGAAAAAUCACCUAAUUCCAAAAUGAAUGUUGUGAGACGUGGAGUAAAUUGUAUACCUGUGAAGAAGCCCAAUUUGGCCGGGAAGUGGCCUGAAAUCACUUUAGACCGUCGGAAACCCUAAAAUAGGUGAAUCUCGAUUCGUCAUCCCCGGUAUUCCACCGUUCUCAAACUUGUUUAGGGUUUGCUCAUGGUCUCAAAAGAAUGCUAAUGAUGGUGGUGAUUGAAAGAGAACGUUUCAGAAAUAGUGAAUCACCAAUGAGGGUUUCACGAAACCGACAUGGGUGUUCCUCGUGGAACCAAGACCAAAUCUCAACGGUUUUGGCUAGAAAUGGAUGCUGGGAUGUCAUGGUGAAGUUUGGUAGUGAUGGGAGGUUGAAGAAAGACAAAAAAAAUCGACAAAAAAAUCGUCGUCGGAGUCGCAAGAAACGAGUUAGAAAAAUGAGUCGUCGGGUCUGAAACGUCGAAGGCUUUUGAGACAACUACUUACUCUCUCUUCUCUGAUUAGUCACUCCACUCACUCUCUCAUUUGAUUGGUCCAGCCUUCCCACAUGGUGGGAGUUCCCUCAUAUAGUAACCCAAAAUUUACUAUUUAAAUCUGGUAUUGAACGUCCGUAACUUUUUCGUUAUGGUUUCGAUUCGCAAACGGUUUUCACCUAUGCGCUCGUAUGAUCGAAUUAUACUCAAAAACAUUAAUUAUGACCUCGAAAAGGUCUACGAGUUUUAAAAGAUUAAUUACAAAAAUUCACACCUUGUAACUAUACGAUUCAAAUCCUAAAAUUAACGGAAUUAAAAUAAACUAAAAAUAAUGUAAACACGAAAUACAGACUUUAAUAAUGAAAUACGUAAUUAAUAGUGGAAUUCCGGGGAUGGGAUUUCACAACUUGCGUCCGGACCUUCAAUGCGGAUCAAAAUCCAAAGGUCGUGAUCUGACGAGCUCAUGCAUAGAACAGAGUUGUUGUGACCCAAUGCAAUUCAAAACUUUUAUGUUUUUUUAUUUACUGGGUACGUUUUUUAUUUACUGGGUACAUUUUUGCAAGACGUUAAAGAAAGCGCUUCUUGGGAGGCAACCCAUGUAUUCAAAAAAGGAAGAUCUAUGAAUCGCUCUACAAUUAGUUUUGCGUUUCUAAAAACCUUCCCUUUUCUGCAUUUCUAUUUUGCCAUGAUUGUCAUUUUUUAUUUUUGUUGUUUAUUUAAUUAUUUUUGGGUGUGGGUUUAUUUUUGAAACAUUGACAGAUAUGCAAGAUAUUCUUACAUUCAUUUUCAUGAAAAAAAGAAAAGGGAACAUUAAGCAGGAAAUUACAAGAGGGAGCCUUCACAAAGGCUGCUUAGGAGAAGUCUCAGUAGUCGGCGGAGCCCCAGAAGAAGGAGGCAGCGGAGGUUGAUCAUUUGGAGCUUCAGUACGCGGUGCAGCCCCAGAAGACGAAUGCAAAUGUUGUUGGAACAAACCCACAAACCGCUGAUGAUCAAGUAAAAUCUGACAAUCAGAUUCCUGCAUCUGGUCAAUCUUCCUCUUCAUGUUUGUAGCAUAAUUAUGUGCGAGCCUGUGCAACUGUUUAUUCUCAUGCUUAAGCCCUCUAAUCUCCUGCUUAAGACUCAUCACUUCAGCCGCCAAUGAUUCAACUUGACGGGUUCGGGCAAAUAGGCGUUGGGCCAUAUUAGACACGGAACGUGCGCACUGCACACUGAGAGCUAGAGAAUCCUUUACAUCCAACUCAUCAGACCGUUUGGCAAGUAGUCUAUUAUCUUUGGGAGUGACAGGGUUCCUGACCACCACCGCAGCUGUCAUAUCAUUCUUCAUCACCGAAUCCCCAACGAUAAGGGGACCAGUAGGGGAUAUGAAGGAUGGGCGCCAUAUGUUGUCUGGAGAAGGCGGGACUGCCUCUUCACCAAGGUUCAAGUCAAAACGACGAUCGGAUGGGCCAAACAUUUUCACAGGUGUUAAAGAAAGAAGAGGUCGGACAAGUCAAGAUCGUAGAAGUGCAAGAUGAGAGUUUUUACAGGCAGAAAUUCAAGUGUGCUUUGAACGUCCUACGUACUUCUAUAAAAAUCAGCACUCGAUGGGAUUUCAGAGAUCGAAGAGGCAAGCUCAGAAAUCGAAGAGGCCAACUAAAAAAAUUAAAGAGGCGCUAGCUUUCUCAAAAGCUGAGCUUGCUCAGAAACCACGGCCAAUCUUCUUUUCCAGAUUUGUCCGCACUUGUCACAUGCAACUCGACGGGAUUUCAGAGAUCGAAGAGGCAAUUCCAGAUAUCGGAUAGGCAUCUGCUUUUGCAGACGUGUCAACAUCUGUCACAUGCAGAGUAAGCUUUGCGAAAAUCACGGGCAGUUUGUGAAGCGCCGAUUCCAACCAUCUGCUUUUGCAGACGUGUCAACAUCUGUCACAUGCAUAGUAAGCUUUGCGGAAAUCACGGGCAGUUUGUCGAAGCACCGAUUCCAACCAUCUGCUUUUCCCGACGUGUCAACAUCUGUCACUUGCAGAGUCAGCUUUACGAAAAUUACGGGCAAUCUGUCGAAGAUCUCUUGUGAAGUUUACUAUUAAAUCAUCCAACGGUUGCUGACAAGAGUGAAAGAAUAGUACCGACUAUUAAUUCCUAUAAAUGUCAUCCUUCACCCUCAAUUGCAAGGCAGACAUACAUAACCCCCUUCUUCUCAGAAAAUGCCUUUCCAACACACCCUCUCGAGUCACUCAGUGUUCCUAAUUCCUUGGGGUACCUCUGCAAACAACUCAUCCAAAGCAAAAGUAUUUCAUAUCAUGAAGGUUGAAAGCAAGAGUAUCUCAUAUCAUGCUUUCUCCCUGUCCUUCUCCUUGUCUUUGUUUUAGGACAAGGAGAAAGAGAGCAAUCAGCCAGCACUUGGUAUCAAUCUUCCGAUCUGGAACCGACUGCCUGGAACCCCUUCCUGAUUGCUUACCUAGCCUUGCUCUCGAGAACUCAUCUUCAUCAUCUUAUGCUUCCUCUUCGUCUACCACAUCUGCCUGGGGAACAGAUAAGGGAAGUGAAAAUGAUACCUCGAAGCAUGUGGAAACAAUUUACCAAUUCAUCCUUAGCUAGGGACAAGGAGAAAAAAAGCAAGAGGUGGGCACUUGGAAAGAUUGAAGAAAGAAACAGACCAACACCUCUACCUCAUGCCUGCCCGCCGUGCAGAAGAAUCAAGCAGAGAAGAAUACAGACUGCACAAUCAAAUCAGGGAACUCUCAUAUUUCUCGCUCAGAAUUCCAAACCAGUUCAAGAUCAACGCUGUGGAAAGUCAACAAGAUCAUCUAUCUCCAAAACCAGAUUUGCGUUCUUAAACUCUACUCUGUCUGGUUUUUACUUUGCUAUACUUGUCAUGUUUAUUCGUUGUUUGUUUGUUUGCUUGUUGUUGUGUGAGUUUAUGUUUAAAACAUUGAGGACAAUGUUUGAUUUAAGUGUGGAGGGAUAACCAUUGUUUUGCAUGAAAUUCGUAGGAGUUUAUCACCCAUUACUUCUAGUGUUGUUCCUUGCUGUUUUAAGUGUUUUAAGCUGUUUUGGAGUGUUUCAGUGUGUUUUGACAUAAAAAUCCGAAAAUCUCAUAAAAAUUUGAAAAAUUGUUUUGAAAAACCAAAAAAGAGUUGUUUUUGUAUGUUUAUUUGUGUUUUAGGGUACCUUCCAACACAAUGAUGAGGAUUUGGUUUUUAAUUACAUGACUGUUAAAGAGAAUUAUAAACAUGGAUGAAAAUUUGAUUUACUCUUUGGUGUAUGCUUGGUUGUGGUUAUAAUUUAUGAAUUCACAUGCAAUCAUAAAGGAAAAAUCAAUUUUGUAACAUGCUUGAAAGAAGGAACUCAAAUGUACGCUACAACCUUGUGAGACUUGAGCCUAGACGUUUAUUUGGAGAGUUAAUAAUGUGCAUUUUUGUUUUCUAAAGUCGUUGUAUGAUCUCAUUAUUCUUUGCUUGGUUGCUACCUAGAAUGCGUUCAUCAUUAUAGAUCCACAUACUAGAACUCAUGCCCGUUCCAUUCAAAGCAUGACAUUAAUUUGCAUAACACAUAUCCAAGAUGAAGUUGUUUAGUGAACCAAAGCCAAAAUAGCCGAACCCACCUUUGUCAUUUGUUUUGUAGGUUUAAACCCCGUUGAGCCUUGUUUAGCCUAUUUUCUUUGUUAAACCACAUCAUCUCUACCUAACCUAGAAUAGGACUAUCCAUACCCUUGUUCUUGAAGUAUAGUGGAGCAUAACUUAGAAAGAAUUCAUUUUGAAACUUAUUGGGGGAAUUUAGAUUUCAAAUUUUUUGUGUGCCAAAGAAAACGGCAAGAGAAAAAAUUCGUGAAAAAAAAGAAAAAAGAAAAGAAAAAUUUGCAAAUUUUCCUGUGUUUAAAAGUAGAUGCCUAAAUUAACCCUUACAUUAAUUUUCCUUGAAUAAUUUCUCAUUCCAUCUAAUUUAGAUCCAUCUUGCUCACUAUUCUUUUUAAAUUUGUGGAUUUUGAAAUUUCAAAUGAGAAUGAAAUUGGAUGAGUUCAAUUUUCGUUUAAUUCUUACAAUUAAUAAGAAAUUCCGUCGAAAACAUUUUGAGUAUUGUUUAAUUUUUCAAUAUUACCGUAUUGUGUCAUUGAAAUAAUUAUCAGAGGAAUUAGGGAAUUCUCUUAAGGAACAACUCAAAAUGUAGUACAUGAUUAAAUAAUUCCUUUGAAUGGUCAACUAUGAUCAACAUAUCUUGUAUCAGAUCUUAGUCAAAUACCUGUUAAGAGUGUAAAUUUCUUGUGUGAAAAUGAGUGUAUCUAGUAAUUUUGGCAUUAGGAUGUUACUACAUUCUCAAAAUGCUGUUUUUUGAUUAAAUGAGCUGUGAGGUACUAAUCAAAUAUGCUCGAGGGUAAGAAUGGCUUAAAUUAUGUGAGUGGUGAUCUGGUUCAUGUUUCAUUAAAAAUCCCUGAGGCAAAUGUUGGAAGAUUUAGGUUAUGUUUUGUUUGUUUCGUUUGUUUUGUUUUGCUCGAGGACUAGCAAAAGCUAAGUGUGGGGAAUUUGAAUUUGAUAGGAGCAUUAUUAUGCGACUGAGUUAGCUUGUUCUCAUGCAUUUAUGUUGUUAUUUCUUAGUUAAUUAUGUAUUUUAAGCUAUUUUCGUGUGUUUGUAGGUCCAUAGGCCUUAUAAAGCAAUAAGGUGCAUUUUGGAGCAGUUUUGGGCUUGGAAUGGAUAGCACAUGCAUGGAGUAAGGUGAUGGACGAAAUUGAAGACUAAAGAGGCUUGGAAUGUGUUAAAAAGAAAGAAUAAUUAAUGACAAAGAGCUCAGCAACCAAACAGGGAACAUGAGUCAAGAUUACCUUAUUUUGAUUUAAUCUUUCCUAAUCUUCAAUGUCCCUAAGUUCCAACAACAUUCCUUGUCUAUUUCAUUCACUCAUUGCCUAGCACCACCCUUGUUCCCUCCAUCAUUCCAAAUUUCUUGCAUCAAUCAUCACUCCACCUUAACCCUUGACUCAUUUCUACACCAUUCCACCUCCCUUUCCUUUCUCUACCAUGUGCACAAUCAUUCAUGUUCCCUACUUGCAUUCAUUGUUGCAACACCACUCCAUUUUACCCCUCAUGCUUUGCAUCAUUACUUCACUUUCACCUUUGAAUCAUUUCAACACCACUUCAUUUUACCCAUGGUUUGCAUCAUUACUUCACUUUCACUUUCACCUUUGCAUCAUUACUUCACUUUCACCUUUGAAUCAUUUCAACACCACUCCAUGUCCCCCUCCAUUGCCUUGCCCUUCCUCUAUAAAAGGAAGUGUGUGUAACAUAAAUUUAGUUCAUAUAUUUUUUUAGAUCAUUCACUCCCAUUUCAAUACAACCUUCAUCCAAACACAUUCAUUCAUCUUCACAUCCAUUCCUCCAUACAAACAAACCUUCAAACACUCACCAACACCUUGUGCCAUAGCAAAGGAAGGAAAGGAAAAUGCUUGGACGUGCGUGCUGUCAACUUGGAUCGUUGGAGCGUUUAGGUGUUUUCUUUCUUUUGUUUCCAAUGUUAAAUUCAUUUUCUGAUUUUGUUGCAAUUAUGAGUGGCUAAAACCCUAUUUAGUUAGGGGGAAGUUUGAAGCCAUGAACAUGCUUGAGAUAUGAAUUGAUUUCUUCCAAUUGUGAUUUGAUAAGUUGUGAUUGCAAUUCAAUUAUCUAUUUUAUUCAUAACUGAUUCUUGUAUGUUUAUUAAGGAUGCAUACUUAAUUUUCAUGCAUGAAUUAGAUGCUAGAAUAUAAAUGAGUUUCACCUAAUCGUUACAAGUUUAUAUUCAUGAGUAGUGAAGGUUGUUUAUCACAAUCUGACACACCCCGUCCCGAAGGAGGGCGUGCUGGCCGUCACGUGAGAGUGACGUAACCAUUUACACAGUUCGGAAGCUUUAAAAAAAAAUUCCAAUUACUAAUAUAACACACCCGAGGGUGAGUCCUACUUUUGUGAAUUCUGUCAGAACACCGUUGGAUUCCUCGUGGCCACCAAAGCUCUGCUAACUUGAACCUGGGGCGCAAAACAAAAGCUUGAACUUGAACCUUUCAGGCGCAAAACAAAAGUUUUUUCGAAAACUUUUCAUUUAAAACAUUUCUAACCCCUCACUGUAAAACCUGUAUACUUUCCCAGAAAAUAGUGUAUAUAUAAACAUAUAUAUAAGCAAAAAUCUCGAAUCUCAAACCUUUAACACUUUUCAGAAAUAUAUAUAUAUAUAUAUAUAUAUAUAUAUAACCAUUUGAAAUCUCAAGACUUGAAUCCCAAAUCUUUAACAUUUUUCAAGAAAAGCAUGCCAUGCCAUAAAUCAAAAAUAUAAAUCAGGUGAAAUAAGGAAUCAAUCGGAGACCCUGCAGUUGGUCCUAUACGAUUAAUUCAAUAGCUCAUUAUCUCACUAAGCCGGAGUCACCACAGUAACCUAUACGGCCCUACUCUGCACAUCACUCAGAACUACGUAAGGUAGUCUAUACGAUGAAAGGUGUAAAAAUACGCUCUAGUGCUUCUCUCAUCAUAUCAUCAGCGCGCAUAACUAAGAUCACCCACUAGUCGGAAUCACGCCUAGUGAUCUAUACGACUAGCAUGUCGGAACCCUCACAUGGUCUGUACGACAUCCACCUACUUGGAUCCAAGGCGAGCGUGCGGUGUGGUGAAUAAAAUAAGCACUAACACCUAGGGUGCAGGUUAUGAGCUUAAAACAUCUUAUCAACAAUCAAUUAAAUGAAUAAAUGAACUCACCUGACUUACCUGUGCCUCCACCGCACCAUGCAACAUGUAUGCAUCAAAUAUCAAUUCGUAUAACUCAUACGCAAUUCACAUUUUUCAAUUAAUUCUAUGCAUGGCAUUUUUAAAACAUAUUUUCAUAUAAAUUCAUUUUAUGGGAAAAAUCAAUAGUAUAAAGGUAAUACAAAAACAAAACUGCCCACUCACCUGGAGUUCGCCCAACAACUCCCUAGCACCACACAUCAAGGCGUCAUGAAGAUUAGUGCCUAGAACAAUAAUCAAACCCAACCUCAGAAAUCAUGCCGAUAGAAUACAUAACUUAUAUAAGACGCGUCCCUACGUAGUUCGAUCCGGAUGAUCUGCAACUCGGAUUUCAAAUCCGUAACUUCCAGAGGUCCACAAUAUACCUCUAGGACAACAUCCUAAAAUUUCAUUACCAUCCAACGGUCGGAUCUCCGUCAAUUUCCAAAACUAAGUGCCGGUUAACAUUCUAUUUUAUGAACUUACAACUCCAAUUCCGGAAGAUCCGUAAAUCGGAUUCCCAAUCCGUAAGUUCCUAUAAUCCUCAAAUAUUACGUAUUACAACGUAUCAACGUUUGGUGACGAUCCAACGGUCGGAUCGUCAAUUCACAUUUUCACCUAACUACGAAUCGUAACCAACUUAGGUUCAAUUACUCAAUUUACGUCCAUCAAUUAUCAAAACUGAACCUAGAGCCUUAAUCACAUGCUAAUAAUGACAUUGGCGGGCCAUUGGCCAUGCGCCGCCGCGCGGGCCGCCGCGGGUGGCGGUUGGCCGCCCCCGGCUCGCCGGAAAAUUCAACUAUUUCCAAAAAUUACCAAAAUUUGCAGAUUUGAAGAUAUCAAUGAGUAGAACAACUUUCAUACCUGUGGCCAAGGCCAAUUUGGCCUGGAAGUGCUUCAAUUUCACCAAAACCGUGAAGAACCCUAGAAUUAGGUGUUUCCAAUUCGACCUUCAAACUUGUUCCAACGCCUCAAUUACCUCUUAGUAUUUGUUCUAGGUCCUAAAGGAAUGCUAAUGGUGUUAGUAAUUGAAAGAAAACAUUUCAAAAUUUCAAGAAUUUAAACAAAAGGGUCGCGGCACCCGUGUGGGUGUUCUUCGCGAAAUCACCAUGAAAUUUAAUGAUUCUUGGGGUGAAACGUGAAGAGGGAAGGCCUAGAUGUUGAUUAGGAGUGGUACCUUGACUCAAUUCGUCGGAAAUUUGGACGAAAAUGGUGAGAACCCGCCGAUUGGAAGUCGCGGGUCGCACGGGUAUACGGGUUGGGAAAACCCAUUUCUUCCUUCUCUCCUCCGCUUCUCGCCCUCUCUCCUUUCCUCCUUUCCUUCCUCUGGUUGGUCAGCUUCUCCCUCUCUCUUCUUCUGAUUCGCCUCUCCUCCUUCUUCUCCGAUUGGGCAGUUUUUGCCCAAUCUCUCUUCUUCUUUCUGUUUUCUGGUUCUUCUCACGCGCACACACACACACAACUUCCUUUUUCUCAUCCCAGCCAUCUAUUUCAUUCAUCAUUAAAUCUGGGUCGUCCAUUUUCAUAAAAGAAUUUCUAUUUUACUAAAAUUAUAAUUCCUUAAAAUCCCAAAUUUCAAACGUUAAUAACUUCUUCGAUAUAACUCCAAAUCACGAACCGUCUACGCCCACGCGUCCGUAACGACGAGUACUACGAGGAUAUGUCAAGAAAACAAAUCUUAGAUGGCACGACACAACGAUUAACCUCGAAUGAUGUGCGUGCCUCAAAGGGCAUUUUUGUAAAAUCCUUUAUGAAAACUUUAAAAAUUCUUAAAAUUAGGGACGGGCUGUCACACAAUCGCGUUAAUUGAAUUCUUGGCAAUUGUAUCAUGCAUUCAUAGUUAUAAUUGUCUCGUCAACACUUAUGAUUUUCAUUGAACGUAAUGAUCUCUGAUUGUAUCUCUAUUAUGCAUUAAUAUAGGGGACUUUUAGAGGAUGAUUUGGGUUGUCGCAUGCAUUCAUCCAAUUCAAUGAGUAAAGGAAAAUCUGAGGGUUAAUUUGUGCAUCACGGUUAAUCUGGGUGUUGAGCAUAAUAGUUUAUUGAAAAGCAAUUGGAAAUCGAUUCAUGUACAAGUGUGUCAUGUGUGAAGAACGGACCUCUAACUAAUCCAUCCAUCAUUUUAUUUCUCAAAUUCAUUUUAUAAUCUGCCUAGUUUUAUAACUUGCUUGUUUAUUUCAAAUUCAUCCAAACCAAAAUCCCCUUUUUACUUUCUUGUUUCAAAGUGUUAAAUUUCUGUUUUGUUUGUGUUUUUGAGUGUUUUGAUUCAAGCCAAAACACUAAAUUCAUCCAAAGUUGAUUUAAAGUCCAAAUCUGACUAGUUUGUGUUUUUAGGCAGUUUUGAGUGUUUUUAAGUUGUUUUGAAUCUUUAGAAUCUGUUUUGAGUCCCUUGAGUCUAUUCAAACAUUUUUAAUUUUGUUUUUAUGUUUUUGAGUCAGUUUAAAGGUUUUAGCAAGCCCUCCUAAUCCCCGGUUUAGAACGAUCCCUACUUGCAUUUAUACUACAAUUUGACAACAAGAGGGUUUAAUUUGAGUGCUUAACUUUCAUCGCAUCAUGUGAGUUCCCAGAAACAAAACUGUGAGGGCGUGGCCAGGGCCCAAAGCGGACAAUAUCGUGUUAUGGCGGAGCCGAGAUUGGGAUGUGACAUUGUCACCUAAGACAAAGUACAUGUCCACAUUUAGAGUUCUUCAAGUAUUCACAUAAUAAAAAAUUUCCAUACGCCCCCUACAACGAAUGAAGAGAAAUCGAGACACGUUGACAAAAAAUCAACCGUCGAUCAACGGUAGGGUCCACAACCCUACAUAACUCGAUCCGCAAGAUCCAACCACUGUAUUUGUGAUUCAUAAGUUCCUAAGGUCCUCAAAUCUUACAUACAAUAACAUACUAAACUUUGGUGACGAUCUAAUGGUCGAAUCAUCAUUUGCUAUAAUGUUCAAAUUACGCAAAUUCGUCAAUCAGAUGUCAAAUAUGGAAUCAGACAUCAAAUUUAGCUUAGAAAGGUCAAGUGGUGUCUCGAGCACGCGCCGCCGUGCGCAACAGCUGGCAACCUAGAUUCGUCGGAAAAAUCACCUAAUUCCAAAUGAAUGUCGUGAGACGUGGAGUAAAUUGUAUACCUGUGAAGAAGCCCAAUUUGGCCGGGAAGUGGCCUGAAAUCACUUUAGACCGUCGGAAACCCUAAAAUAGGUGAAUCUCGAUUCGUCAUCUCCGGUAUUCCACCGUCCUCAAACUUGUUUAGGGUUUGCUCAUGGUCUCAAAAGAAUGCUAAUGAUGGUGGUGAUUGAAAGAGAACGUUUCAGAAAUAGUGAAUCGCCAAUGAGGGUUUCACGAAACCGACAUGGGUGUUCCUCGUGGAACCAAGACCAAAUCUCAAUGGUUUUGGCUAGAAAUGGAUGCUGGGAUGUCGUGGUGAAGUUUGGUAGUGAUGGGAGGUUGAAGAAAGACAAAAAAAUCGACAAAACAACCGUCGUCGGAGUCGCAGGAAACGGGUUAGAAAAAUGAGUCGCCAGGUCUGAAACGUCGAAGGCUUUUGGGACAGCUACUUACUCUCUCUUCUCUGAUUAGUCACUCCACUCACUCUCUCAUUUGAUUGGUCCAGCCUUCCCACAUGGUGGGAGUUCCCUCAUAUAGUAACCCAAAAUUUACUAUUUAAAUCUGGUAUUGAACGUCCGUAACUUUUUCGUUAUGGUUUCGAUUCGCAAACGGUUUUCACCUACGCGCUCAUAUGAUCGAAUUAUACUCGAAAACAUUAAUUAUGACCUCGAAAAGGUCUACGAGUUUUAAAAGAUUAAUUACAAAAAUUCACACCUUGUAACUAUACGAUUCAAAUUCUAAAAUUAACGGAAUUAAAAUAAACUAAAAAUAAUGUAAACACGAAAUACAGACUUUAAUAAUGAAAUACGUAAUUAAUAGUGGAAUUCCGGGGACGGGAUUUCACACCUUGCAUCCGGACCUUCAAUGCGGAUCAAAAUCCAAAGGUCGCGAUCUGACGAGCUCAUGCAUAGAACAGAGUUGUUGUGACCCAAUGCAAUUCAAAACUUUUAUGUUUUUUUAUUUACUGGGUACGUUUUUGUAGGAGGAAAAGGGGAAGUCGAGAGAUUCUUUGCGCAUUAAAGAGGGAAAGAGAGAAAGGGGGAGCUAAGAGGUUCUUCGCGCGUUAAAUUUUUGCUUCUGAUUUUGCAACCUAGAAAUAAAGUAUUUUCUUUAUGGUUUAUGGUUCAAGAAUAUAAUGGAUACAGCCUAAAAAUGUUUCUUUUUUUAUUUUUUACUUUUUUUUUCUUAUGUUGGCUUUUGGUUUAUUUUUAUAAUGCACUAUAUAUUAACUAAAUUUAUAAACAUUUUGUAUCUUUGUUGCAGUCAAAUUAAUCAUAUGGGUCGGCAUGACGAAGUUCGACUGAGACAUACAGAUGUUUUGCAAUCUUAAGUCUAACCUGACACACCCCGACCUCAAUAUCUAGUGGACACCAAAAUUGAGGUGUGAUGGCCAUCAUCCGGAUGGGUGAUGAAACCAUAAUAUGCAUGAAACAUAACUAAAUUAUCAACCAAUAAAAUCUAUUGAAAAAUUUGGCAGAACAUCCCUUAAAAUAGGGAUAUGCCCAAAUUAAAAACACUUGCACAUGAUCAAAAUUAUUCAACACUUCCCCGAAGGGCCACACUUAAUGGGACUUCGACCAUCUAUUACAUGCAUGAGAAUAUGUUCAGAGCAUAAUUACCCAAACACGUCUUAUUAAAAUAUUGAGUAAAUACCAUACAAGAUAGAAUACGUCAGAGCUGUUGCAAAAUACCUCAAUGUCCGAUGUAAUCACUGAUAGAAUUACUGAAUCAUGUAUAGAUGGAAAGCUGAUAAAUACAUGUAAUUUGAGUGGAUACUUACCAGCAGCAUGGAUACAAUAUCAUCCACCGGUCGUAACUAAUGACAAGCUGAGAGUAUAACUGUAGUACCUCUUAUUAGUGCAAUGCAUGAUAUGAAUUCCAUCUCACAUAUAUAUGCAAGCCAUAAUCAAACCAAUAAACAUCCAACAAAAGCCACAAUCCUUUUAACAUUCGACCACAAGAUCAAUUUUCAUAUUUCCCAAACCUAGGUUCCAAAGCAUUGUUUCGAAUUAUUAAUACAAGAAACCACCACCACCUCAAUCAACUCCUAUUCCCAAGUGUAAGCAAUUACUAAAUGCAUCACUUUCGACUCUAGUCUUAAUUAGAUUACUUGGGAUACUCAUUCACACCAUCAGAUCCAAGUACUAUUUUGAUAAACUUUAAAUAGCAUGGUUAAAAUAAAUGAAACACUUUUAGAAAAUAAGUGAAGAUGUUGUUUACAAAUAUAGAUGCAUCUGUAUAUAAAAGCUUUGGCGGUUGAUCCGUAUACACUUCCAAAGAUAUAAGCAAGUUCAUUGGAAUAUACAUGCAUAGUUAAUGUAUUACAGUAUAAUUAAUAAGAAAACAAUUGCAUCCCUUUAAGAAUAUAUAUAUAUAUAUAUAGACACACACACAUACAUACACACAGGCCCUUUAUGCAAAGGAAUUUCCAUUUUUUUUCAAAAAAUGGGGAUUAGUUGUGGGGCCCACGUUGCAUUGAACUUUAACGAUCCGAACAGUCUAUUUUGUAAGUCUCGAUUCAUAUAUCAUCCUUGUAAAAAUUCAAUUCAAUCCGAACCCAUUUGCCUAUUUAAUUAUCAAGAUAAAAUUUUAUUGUUUCUUAUAUAACAAAGUAUUCGUUAAUUUCUUUGAACUCAAUUAGAUAUCUUAAACAUUUCCGAUUUGGUUAAUAUUUUGUAAGGAUGAUCUAUGUGGUGCAACUUGAAAAAUAGACGAUUACGAUCGUUAAAGUUCGAUGUGGUGUAAACCCUACAAUUAAUCUUCAUUUUUAUAAAAGAAUGGGAACCCCUUCCCUUAAAGGUUUCCUAUGUAUAUAUUUGUUCUCCAGACAUAUGCAGAAGGUAAUGUAAAACUAAUGAGAACUUAAAUGGAUAUUCCAUACAUAGGACAAUUCCAUAUAUGCUUUUUCAACAUUUAUAUCGAAAAGCCAAAUUGUUUUGAGGAAAUUAAUUGUAGCAAUGAUCCCUUAACUUUUAUCUUAUUGGAACAAUGGUCUCUCAACUAAAAAUUCAUGACCAUUGGUUCCUUAACACCACACAACGUGUAGUUAUGGUCAUUUUCAUUAACUCCGUCAGAACUUUUGUUAAAACAAGUAAUGUUAGAAGAAUCAUUGCUACAAUUAGGUUAAAGUUGGGGACCAUUGCUCUAAUUAAAUUAAAAUUGAGGGAUCAUUUCUCCAAAUUGCUUAAAGUUCAAGGACCAUUUCUACAAUUUUCUCAUCUAGUUUCCCAUAUUUACCCCAUGAUUCAGCUUCACAUGCAUUGCACAUGACUCAUUUUGACAAAAAAUUUAACAAAAUUGACGAAAAUGACCAUAAAUGCACGUUUUGAAGAGUUAAGAGACCAAUGGUCGUGGAUUUUAGUUGAGGGAUCAUUGCUCCAAUUUGGUUAAAGUUGAGGGAUCAUUGCUACAGUUUUCUCAAAUGUUUCGUAUGCGAAAAUAGGCAUUUGUAAAGUUUGGCUUGUUUAUGGCAUUAUUACUUUAGUCUAAAGUAAGGCUGGGAAUGGCACUGUAGAAAUGAAUAGUGUUCCAAUCCGAAUUUCAGUUUAAUUACAACAAUGCCAUUGCUCUUUGUGUUGCCUUUAGGUGAGCAGCCCGGCUUGCAGUCAGGCCCAAAUGUAUUGGUUUUAGCUGAGAAGCCCGGCCCUUGGUCAGGCCCAAAAUUUUAAAUUACAGUUUUGCCCAUACAAAAUAACAAUCCGAUUGUAUCGGGAAGGACAAUUUUGUCCUUUCAGUUUUGGGUGAGAUAAGGGGUAACAGGGUAAGUUUCAUUUGCUGUCGUUUAAUGAGGGUUUCGGGGAUGAGGGCUCUGUGUGUGUGUGGAUGAGAGAGAGAGAGAGAGAGAGAGAGAGGGAGAUGGCGAUGGAAGGAGAGCGAGGGGGAAGGGAAGGGUUCUCGGCACUGUUGCUGCAUGUGGAUUUCACAUGUGGGAGAGUGGGUAUGGUCAGAGAAAACCAUAUAGGUCAUUGGGAUUUCAGGGAAACGGGGUAGGGGUCAUGAAUGAACUCUGCUGAGAGUGUGGGUACCGGAUCUUGCGCUGCAUGCCUCAAAUCAAAGAUAAGUUCGUUUUUUUAUUGUAUUUUUUGUGGUAGCUUAGCUUUUGGAAUUGUUUAGUAUGUUAGGUCCGAUUUUGGGGGAUUUAUCUUUUUAGAGAGAGAGAUGGACAGGGAGAUAGAGAGAGAGAGAGAGAGAGAGAGGAGGAGGAAGCAUGACUGUGUGCAAUUUUUGGUGUUAAUUAAUGGGUUGGUGCGUAGGGUGAGUGACAGAGUGACAGAGUGAAGGAGGGACGUGUGGGAGGGUAUGAGUUUUCAGUUCUUUCUUUUGAUUCAACAGGUUAUACAUUGUUUGAAAAACCUUUUUUUAUUAUUUUUUUCUCGUUUGCUUUGUUAAAACCAUCAUUUGAAUUUUUGGGUUUCACUGUGUUCAUUUCUCUGCUUCUUCAUAAUUUGCUGGUGUUUGCUUUUCAUCCCUCUAUUGGUAGAUCUUUUUCUCAUUUCUUGGUUCCUUAUGUAUUCUUUGGUACAAAUCUAUUUACUUUUUGGCUGUGUGAUAAUCUUAGCAGGUGAACUAUAUGAACGUUUUUUUUGAAACGAGUUAAGAAGAUCCAGCUGAAAAGAGCAUGCAAGAUAGAGAACUGGUAUGCUGCUCGCCAGGGAAAGGCUGCUGGAGAGGCUGAGACGGAUGCCUCCUUCAAAAACCAGGUCAGUUUCCUGCUACUCGGCGUCUUAAUGUAUCCAAAUUGUUUAUCUUUUGAUGAAAUUAGCUGGCUUUAUUUUCUAUUUUAUUUAUCUGCAUAUUAUUUUGGUUUGUUGAAAUUUUGACUAUAGUCAUUGUGUCACAUGGGCGCCCAGCCCAACCCAAAUUAGUUGAGGAUAUUUAAAUCUUCACCAUGGUAUUAUAGUACUCACUCACAGUUGUGAAUACUAAGGUGCAGGCAUGGCAUGAAGAAGUGGACCGUGCACGCCAAGGUCAGAGGGAUGCAGAGGGCAAACUUUUUUCUUUGGAGGUAAGUAUCCUUUGUUUAUUGCCCAACAGUGUUGUUAUUAUCAAUUUGUAGCUUUGCGUUCUGAAUUUUUUGCUUUGUCAAACAACCUUUUUGAAAUGCUCGAUUUCAAGCCGAAGUCCAAAAAAUGAGAGUUGAGAUGGCUUCCAUGAAGAGGGAUGUAGAGCAUUACUCGCGCCAGGUGAAAUCUGCUUCCUCUCUUUUCGUAUAUCUUCAUAUGAAGAGUUUUACUAAGUUAUAUUGAGAACUAUGUUAUUUAUAGGUUAUAUUUUCCAUUUUGCAAGAACACAUGGAGCUAAGGAAGAGCUAUCGUGAACUCACUGAUCUACUGGUAAUGUCACUCAAACUGCUUUAUUUGUGCAUGCUGCUACUAUGCGCUUGAAUGCAUUUUAUUACUGGCGGGAUGCGAAGAAUGCUAGAUAUAUGUGCUGGAUCGCUUGAUUAGUGUUAGGGUUUUAACAACUAAUUGUUAGCAGCUAGAAGCUCUGGUUAGAUGAAUGCUAAUUUGAUUUUCCUUACAGUACUUGAGUGCCAGUUUCAUAUUGUUUGUUCCCUGCUGGAUACAUGCUGUACAGUUUCAUUUCUGUUUCUUCAUAACUUUCUUGGCCCUGCGAUAUAUGCAUAUUGAGUACAAUGAAUAUCCAUUGUUCUCUAACUGUUGGGCUUUACUAUCUUUGUAGCAGCCUGCCUAACAUUUUUUAGGCUCUACACUCUACCAUCCAAUUUAUGAAAAAUUCAAAGAUUGGACGGUAUUGAUUGCAUAAAUGAAAAAAAUACUAUGAUAUUAGAAAGGUGAAUGUAAUUGUGUUAGAAGAAGCGUCUAGCAUGAUGGGUAAUAUUUUAAGUUUGUAUUUCUAAAAUUUUUUCGUUCUGGAGUAUGAUUUACCUCAAUUGUUUUGUACUUUAAUCUUUACUAAUUUUCAUUGUGGAGUAUGAUUUGCCUCAACUAACAACUUUUCAUUGUUUAACUUUUUCCUCCCUUAGAUAGUUGCAUAUGUUUGAUUUGUUAAUCUGCUUCUUACACAUGUUGUUUCCUAAUGGUGUAGGUGGAUUGCCGGAUGCAUGUGCAGAUUACUUGAAUAGACGAAGCUAAGAAUGACUUAGUAUUAAGUGAGAAAGAAGCUUGGGUCAGUUGGAUUUUGACAUUUGAUUUAUUCAUGUUUUUUUGUUGCUUGCAAUGUUCUCUCAUUGUUUGUUCUGAGAUUCUGUGAUCUUAUUUUUCAUAGGAACUGACAUUGGUUUGCCAUAUAAUGUUUCAGGAACUAAUACAACAACUAAUCACCUUGCUUAGGUCUCAAGACACAUACUUAACAGGUUAACAAACGCUAACCUAUAAACUUAUCUACUAAGCUGGACCAUUAACCUCUGUUUAUAUCCCUGCCACUCAUCUUUUGGCACUUAUCAAUAGCAAAAUCUAGAGUUGUUGAAACCCCAAUUUUAAUGAAUAUUAUUUUUAGUUGAUAAUUAAAAUUAAUUGAUGAUUAAUCUAUUCCAUUGUGCAUUAUUUUAUCGCCAAAUACUUUGAAUAUUCAUUAGCAAAAGAUAUAGGGUUCACUAUUUAAUGAAUAGAAUUUUGAUGGUGGAUUGCAUUUCCUGAGUUAUAAAUGUGGUGAAUCCAUUAUUUACUAGCUGAAUAAUCAUAAUGUUUUGGCCACUUACCUUGAAUUUUGUUCAAAUUGAAGAAGUCACAUGUUUCUUUCUGUUGUUGAGGUAAUCUCUCUGUUGAAAGCUUCUAUUUCUUUUUUCUUUUUCUUUUUUUCAUUUGGGUAGAUUUUUUUUUUAUGGAUUUAUGUAUUUUUUUUCUUCAGAGAAUUCGAAAUGAAAUAAGAAUAGCGGAUUGAGCAUAAACAAAUUGAUGAAAUUUUUAUUUGAGUGUUUGUGUUGGUCCUUUUUUGAUUUGUUGAGGUUUGGAAUUAUUUGAGUUUUUUUGCUGUUAGUACUGUGAAGGAUGCUUGGCAAUCGCGAAAUGGGGGCUACCUCUUUGGAAAGAGAAGUCUCGCUAUCCAACCUCUCAUGAAUUACAAACAGGGUGCUUUCUUGCUGAAAAACCACUGAAUCAGUAGAACUUUCCUCGGUUCUUCAAUUCGAUUCGAAUAAUUUUUUUACCCAGAAAAGCCAGCGUUUCCUGGUGAGUUUUACAGCUUUCUCAAUGUUUUUUUUAUUUUGGAUUUGCAAAUUUGUUUUCUGUUCAAAUUUCCUUUUGUGAUUUUGGAGGUUUUGUUUAUCGAUUCUCUCACUCAUCUCUCAGCUCUCUCCCACUUUUGAGGUACAUGUCGUUGGAUUCCGUUUGCUGCUGUUGAUCUGCAGGUAAAGCUUCAAUUACCAUACAAAGUUUACAUUUUUCAUGAUUUCUUGAAUUUGGGUUUUAAACAAAGGAAAUAUUGCUAGAUUCUUAUCUUAUGUGCAAAUUACUGGCUAUUUGGAUUGGUGCUUGAGAUUUAGAGAAUGUCUCGCAGCUUUAAUUUCUUUUUCCUUCAUUAUUACUGUUUUCAAAAUUUUUAUUGCUGGGUAUUGAUAAUUUGUAGUAUGUGAGGGCUUCAAUAUGUUGGAAUUUUGAAUGGUUAUUGCUUCAUCGGAAUUUGGGUGGUCCAAAUUUUGAAUUAGAAGAAACCCAUUUGAUUAAUAUUUUUGGUGGAUUGGUUCUCUGUGUUUUCUUUGCUAUUUCUCCCCCAGUUGGAAAUUGGAAGCCCCAACUUUGAGCUCAGAGCUUGAAUUUCUCAAUCGUUCGUUUCUCUACACUCUCAUCAGUCACUCUUGAUCCUCUAUCUAAAGAACUGGGUAAUUUUCCAGCUCUAUCAAGUAAUACUCAAUUUAAUUGCUUAAUUGAGGUUUUUUGUUUCUCUUUUUCGCUCUUUCAUCAGUUCAUUGGCUUUGAUGUUGAGCUUAAGUAAAUGGGAGAUCAUUAAUUGGCAUUGUUCAAAAUAUAAUUAUGUGUUUUUGGAUUUGUGAAACGAUUUGCCUAAUGAUGAUAGUGGUUAAAAUAAAUUUUUCGUUAUGAAAGAGAACAUUGUUCUUCAUUUGCCUACGGUUUUAACUACAAAGUUAAACUACUAUGCUUUUGUUCAAUUGAUUGCAACUCAUGCCGCAGUUUGCUUCACAAACCUCUAUGGUUAGCUUCCAUACAGUAUGUUGCAAGUUUGAGGAUAUCUUUACAUCUUAAUUUUUGCUCUCUCUGGUUGCUUCAAGUUUGUAAUUUUACGUGUUACAUUGCUACUUGAUUUGAUUAUAAAAAUGCAAAAGAAAAUCCAUUUUGCUUUUAUUCAACUUAAAUGUAUCCUUUUGUUUGUUCAUAAUUGUGUUGAAUUUAUUCAACUUAAAUGUGUUUUAUUCAUCUGUUUACGCUUAAAACAACUGGUUCCCCUAGCAAUGCGCGGACCUAAUUUCUAGUACAUAUACUAAAAGCCAGCAGAAAAUUACUGUUCAUCAUGGGAGAUAGAGCACUGUUCAUUAACAGUGAAAGGGAAAAAAUGCCCUCGGUUUCUUCUUUACUUCACGUACUGUUUACGAAUUGCUACAGUAUAAAGUCCGUUUUGUCAUUCCUGUCCACGCAUCUUUCAUCGUCCGUUUCUCUUGCUUCGACCGCAUCUUUUUCGCUUUACCUUUCCUCUUCGUUUUUCGCCUUCGCUAGGCUGCAAUUUUCGGAGGUGGAUUGUUUGCCCUUCUAUUUCCAUGCUCUCCCCAUGCCCUCCAUUGAUGUGUGGUCACGGUUAAACUAUGUCAACAUUUUAUAUUAAUUUUUUUAUAGAAAUAAUAAAAUAAAAAGUAAUAGGUAUCCAGGAAAUUUUCGUCAAAAUAUCCAGGAAAUAGGUAUCCAGGAAAUUUGCUUUACCGAUAUUUUAAUAGGUAUCCAGGAAAUUUGCUUUACCGAUAUUUCGCCGAUAUUAUCGGUUUUUUGCUUUACCGAUAUUUUAAUAGGUAUCCAGGAAAUUUUCGUCAAAAUAUCGCGAUAUUAUCGAUAUUAUCGAUAAUAUCGCGAUAUUUUAGAUAAUAUCGAGACAUUUUGGUUUCUCGACAGUCAGUCACAAUCUCGCCGGAGAAUCAGAAUAACUCCGAGCAAGAACAAAACCUGCAACCAAACGGAACAAAAUCAUCACUAUCUUUCAACAAAAAUCACCACUUUAUACCAAAAUCAGUGACAAAAUUACACUAAUCCGAGAAGCAAGGGCUUGAAUUCGAGCAAGAUCUGGAAGAAAACAGUAGAAGCUGAGAAAUCGAGUACCUCACCGGCAGUUACAGUGCUAAAGAUCAUCAUCUUUGGAAGGCCGCGGAUCAGACGGAGCUGAGAGAUCAAUGAGUAAGCAUUUCAUAGAUCGUAUUCGAUGAGCAGCUGAAAGAGAGGAGAGAGAAAGCAGAGAGAGACGCGGACGAGGAGGAUCUCGCUGAUGGGGACGACGAAGGAGAGGUAGAGGUCGCGGCCCGCGGGACAUGGUGACGGGCUCGACGAGGAGGAAGGCGAAGGAGGAGCAGAGGAGAUGGGUGCGUGCGUGCUGCGGUGCAGAGAAGAGAGAUGAGGGAGAUAUGAGAGAGAGAGAGCCGAGAGGGAGACAGAAGAAAAAGAAAAGAAAACAGAAAGAAGAAGAAAAGAAGAAGGGAGUCGCGGGGGAACAAAGAGAGAAAAGAGAAAAGUGGAGGGGCUGCCACGUGGCCACUUCAGAAAGAAAGGGAUCCAAUGUUUUGGAUCCUGAUUGGGUAGUCAAAGAGGACCAAUUUGAUAUAUUAAAAUGUUUAGGGGAUAAUUACACAAAUAUAUCUUUAUAAAUGGGGGUGGGUGUUACAUAUUGCCCUAAAAAACUCCAAGUAAUUACAACAUCGUAUUAGAAUUGUAAUUGAUCCUUGUUAGAUUUGGUUUAGAAAUUCUAUGUAAUUUAGUGAUUGUUUCAUAUUAGAUUUAGAUUUGAAUUUUUUACUCCAUUCAGAUUUUAAAUGAUUAUAAUAGAUUUAAAAAUUUACGAACUUUGAUGAAGUUUAAUAAUUUUUAAAACUUUUAUGUAAAAUUUUAAGUGAAUUCCCUCAAAUUUUCAGGUAGCGAUUUGAGAAUGUUUAAAAUAUUAUGUGAAAUAUUUCUAAUUUUUUCGAGUUUCCCAGCUUUUUAAAAAUCUCUUUGAAUCAAUUUCUAAAUUAAUACAUUUGGAAUGUAUGAAUUUCUUAAAAAUCAUGAUCGAAUACCCCUUAAACUUUAAAGAAUCACUUAAAAUCCUAAUUAAAUGCCCUUAGAUUUUUAAGGAGAAUUAAAAUGUUUAUAAGCCCCAAUUGGAUGUACCGCUUAAUUUAACUAAUUGACACAACACAACAUAACCAGUUAAGAUUACAAAUUAACACAAAAGACGACUUGAUGCGAGGUCAUAUCUACAAAACUUGCCGCAAUAAGCCCCAAUUGGUGUGUUUAAACUUCUUUCAUUAAUUACUACAUAUUUUCUACACUCAUAAUGUUUGUCAGCUCGCUAUAUAAUCAACUUGAUAAUGUUAAAUCCAUCAUGCAAUGCAUUUCCUUCCAAUUUUUUGUGAUAAACUAAUAGAUAAUUGACUAAAUAAACAUCCUGCAAAGUUUCAAUAAAAAUUUUCAAGUUUUUUUUACAAUUUCCGUGAUUUUCAUGUAAUUUUUAUCGGUAUCGAUAUUAUGCCGAUAUUUUUAUCAAUAUUUCCGUGUUUUCGAGUACAUAUUUCCGAUAUUACCGAUUCAUCCGCGAUUUUCUCCCUUUUCGCCAGCCCCUCUUUUGCUCUCAAAUCCUUGCUCUUUCUUUUUCAAACUAGUCUCAGAAGAGAUCCUGGGUUUAUCUAAUCCUUUGUUGUUCGGCGUUUUGUUCUCAUCUUGCGAUCGUCGGGGCAGCAGCUUUAAGGUAAGUUUGUUUUUAAUGAUUUAUCCUCAAUUUACGAUGUCUGGGCUAACAAAUUUAAGAUCUUUAUUUUUCUUUUUGCUGUGGAUCUGCAGGUUUUGACAAGUUUUUUGUGAAAUUGGUGCUGUCAGUGGGUGUUAAUAUCAGGUACCCAUGUUCAGUUUUUCGUUUUGAUUUGAAGGAAUUUCUUGCGCAGAAGAGCUAGGUUUCUUGGUGAGUUCUUCGGGUUGUGCAUAUGGGUAAUUUUCUUUUAGGUAUAACCCUCUGCUUCUGCUGCUCUCUCUCUCUCUCAUCCCUGCCUGCUCCUCUCCAAUUGUUUGCUGUUCUUAAAUAUUGUGUUCAUUGCCUGAUACAAGGAGCUGCAGCAAUCUGUUUUAUCCUACACGGGACAACGAGGCAAUGGCGUGACAACAAGUGAGCUUGGAUAUCCAAAGAAAAAGAACAGUUGGUUCAUCUGCUGGAGUCUGAAGCUCAGAGAAGUGGAGGAAAAUUGCAGGUGUGCGAGAAAUUUUAUUUUGCUGAUAGGACUCCUUAUUUACCGAUGCAUUUUGAAUUAAUUGAAAAGUUGGAUUUGAGUUAACAGCUAUAAAAAUGUAGACAUGAUUGCUGAGAUUAUGCUAUGAAAGUGGAAUAAAAAAAUGGUAGUUUAUAAUAUUGCGUACCAAUUUUUUUCUCUCUUUUUUACCAAAUGAUAAGGGUGGUGGCUCAGGCCGCCCCCCUACGCGUCCCCACUCUUCGACAAGUUGAAAUCAUGGUGAUAGUUUAUGGGUUGCGGUCUUGGGAUUCUGCAAAUAGAAUAAAAAACAGACACUUAACUAUCUUGUUAUUAAGCAUUUCUGCAUCAUUCAGUUGCUCUUGAUUUUCGUCUUUUAAGCGCUCUUAUUUCUGCGAUCUGACUUGAGGAGGGGUUUUAGACCUAUGGUUGUGGGUGUUUUGUCUGACCCCAUUAAAUUGGUUUCCGAGAUUUGUAGACUUGCGAUCGGCGGUCAAACAUUUCGUGAUUCUUGCUUUUUUUCCGACUGGGAUUGACGAAUUUUGGCCGAAUCUGUUUCCUGUUUUCUUCUCUGUUUGAGCGGCCGCUGCCUUUCGGUCGUUGAGCGCCGGCAGUCUUUAGAUCUUUGGCAAAUCAAUUUAAUACAACCGAGGUAUGUUUUAUAACUGCUGUCUUUCAAUUUUUGUUCUGUAUUUUUGUUAAUUUGGAUGAAGCUCUAAUAAUUUUGUUUUGGAUCAGUUGUGGUCCUCUGUUAGGAUUUUCCUGGCUAAGAGGGUAUUUGCAUUUUUGUUGCUUGGUUGGUCGAUCCAGUGUAUUAAAAGCGUGAGGCGUGGGCGAGGCGUCCGAGGGAAGCUCGGCCUAGGCGUGAGGCGUGAGGCGAAGCCUCAUGGGACCUAAAUUUUUUAAUAUAUAUACAUUGAGCGUACACAUAUAUUAUAUUAAAAAUAAGAAGAUUAUUAAUCAAUAAUCACCUUGAGCACACACAUAUAUUAUAAAUAUAUACACACACACAUAUAUAUACAUAUAUUAUAUUAUAUAUGCAUAAAAUAGAGGAUGAAAAACACAAUGAGCACACAUAUAACAAUGCACGCAAACAACACACACAUCCAUUAUAUAAAAAUAAAAAUCAGAAAAAAGGCAUAGAGACAAAAGUGCAAGGAAGAUGUAUGAGACAGUUAAAAUCCUACCCAAAAUUUGGGUUUGGGAGUAAAGAAAAAAAAAAAAAAAAAAAAACUCACUGAGGCGCGCCUAGGCGGCUCCGGCGACGCCUAGGCGGCCUUUCGCCCACUCCAGCAAAACUGAGGCGUUAGCCAUGGAGCCAAGCCUCAAGGGCGCCCUAGGCGCGCCUCGAGGCGAGUUUUUUAAAACAUUGGGUCGAUCACAAAUUUACGAACAGCUGUGGUGGUCCUGUUAGAGCCAAGCCUCAAGGGCGCCCUAGGCGCGCCUCGAGGCGAGUUUUUUAAAACAUUGGGUCGAUCACAGAUUUACGAACAGCUGUGGUGGUCCUGUUAUUUUUUUGGUAUGUUUUUUCUCCUUUUUGGUUUUUUCCCGGUUUGAGCACCCAUUCAUGAAGAAUUAAAAUGUGUUUAUAGUUUUUCAGGAGAGAUUAGAAAAGUGAUUUCAAUUUGGGAAAAUUUAAUGUUGGUUAAAAUUUGUUUAUAAUUUUUGGGAAGGAAUGAGAGGACCCAUUGAAGUAUGUGUUGUGAUUAUUUUUUAUUCAUAUUUUUAACAAAUUGGGCAUGAAUUGGUAGGUUAACUGUGUGUGUUUAUUAUUUGAAUCGGCCAUGUUUGUCUUUCUAUGGUUCUAAAAAAUUUGUAAAGGCUGUUAACUUGGAAGAAAAUGGGAUCGAGGGUGAGGGGAAAACAGCAGAGAAAGCAUGGAAGAGAGAUUUGGGAUUAGGGGUAGGAAAACAGAUGAAAAGAAUAUGAUAGAGGAAUGGGUUCAGUUCAUUUUCACUAUUUUUUUUAACUGAUUUGGAUUUUGUUUGGGUUUGAGGCCAUCAUUGGCGUUAAGACGUUUAUUAUCAGAUCGUGUGUGUUUUUUGCUAACUUUUAUUGGUAAUUUUUAUGUUGUUCUUAUGAUUUUGUGUGGUAGGGUUUCUGAAUUUUAUCGUUGUUCAUUUGGUUUUUUCUGAAUUUUAUCUGAUUUUGUGUGGUGAGUUUACAAAAUAAUACUAAAUAAAUUUAUUUGUAAUUUCGGAUGAUUGUGAUUCAAUCCUACUACAAUUGAAAUUCACAGAAAGAAUGAAAAACCAGAACAAAACUGCAGCACCUAAAAAGUUGUCAUACAAAAAAACAUGGAAUGUAAAAAUAUGUUAAGAAAUCUAGUUCGUUAAUUUCCAGCUGGUAAGCGGCAUUAUGUAACUUUAGUAGUAUAACUAAUUAACUACUUAUCUAGUGGGUUGCACUUCUAUCCUUGAUCUCAGUUGUGGCUGCAAAGUGCAGGCCACCACCAAGUCUCAGUGUUUGUGUAUUAGCAAAACACUUAAAUAAAUUAAAUUCUGAAAUGUAAAUUAUAUUCCUAUAACUUUAAGAUGCACAUAUAGUAUUGUUGAAGUCGAACUGAAAGCACUGACAAUUCCAAGCAACAGAGCAGCAAUUAUUAAGAGCCAAAACUCAUUCCUAGUCUCCUCAUCCUGGUACUCUACUCCGUAAUCUUCGUUCAGCAUCAUUGACUGAAAUUAGGAGAGAAAAAGAAAAGGAAUUUCAGAAAUUGUCUAUGAAGCAAAGGAUACUGCAGUUACUUCAAGACAUGUAAAUUGCAUAUGUAUAAAGUAAUUUUCUACAUAAAGUAACGAGGCAUAACUCUCUCUCUCCUCUUCAAACCCUAAACAGAGCAAAGCCACAAACUUUACAGAGAUUAGAAUGAGAACUGGAAUUAAUAGAACAAUGACUGAAAAGUAACAUACUUGAGGAGUGAAUGAUUUAGUGUUUCCAUCAUCGGAAAGCCGGAGUAAGUCGCUAAGAGAGGUCGCAAACAGCCCAAAGGGACAAACCCAGACCCCCGGCCCCGAUCCAUACCCUUCCCCCUCAAAUCCCGACGGCCCCCAUACUUUUCUCUGACUGUACCCCCUCUCCCACUCAUGAAAUCGAGGAUCUGUAGCAAUGGUACUGAGAUCCCCACUCCUCCCCCUCCCUUUCUCUCUGUCACUCUGUCUCCCUCUCCCUCUGUCUGUCUAUCUUUAUCCCAGAGCGGCAUGGCCUCGCAUCCCUGAAACCCUCACCGAAAGGUGGCAAUUUUGUAAAUAACUUGAAAUCCACCAACAGCAGGGGCAGAGAAUUGAAACAGACAUUUAGGCUCGUUCGAUAACCAUUUAGGCCAAAACUGAGCACACCUAAACCAUUCCUACUCGUGCCAAAUGUUAGCGGGGAAGCAAGAUGAUGACUUUAUUGUUCAAAACCAAAAGAAAAAAAGAGAGAAAACAAAAUAACAAAUCUAAUGGUUGUAGUGUAAAAGCUGAGAACGUAAAUAAACAUGCAGGGAAAAAAAUUGAAGAUACAAAGUAGCUGCAUCAUGAAACACUUGCUCCAAUUAGACGCAAAAAGUGAUGGUGAUGAGAAGAGAGAGAAAAUGCAGUCGUUUUGAUUUUUCUGGCUUUUAAAGGGAGCAGCUUUCUUCGACCACCAAAAAAAGGAAGCUGCUUUUCGUGUGGUUGUGAUUUCCUGAGUGUAUGUGAGCGGGUCUAUGGCACUUGCACUUUUUGUGUCGGUUACGGUAACCGGGCGAGGUGGACACGGCGGCGUGGGACUGAAUUCGGAGAGGUGAGAAAAAUUAAAAACACAAAAAGAAGGUGUUCAUUUUGUCACAUUUUUAUUACUAAAAAUUCAAUAAAGUACAUUCAUUAGUAUGGUAACUUAACUAUUUAAUUCCAUCUCAUUAAACUAAAAAAAACAAUUACAUAAAAAUAAGGGAAACCUUGUCCAGAGAGACCUGAGAGAAAGUGACGACUUCUCCUCUCAUUCCACUCCAUACUUGAUCUCUAAAGUCCAUUUGGCAUGUAAUUGAUGUUCAAUUUCAAAUUUAGUGGUAGCAAUUAGCAAAGCUAAUGAAAGAAUAAAAUAAAAUGAAAGAAAAAGCAUCAUGAAAUAAAUCAAGAUGAAGAAUGAAAUUUUGGCAACUCGCCAUUCUCUUCUUUUAUACAAAAGAUACAUCCUAUUUGUAGUGAAAACAGGUCCCGACAAACCCAGUUAUCGUCAAGAAGUAUUUUGUAUGACUUUAAAAACAUAUUCCGAGAAAUUAUCUCUUGGCUGAGAACAACAACAAAUCUUCAUGCAUAGCUUGUAGAGAAAGACAUCAGGCAUACAAAAGAACACGCAAGCAUAAAAUAAACGACGCAGGGAAAACCAAAAAUACAAUUGGAUACGCUGUCAAAAGAACAUAAAUAAAUGAAAAUUACAAAACAAAGAAGUGAUGAGAAACCAAAGUACCCAUUUCAUAAUCUAAUUGCUUUUUAGUUUGCUUGCCAUUUUUAGUUCUUCAAUUUAGAGAGAAACCAUAAUUCAGCACAUGAAUAAAGUGAAAACAUAAAAGAUAUGUGGGAUAAGCUAACAGCCAUCCCUGAGUAAUGCAUUCACUUCUGAACCCCAAACACACCAAAACAAAAAUUCACACACAUGAACUACAGCUCUGCUAUGUAACAAGAAUUAAAAGCAUCUCAAAACAAAAUGGCAAACUAUAAGAGCAAUGUAAAAGUAAAAUUGCAAGAAAUCUAAUACUUGGAGGGCAAGUACUAAUCAGACGAAAAUGAAAGAUUGAACUACCUCGCGUGGAACUGUGCCUUGGUUUUUUCCCAUGCUUACAGGAAGCUUUGCACUGAGCUCUUAUAGCCCAAAUUUUCUCUGAAGGGAAAAAAACACAAUUUUGAAAUAAGAUUUUCAUAUUAUACCUUAAAGAGAAGAAUUAGACAACAAAAAAGAGAACAAUGAGUACUUUUCAUCAUAUAUUGUUAGAGUAUGUGGUCCUCUAGUCCAAUGGUCCUGCAGCCAUAUUUACUUUAUAACUCUUUCUUUAGUCUAAAAACAUCUUGGAUCUCAAAUUAAUAUGAAUACGGAUUCAUACGCAUGCAUUGCAUUACAAUCACAAUGCAACAUCUCAUUAGAAAUCCCCACACAAAAUUCUUUUAUUGCUACUUUGAUUUUAGUUUAUAUUUUUUCUGAAGCACGAGGGAGCUAAUUUUUUUUUAAAAAUUUUUUAUUCCAAUAAUGUUAUAGGGUUGAAAGGAUAUUAUCAAUUUAAUUGAUUGUAUUUGAUUGGUGGAACUUCUAUAUCUAUAUUUCAGGUUUUCAAAUUCAGCACUGGGAGAGUCAUUCAUAAAAUGUUUGACAGUGAGAUUACCUCCAUGGAUUAUGCUCACAAUGGACAGCUCAUUUUCCGCGGUGAUGGGACAAUAUAUUUCAGUCAUUCGCCAUUCAAUCAAUUCAAACCGAGGAACAAGCAACAUCAAGAAGAGGAUCUGCCAUGUCAGGAUCACUGUCGUCCAAUUAAUACAAAAAAUCUAGAUAAAAACGAUCAAUUUACAUAAAAGCCUUUCAUUUUCUCAGCAACCAAGCAAAAGAAAAUACCUAUCCGUUAAACACUCGAUUUGGGAGUAAACGUUGCUGAAACUGGACUUCAAUCCCCUCAACCGCAACAAUCGAAUCGAGGUGUGCAAGUCAUUGAAAAACUCACCCAAGAUUUCAAAAUCUGCAUAAAGAAAUAAAUAAGCACAUAAAUUAGCCAACCCUGUUAUGAUCCCACAUCGGGUACACAAGAAAUUGUGUAGUGGUACUUAAGUGCAAGGGGUCAUCCCACCUAUUGGACUAGUUUUUUGGAUUGGGCUCUUCCCUUGGGCUUGAGUACCUAACAUUGGUAUCAGAGCCUAGGUUCCCGACGCUGCGAGACUUGGCGAGUGGUGCCGCCUCAUGGUGCCGCCUUGGGAGUAUGGGCUCCCAAGGGUCUUGGAGACGGGCAAGGUAUGAAAUGUCGAUAUUAUCGCGAUAUUUCGCCGAUAAUAUCGGUUUUUUGAGUUACCGAUAUUUUAAUACUUAUCCACUGAGUUUUCGUCAAAAUAUCGCAAUAUUAUCGAUAAUAUCAACAAUAUCGCGAUAUUACCGAUAAUAUCGCGAUAUUUUGGAGAUGUGCGAAUCGGAGAAGAAGGCCGGAGCUUCUACAGCUCCUGCCGACUGUAAAAGAGCACCCUAGACUCCGAUCUAGGUAUCAAAAUGAAAUACAAGACGAGAGGAAUGUUUUUAUAACUUCCGUUUGCCGUGAAACGGUCGAAGGUGUUCGGAAAGUUCGUCGACACCCACGGCCUCGCCAGAGAUGGGUGUGCCUAUUCUCGAGCCGAUUUCGUCCCAAAAACCUUGCAAAAACACGAGAUAGAACUUAAAUUUCACAUCUAAGCUUCAAUCUAGAAUAGAAUGAGGUAAACCCGAAGCUUACCUAACCGGAGAAAUUCAAGAAACUCGCCAGAGGGUUCCUGCGUCGCCGAGUUGCAGAGACGAGAAAGAGAUGGAGAAAGACGAGGUUGCUGAUAACGAUGGGUGUCUUCCUCAAGCAGGUGCGAUGGUGUGCGUGUGUGUAUGUGGGUCUCGGUGCAGAGAGAAAGGAGAGAGAUGAGAGUUUCAAGAAAGAGACGGCGCCAACGAGAGCUAUUUGUUUUUUUUUAUCUUAAAAAGAGAGAGGUCUAAGAGAAAUGGGAAGAGAGGGCCGAGUGAAAUGAAAGGAGGUCCUUGAAUUAUUGAGAGAUAUCUCUGAGAGAGGCCUAGGAUUUCUAAAAGGUAAUUAGAAAUGGGAAAAAUGGGGCACAUCUUAGCCUUUAUUUUGGAAUCCUAAGAAGUUCACCACAUGGAUGCAUGACAUGUGUGCAUGCCAUGUCUGUUGAAUGGGAAAAGUCUGACAUGGAAAGACAAAGAGUCGUUUGGUCCUCUGGGCUCGAGGCAAGAUAGAAAGUGCUAGGGUUUUUUUUUCUGAAAUGAACAUAAGCUGCUAAAUUCGCAUAUAUUAUAGUUGUUGCUAAAGAUUGACACUAGUGCGGACUUGGACGUGUUGGUCAACAUGUCCUCACAAUCCCCAAGUUCUCCGGUUCGAACCCUUACGCCCAUCAAAUUUUUCUUUCUUUUCGAUGCGCUUUUUCCAUGGCUCUAGGUCUUGAUUUCGAAUCCAGGUGAGCCCUUUCCUUUUUCUUUUUUUUUUCUUUUUGUUUUAUUAUUUGUUUAUUUUAAUUUAUUUGUUUCUUUUAUGUUUUUCCUUUCUUUUAGUUUCUUUGUCUUAGGCGUUCGUGUUUAUUAAAGUAGGAUGUAAAAUCAAUUAUCUUAAAAUUAUGUGUUUUUAAAUUUUGGACUUGUUUGUUGGAUACUUUUUUUGCAUUUUAUCAUUAUUUUAUUAUGAAAAUAUGCUAAAAUAUGCUAAAAUAUCACUUAUGUUUUUGUGAAAAUAUGCUAAAAUAUUUAUAUAUAUGGUUUUGUUUUGAAUUCUUUUUGUACUAAUUCAUUAUAUAUAAAUGAUUAUGGUGUGUUUAAACUUCUUUAAUUAAUUACUACAUAUUUUCUAUACUCACAAUGUUUGCUAGCUCGCUAUAUAAUCAACUUAAAUCAGUAAAAUCCAUCAUGCAAUGCAUUUGCUUCCAAUUUUUUGUGAUAAACUAAUAGAUAAUUGAUUAAAUAAACAUCCUGCAAAGUUUCAAUAAAAAUUUCCAAGUUUUUCUUACAAUUUCUGUGGUUUCCAUAUUAUUUUUAUCAAUAUCGAUAAUAUCCCGAUAUUUCCAUCGAUAUUUCCGUGUUUUUGGACUACCGAUAUUUCCGAUAUCAUCGAUAUUUAUACCUUGGCGACGGGGGACUUGCCGACUGGUGCCGCCAUGGACGUUGGGUCUUUCGAAAGGUGGUGUAAUGUUAUGAUCCCACAUCGGCUACACAAGAAAUUGUGUAGUGGUACUUAAGUGCGAGGGGUCCUCCCACCUAUUGGACUAGUCUUUUGAGUUGGGCUCUUCCCUUAGGCUUGAGUACCUAACAAACCCAUAAAUCAAAGAAAUCAAAAUCCACCCAGAAUCAAAGAAAUCAAAAUCCAUCCAAAACCAAAGAAAUCAAAAUCACACACAGAUAUACAAGGUGUACAGUAUUGACAUGCCUUAAAUGAUAUUAUUCACAAGAUUUAUAAAGCUCAUGUUGUAAUACUUGUGCAGAAUCUAUCAUUCACGGCGUCACUUUUGUGCAAGUCGUAAAUAAAAUUAUUCACGAUUUAAACAUUGUGUGUCGUAUUUGACAAUUUAUACUACGCACUUUCUUUUUCUUUUAAAGCUUUGCGUUAUGUCGUAAAGUUGACUUUCUAUAUAUUUGGGUUGUACCUUUUAUGGCGCAAAUAACACGUCGUAAAUAAUGGCUUUUAGCACAGAAGUUUUGUGGUAAAGAAGCCCGCGCACUAAUUCAUUCUCGCGCCUUCUCUUUUUUAUUUAGCCGCUUCUUUUUUUGGUUUUUUUUUUUUUUAAAAUUCCCCUCAAAUCUUAAAAGGGUUUGUAUUUUCUUUGGUAAACUUGAAAGAGAAACAUUGCAAUUGCAUUUUCAUUUACCCAAUAUUAAUUGUCGAGAGCCCACCCCCUUCCCUUCUCUCUGACAUCGUAACUCUCUCCUCUCCAUCGAUCUCGCUCCAUCUGCUCGCCGUCGCUCUAUAUGCUCGUCAUCGCCGUCGAUUCGUCUGCUCGUCGUCACCGUCGCCCAUCUGCUUUCCGUCACCGUCGAAGUGCCCCGCCAUUCAAAAUCUGAAAUCCCCAAUACAGGGUGCUUUGCGGCAUUUCGUUCUCCAAAACUUUAGGUAUGCUCUCAAUCUGUAUCAACCCUAUCCUGUCACCUCUACUUCAAGGUGAACAAUUUAUAGUUUAUAAAUUUUACUUGUGUUAAUAUAUAUUUUUUGGUAAAUGUUAUGGAUAUUUUAUCAAAUCAGAGAGUAAAUUCGUAUUAAGUGAAGAUUGGCAAAGAACAUAUUGUUUUGAAAGGUUGAAUAAUGUUUGCAGAUCACAUAAAUCAGUAGUUGUCAAGUCCAUAAGAGAAGCAAGAAAUCGGAAAGCAAGGCUUCGACUAAAACCAAAUAAUGUCAAAUUAAUUCAAGAUUGGAAGACUUUCCUUGCAAAGUGUAAGCUCAUUUUCAUUUUCUUUCAUUUCUAAGAUUAGUUAUCUUCUUUUGAGUUCAAAAUUGGGUCAGAGAAAUCAAACUGAUAGUAGUUAAAAGUCUAUUUCAACACCAAGCCUUGUCUACACAAGAAUUUGGUGUUAGUUAAACAUGUGUAUGAUUCUAUCUUGAUUGCAUGUUAAUUUAGUUUGAAGAUAGAUUUGGUACAUGCUAGCUAAUUGAUACGUGAUAUGAAUCUUUGGUUUCCUUUUGAUAGGACAAAAGUGAAACAUUCAGAGAGAUGAAGUCUAAGCAACUCCGCACACAUGUAGUCGCAAGGGAUAUGGUAGGUUGGCCGAGGAUUUGGUAAUUACAUUUCAUUCUAGUGCCUUCUUUUCUACAGGACAAGAACAAUUUACUAAUUUUAUUCUGUGUUCUACUGUGUGUUUACUACAUAUAUGUUUCUAUUUUGUAGAAAAGAAAAAGUGUAGACCCUUCUCUAGUUUCUAGAGGUGAUGUUUGGAUUGCAGCACAUACUAAAAAGGGUGGUGGACCAUCCAAUUUGCUUGCUGCAGAGACUAUUGUAAGUAAUUUUUAACCAUUUAUUUCUUCUUGUUUGUUGAUAUGCAAUGACGGAUGAGGUCUUAACUUUGAUGUGCAACGUUAGGAAAAAAAUUAAGCAAUAUGGAAAUGGAUCAUCAUCUGGUUUUCGAGGUGACGUUCUUUCCAAAGUUUUUGGUGCUGAGCGACAUGGUCGUGCAAGAGGAGUUGGAGGUGGUGUUCCUCCUACAAAGCUUGGAAUAUUUUCACAACAAAAAUUGCGUAAUCACCAAAUGGAUGAAAAGGUGCACAAUUUAACUAAUCAGGUCAGAGCACUGACAGAAUUGGUGCAUCUUUUUAUGAAAAAUCAGGUUAGUGAUUUAAUAACAUUGGUAUCAUAUUGAAUAUUUGUGAAAUCAGUUGUAGUGACACAUCAAAUCACAGGGUAAUGAUCUACCAAGUGAGGCAUCUCCUGACACACAGGUUGCAGCUCCUGAGGCACAUGUUGAUACUGUCGCAAGAACUGAAACUCGUCUUUCCCAAUGCGCAACAAAUGAAUCGUGGUGGCGAGGUUGAUACACUUUUUCAAUGAGCCUUCUAACUAUUAAUGCUCAUUGACUCUGUUAAAAGCUCUGCCAUUUUCAAUCUAACUAGACACUAGAAAUGAUCAUUGACUCAGUUAAAAGUUUUGAUGCUUUGGUCCUUUUGCAUAGUUGCGCAUCUACUGAUUUCUAUUUUUUUUCAAAUCCUGCAGGUUAUUUCUGAAAACAUUGAAACAUCGUGGUGUGCCAGAUGGUUUGAUUAUAAGACACCUUCCUUUUGGUCCACCAACUUAUUUAUAACUGCUAAAUGGUACGUAGUGUGAUAAUUUUCAAAUAUUUUGAUAUUAAGACAGGUGUAGGACAACAUAGAAAUUCUUAGGGCCUUCAGCAACAAAAUUAUGAAAAAGUGAGUGAGAUACAAUUAAAAAAAUGAAAGAGAAGGAUCAUGAUUCAUGAUCUAAAGGUUUGAAUAGGGUAGAAAGGAUUUAGUUUCGUUGUUAAAAUCGAUUUGUGAGUCUAUUGUUAUUGUAUUGUCAAUUUGUUUAUUUACUUGAACUUCCUAGUAUCAAUUUGGUUCGAUAUAUCUAGCACCACCAUAGAUAUAUCUAGUAUCAAUUUGGUUAGAUAUUGUCAAUUUGUUAUUUUAUUGUCAACUAUAGAAUGUGCAUCAGUUGUAAAAGGAACAAAACAAUUCAGAUUUUUUGUUUAUGUCCAAACUUAGAAUUGUAUUGUAAUUGACAAUUUCUACUAAUUAAUCCAAGUAUUUGGAGUUUAAUAUGUUUAUGAUCAAUAUUGUUAUCCUUGUAUUGUAUCAGUUUAGAUGUUAUGAAGUGAGGUCUGUCUAAAAAUGAUAUGCUAAAUAUAGAUGUAAAUUACGGCAUCUAAAAUCAGCAAUAAUUGUUGAUGGUAGUCUUUUUUUUACGAUGUAUGCCGUAAUCACCUUCACAAUAUUACGACACUCAACAAAUGCUGUAUCAAAUAUAAAUUACUGCACACUAGUAUGUCGUAAUUGUUUUUCAGUAUUACGACACCCUAUUAACGCUGUAACUAAUACCAAUUAAGGCACGUAGGACAUGCCUUAAGAACAUUUAUGGCGUGUUUUACUUAAAUUAUUCACGACUAUUAGAGUACGUUGUAUUUGUCAAAACAUCUUUUACAACAGGGGCUUUUACUGCUUGGAGGCUCAAGCCGUGAAUUUCCAUUUAUGGCACCCUUUGUGCGCCGUAAAAGGCCAAUUCUAUUGUAGUGAUCCAUGGGUACAUUUUUAAUCUACAUGUUUCGUUUUAAUAUAUCUAUUGCUAUAAUAUGUUUUGGUUGGUUCAAAUUCGUUUUACAUAAAUAUAUGGGUACAAAGUUUUUGGAGAAUAUUAUGUAAAAUGGUUUUUAAGGUUGUUGCAUUUUAUGUACCCACAUAUGCAUGUCUAUAAAACAAUGUGGUAUGAUGUACAUUCUUUUCCUUGAGUUUUUAAAUGUACCCAUGAGUUUUCUUGUAAAUUCGGUAUGUAUCCAUAUGCUAUUUAUGUUAUGGGUACAUACAUUAUUUUUGGUCUAAGUUGGUGGGUACAUUGCUUUUGUAUGUAUGAAUUCAUUGGGUACAUUAUUUCCCUUAAUACUACUCAAUAAAAUUCACAAAAAUGUGCAGUGUGCAUGAAUUUUUAUUGUAGAAAUUGUUUUUUUUUAUUUUUAAUUUUUAAGUCUCAUAAUUCGUGAAUUUUGUACAUAUUGAUCCCAUAAAUUUUUGAAUUUUAUUAAAUUUUUUUUAGACUUGAUCGAUUGAUUGAAUCUCAUAAUAAUCCCUUAAAUGUUCCAAUCAAUAUUUUAAAAUACAGCUUUUUAUUUAAGAUUUCAAAAAGAUGACAUGAAAACAUAGUAAUACUAAAAUUUUGUUUUAAAUUACAUUUGUGUAACAAUCAAUGGUAUGUUAAAACUGGGCAAAAAAAAAAAUGGUAUAUUAAAAAAUUAUAAUUUAUUCUUUUUUUCAUAACUGUCUUCUGCUUAGAUUAAUUUUUUCCAACGUUUCUCUUCGGGAGAAUUAGUUCUUACCAAUAUAUAUGCACAUUAUCUGCUUUUUACCUGGUCUUAACACAUGAUUAAUUACUUUCCUACCUGCUAACGCGUUGACUUGCGCAUCCAAAGUAUUAUCAAAGUCACUGCCACCAAAAAGGUGCCCACUCCACAACCUUUGGUUGAACCAAAGAACAUCACAACAAUAAGGAAAUCGUUAAAUCUAUCUCCGCAACAUUUUUAUUAAUCAUUAGAUAGAUUAAACGAUCCCCCUAUUCAUAUUGUGUUCUUUUGUUGAACCAAACCAUGUCAACAAAAUAUAUCUAUGGUUAAAGCAUCUAGAUUCAAGCUUUUGGAUGUGCAACUUAAACCCCUCAAUGAAUAGCCAAGCAAUUUAUCAUGUGUUUACAGUAGGUCAAAAGAAGAAAGUGUUUGUCUAUAUAUUAAUAGGAACUAAUUCCUCUGAAGAGGAGAGAUGGAAGUGAUGAUAAUAAAAAAAAAAAAAGUCGUAUUCAGUGCACAAGGCUCCCGCUUUACGCAGGGUCUGAGAGAGGUGAAUGUCGGCUAGCCUUACCCCCAUUUUAUGGAGAGGCUGCUCCCAAGUCUCGAACCCGAGACCUACCGCUCAUGGGCGAAGACACUUGCCAUCGCACCAAGUGCGACCUCUAAGGGAUAAGAGAGUAAUCAUGAAAAUUUUGAAAGUGAAAGCAUUGCCUUGGAAUAUAUAUUCUCUUUAGGAAUUCUGUGCCCAACUAAAUUCUAGAUUCUCAAAAUAUGAAAUUAGCAACUUCACCAAACACUUGGACAUGUAACAGGUCACACGUAUGGUACCAACCUUACCAACCUUACCAACCAUCUAUAUACCUAUGUUUUCGAACAUCGUUAGAUAAUUAAAGUACAGUUCACACAGCAUUUCACAUAAAAAUGGCAUCAUACAACACAUGAGAAGUACUUCUUACAGUAGCAGUCUCGUAACAUGACUAUAGUUUUUGUUACUUCUUAAGAAAAAAGAGUUUAAAAUCCUAUUGAAAGAUAAUUGUAGAGACAGAAACCCAAACUAGUUAAUUAGGUUUCUUUACAUCUCAAUAAAAUUGAAGGGAAUGUAUCUAAUAUUAUCUACUAGAGCCUCUACAAUCAUCAUAGAAUCCACAACCCACAUUUUAAUUAAUCGAAAUUCCAUGAACACAAAUAAGCAAAAGUUGAGUGAAGCCUAAGCAAUAUGUGAUCAUUUAGAGAGUCAAACUCCAUCUUUUUAGAAUUAGGGACUUUUCAAUAUGAAAAGGUAACCUCCACAAUCCAAUAUCAUAUGAAAAGGAAAACCCAAGAAAAAUACAGUAUAAUUGUGUGCAAGAGCAACACAAAAAAAGUUGAAGAAUUAGAAAUCAUAAAGAGACUUGAGACGAUUGUUGCUCACUUAGCUAAAGAGCAUUUGCACUUGAGGUCUCGAGUUCGAUUGCCCCCUUUCUUUAGAUCGCUUGAGAGGAAAAACCUACCAUUCUCUAGUCUAAAGAUAUAUGCAUCUUUGACAUGAAUGACUAGAGGGGAAGAAAGUGCAGACAAAUCACACAUACCUUCAAAAAAUUUUAUGGGGUUGGUGAAUGGUGAUUAGGGAUACUGACUUUUAAUAGCCGUUGAUCAGUGUAUAUUGCACACGCCUUCAUCAAUGGCUAGCGUCGGUACAACUGUGAUUGGGAGGGCCUUUUUACGAUAAUAGAUGGGUAAAGGUUUCAUUAGAAGGGGAAUUUUGUUCUGGUUUGCCAUAAUAACUUGAAAUUAAUGGUUUUUUGUAAUCCUUAAGUUAUUGUCAUUUUAGGUUAACUUUGUACCUGGACUCUUUACUGGAGCUAUCAAUUGAAACCCCCAUUUUCUUACCAAAAUAUGAAAAACAAAGAGUCCCAUUUUUACAGCACAGUCCUACUCUAGUUGAAAUCCGAUCGACGGUCAAGAUUUUCUAGUCAUGUGAAAGUAUCACAUAUAUAAAAUUGACUGGAGAAGGCAUGCCACAUUGCCAUGCCCUUGACAGCUUUACUUUGUUUACAAACUUUCUAAAAGAAAGAAAGAAAAAAAUCUAAAAUGGAAGGUGAUAGCGAUUUUACCACUUGUAAAACAAAGGGUUAAACCAUAGAAAAUUCUUGCAAGAGAACAAGUGUUUGUAGUAUAGAAUGGCUCAAGCAAGGUCGAUCUCCUCAGGGACUGAUAUAAACAAUUUACGAGUUUUUAUGUAUUUAACUUAUUUAACUCUAAGAAUUACACUAAUUUAACGAAACUAAAUAUUAUUGGAUGUGACUUAAACAAAUAUCUAAAAUGGGAAUUGGUUUUAGGGAAUAAUGAUUCAACUUAAACAAAACAAGUAAAUGAGGAAAUUCAAGAUAAAAUAAAUGAUUAAGAAAAAUAGAUUGACAAUAUGCUAGAGUUCAACAUUUACCAACAACACUCUUACGUAGCUAUUCCAAUUGCUUAAAUAAUUGAAAACACAUAUGCUUUGAAUGUUGGAUUUUCCUUGUGUAUGUUUUACUUGUGACAUUCAAGCUAAAACGCAUACCACUACAUGCAACUUAUCCAUGACAUUUGAAUUAAAUAUAAACAUGAGUGAUUCAUUAAUCUUGGUGAAAAUCCUUUUGUUAAACCAUAUAAUCCCUAAGAGCAUGAUAUUUACCUUAGGAGAUUACAAUUCUCAAUCACAAGAAGCACAACCAAUUUUAACGUGACAUUCGUUCAAAAUUGCAUCCGAUAACUUUUCUAAGCAUCCUAAUGGUGAUCAAGCAUCAAGGUACAUAGAUAGUUUAAUUCAGUGAUUGAAAAUAUCAAAACAAGCAUGUAACAACACUUAAGCAAUUGAAAAAUAAAACUACGUAUUCAUGUUGCGGCUCAUGGCCUCACUCUAGCAUAAUACUUUAAAUAAUUAAAGCCCAAACAAUUUACCAAAUUUCAUCUCUGUACUCCGCAGAGACGCUAAACGAGACAUAUUUGGUCCAUCUCUGAACAUCUUUUCUUACUGUUCUUACAAUAGAAAGGGCACAAAAUUGACUUACACAGUCUUGCACAAUACUCACUUUGCUUCAACCCAUAUUUCACUUUGUCAAAUCAUACACGUUCCUGCAACAGGUGAACUCAUAUUUAUCUACCACUUCUUGCUAAUUUUAAUUUUUCCAUUCCCAUUUUUACUACAAGUUUUCACAUAAUUUUUUUAUUGCAUUUGUCAAUUCUUUAUACUUUUUAAUUGUAUUUUUUUUUUUGUCUUUUAUGUGUUUUCUAUGUUGGCACAAGGUUACAACAGUAUUAAACAAUUACAGGUCCUCCAGAGGUUUGCUUAUUGCCCUAUUUCAUCAAGCUCGGUAUAAAUAGAUCUUAAUUUUUUACUACAGUUAAAUACAUGGACAUGCCUCCACAAAUACAAAUUAGUUCUUGCUUAAAUACUUUGUGUGUUUACAUAGAAAAUGUUCCCAUCGUCUACCAAAAUCCUCCACACAUGAAAACAAAAAUUCUUACUCAAAAUACUUAUUACAAUACCACCAUAUCUGUUGUUUUUUAUUAAAUUAACACACUGUUUUCAAUUUUAUCUUCAACACAAAAGAAAAUGCUCUUACACAAUGUGUUUGCUUACAUUUUAUAACUUAUCUACCACAUGUUAAUCGCAGUUAUAUAAAUAGGAAAAUACGUGUUCAAUAGAAGUGUGAUGCAUGUCACUUCGUUAACAAUAGUGGAAACUAAACAAUUAAAUAAUUUGUUUCAAUUAGUUAGUACAUUUUAUAAAUUUCUCAAUUAGAACUGUUUCAGUAUAUUUAAUACAUUUUUAAACAACUUUCCAGUUAGUUGCCCAAACUAAUUAUUCCAGCUUAUUCACAGUAUAAUACCAACAAUUUAACAACCAAUGAUACUUCGUUUAACAUAAACUUCAUUUGGAAAAAACAAAAAAAAUCUUUUUCUCUGCUGAAAAAAUCAACAGAUUUAAUGAUGUAGAUCAGUUAUACCAACAAAUUACCAUAGUUUACCCAAUGCUAUACAGGUUUGACUUUUGUUUAUAUUCUUGGAUCUGUUGCUUGGUUGUAUAAUUUGGCUGUGUGUUUUGUUUCAGGACAAUUUGUUCUUCGUUUCUUGAGGCUUCUAUGUGUAGAUUUGAACCGUUUAGCUUUCAAACCGUUUAUACUCAAGGUAAAUAAUUUCGUUUGUUUCUUUUUAACCUUUUUUGUAAGAAUUUUUUAUUUAAUGUUGUGAGAGUUGUGUUUUCUAUAGUAUGGAAAUUGAAUCUUUGUGAUCUUAUAUCGUUAGAUACGUUGCUUGGUUAAUGUGAACACGGAAAAUUCCCGAAACGAAAAAGACAAGAACAACGUGCACAAACAAAUAUUUUGUAUUUGAUGAUUAUUUUGGGUUACAAUCUCUCUCUAAUUUGAUCCUCUGAUUCGAUCUCCGUAAGAUAUUGGUUUGUGGAUGUGCGAUUGAUCCAAGGGCCGUCGAGGCUUGAUCUUGGAUGAACGGUGAUGAACGGAUCUUCAAGGGCUUUUGGGCUUGAUCUUGAAGAAUAGUGAUGAACGGGUCUUCAAGGGCUUUUGGGCUUGAUCUUGAAGGAUGGUUGGAUGUGUGGAUUUGUCGACGUUGUUAAUCCAAAGGGCUGUUGGGGCUUGAUCUUAGGAUGAACGGAUGAUGAACGAAUAACACUUUCUUCAAGGGCCGUCGGGGCUUGAUUUUGAAUUGGUGAAAGUUCUUCAAGGGCCGUCGGGGCUUGAUCUUGAAGGUAGAUGAUUGUUGAUCCAAGGGCUGUCGGGGCUUGAUCUUGGAAGAACGAUGAACGAAGAACGAAGAAGGCUUUCUUGAUUCUUCGGGAACCUGGAUGCUUGAGAGCUUCGGAGUUUCAGAGCUUCAGAGCUUCAAGGUGUAAUAUGAAUUUGGUUCCCUUAAAUGAAUGAAAUUGGCUUCUAUUUAUAGAAUUUUCCAAGGCCUAAUUUUGAAUAUAAUAUUCCAGAUGAAAUAAGUCGUUUCUGCCAAGUGUUGACACGUGUCCUAUUUGAUGACUUUUCCGACUCAUUUCAAUUUUUCGUCGAGUCACACACUACGUGUAAAAUUUAUGUAAUACAUGAGCGUUGAAACUUUGAUUUAUCAGUCAACAUUUAUUUACCAAAAUUUCGAUGUCUACAAAUGCCCCCACUUCAAGGCGCGUCGUAUACAUGUGCUUGUCACGUGUAGGAGAUGCGUUUUGAAGUCCCCUUACUGUAGAUGUCGAUCCAAGGGCCGUCGAGGCUUGAUCUUGAACCGGGCUGGAGAUUUCUUCAAGGGCCGUUGAGGCUUGUUCUCGAACUUUGUUCGAAAUUUCUUCAAGGGCCGUUGAGGCUUGAUUUUGAAUUGGGCUGAAAGUUUCUUCAAGGGCCGUUGAGGCUUGAUCUUGAAUUGGGUUGAAAGUUUCUUCAAAGGCCGUUGAGGCUUGUUCUUGAACCUUGUUUGAAAUUUCUUCAAGGGCCGUCGAGGCUUGAUCUUGAAUUGGGCUGGAAGUUUCUUCAAGGGCCGUCGGGGCUUGAUUCUUGAAGGUGGAUGAUUGUUUAUUCAAGGGCCGUUGAGGCUUGUUCUUGAACCUUGUUUGAAAUUUCUUCAAGGGCCGUCGAGGCUUGAUCUUGAAUUGGGCUGGAAGUUUCUUUAAGGGCCGUCGGGGCUUGAUUCUUGAAGGUGGAUGAUUUUUUCUUCAAGGGCCGUUGAGGCUUGUUCUUGAACCUUGUUUGAAAUUUCUUCAAGGGUCGUCGAGGCUUGAUCUUGAAUUGGGCUGGAAGUUUCUUCAAGGGCCGUCGGGGCUUGAUUCUUGAAGGUGGACUCGAACACAUGGCAAGCAGGCACGAGGUGAAGGUGACGGUCUGUUUCUUUGCUCAAUCUUUCCAAGUGCCGACCGAUUGCUUUUCUUUCUCCUUGUCCCGCAGGCAAGAGCAAGGGUAAAAGAAAAGCAUGCCAUGAGAUAUCUUUGUUUUUGACUCUGAUGAUAUGAGGUACUUCUGCUUUUGAAGAAGUUGCGGAUGAAUCGACACGUGCUUUGUUGUGCUUGUCUCCACAUGCUCAGACUCUUGGCAGAAUGUGAAAGGUGGCAUUUUCUCGAGUUACUCAACUCAGACUCAUUCUGCUGAGUUGACUGUGCGGGCCGCAUUCUUCUCUGCUUGUUUCUUCUGGCAGCCUUGCUCUCGAGUACUCAUCUUUAACAUCUUAUGUUUCUUCUUUGUCUACCACACUGUGGAAGACGAGUACUCGAGAGUAAUACCAUGUAAGCAAUCAGAAAAGGGUUCCAAGCAGUCGGUUCCAGAUCGGAAGAUUGAUACCAAGUGUUGGCUGAUUGCUUUCCUUCUCAUUGUCCUACAGGUUAGAACAAAGACAAGGAAAAGGACACGGAGAAUGCAUGAUAUGAGAUACUCUUGCUUUCUCCCUUCAUGAUAUGAAAUACUUUUGCUUUUCAAGAUUUGUUUGCAGAGGUAUCCUAUGGGAUGAAGAACACUGAGUGAGUUGAGAGGGUUUGUUGGAAAGCCAUUUGUCGGAGAUGACGGAAUGUUAUGUAUGUCUGCCUUGCCAUGGAGCGUGAAGGUCGACAUUUGUAGGAAAUAAUAACUGGUACUGUUCUUUCACUCCUGUCGGCAACCGUUGGAUGAUUGAACAGUAAACUUCACGUGAUUUCCUCAAAGCUUUUUCUGCAUGCGACAAGUGCUGACGAGGCUGAGAGAGACAUGCGAUUGGAAUCGGCGCUUCGACAAACUUUUCCAUGAUUUUCGCAAAGCUGACGAGGCUGAGAAAGACAGAUGGUUUGGAAUCGGCGUUUCGAUAAACUGCCCGUGAUUUCCGCAACGCUGACGAGGCUGAGAAGGACAGAUGGUUUGGAAUCGGCGUUUCGACAAAUUGCCCGUGAUUUCUGCAACGCUGAGUUUGCGUGUGACAGGUGCUGACGAGGCUGAGAAAGCUGACACUUCUUCGAUUUUUGAGAUCAGUCCGUGAUCCUUGAGUAGGCCUAGCUUUGGAGAAAGCAGGCGCUUCAUCGAUCUCUGAACUCGCCUCUUCGAUCUCUGAAAGCCCAUCGCAUGCUGUUUUUUUAUAGAGGUACGCAAGACAUUCAAAGCACACUUGAAUUUCUACCUGUGAAAAAAAACUCCCCUUUUGCAUAUCUGAGAUCUUUAAUUUGCCCGACCUCUUCAUUUUGUUGAACACCUUCGGAAAUGUCUUUCCCAUCUGACCGUCGUCUUGACUUGAAUAUCGAAGAAGAUAUUGACAUGUCUUCUCCAGGCAACAUUUGGCAGCUGUCCUUCGUAUCCUCCAACGAACCUCUUACGGUUGGGGACACUGUGAUGAGGAAUGACGCAACGGCUGCAGUGGUUGCUAGAAAUCUUCUCACUCCUAGGGAUAGUAAGAUGCUUUCCAAGCGGUCCGACGAGAUGGCUGUUCAAGACUCUCUGGCCUUCAGCGUCCAAUGUGCGGGCUCAGUAUCAAACAUGGGCCAACGCCUUCUUGCUCGAUCUCGUCAGGUUGAGUCUUUGAUGGCCGAGGUGGCUAGUCUUCGGCAGGAGAUCAGAGGGCUUAGGCACGAGAAUAAAGAGUUGCAUAUGCUAGCAACUAGUUACUCAACGAGCAUGAAGAAGAAGCUAGACCAACUGCAGGAGUGUGAAGUUCGGGCUCGAAAUGAUCAUCAAAGGUUUAUGGCGUUACUCCCGAGGCAUCUUCUGCCUUCGUCAUCUGGCGCUUCACCAAAUGUUGAGGCUCCGGAAAAUCAAACUCUGGCGCUUCGUCUUUCUGGAGCUUUACCAAGUGUGGAGGCUUCAGUUGAUCCACCUCCGGUGCUUCGUCUUUCUGGAGCUCCGUCGAGUACUGAGGCACCACAUGAUCAUCCUUGAAGAUCCUUUCCUGUAAAUUUGAUUUGACUUUUUUUUUAAGGUAUGUAUAAUGUAAAAUUUCUAGAAAAAUAAAAUGGACUUUAUUUCUCUGAACAUGUUUUUUUUGUUUUUUUUUUUGGCUGUAUAUUUUCUCUUUAAUCAUGGUGCACCCAUUUUCCACAUGGUGCCAGACGGACCAAAGAUCAAACAUUUCCUUUUUUUAUUUUUUUAUUUUUUCUUUAAUCAUGGUGGCAGACGCAUAAACAAUUUCAUUUAUAUUUUUUUUUCUUUUUGCUGGCACAUGGUGCCAGAUGCACCAUUCAUUUAUAUAUAUUAUUAUAUAUGUUUUUUUUAUUUUUUUUUAUUUGCACAUGGUGCCUGAUGCACCACCUCUUUUUUUUUCACGUGGUGCCAGCAUCACUUUGCUCCACCAUCCAUUUUUUUUAUUUUUAUUUUCUGUAUAAAUUUGGGUGAUGGGUAGAGGAUUUUGCAGGCAGGGAGCAAGGAGGCCGAGAAGAUGGUGCUUCGAACUUCAUGACCGGCUAGUCGUUUGACGGCGGUCGUUGAAGUCGUUGGCAGUUGCGAGGCAAAAGACGGAGGAGAAGGUGGAGUAGGUGACCUUGAUGUCGGAUCCAGCUAGAACCCAGAGCACAGCGACUGAGCCCAAUCACCGAGCACAACCGCUGCACACCCGUUGUACUGCCACCGAGCACUGCCACUGCGCAUCUGUUGCACUGCCAAUUGCUGCAAAGGAUUAUGUUUAACGGCGGAGACGCUGCCCUAUUUGCCAUGCUAUGCCGACGUGCUUCACAUAAUUAACCAUCCAGAAUUGUUAAACAUUCCAUCUGGGUUUAUCGCAAAAACAGAAGAAGAAAAAAACCAAGAUCCAUCCAUGCCAAACACCAAUCUGCCAUCUUUUUGGGAUUUGUACGACAUCAUCAGCCAAAACCUGCUUGGUCCGCUCGCAAAUUGUGGGAGAGGAAGAGUUGGCGGAGCAGCUGUAACACUGGAAAAUGGAGGACGUUGACGAGUCCUCCAAGUUGUUCUUGACGUUGGUGCUGGAGAAACCUGCCUCUCUCAUGACUCUGCUGACACUUGGGUCGUCAAGGAUGGGGAUGAUGAGCUGCUCGAGCUCGACUUUGAUGGUUAAGAGCGGCUGCUGCUGCUGCUCGAUGCAGUCUCUUCUCUGAUGGGCUUGGGCUCUCUUGAGGGCGUUGGAGAGAGAGGGCUGCCCGUGGAGGAGAGGGCAUGGAGUUGUUGGGAGAAAUCAGGGCCGGAAUGGAAAAUAUUCCCGAGCUGCAUCAACGAGGAGAUAACACCGCUAAGUUAUUCAUCUGGUUUGCUUUAGUCAAAUGGAUCAAUCCGCGGGUCAUGCUCGCUUGCCAUCAUCAUCCCAGUGCACAGGCAUGUCGGGCACAUGACCUUUCCAGCACCAGAGCAAUUUGGGCACCUCUCAGUUGUGGGCACUCGCAAAGGUUGGUCUGAUGCACUAGAUGCUGAUAUAGGAUUGAUGUUCAAGCACACUCCACUUGCAGAACAUCUAGCACAGGCCAAGUACCCAGUUCCAUGGCAAUAUUUGCACCUUUUCUUCUCUUGCUGCUCAACAUUAUUAGCUUCAAUCAACAUCAAUGCUGAAAUGACACCCACUGCCCCACCGGAGAAGGAUGCCACAAUAGGAUCAACCUGACUUAAUUGUAAAGGCAGAUGCAUGCUACGAAUGAAAUCUUCAUACGAGGUACCUCCUAUACCUAAUUUUAGUUCCAACGAUGGCGCAAUGAGACCCCCAAAUACAAUUACACUAGAUAUCAUAGAUAAGCUUGUGAGGUAGAGCUGCUUCAACGUCUUUGGUGUCAUAUGAGGGAGAAAAGGGAUAGUGGAUGGAAUGUCAGGCAUCUCAUUUGACUCUUCCUCACAAGCCUCAUCCAUAUCUCUCGCCAUCUUUAUCCGUUGCUGCACCCGCAAUCUCCUUAGCUCUUCCAUGAGAAGAAAAAUCUUGUUGUGCCGGCUUCUUAUGUUGUCCUAAAUUUCCUGUAGUUGCAUCUGCACAAAGUCCUGCACCGUCUCCGGCUCUUCUAUGAUACAAAAAGUGCUUGGCGUGUUAUCGCCGGGGAAUGAUUCCUUGGAAGCAGAACAGGAAAUUUGGGGAUGCGGGGAGGUGAAUUUGGACAGAGAGAGACGUCUAGGGAUUCCAUGGGAGGGGGGUUGAGAGUGGUUUUUUGCCGGCGCCUCUAGGGUAGUCGUCGUUGGCUAUUGCUAUAGAGAGGUCAAUGACUUCACCGGAGAUGGCGUUGUUCUGGAGCCCGAGCGUGAGAAGCCGGGUGAGAUUGUCUGGAAAGGGUCCCCAGAGGUUGUUGUCGGCGAGGUCGAGAAGCUUGAGCUUGGUGCAAUUGACGAGAGGAGAAACGGUGUCGUUGAGGCGGUUGUUGUGGAGGUCGAAGAGUGAGCUGGGCGAGAUCAGAGAACCUUGACGAAUUCGGAGCGUUGAGGGUUAUCAACACGAUCCCAUCGACGAAGAAGAAGCAGAAUGGGCCUCUUGCGGGGCCUAUGGCAUCAACCGGUCUUUGGGCUUCUGGGCCAGUAAAUUGGAGAGAAGCCUGGGCUUUUGACUUGCAGAGAGAUUAGGCUCUGGGAGCCGCUUGUAGUAUUGUGGCUAAAGGGGUUGCUUCCUGUGGCCACUUAUAUAUAUAUAUUUUGUAAAUACAUAAAACAUUUAUCUCUUUUUUUUUCUUUUUUUUUUGUACAAAGAAAUUGUAAUAGCAUCAAAACUUUUAAUAAAAUCUUUAUUCCUUAUUUUGGUGUGACUGAACUCAAAUUUUGAAUAUUCGAGUUGCCUACGUACCUCUCCAAAGAAGAGAUCAAGUCGUAACGUAGUUCAAAUGAGUGAUGAAUUUAACAGUGAUUUUGAUGAUGAUUUUGUCGUACACAGUUUAUGCUCUUGCGGGCCAGGAGCUUUGGUUCGUGCAGUUUAGGCUCGUGCGAACAAGGAGUGUUGGUGUUGCCUUUUAUGCUCGUGCAGACCAGGAGCGUUGGUGUUGCCUUUUAUGCUCGUGUAGACCAGGAGCUUUGUGCCAUGCAGUUUAGACUCGUGCAGGCAAGGAGCGUUGGUGUUGCCUUUUAUGCUCGUGCAGACCAGGAGCGUUGGUGUUGCCUUUUAUGCUCGUGCAGACCAGGAGCUUUGUGCCAUGCAGUUUAGACUCGUGCAGGCAAGAAGUGUUGGUGUUGCCUUUUAUGCUCGUGCAGACUAGGAGCUUUGUUGUGCCAUGCAGUUUAGGCUCGUGCAGGCGAUGAGCUUUGGUUCAUGCAGUUUAGGCUCGUGCGAACAAUGAGCAUUGUGCCAUGCAGUUAGGCUCAUGCAGGCGAGGAGCGUUUAUUGGUUCGUCAAGCGAUCCAGGAGAGUCGUUCCUCGCAAUCUUCAUAGCAAGGAGCCUUGACUGAGUGAUUGAAGAAGUCUUUGGGGAAGAAAUCGCGCAUCGUGAUGGGGAUGGACGAUAUUUGUGUCGUCAUUUCAUCAUCUUCAACACUUUCACUUUUCUUUGAAGGUUGACAAGAGCUGCUUUGCCCCAUUUCCGAUUGGCGGACUUGUGGAUGAGACGUAUGCUUCUUCUGCAGUUUCUCUAGAGUGACAUGAGUCAUUCCUUCAACUUCGCUUGGCUCAACUGGCAUGGUUUUGGAGCAUGCCCCCAGCGAUUGAGGUGAAGAUUUUGAGUUGACAAAGCCGGAAGUGACGUCUUCUUCCAUGAUUUCAUCUUCUUUGUCUUCUUGGGCUUGUUGGCGUGAAGAUUGGCCGGCGUAGAUGAUGGUGCGCCUCUUUACCUUCAGUGGUCCUUUUGUGUCGACCUCCCAAGCUGUUUGGCGCUUUAUCCUUGAAUGAAUCAAGCUUCGAACGUCGUCUUUUCCUGCUAGACCGUCGAGCUUUUCUUCCUUUGGCGUUGUCUUCCUAUUUCUAGAAUGCUUCUUGGUUUCUUCAAGUUUUUCCAAAGCCGAUCGUUGGGGAGGAGAGCCAGCCUUGCUGCUUUGUUUCUUAGGUUUUGACAACCUUUCAAAAACAGAGCUUUGGGGUGUUGGCGUGUUAAGCCGUUUGAAGAUGGAAGUUCGGUCUUGCCCACCAAUGCGAUCAAGUGCCGACCUUCUGGGUUUUGAACGAUUCAGCCUAUCGAAGACUGACACUCGAAUAGGAGGUUGAGGCUCCUCUUGAUCUUGUUCAAUCCUCAAGCUGAUGUGUCGAGUGCUAGCAUUUUUUGCUUUACUUGAAAUCUUCACGGGUGCAUUUGGUGUGAAGCCAAGUCUAGCUCUGUUGUUGUCAACUCCGUAAUCAUGCUUUUCCAACUUCUUCUGAGUCUCGGUGAAGUCAUGAUCUUUGUCGUUGAUGGUGUUUGAAACCUUCUUCUCAAGAUUUGAAGAGGAAGCAAAGUCGUACCCAGCCUUUAACAUGAGUUCGUAGGCGUUUGGGUUGAGACCUUCUUCGGUCCUCUUAGUUGGAAUGAAGCUUGGGUUCGCUUUGACGCCAUGAUGCGCCUCCAGACGGUUGAUAAGUCCAACGGUUUGCAAGUUUUUCUCCUCCGCAGUCUUUAUCAGCCUUGCAAUUGUUUCCUUCAUCUGAACUAGUUGUUCUUCAAUAGAGGUAGCGCCGAUGGUCAUGACUUGUUCUUUGUUUGAAGCCAUGAAGUGUGCUUGAAUUUCUUGAACAGAGAAAGAGAUGAGAGGUAGAGAUUGUCCCACUGGGCGUGCCAAUUUGUGAACACGGAAAAUUCCCGAAACGAAAGAGACAAGAACAACGUGCACAAACAAAUAUUUUGUAUUUGAUGAUUAUUUUGGGUUACAAUCUCUCUCUAAUUUGAUCCUCUGAUUCGAUCUCCGUAAGGUAUUGGUUUGUGGAUGUGCGAUUGAUCCAAGGGCCGUCGAGGCUUGAUCUUGGAUGAACGGAUCUUCAAGGGCUUUUGGGCUUAAUCUUGAAGAAUAGUGAUGAACGGGUCUUCAAGGGCUUUUGGGCUUGAUCUUGAAGGAUGGUUGGAUGUGUGGAUUUGUCGACGUUGUUGAUCCAAAGGGCCGUUGGGGCUUGAUCUUAGGAUGAACGGAUGAUGAACGAAUAACACUUUCUUCAAGGGCCGUCGGGGCUUGAUCUUGAAUUGGUGAAAGUUCUUCAAGGGCCGUCGGGACUUGAUCUUGAAGGUAGAUGAUUGUUGAUCCAAGGGCCGUCGGGGCUUGAUCUUGGAAGAACGAUGAACGAAGAACGAAGAAGGCUUUCUUGGUUCUUCGGGAACCUGGAUGCUUGAGAGCUUCGGAGUUUCAGAGCUUCAGAGCUUCAAGGUGUAAUAUGAAUUUGGUUCCCCUAAAUGAAUGAAAUUGGCUUCUAUUUAUAGAAUUUUUCAAGGCCUAAUUUUGAAUAUAAUAUUCCAGAUGAAAUAAGUCGUUUCUGCCAAGUGUUGACACGUGUCUUAUUUGAUGACUUUUCCGACUCAUUUCAAUUUUUCGUCGAGUCACACACUACGUGUAAAAUUUAUGUAAUACAUGAGCGUUGAAACUUUGAUUUAUCAGUCAACAUUUAUUUACCAAAAUUUCGAUGUCUACAGUUAAAUGAUUUGGCUGUGUGCAUUGUUUCAGGACAAUUUGUUCUUCGUUUUUUGGGGCUUCUGUGCGUAGCUUUGAAGUCCUUUGUAGUCAACAUAAAUAAUUUUAUUUUUCUUUGUUUUUAGUCUUCUAUGUAAGAAUUUCUUAGUUAAUAUUCUGAGAAUUAUGUUUACUAUAGUAUGAAAAUUGAAUCUUUGUGAUCUUCGAAGUGUAACGUCAUUGCAACAUGGACGACUGCCAUUAUCGAACAUGAAAAACAUUUUGAUUUCUGUACUCCGUCUAGUAGAAAACUCUCGACUUCUUCAGAAACCACGAGAAACUUAAAACUGAGAAAGCUUCGCGGUCUCCCUUCCAUCUCUGCUACGCGGUCUCUGCUUUGCGAUCUCUGCUUCCUUCGUGAUUUCUUCCUUCCUGAACGACAUCUAUUCGAAUUGAAAACCUUCUGGAGCUCUCUUCCCCAAAUUUCAGCAGCAACUUUGCUCCAGAUCUUUCCAAUUGAAAUUCCUCUCCUUCACAUUUUGCAUAUUGAAUUUCGCAUCAUCAUCAUCUCCCUAGAACCUAGGAGUUCGGUUCGGUUUCGAGUUUUCCGACGGAAAUCCGGCGACAGCGGCCAUCGAGGUUGGUCUGAAACUAUUCCUCAUCACCACAGGUACUUUCUACACCUAUUACAUUUUAGAAAAAGUUUCAUGACUUUGUGGAAUCCAAUUUAACGAUUAGAAAAAUUUUCAUUAAUUUUCUGGGUUCGUGAGUUGGAGGGGGAUUAGAAAUUUUUUCAUUAUUUUUCUGGGUUUGUGGUUUUUUUUUUCCAAAACGUUUUUCCUUUCUACUAAUCCAAGUUCCUUCACAUCAAUCUCUCUGUUUUGUUCUUGAUCUUCCUCGAGUAGAAUACCUCUUCUUGCUCUGGAGCGCGUGGGCAGUCUCUCUAAGGCAGCCCAUGACGUCAUUUUCCGAUUCGACUCGGAGGAGGUUGGCUGCUCUUCUUGGCUGAGCUUCAUGGCUGGCCGAAUUCCCCUAUUCCCUUCCUCUUAUACUUUUUUAUAUUCGUUCACCAAAACAAUAGGAAAACGUCUCCGUCUGUUUGAUUGACGGCGAAAAAAAAAAAGACGGAGAAUAAAAGCCUGACGGAAGCUGAAAGCUUGGACUCUGUUUGUAUUUUUAAUGGAUUUUCAGAACACAGGUCAAGAAUAUUGCGAUUUGAGAAAAAAAGAAAGAACCACGUUGACAUAAUAUAUUCACAAUAGGUGUACAAGGUUCAUAAAGCUUUACUGUGGUUCCAUUUUUUGUUAAUGGAAUUAGCCUUUUGUUUUAGGAAGAACUUGGAACCCCCUCCGUCCAUUCUAUCCCCAAUGGAAUUAACACUUAGAUAGUACUAUGACAAUGUGUCAUUAUUUGAUGCAUACCUGUAUAAAUUUAGGCUAAGUGUUUUAUACACAAAUUGAUACAGAUUAACUAUACAAUGAUAACUAUAUACCGGAGAGCUAACUAUACAAUGAUACAUUCUUAUCUGUUAAUUAUCUUUGGUUACCAGCUAUCCAUGUUGCUGUCAUAUUAAACUACACAACAUCAGUUGUAAUUUAUGUCUUAUUAGUAUCAUCAUUUUUGUUCAUUAUUUCAAUGUCUAACAUAACUCCGCCUAUGUCUUACAUGGCCGGUCCCAAGCCCGGAUAAAGGAGGAGGGGGAGGGCGUCAGGUAGUCGACAGCCGGCACUCCAUGAUCACGUCGAAUCCUUAUGAAAAUGAAUCCAGAACAAAACCCCACUUAGUGGGAAAAGGCUUUGUUGUUGUUGUAUUUCAAUGUCUAACAUGAUGAUCUGGUUUCAAUUUGCUACAGGCAUUAUUUCCAGACAAUAGCUAUGGUUUUGAUUGUAGCGGUGACUGAAAAAUUAUUCCGAAACUAACAUUUGAGGAAUUCAAGGUUUGUUAGUUAAUUUGUACAUCAGAAUACCAUGACAAACUAUGAAGUUGUAAUUGUUGACCUUACAAUGUAUCUUUUUUGGUUUGGAGCAUUAGACUUAUAUGUGUUGCUUUCACCUCAUGAAGGCUAACUCUUUAUUUUAGGCCGUAAGAGUAUAAUUUCUUGGAGAAUCUACAUUGUUGAUAAUUUUUUGAACAAUAUUAUCCCCAAAAUUUCUCCGCAUGUUACCCUCAACGUAGACAUCAUAUAACCAUCAUUGAACUUCUGAACCAAAAAUUUGAGUUUUAUGAUUAUAACUAAACGUCUAUAAACACAUGAUACAGAUUGAGACGAAUGUCAAAUUUAAAAUGGCAUUAAUACAGCUGCAAACUCUGAUUUGCGGGAUUUGAAAUGGAGCAGUUACUUCUUGCUUCACUUCAGCAGCAUAGUCCAGCUUCUAAAUUCAGUUCUCAGGUAUGAGGUUUCUCAGUUACCUCUUUUUUGUAAUAAAACAUUUGAUCAGUACUUGCCAGGAUAUCCAAUUAAUUAGGUCAGUUUUUGUUAGCAGUAAUAAUUUGUUUUUGCAGCUUUAUAUGUGUCUCUGUCUCCAAAUAUGAUGAUCUCUUAAUUUGCUUCUAUAGCUUUUGUAAUAUAAUGAUCUCUUAAUUUUCUUUUGCAUAUCUUCUUUGCUUCCUCUGCUAGCUCUAUAUGAGAUUCCAUCUCCAAAUAAUUAUUCCUUAUUUCCUAUUUUUACCAGAAGCAAAUCAUUGAAUACACAUGGUAAAUUAAAAGGGUUUUAGUUUUUGGAGUAGUUUAAAUUUUUUGUUUGUUAUUGCUUGUAUUGCUGUUAAAUAUUUGAUGGGUAGUUUGAAAUGGGGAACUUGGUUGAUUGAGUAUUAACUUUUAUUAAAUUAAUAUUCUUAUUCAAUAUUGAAUUAAGACUCCUCUUAUUAAAUUAAGACUCUUAAGGCUCUAAUCUAAUGUUCAUGCUCAAUAUCUCCUCUAUCUUUCUACAAUUGGUAAAACUUUUGUAUUAUUAUUCCAAUUUUGGUUACUGGGUUGUGGAAUUUUCCAUUUUUUUUCUGGGUAAUCAAUACUAUAUAUAUGCAUGACAAGUAUAAACAAUAUUUUGGGGCAAAUUUAGUUGUUUAAUUUUUAAUUUUUAUGUGACAGUGAGAUUAUGGUAGGAUUUCGUUUAGAUUCUGCGGCCCAAUGGGAGUCUCUGCUUUGAUAAGAUUGGGGUUGAUGCCAAGAAAGCCAAUAAGCCUACUGUGGACGCCGUAGCCGCCUGGCGCUGUUUUCCAAAAUCCUCUCUCACUUGGUUAAGCAAUUAAGACUUUUUGGUUCAGUUUUUAUUAUGCCCAAUUUUGUAUUUAAACCUUAAAAAAAUUUAAACUGAUAUGGGGAUACUGAAAUAGGCUGCAGAGCUGCCAUCCCUGAAUCAGAAGAUGUUCAGAAGGAAGAAGAAGAACAAGAAGAAAGUCGUGGAAUAUCAAAAGCUUUUAGCUUUGUGAAGGUAUGCUUUUUCCCAACUCACCUCUUGCUUUUGUUGCACUGAAUUGGUAGAUUGGGUUCAAAAAUAUAUAUAUGUGAUUUUUCGUGUAACUAUUUCUUUACAUAAUUACCAAUUGGAGGUGAUUUGAGAUCAUGUAACAUUUCCUCGCUAGAACCGAAGAUUGCCGUCGCUCAGAGCUGCGUUUCAUGAAACAAGUUCAUCUCCUGCCAAUUUUGUGUACCCACCUUUUAUUCAUGAGGGUUGGUGCUUGCUUGCAACACAAUUUGGUGCUAUUAAGUUUUGCGGUUUUACAAUUUGUUCAUGCUUAAACCUCUUUCAAAUUUUCAUUUCUAUGUAAAUCUUGCAGGUAGGACGACACACCUAUCUUGGCAAUGUCGGGAUGUCUAGGCUUGGGUGGAGACGUGGUCUUAUGGAAGAGGUGAAGUAGCUUAGCUCGAUCUCAUUAGCUCUUAUCUGUUCUAUUAUGCUAAGAUCAAUAGUAAAAAGUUCUAUUGAUUUUAUAAUCAAAGAUACAUAUAUUAUAGAAACAGAGGGUAUAUAAUUAAUUUCUUGAUGUAAACAAUUAUAACUUGAGGAACCAUUUAAAGUAUUUUGGUAAUCAGCAUACUUAAACUUAAAUGUGAUAUAUCCGUUUAGUAUUUUUUUUAUACAGUGAUAAUACUUAAGUAUAAUUUACAUCAUAUAUCUUUUGAAGUACAUGAAACUAUGAAGAAAAUGAUAAACCAAAUCCCAUUCCAUCUCUGUUUGCUACUGCACAAUCACAAUCCAAUUCCAACAUGGAAUCCUCAGACGACAUGCCUACUGCAGAACAAGUUUCAUCCUGACUUAACUUAUAUUUAGUCCACGUCCUGUUUAGAUUGUAAUCCUAGUUCUACGUGUGUUUGUAUAGUACUCCUAUAAAUAUCAAUGAACAUCGCUCACUCUAAUUAAGAGUUGAGAUUCUGCAAAUCAUAUUUACUAUCUUUCAUGGUAUCACGAGCCAGCGUCUAACGACAACGGUUCCUAUUAUAAUUUUUUUCUCUUUUGCAGAUCCUAAACUAUGGCAUCUUCUUCCUCCUCCGCUGCUCCCUCCAUCACAAAUUUUCUUACGAUCAAGCUCGACCGCAACAACUACCCUCUUUGGCAUGCUCAGUUUCUUCCCUUGCUGCGCAGCCGCAACUUACUCUCUUAUGUUACUGGCGAAACUCAAUGCCCCUCUUUCUUCUUGAUGACAAUGGUAAAUUCACCGAUAAAGUCAAUCCAUUAUAUAAUGAAUGGAUCCAGACUGACCAGAUGAUCCUAUCUUGGAUUACGAGUUCUCUUACUCCCAAGGUUCUUGCUACGAUCGUCAACAAAAUUGAUUCGGCCUCUGCUUGGUCGUCAAACUCGAAUUAAUCUGAUUGUGAGGGUUUUGUUUUAUAUCAAUAUAUUGCAACAGAAGUCACACUUUGAAGAGUUCAUGCUGCACAGAAAGAUGAUGAAAUGCUACCCGUUGAGUCUAUCAUUGCUCCAUUGGAGACAGAGCUGAAGCUUACUGCAGGAGUUAUACAUUUGUUAUGCAAUAUGACCCCUUUAAUUUUAUUUUAAAACUGAUACAAAAAUACUACAAAAAUUUAUGUAGUAUUUUUGUAUCAGUUUUGAGUGUCUAUUUUGGCUUCCAUAUAUCGUCUGUACAUGUGAGAGGUAUAGUGUUCAAUAUGUAUUUGGUUUCUAUAUUGUUAAUGGAUCCUUUUUUUUUUUUUAAUUUUAAUAUAAUUUUAUUAAGGUAACCAAGUUGCAGGAUGACAUCAGAACACUUGAUCUGCAGGUAAACCUUCAAUUUCCAUAUGAAGUUUGCAUGUUCGUUGUUUCUGGAAUUUGAGUUUUUAUUAUUUCUCAAUUCUAUCACAUAGAUUACGAUUUCACAUAUGUGAUUAUUAAUGGCAAUUAUAUGAUAGAAGAAUUGGGAUUGGAAGAAGAUAUUGAGUUGUUUAUUUAUGGGGAUUAGAAAAUGAUUAUCAUACAAGUGAUAUUUAUUUUUGUGUGGAUUGUUAAUAUAUAAAACUAUAAGCUUUUGAGAUUGGGAGAUAAAACCCACAAAUUCAAAUCAGACAAAAUAAAUAAAAAAUUUAACUGACUUAAAGAUCAAACUCCAAAAGGGUAUUAAAAACAAGGCUUAUUUGAUCCAUUGAGUGUGAAAGUUUUGAGCUUUGAAGAAGCAUAGGAGGAGAGUUGUUAACCAAGCUGCAUUAUCCAUGUAUUAGGAUGUUGAGGGUAGGCAGGAAAAAUACUUUUUGACGCCAUAUCCAGAGGAGCAUAACGACAGGCCUGCAUUUUUGCAGCAAGGACCAAAACAAGUAGAAGUGAAGGCUUGACUGUUUGGGUAUUAAUCCUAAACCUAAUUAUUCUUAUUUAGGUUUAGGAUAAAUGAUUGAGUGUGUCUCGAUGAUUGUAUUACCAUGUUUGAUGAAUGACUUGAGGAGUUGGAAAUGGUUUAUUGCUUAUGUUUUUCUUAGGUGUGUACUUUGGUUAUUUCCGAGCUUUUCACGACUCUUGAUACCUAAUAGAGAAAAUGGAAACCCCAACUUUAAUUUUAUGAAUUGGUUUUGGUGCCUAAAAUGAAAUCUAGCAUAGUGAAAUCUUGCAUAAUGAAAUUAUGACAAAUUUCCCUUCAUCUUUAGAUUUUCAUUUAGUUCAAUUUGUAUGCAAUUUAGGGUUAUUCAAUUCAUGAGUGAUCAAAUUAUGUUUUUAAUUCCUUCUUCUUUUGAUUUACAGUUCAACAUUGUCGUACAAAAUGAAAAAGGUGCCAGUAACAUAGUUAUGGAUUUGGAUGCCUUUAGCGGAAUAAAACUGAAUUUUUUAACUUUGUAUAGUUGUAAACAUAAAAUACUCCAUCAGAUAGACUCAUAGCAUUUGAAAACAAUCCUUGAGGAUGGCAUAACAACAUCUCCAACUUUUGUCAUGUAAUGUAUGAAUGUAAAUAGCACUUUGUAAACAUAUGGAUGUAAUAUAUGUAUAUAAACAGUCUUUAGCAUGUAUAUUUUUCAAAACUUUCUACAUCUUCAACAAUGUUUCAAUGAUUUCUUGAUGUAAACAAUGAUAAUUUGAAGAACCAUUUAAAGUUUUCGGUAAUCAGCAUACUUAAGCUUAAAUGUGAUAUAUCCGUUUAGUAUUUUUUAUACAGUGAUAAUACUCAAGUAUAAUUUACAUCAUAUAUCUUUUGAAGUACAUGAAACUAUGAAGAAAAAACCCUAAUUAAUCUGAUUAUGGGGGUUUUGUUUUAUAUCAAAAUAUUGCAGCAGAAGUCACACUUUGAAGAGUUCACGCUGCACAGAAAGACGAUGAAAUGCUAUCUGUUGAGUCCAUCAUUGCUCCAUUGGAGACAGAGCUGAAGCUUGCUGCAGGUGGUAUACUUUUGUUCUGCAAUAUGACCCCUUUAAUUUUAUUUUAAGACAGAUAGGGUUGAAAAGAAUUUAUGUAGUAUUUUUGUAUCAGUUUUGAAUGUCUAUUUUGACUUCCAUAUUUGGUCUGUACAUGUGAGGUAUAGAGUGUUCAAUAUGUAUUUGGUUUCUAUAUUGUUAAUGGAUCUUUUUUUUUUGUUUUUUAGGUAACCAAGUUGCAGGAUGAAAACAAAACACUUGAUCAGCAGGUAAACCUUCAAUUUCCAUAUGAAGUUUGCAUUUUUGUUGUUUCUGGAAUUUGAGUUUUUUGCAGGAUGAAAACAGAACACUUAAUCUGCAGGUAAACACUUGAUUUGUUAUUUCCAAGCUUUUCACGACUUUCGAUACCCAAUAGAGAAUAUGGAAACCCCAACUUUAAUUUUAUGAAUUUGUUUUGGUGCCUAAAAUGAAAUCUAGCAUAGUGAAAUCUUGCAUAAUGAAAUUAUGACAAAUUUCCCUUCAUCUUUACAUUUUCAUUUAGUUCAAAUCGUAUGGUUUAGGGUUAUUCAAUUCAUGAGUGAUCAAAUUAGGUUUUUAAUUCCUUCUUCUUUUGAUUUUCAGUUCAGCAUUGUCGUAUUUUGGAUGCCUUUAGUGGAAUAAAACUGAAUUUUUUUAACUUUGUAUAGUUGUAAACAUAAAAUACUCCAUGAGAUAGACUCAUAACUUUUGAAAACAAUCUUUGAGGAGGGCAUAACAACAUCUCCAACUUUUGUCAUGUAAUGUAUGAAUGUAAAUAGCACUUUGUAAACAUAUGUAUGUAAUAUAUGUAUAUAAACACCACUCUUUAGCAUAUAUAUUUUUCAAAACUUUCUACAUCUUCAACAAUGUUUCAAGCCCCGCGGCAACGGGCGGGUACACUUGCUAGUAUACAUCUAAAAUUAUAAGACUAAAUCCUUUAGUUCUUGGAUUCAUCUAAGAACUACUUAUUCCAGCAGAUGCUAUGCUUGCACUACUAGAAUUUAUGGCUUGCCCUGUCAACUAUUGCGCGACAGAAGAUUUCGUCGGUUUCACCUUUUUUAACCGACAGAAUAUAAGUUUAGUAGGGCAAAAUCAGUCAACAAACUGGGUUGAUUGAAUAAAUUUACAGGAUGGCUAGAGUUCGUAGGUUAAGACAUCGGUCGUUGGGCAAACAUUUGGAGCGAAGAUGUGAGUGUUUUAACUGACGAAUAAGCUGGUCGUCAUGUAGAUCUUCUUUCCCGACGGACGGUUCAACAGGUAGCUCUUUGGAUAAUAAUUCAUCUUCAAGGGGAACAGGUUGCCCCUCAGAUGAAUGGUUAGAGGCAAUUGUGAGACUAUAAUUUUCUAGGGCCGGAAUAAAAAAUACAUAAACCCUCACCUAUUCUGUCUCUGUAACCAUCCACCAAAUACCCAUUUUUCCCUUUCUAUUUCUCUCCUAGUAAUUUCCCCUGACCGAAUCACACAAUCCAACCAACUCUCUUUAAGCCUCCCUCACUGAUUCCAUGGAUUUCAUGGACUUAUCCCACCCUCUCUCCUUCCUUCUAUAUAUAGCAAGUCCCCUUGCCUCAGUGUCCCUGGCAACAGAAUUUAUGGCGUUUCUUCGUUCUUUCAAUUAUUUGAAAGCUUCCCUGCCCUGCAAUCUUGUAUAAAGGCGUAUGGUGUUUCAUCAGUUCCAUUUGGUGGUCGGGUGGGAAAUGAAAUUAAAACACUGCAUUUCAAAUGCAUUUCAAAUGGUCUAAACCAAAUUGAAUCAAAUGUGAAGCAAAGGGCAAGAGGUGUAGAUUGAAGAACAAUGGCACCAAGAGCGAAAUUGAACUUGUUGACAGGAGGAAACCAAGUAAGGAUAACACGUCUAAAUCUUAUUUUGAAUCCAUUCAGCUCAUGAUGUUUUGAAUGAUGAUGAUCGGUAUACUCUGCUACAUGCUGUGAUUUUUCCGCUUUCAUGUAAUUAACGGCUUAUAUUUGUGGUAACCAUAUUGAUUAAAAAAGGUCGUACCCAGUGCACAAGGCUCCCGCUUUACGCAGGGUCUGAAAGGUGAAUGUCGGCUAGCCUUACCCCCAUUUUAUGGAGAGGCUGCUCCAAAGUCUCAAACCCAAGACCUACCGCUCAUGGGCGAAGACACUUGCCAUCGCACCAAGUGCGAUAUUGAUUAAUUUCGAGAAAUGACAGUCUAAUUUUUGCAACUGUCUUUUGCAGGCAAAACAAAGACGUUUGCAAGGGUGAGUUGUGUAGGAGCUUUGUUUCAUGUCCAAAGGACACUUGAGAAUAAAUGUUUACACUCAUGGAUAAUAUCUAUCUAUUUGCAGGAGUAACCCUGGGUUCAUUUGUUCUGUAACUGCUGGUCAUUGCGGCAUAUCACGCCUAUAGCACUGACAAAAGUAAAAAGAGAAUCGAAUGAAAUUUGAUAAGUUUUCAGCGGACUACAAAGAUCUUAAGCCAAGCAUAUAUUCCCAUGCAGAUAUUAAGAGGUUUACAAAUCAAUUCAAGUACAAGUUGGGCCAAGGAGCAUACGGAACUAUUUUUAAAGGAAUGCUUUUUUCUGAAUGCUUUGUUGCCAUGAAGUACUUAACAAUGGGCCAUAUUCACCAUGUCAAUGUGGUUCACUUGGUUGGUUUUUGUGCUGAUGGAUUUAGAUGAGCUCUGGUUUAUGAGUUCUUUUCCUUUGGUUCACUCCAGGAUUAUAUUUCAUCAGUAGAUAGAUUUCUUUCCUUGGUUGGCAUAAGUUACAAGAUAUUGCUAUCAGCAUAGCCAAAGGAACCAAGGAUGUGAUCUACAAAUCCUCCAUUUCGAUAUCAAACCCCAUAAUGUUUUGCUCAACCAAAAAAUCACGCCAAAAAUCUCUGAUUUUGGUCUGGCCAAGUUAUGUUCCAAGGAUCAAUCGGCGUGACUAAAGCAAGGGGGACUAUGUGACUAAAGCACCCGAAGUGUUUUCCAGGAAUUUCGGAAAUGUGUCUUACAAGGCAGAUGUCUUGAAUGCUGCUGCUUGAGAUGGUAGGAGAAAAGAAGAAUAUUGGUUCAACCAGAGGACACGACAAAUGAAAUCUACUAUCCAAAAUGGAUUUAUAAUCUUCUAGAGGAAGGAAAUGACCAACAGAUCCCUAUUGAGGAAGAAUGUUAUGGUAAGAUUCCAAAGCAACUUGCAAGUUUAGGGCUCUGGUGCAGCCAGUGACACUCAGUGGAUCGGCGGUCCAUGAAAACGGUGGUUCGGAUGUUAGGAGGAGGAGAAAACUUGAUGAUGCAAGCAACCCUAAAAGCCUCAUACAGUUAGAAGCAAUUGCUGAAUUAGAGUAACAUACGUAUAUGUAUACGCACCAACACAAGUCGUUCUUAGAUGAAUCCAAGCCAAACAAUUACAGACAAUAGUUAUUCACUAAAUCACUUUAAGGCAAGAAUUUAAUUAAUAAUACAUUACUGCACUUUCUUAACCAUUUGACUAUCACCUAGCUGACAAUGAACACGUUAGCUCCGCGUUAGAACAUCUUGGGUUCAAUUCAUUGUCUUGAAUAUCACCCACUGUCACAGGCGUCUUUUGGGGGCAUAGAGAAGGCCUGAGAGGCAUUUGCAGACAUUCAACAUCUCCUCCAAGCAUUUUGACAACUUUGGACAUCGAAGGGCGAUCACUUGGUUUCAUUUGAAUACACCACAAGGCGGUUAUAACCAUCUUUCUUAUUACUUUCUUUUCCUCCUCUGUAACAUUGUCCAUUUCCAAGUCAUUUCCUACAAUAUACUGAUCGUAUACCCACAUUGGGAAGUAGAUUUGGCUUGAAUGCUCUACCGUUGGAUUCAAAUUCCUCCUUCUGCUUGCCAUUUCCAUCAACAACAUUCCAAAACUAUAGACAUCUGACUUAUAUGAGACGCCUCCAAUAUUUUUGUAGAACAACUCAGGAGCAAUAUAUCCCAGUGUACCCCGUGCUGCUGUCAAAGAGACAAUGCUAUUAUCUACAUGAUACAAUUUUGCAAGCCCAAAGUCAGAAACCUUUGCUUUAAAGUUCUCAUCAAGAAGGAUGUUAUGAGGCUUGAUGUCGAAAUGUAGAAUUUGCAUUUCGCAACCUUGGUGUAGAUAUUCGAUCCCUUGAGCCACUCCAAGAGAAAUCUCGUACAUGUUCUUGAUAGUUAAGGGGACACUUCCUUCUUUGGAAUAAAUGUAUUUAUCAAGAGAACCAUUAGGCAUGAAGUCAUAGACUAGAGCGCGUUUUGAUCCCUCAACAUAGUAUCCAACAAGUUGCACCACAUUGGCAUGGUGAAUCCUUCCGAUUGUAGCUAAUUCGCUAAUGAAAUCUUGGCCAUCAGCUUUGGGCUUGGCCAAAACUUUAACUGCUACAAAUCGACCACUGCGUAGCUUUCCCUUAAAUACAGAGCCAAAGCCACCUUUGCCCAACUUGUCCUUAAACUUGCGAGUCAUUUUCUUGACGUCCGAGUAAGAGUACCUUAUAGGCAUGAAGUUGUUAUUGCAUUGCAGAAAAUCUUCUAUUGUGCUAUACAUUGAUAAAUGUCUUCUGCGCCAUGUGUAGAUUAGAAAUGCAGUCACAAUUGGAACUCCAAAAACAAAUCUGGCUAGGAAAAAUAACCCUACAUGCAUUGACAUUAAUAUGUUAGAUCCACUGCGUACUACUUUUUCUUCCCUUUCUUUCCAAAUUACUUUGUCUUUGAUGUAAUUAAAGAGAGAAUGGGAAAUGUACAUAUGUUGAUAAUACAAUCUCGUCUUAGUCCUUACCGAUGCAUAUGAGUAUAAACCAUACACGUACUGCAACAAAAUCAAUCGACUAUGAGUUUGAAAAGUGCAUAAAGUGAAAAAAAAAUAAAAAAAAUCAAAGGGUGCCUUUAUUGACAUCCAAAUUUUAGUUAGUUUUACUCAACUAAAAAAUUUUUGUCAUCAAACUUUUUAAUUUGCCGUCGAAAUUGAGUUCACCCAACCCACAAAGCAGCAACUACCACUCACCAAAAAAACCAACAACACACAGCCACCAGUACCAUUCACCAAUAGAAAGAGAAGGAACACACAGACCCACCAAGGAGCCGGCAUCGACGCGUCUACGAGGGAGGGACCGGAGGGUGGUGUAGUUUUGUUGGGCGCGCGGUAGUGGUUUUGUCUGUUCAUUUUCUCUUUGUUUUGGUAGGUGGAGGCUGGUGUGGAUUUGGGCGAACUUAAAAAUGAGGGGAAACUAUGAAGUUUGACAAAAUGUUUUAGUUAGGUGAACUUCACUAAAAUUUGGGUGCCGAUAAAGAUACCCAAAAUCAAAAGACUAGAUGGACUAAUUAAAUGAAGCUCUUACCCAUAUAUAACGAUGGACGCAACUUGCCAGCUGCUGCAGUACAUACCACGGAAAAGUGAGCAAAGACAUACAGUUACUAGGUUUAAGAAGUACAGAUAGAGCACACAAAAAAUAAAAGAAGCUUUUGGGAAGAAACUUCUUACGCAAAUAGAUUUUUUUCAUGACCUACAGUAAAAAAAUGUCAAGAAGAAUACACAACAUUAGCAAUAGCUCACCCAGUCUUCAAAAUUUAAAAAAUCAAGUUUGUCGAUCGAAAACUUGUAAAUAAAACAAAAAGAGGACCCCUUACCGAUUUGUUGCCAUAGAUAUUGAAAGAAACCUACAAGAACAAAGAAAGAACAAGACCACAUGCAUUAGAAUAACAAGUGUGAGGUGUAUAAGCCGUUAGAAAAUAAAUUUAAAAUUCUAGUGCUGUCAAUACAUUGAUAAUAUAUAUAUAUAUAUAUAUAUAUAUAUAUAUAUGUAUGUAUGUAUUAUUUUUUCUGAAAAUUUAACUUUUCCCGUCCAAACUCAUUUUUCUAGUCUCUAGCCCAACAUAUAAUAUUUAUCUGAAUAAAACCAAAUGAUUAGGAUCCAACUAAGAAACUUACCAAAUUAAGUUUGUGUGUCCAUUUUUAUAUUUUUUGGAUCCCUAAUAUACCCCAUCUAAGCCAGUAUGGAAAGGUCUUGUAAUUUUGCUUUAAGUGAUUACGUGCAUUGAAUUUGGCAAGGUCUUAUAGCCAUGAAAUAUGGUUCUAGAUGGAGGAAUUAAUUUGGAAUUUUUUUUAAUUUCGACAACAAAUUUCAAUUUGAAUAUACCUAAUUUAGUGUUUAUUUUCAACAAUAAAUGUGCCUACUUUUUAAAUUUGUAACAAAAUUAAUUUACCUACUUUUUAUGGUAUUAGUGACACACCCUGUCCCGAAGGAGGGCAUGCUGGCCGUCACGAGAGAGUGACGUAACCAUUUGCACAGUACGGAAGCUUUAAGAUACAAUUUAUAAGUUGAUACACCCGAAGGUGAGUCCUAAUUUUUGUCCAAUCUGUCAGAACACCGUCAAAUUCCUCGUAGUCACCACACCUUUGUGAUUCCUGAACCUGGAGGGGCGCAAAACCAAAAUUGAGUGGGUCAGUAAAACAAUUCUUUUCCAAAUCCAAACAUUUCUCAAAACGUUGUAACCCUCUCCGUAAAACUUGUAUACUUUCCCAGAAAUGUAAAAUAUAAAUAUACAUAUAUAUUCUCAAACUUCAUUUUUACUAUCUCAACAUUUUUCUUUAUCAAACAUGCCAUGCCAUGUCUAAUUCAACAGUUAAGUAUGGAUGCAUCAACAAUAAUCAUAUCAGGUGCAAGAAAGUAAUCAACCGGAGGCCCUCUAAUAGCCCUGUACGGUUGAACCUAGAGCUCAAAAUCUAUCACUCUCACUCUGCCGGGAGUCACCUCUGUGACCUGUCCGGCCUUCUGCACACAAGUUACGCUCUAGUGCUUUCUCAUCAAUCAUCUGUGCACAUAAUCUAAGGUCACCCACCAGUCGAAAUCUCACUAACACUCUUCGACUGGCCCGUCGCACCCACUCCGCGUGGACUGUGCGACCAGCAUCUACUUGGAUCCAAGGCGAGCGUGCGAUGCGGUGAAUACUAUAAGCACUAAACCAUGGUGCAGGAUUUGAGCUCAAUAUAUAUCAACAUCAUCAUAACAGUACUUAAAUACUCACCUGAUACUCACCUGUGCGUCCGCCGCACCAAUUCAUACAUAUGCAUCAUAUUUCAAUUCAUAUCAUUUCAUGCAUGGCAAUUCGAUUCACAUUUCUAUAUACAUUUCAUAUACUUCUAUGCAUGACCUUUCAAUUCACGUUUUCAUAUAAUUCUAUAUACCUUUCAUUUAAAACAUAAUUUCAUUCUAAUUCAAUUUCUGGGAAAACGUCAAGUAUAUAUAUACGGAAAACAAAACUGCCCACUCACCUGGAGUUCGUCCAACAACUCCCUAGCACCACACAUCAAGGCGUCAUGACGAUCGCCGUCUAGAACAGUAAUCAAAUCCAGCCUCAGAAUUCAUAUCGAUAGAACAUAUAACUUAUAUAAAAUAUGUCACUACGUAGAUCGAUCCGGAAGAUCUGCCACUCAGAUUUUAAAUCCAUAACUUCCAGAGGUCCACAAUAUAUCUCUAGGAUAACAUCCUAAAAUUUCAUUACCAUCCAACGGUCGGAUCUCCGUCAAUUUCCAAAACUAAGUGACGGUUAACAUUUUAUUUUAUGAACUUACAAUUCUAAUUCCGGAAGAUCCGUAACUCGGAUUCCCAAUCCGUAAGUUCCAAUAAUCCUCAAAUAUUACGUAUUACAACGUAUCAAAGUUUGGUAACGAUCCAACGGUCGGAUCAUCAAUUCACAUUUUCACCUAAUGCGAAAACUAUAAAACGUUAUUCGAACACCUAACCAACAAUCCUUAAUAACUUUCUCAUACGGUGUUCAAUUUGGGUAUAUGAAUAUACCACAGUGAUCUACUCAUUAAAAUAAUUUUUUACUGUAGCACGCGCCCCCACGCGCCAAGGAAGGCACGGACCUACGCGCCCCCACGCGCACCUUCUUCUUCCUUGGGUCGCCGGACUGGUUUUUCCGGCGGCCGUUUUUCAAAUUGCCAUAACUUUGUCAUUUCUCAACGAAAUCAAGUGAUUCAAAAACGAAAGUUGUAGCCCUUGAAGAGACAAAGAGAAUGGUACCUUGCACAACACCUAGUUCGCCGUGGUUUGGCCGGAAACUGCUUCGAAAGCCUCGGAGGUCGCCAGAAACUGGGUAUUUUUCAAAUCAGUAUAACUUCUUCAAUACUCAACGAAAUUGAGUGAAACAAAAAGGAAAGUUGUAGUACUUGACGAGACGAAGAGAUUGAUACCUACCUCGACUCCUAACUCACCGGAUAUUCGCCGGAAAAUGCCUCGAAAGCUCCGGCCAAACUUUGAACUUGUCGAUCUCCGUGUUCUUACAUCCAAAAACUUCCAACGAAGCACUCCGAGCUUCCUUGGGACCUCACUAAGCUCGCUAUGAUCUUGUUUUAGCCUAAAACGUAGUCAUUUAGAAGAUCAUGAACAAUACCAUUUCACGGGAACUUUGAAACUAGGGUUUUCCGAAGCAAAACUUACCUGAAAUGGAUACCAUCGUGAUCGUGGAGGUUCCAGGAGUUUGAUGGUGGUCUUAACUCUGUCGUUGGUGGAAGUUUAAGGUUGUUUUGUGGUUGGUUUGUUCGAACGGAGAAGAAGAGUGACAGAGAGAGUGAGAGAGUCGUGAGGGAAGAGAGAGAGAGACAGCAUGCAGAAAAUAGGGAGAGGAUUGAGGGGUGUGGGGAUCCCACGUGGUCCUUUUCCAAUCCCCAACUCCAAACCAUAAAAUUUUAACCUAAAAAUCUAAGUUCAAUCCUUAAUAAAUUCCAUUUUAUUUUCAAAACUUAGGAACCUAGAUAAUUAUCAACUUGAGCUUCACAUACUUAGUAUUUCUUAAGGGCAAUUUCGUUCAUUCACAGCCACGAAUGUAAUAUUUUGGAACGGGCUGUGACAAUUAGUAUACAUAAAUGUAGAAUAUAUGUCCGUAUAUAUUUGAUCCAAUUAGUAUUAGGGAGAAUGACAAGUCAUCCAAGUCUGCUACUGUUAAUAAUUCUGUUACUGUAAAUUAACUGAUUGUAUUAGUUGUGAUUAGUUAAGAUAGUUAUAAAGUAGUUAGGGGUAUCUAUGUAAAUAGCCAAAGGCUAUAUAUAUUCCUACACAAUGUGUAAAGUUCUCAGUCAAGUAAAUACAAUCAAGAAAACUUACUGUUGAAGUUUUCUGUUUCUACAUGGUAUCACGCCAUUCCGCUUCACAGCUUCGAUCUUUCUCUUCGCUUGCUGCAUCGAUCGACUCUUGAUCGAUUUUUCUUCUCUGAUCUUCUCUUCGCUUGCUGCAUCGAUCGACUCAUGAUCGAUUUUUCUUCUCUGAUCGUCACUUCUUCCCUUCCGAUCUUGUAGUAUUUUCUUGAUUUCUGUCAGUAAUGGCGGCUCAAUCGACUGGUUCAUCUUCUCCGGUCAUCUCCCCCUCGAGCCCAAACCCUAAUUUUCUCUGGAAACCCUAAUUCCUCUGGAAAUCCGAGUCCUCUGACUUCCUACACUUCUCUCUCACAAUUCAUAACAUCGGCAGCAUGGUGCCGAUCAAGCUCAAAAGAUCCAAUUACCUACCAUGGCGCGCCCUGUUUGGCCCGAUUUUCCGGCGAUACAAGCUUCUUGGAGUAAUCGAUGGUACUGACGUCUGUCCAUCGCCAUUUCUGCCUGAUCGUAGCAUCAAUCCUGCUUUUGAGGACUGGUAUGAGAAAGAUCAAAAUCUUUUUGAUCUGGUUGAAUUCCACACUUUCUGAGGAAAUCAUCCCGUUCACGGUUGGGGUUUCAUCCUCUCGAGAACUUUGGGUAAAGCUUGAACAGCGCUUUGGUGGAAUUUCAGAGGCUCAUAUCCAUCAGUUGCGAUCGCGCCUUCAAUCUGUUCAGAAAGGAUCGCGUUCUAUCUCUGACUAUCUUCAAGAACUCAAGGAAAUUUCAGAUUCUCUGCAAGCUGCUGGUGCUUCUGUCUCUGAUCGAGAUCUUAUCGCCGCCACACUACAUGGCUUGCCUGAUGAAUUUGAGUCUUUCAUCGACUGUAUCAUGCUCCGAUUGUCCUCUACCUCUCUGAUGAACUUCAUGGCCUCCUUCUCACAAAGGAAUUGUCUAUGGCCAGACGCAAAACUGUCAGUUCAUCUCCUGUCCCUGAAUCUUUUCAGGCUUUCUCGGUGCAGUCUCAGCCUCAUCUCCUUCCUACUCCAUCUGCUUUUGCUGCUCAGAAUCUCCCUCUUCAAUCUGCAUCUCGGUUCAACUCUAAUCGUGGCAGGAACACUAAGGGCCAGUUCUUUUCCAAUCGAGGUCAUCGAGGUAAUCGUGGUAAUUUUCCUAAUAAACCGUGGCAAUCGAGGUUAUCAAGGAUUUCGCAGCAAUCAAGGCUCUUCUCACUUCAAAGUGCUUUGUCAAAUCUGUGGUUCUACCAGUCAUGAGGCUAUUGACUGCUUUGAUCGUAUGAAUCCUGACAUCUUGUGGUCGUAUUCCUCCAGCUAAGCUUGCUGCCAUGUGUGCCACAACAUUCUGCUAAACCAUCUCAGCCUUGGUUAAUUGAUUCAGGGGCAACCUCUCAUAUCACUAAUGAUGUUGCUAACCUCACCUCUCCUACUCCCUACACUGGCGAGGAUUAAAGUGUAUAUUGGAGAUGGUAAAGGUUUAUCCAUCCUCAAUGUUGGUUCAUCUACUCUGCACACCUCUCAUAAUUCUUUUCAAUUGCGAAAUGUUUUACAUGUUCCCCACAUAACCCAUAAUCUUAUCUGCUUAUCAGUUUUGUUAAUGAUAAUAAUUGUUCAUUGACACUUGACCCUUAUGGAUCCUAUGUCAAGGAUCGUAUUUCGGGGAAGAUGCUUUUACGGGGACCGGUUAGAGAUGGCUUCUAUCCUCUUCAAAGUUCCAGCAAUCUUCAUCCUCUUUCACAUACCGCUUUACUUAGUAUUAAAGCUCCAGUUACAAUUUGGCACAAGCGUUUGGGUCACCCUUCCUCCUCCAUUUUUAGAAGGCUCCUUUCAUCCAAUAAUCUUGCUUUACAAGGCAAGUCUACUGUGGACUUUUUCUGUUCGGAUUGUGCUCUUGCCAAGAAUCAUAAGCUUCCAUUUAAAGCUGCUACUUCAUCAUCAACUCACAGCCUUCAACUACUGCACUGUGAUCUGUGGGGACCUGCCUCAAUCACAUCAAGUAGUGGUUUUCAAUAUUAUUUGCUCAUUGUUGAUGACUAUAGCAAAUAUAGUUGGUUCUUUCCUUUGAAAUCUAAGUCAGAUGUAUUUUCUACAUUUGUUGUCUUCAAAUCAUAUGUAGAAAAUUCACUUGGAAAUAAAAUAAAGGUUCUGCGUUCAGAUUCAGGGGGUGAAUUUACUAGUCACUCUUUUGCAUCAUAUCUCAGCAAACAUGGCAUUCUUCAUCAGUUCAGUUGUCCCCACACCCCUGAGCAAAAUGGUUGUGCAGAAAGAAAGCACAGGCACCUUGUUGAAAACAGCUCGCACUUUGCUUCUUGCAUUCUCAUGUCCCUCAUAUUUUCUGGGUUGAAGCAUUCUCCACUGCUAUCUAUCUUAUUAAUCGCCUUCCUAUUUCUGGCAUUUCACAGUCCCCUUGGCAGUUGCUAUUUCACAACCAUCCAGACUACUCUAAGCUCAAAGUAUUUGGUUGCCAAUGCUUUCCUUGGCUCAAACCUUACUUUCAUAGCAAAUUGGAUCCCAAGAGCAAAAAGUGUGUUUUCUUGGGGUAUAGUCUUCAACACAAAGGCUAUAGGUGCCUUGAUCCUAUCACCAAUCGCAUCUACAUCUCUCGUCAUGUCUGUAUUCGAUGAAAGUACUUAUCCAUUUCAGUUGUCCCACAUUCAACACUCUUUUCCUGUUCCAAGUCCUCCAUCUUCCUCACCAACAAUUUCUUCCUCUCUGGAUCUUCAUUUUUUAGCAAACACAUUCCUCCUGUUUUCAGUCAGCCAUCUACAUCACCAUUAUGUGCUUCUGUGCCUGUUCCUAUUUCUUCAUCUUCAUCUUCCCCUGCACCUGUCUCAGUUGGCUCUUCUUUCCAGUUUUGUUCCUCCUUCAGCACAUUCAUCUUUCUCCCAAAAUCAACAGAGUCAUCCUCCUGCCCCUGUUAAUUCUCAUCCAAUGAUUACUAGAUCCAAGGCUGGUAUACUCACGUCGAGAGCCUGUGCAGCAACUAAGCACCCACUUCCGGUUGAUAUGGAUUAUGUUCCUACAACAUACUUGCAAGCUUCUAAGCAUGCUCAUUGGAGGCAAGCUAUGCAAGAUGAAUUUAAUGCCUUGCUAACCACUGGUUACUUUGGUCUCUUGUUCCUUCUCACCAUUCUCAAAACUUAGUGGGCUGCAAGUGGGUUUUCCGGAUUAAGAAGAAGCCCGAUGGCACUGUUGACAGAUAUAAAGCCCGGCUUGUGGCCAAGGGUUUUCAUCAACAAGAAGGUAUUGACUUUUCAAGAAAACCUUCAGUCCAGUUGCCAAACCGGUUACAAUUCGGAUCCUUCUUACCCUUUGCUGUGCAAUAUAAUUGGUUUCUCAAUCAAUUGGACAUUAGUAAUGCCUUUCUUCAUGGAGACUUAAAGAGAGGAUGUCUACAUGCAACAACCCCCUGGUUUUGUUGAUCCCUUUACCCUACAUUUUGUAAGUUGAGGAAAUCGUUGUAUGGUCUCAAACAAGCUCCUCGAGCUUGGUUUGAUAAACUGUUCCAAGCUCUUCCUCUCUUGGAUUCACCCAAUCAUCCUCAGAUGCUUCUUUAUUUGUUCUCAAUGGUCCUCAGUUUAGUCAUUGUCCUUGUCUAUGUUGAUGACAUUCUUGUCACCGGACCCUAUCCUUACCUCUGUCAACACUUCAUUCAGCAACUUGGGGCUCAAUUUCCAGUAAAAGACCUUGGUCCUCUUCAUUAUUUCUUGGGAUUAGAAGUACAUCGAUCUUCCCAGGGUAUAUUUCUCCAUCAAACAAAGUACUUAUUGGAUCUUCUCAAGAAAACAAAUAUGGAGGGUGCAAAACCUUGUUGUACUCCCCUUGGCUCUAAGAAAUUAGAUCACAGUGGCCCUCUUCUGUCCAAUCCUACUGAAUAUCGCUCCAUUGUUGGUGGUUUACAAUAUCUUACUUGGACUAGACCCGACCUUGCUUUUGCUGUGAACCAAAUCUGCCAAUUCAUGCAUGCUCCCAGGGAACAACAUCUCCAGGCAGCAAAAAGGGUUCUCAGAUUUCUCAAAGGCUCUAUCUCACAUGGUGUGUGGUUCACUAAAGGCCCUGUCCAUCUUUCUGCCUACUCGGAUGCCGACUGGGCUGGUUGCACAAUUGACAGGAGAUCAACCACUGGUUAUUGUGUAUUUUUGGGUUCCAAUCUUAUCAGCUGGAGUGCCAAGAAGCAAAGUACUGUUGCCAAGGUCCUCUACAGAGGCUGAAUAUCGCUCCUUAGCUCACACAGCUGCUGAGAUAACUUGGGUUUGCAGAUUCUCAAAGAUCUGCACUAUCCUCUCUCUUACAUUCCCUACUUUUGGUGUGACAACAUAUCAGCAAUAUCUUUAGCAUCUAAUCCUGUCUUUCAUGCUCGAACAAAGCAUGUUGAGAUCGAUUAUCNGAAGUUUUCUGUUUUCUACAUGGUAUCACGCCAUUCCGCUUCACAGCUUCGAUCUUUCUCUUCGCUUGCUGCAUCGAUCGACUCUUGAUCGAUUUUUCUUCUCUGAUCUUCUCUUCGCUUGCUGCAUCGAUCGACUCAUGAUCGAUUUUUCUUCUCUGAUCGUCACUUCUUCCCUUCCGAUCUUGUAGUAUUUCUUGAUUUCUGUCAGUAAUGGCGGCUCAAUCGACUGGUUCAUCUUCUCCGGUCAUCUCCCCCUCGAGCCCAAACCCUAAUUUCUCUGGAAACCCUAAUUCCUCUGGAAAUCCGAGUCCUCUGGACUUCCUACACUUCUCUCACAAUUCAUAACAUCGGCAGCAUGGUGCCGAUCAAGCUCAAAAGAUCCAAUUACCUACCAUGGCGCGGCCCUGUUUGGCCCGAUUUUCCGGCGAUACAAGCUUCUUGGAGUAAUCGAUGGUACUGACGUCUGUCCAUCGCCAUUUCUGCCUGAUCGUAGCAUCAAUCCUGCUUUUGAGGACUGGUAUGAGAAAGAUCAAAAUCUUUUGAUCUGGUUGAAUUCCACACUUUCUGAGGAAAUCAUCCCGUUCACGGUUGGGGUUUCAUCCUCUCGAGAACUUUGGGUAAAGCUUGAACACAGCGCUUUGGUGGAAUUUCAGAGGCUCAUAUCCAUCAGUUGCGAUCGCGCCUUCAAUCUGUUCAGAAAGGAUCGCGUUCUAUCUCUGACUAUCUUCAAGAACUCAAGGAAAUUUCAGAUUCUCUGCAAGCUGCUGGUGCUUCUGUCUCUGAUCGAGAUCUUAUCGCCGCCACACUACAUGGCUUGCCUGAUGAAUUUGAGUCUUUCAUCGACUGUAUCAUGCUCCGAUUGUCCUCUACCUCUCUUGAUGAACUUCAUGGCCUCCUUCUCACAAAGGAAUUGUCUAUGGCCAGACGCAAAAACUGUCAGUUCAUCUUCCUGUCCCUGAAUCUUUUCAGGCUUUCUCGGUGCAGUCUCAGCCUCAUCUCCUUCCUACUCCAUCUGCUUUUGCUGCUCAGAAUCUCCCUCUUCAAUCUGCAUCUCGGUUCAACUCUAAUCGUGGCAGGAACACUAAGGGCCAGUUCUUUUCCAAUCGAGGUCAUCGAGGUAAUCGUGGUAAUUUUCCUAAUAACCGUGGCAAUCGAGGUUAUCAAGGAUUUCGCAGCAAUCAAGGCUCUUCUCACUUCAAAGUGCUUUGUCAAAUCUGUGGUUCUACCAGUCAUGAGGCUAUUGACUGCUUUGAUCGUAUGAAUCCUGACAUCUGUGGUCGUAUUCCUCCAGCUAAGCUUGCUGCCAUGUGUGCACAACAUUCUGCUAAACCAUCUCAGCCUUGGUUAAUUGAUUCAGGGGCAACCUCUCAUAUCACUAAUGAUGUUGCUAACCUCACCUCUCCUACUCCCUACACUGGCGAGGAUAAAGUGUAUAUUGGAGAUGGUAAAGGUUUAUCCAUCCUCAAUGUUGGUUCAUCUACUCUGCACACCUCUCAUAAUUCUUUUCAAUUGCGAAAUGUUUUACAUGUUCCCCACAUAACCCAUAAUCUCUUAUCUGCUUAUCAGUUUGUUAAUGAUAAUAAUUGUUCAUUGACACUUGACCCUUAUGGAUCCUAUGUCAAGGAUCGUAUUUCGGGGAAGAUGCUUUUACGGGGACCGGUUAGAGAUGGCUUCUAUCCUCUUCAAAGUUCCAGCAAUCUUCAUCCUCUUUCACAUACCGCUUUACUUAGUAUUAAAGCUCCAGUUACAAUUUGGCACAAGCGUUUGGGUCACCCUUCCUCCUCCAUUUUUAGAAGGCUCCUUUCAUCCAAUAAUCUUGCUUUACAAGGCAAGUCUACUGUGGACUUUUUCUGUUCGGAUUGUGCUCUUGCCAAGAAUCAUAAGCUUCCAUUUAAAGCUGCUACUUCAUCAUCAACUCACAGCCUUCAACUACUGCACUGUGAUCUGUGGGGACCUGCCUCAAUCACAUCAAGUAGUGGUUUUCAAUAUUUAUUUGCUCAUUGUUGAUGACUAUAGCAAAUAUAGUUGGUUCUUUCCUUUGAAAUCUAAGUCAGAUGUAUUUUCUACAUUUGUUGUCUUCAAAUCAUAUGUAGAAAAUUCACUUGGAAAUAAAAUAAAGGUUCUGCGUUCAGAUUCAGGGGGUGAAUUUACUAGUCACUCUUUUGCAUCAUAUCUCAGCAAACAUGGCAUUCUUCAUCAGUUCAGUUGUCCCCACACCCCUGAGCAAAAUGGUUGUGCAGAAAGAAAGCACAGGCACCUUGUUGAAACAGCUCGCACUUUGCUUCUUGCAUCUCAUGUCCCUCAUAUUUUCUGGGUUGAAGCAUUCUCCACUGCUAUCUAUCUUAUUAAUCGCCUUCCUAUUUCUGGCAUUUCACAGUCCCCUUGGCAGUUGCUAUUUCACAACCAUCCAGACUACUCUAAGCUCAAAGUAUUUGGUUGCCAAUGCUUUCCUUGGCUCAAACCUUACUUUCAUAGCAAAUUGGAUCCCAAGAGCAAAAAGUGUGUUUUCUUGGGGUAUAGUCUUCAACACAAAGGCUAUAGGUGCCUUGAUCCUAUCACCAAUCGCAUCUACAUCUCUCGUCAUGUUGUAUUCGAUGAAAGUACUUAUCCAUUUCAGUUGUCCCACAUUCAACACUCUUUUCCUGUUCCAAGUCCUCCAUCUUCCUCACCAACAAUUUCUUCCUCUCUGGAUCUUCAUUUUAGCAAACACAUUCCUCCUGUUUUCAGUCAGCCAUCUACAUCACCAUUAUGUGCUUCUGUGCCUGUUCCUAUUUCUUCAUCUUCAUCUUCCCCUGCACCUGUCUCAGUUGGCUCUUCUUCCAGUUUUGUUCCUCCUUCAGCACAUUCAUCUUUCUCCCAAAAUCAACAGAGUCAUCCUCCUGCCCCUGUUAAUUCUCAUCCAAUGAUUACUAGAUCCAAGGCUGGUAUACUCACGUCGAGAGCCUGUGCAGCAACUAAGCACCCACUUCCGGUUGAUAUGGAUUAUGUUCCUACAACAUACUUUGCAAGCUUCUAAAGCAUGCUCAUUGGAGGCAAGCUAUGCAAGAUGAAUUUAAUGCCUUGCUAACCACUGGUUACUUGGUCUCUUGUUCCUUCUCACCAUUCUCAAAACUUAGUGGGCUGCAAGUGGGUUUUCCGGAUUAAGAAGAAGCCCGAUGGCACUGUUGACAGAUAUAAAGCCCGGCUUGUGGCCAAGGGUUUUCAUCAACAAGAAGGUAUUGACUUUCAAGAAAACCUUCAGUCCAGUUGCCAAACCGGUUACAAUUCGGAUCCUUCUUACCCUUGCUGUGCAAUAUAAUUGGUUUCUCAAUCAAUUGGACAUUAGUAAUGCCUUUCUUCAUGGAGACUUAAAGGAGGAUGUCUACAUGCAACAACCCCCUGGUUUUGUUGAUCCCUUACACCCUACAUCUGUUUGUAAGUUGAGGAAAUCGUUGUAUGGUCUCAAACAAGCUCCUCGAGCUUGGUUUGAUAAACUGUUCCAAGCUCUUCACUCUCUUGGAUUCACCCAAUCAUCCUCAGAUGCUUCUUUAUUUGUUCUCAAUGGUCCUCAGUUUAGUCAUUGUCCUUGUCUAUGUUGAUGACAUUCUUGUCACCGGACCCUAUCCUUACCUCUGUCAACACUUCAUUCAGCAACUUGGGGCUCAAUUUCCAGUAAAAGACCUUGGUCCUCUUCAUUAUUUCUUGGGAUUAGAAGUACAUCGAUCUUCCCAGGGUAUAUUUCUCCAUCAAACAAAGUACUUAUUGGAUCUUCUCAAGAAAACAAAUAUGGAGGGUGCAAAACCUUGUUGUACUCCCCUUGGCUCUAAGAAAUUAGAUCACAGUGGCCCUCUUCUGUCCAAUCCUACUGAAUAUCGCUCCAUUGUUGGUGGUUUACAAUAUCUUACUUGGACUAGACCCGACCUUUGCUUUUGCUGUGAACCAAAUCUGCCAAUUCAUGCAUGCUCCCAGGGAACAACAUCUCCAGGCAGCAAAAAGGGUUCUCAGAUUUCUCAAAGGCUCUAUCUCACAUGGUGUGUGGUUCACUAAAGGCCCUGUCCAUCUUUCUGCCUACUCGGAUGCCGACUGGGCUGGUUGCACAAUUGACAGGAGAUCAACCACUGGUUAUUGUGUAUUUUUGGGUUCCAAUCUUAUCAGCUGGAGUGCCAAGAAGCAAAGUACUGUUGCAAGGUCCUCUACAGAGGCUGAAUAUCGCUCCUUAGCUCACACAGCUGCUGAGAUAACUUGGGUUUGCAAGAUUCUCAAAGAUCUGCACUAUCCUCUCUCUACAUUCCCUACUCUUUGGUGUGACAACAUAUCAGCAAUAUCUUUAGCAUCUAAUCCUGUCUUUCAUGCUCGAACAAAGCAUGUUGAGAUCGAUUAUCACUAUAUUAGAGAAUUGGUUUUGGCUCAACUUCUCAAAGUCAAGUUCAUCUGCAGUGAAGACCAAUUAGCUGAUCUUCACACCAAGUCUCUGUCUAAAACCAGAUUUAAUUAUCUGUGUUCCAAGCUUCCCAUUGGUCUCAUUUCUGAUCCCCCUUCUCGCUUGAGGGGGUGUAUUAGGGAGAAUGACAAGUCAUCCAAGUCUGCUACUGUUAAUAAUUCUGUUACUGUAAAUUAACUGAUUGUAUUAGUUGUGAUUAGUUAAGAUAGUUAUAAAGUAGUUAGGGGUAUCUAUGUAAAUAGCCAAAGGCUAUAUAUAUUCCUACACAAUGUGUAAAGUUCUCAGUCAAGUAAAUACAAUCAAGAAAACUUACUGUUGAAGUUUUCUGUUUCUACAGGUUUUGGAUUGGAGGAGUUGACACAAAAUUAUAAAUAUAUUAAACAAAUUUAUCUAUUCUAAAGUUGGAGGGAAAUUGGCCUGUACAUUGCUACAGUAAUUUUUUUUUACCCAAUUUCACGUUAUUUACAACAAAGCUAUCAGAUUUGGGUUGGGUUGGAGGGUAAUUUGUUAAAAGUUAGGAGGGUAAUUUUGUGCAUAGGGUUUAGGUGCCCUCCUAUACAUGACCCUUGAUUUUACUUUAUUUACACCACUGCCAUCAAAUAUGUGGCUGAAUUGGAGGGUAUUAUUAAAAGUUAGGAGGGUAGUUUGUUCAAGGGGUGAGGGCGACAUUCGCAGACAGAGAGCGAUGGGAGCCAUGGCCAUUGCACAGAGAGAAAGGGAGUGAUGGGGGAAAUUACAGACAGAAAAGGAAGGGAUGGGGGGGAUUUGAUGGAUGGUCACAGAGAGAGAUUGGGUGAGGGAUGUGAGAGGAGAUUACAGAGAGAUAAAUAAAAGGGAGGGAUCGGGGGAUGUGAGGGAUGGUCAGGGAGAGAAAUAGUGAGGGAGGGAGGGAUGGGGGGGCUGAUUUUCGGUUCCUCCUUCCAGAUUUGUUCCGUAAAAACCUGUUGGGUAGAAUUCAAUUUCCUCCCCCUUUCCCCUGAACGAAAAAUUCGAAACCUACAACUCAAAACUCACUCAUUUGUCGUCCCUCCUUGGCUUUCCGCUUUACUCAUCUCCCGGUGGUUCUCUCUCCAUACGAUUCCAUUUCGGUGAGUUCUUCGUUGCCCUCAUGAUUUCCCACUUUUAUUUUUGGGGCGUCCUUAGUCGUCGUUUUUAUCUGGGUUUACUGCAUUGUUGCUUUUAGUUUCUGGAUUUUUAUUUUUUUGGCACUUGGAUGAAUCGUGGUUAAUAAUUUCACAUCAUGGGAUUUUCGCACUUCUGAUGGAAUUGAGCGCGGGGAUUCGGGGUGGGGUUUUACUGAUAAUUUGUCUUCAUUCAAACGAAGGGUUAAAAUUUAUGAGUAUUAACAAAUUUUGUAAAUUAUUCUUAUACAUUUUAUUGAGGGAUCUAAUCGAUUUCUUUCUGUAGUGGGAUUGAAAUUGGGGCUUUGUGGUACUCUCUCUCGCUCACUCUCUCUCCUAUGUGUAUGAAUUGAGUUCUGCAGUGAGUUUGCAGGUGGGCGCGUUCACUAACUAAGCUUUCAAGGGAACCGAUCAACGGUUUGCUUGCUGGGGGAAUUCGGAGACUACCAGUGUAUGAUUUAGUUAUCAUUAAUUUUUUUACUUAAUUUUAUCCAUAUAUAAUAUGUGGGUAAAUUUAGAGGUCGCACUUGGUGCGAUGGCAAGUUCCUUCGCCCAUGAGCGGUAGGUCUCGGGUUCGAGACUUGGGAGCAGCCUCUCCAUAAAUGGGGGUAAGGCUAGCCGACAUUUACCUCUCCCAGACCCUGCGUAAAGCGGGAGCCUUGUGCACUGGGUACGAUCUUUUAUAAUAUGUGGGUAAAUUUAUACUAAACAAUUGUGAUAAGCCAAUAUGCUAUACGACUUUGAAAGCAUUGAUUUUGUGUUUAGUUUGCAUUUUUGCAUUGUGAAUGUUGAAUUUUGUGUUUAAUUUGGAUUUUUGUGUUUGAAUUUGUAGCAUGAUCUUCCGCUGCAGCAUCCAAAUUUUGCAUUUGUAAAUUGUCAAAGAAAAACGAAGUAUGAGGAAAUUAUAGGAGAUUGUGUCGGCUUUGGCCAUGAAGGGUAUCAGCAGCUUGUUCCCCCAUACAGGUGAUUAAUCGCAGUCUGUUCUAUUUGGAUGAGAAAGUGAUUGAAAAAUAUGAUUUUUUAUUUGUUGGUUGAUUUUGUAUAACUCCGCCGUGUAAGUUUAUCUUACAUUGCCGGUCCCAAGCCCGGAUAAAGGAGGAGGGGGAGGGCGUCAGGUAGUCGACAGCUGGCACUCCAUGAUCACGUCGAAUCCUUAUGAAAAUGAAUCCAGAACGAAAUCGCGCUAAAGCUAGGGCGUCACCCAUAAGUGGCGCGCUGUGUGGCCCGAGCACAGUGAUAAGUGAGCAAGGGUCGUUGUAUCUCCAUCGGCACCCGGAUGCAGUGUUAAAUGAGCAAGGGGCUAUAGAAACUUCUUUUCGAACGACUCCACUCAAAGUUGUUUGGGAGCAUAUGCUCCUAUCAACUUUACACGGGACACACAAAAGAAGUACUUUGAUCCUAUUAGACGGGGAAGGGUGAAGAAGCUAGGACAGAAGGGUAGAGUUCAAGAGAGCAAAAUGCGUUUAGGAACGUGGAAUAUAGGAACCUUGAACGGGAAAAUCUAUGGAAGUAGUAGAAGUUAUGGUGAGGAGAAGGAUAAAUAUUAUGUGCCUACAAGAAACUAAGUGGGUUGGUCGUAAGGCAAAGGAUCUAGAAAACUCAGGGUUUAAACUAUGGUAUUCGGGCACAAAUAGAACGAGAAACGGUGUUGGCAUCAUCGUGGACAAGACCUUGACACAAGAUGUUGUAGAUGUCAAGAGGGUAGGAGAUAGAAUCAUGGCAAUCAAGAUUGUAAUAGGACAAGAACUUAUCAAUGUGAUUAGUGCGUACGCACCUCAAGUAGGGUUGGAUACGAGUUCGAAGGAGAAAUUUUGGGAAGACCUUGGAGACUUGGUGCAAGGAAUUGCUCAGACGGAGAAGUUAUUUAUAGGAGGAGAUUUAAAUGGACACGUGGGCAGGGAGACAGGCAACUAUGGAGGUUUUCAUGGUGGCCAUGGUUUUGGGGAGAGAAACGAGGAUGGGGAAGCUAUCUUGGAUUUUGCAAUGGCAUAUGAUCUCUUCUUAGCCAACACCUUCUUUAAGAAGAGAGAAGAACAUGUGAUCACCUACAAGAGUGGGUCGUCAAAAACACAAAUAGAUUUUCUUCUAAUGAGGAAAGGGGAUCGUAUAACUUGUAAGGAUUGCAAAGUUAUACCAGGAGAGAGCGUGGCUAAUCAACAUCGCUUGUUGGUGAUGGAUGUACAUAUCAAAAGAGUGAGAAAAAAGAACAAGACUUGGAAGUGCCCAAGGACUAGAUGGUGGAAUCUAAAAGAAGAAAAACAAGCCAUUUUCAAAGAGAAAGUAAUCACCCAGUGUGUGUGGGAUAGAGAGGGGGAAGCUAACCAAAUGUGGGAUUCCAUGGCUAGUUGUAUCCGAAAAGUAGCAAAAGAGGUAUUAGGAGAGUCCAAGGGCUUUGCCCCACACCAAAAGGAAUCUUGGUGGUGGAAUGAGGAGGUACAAACAAAGGUGAAGGCUAAGAAGGAAUGUUGUAAAGCCUUAUACAAGGAUAGGACCGAUGAAAAUGGUGAAAGGUAUAGAAAAGCGAAGCAAGAGGCGAAGAAAGCUGUGAGAGAAGCUAAGUUAGCGGCUUAUGACGAUAUGUAUAAGCGACUAGAUACCAAAGAAGGAGAGUUGGAUAUCUAUAAACUAGCUAGAGCAAGGGAAAAGAAGACAAGGGACCUAAACCAAGUGAGGUGCAUCAAGGAUGAGGAUGGAAAGGUUCUUGCUACAGAGAACGCGGUUAAAGACAGAUGGAAAGGUUAUUUUCAUAAUCUUUUCAAUGAAGGACAUGAAAGGAGUGCUUCUUUAGGGGAGUUGAGUAACUCAGAAGAGUGUAGAAACUACUCUUUUUAUCGUAGAAUCCGGAAGGAAGAAGUGGUUGUAGCUUUGAAGAAGAUGAAGCAUAGAAAAGCAGUAGGCCCAGACGAUAUACCAAUCGAAGUGUGGAAAGUUUUGGGAGAGACAGGUAUAACAUGGCUCACUGACCUUUUCAAUAGGAUUUUGAAAACGAAGAAGAUGCCAAAUGAGUGGCGAACGAGCACUUUGGUGCCUAUCUACAAGAAUAAGGGCGAUGUACAAAAUUGCAUGAACUAUAGGGGUAUUAAGCUAAUGAGUCAUACAAUGAAGCUCUGGGAGAGAGUCAUUGAGCAUAGAUUGAGGCAAGAGACACGGGUUUCGGACAACCAAUUCGGGUUCAUGCCAGGGCGCUCAACCAUGGAGGCAAUCUAUCUCUUACGAAGAUUGAUGGAAAGAUAUAGAGAUGGGAAAAAGGAUUUACACAUGGUCUUUAUAGAUUUGGAAAAAGCGUAUGAUAGGGUCCCAAGAGACAUUCUUUGGAGGAUUUUAGAGAAGAAAGGAGUACGAGUAGCAUAUAUCCAAGCUAUACAGGAUAUGUAUGAAGGAGCAAAGACUGCCGUAAGAACUCAUGAAGGACAAACCGAAAGCUUUCCCAUAACUGUAGGAUUACAUCAAGGCUCAUCCUUAAGUCCUUACCUUUUUGCGUUGGUAAUGGAUGAGUUAACAGGACAUAUUCAAGAUGAUAUUCCUUGGUGUAUGCUUUUCGCAGACGAUAUAGUGUUGAUAGAUGAAACUCAGGAAGGGGUAAAUGCAAAGCUUAACCUUUGGAGAGAAGUGUUGGAAUCUAAAGGUCUUCGCCUAAGCCGAUCAAAGACAGAAUAUAUGGAGUGCAAGUUCAGUGCAAAUGGAGGCCAAAACGAGUUAGGGGUGAGGAUCGGAGAUCAAGAAAAUACCAAAGAGCGACCGUUUUCGUUACCUAGGAUCUAUCUUGCAAAAGAACGGAGAAUUAGAUGGAGAUCUCAACCAUAGAAUACAAGCUGGAUGGAUGAAGUGGAAGAGUGCAUCCGGCGUGUUGUGUGACCGCCGUAUGCCACUGAAGCUCAAGGGAAAAUUUUAUAGGACGGCAAUAAGGCCGGCGAUGCUGUAUGGCACAGAAUGUUGGGCGGUGAAGCAUCAACACGUACACAAAAUGGGUGUAGCGGAGAUGAGGAUGCUUCGUUGGAUGUGUGGGCACACGAGAAAGGAUAAGAUUAGGAAUGAGGAUAUCCGGGGUAAAGUAGGAGUAGCCGAAAUUGAAGGAAAGAUGAGAGAAAAUCGGUUACGGUGGUUUGGACAUGUGCAAAGAAGGCCUACUGACGCUCCGAUUAGAAGAUGCGACUAUGGGACAGAGGUUCAGGGCCGAAGGGGUAGAGGAAGACCUAGGAAAACUUUGGAAGAGACCCUAAGAAAAGACUUAGAGUACUUGGAUCUAACGGAGGACAUGACACAGGACAGAACACAAUGGCGUUCUAAGAUUCAUAUAGCCGAUCCCACUCAGUGACUUGGAUUUUCCAAGUCUCCAACCGAGAAGUUUUCCUCACUCGGGAAAUUAAGGGAACACUACCUCAACCUACAUGCUCCACUCACAAAGCUUCAACAUACAAGCUUCAACAAAAGAAAAUUCAAAGAACUUAGCGAAGAAGGCUUUGGUGUAUUUAACACAAUACGUUGAAAUGAAGGAAAGCUUAUUUAUUGAUAUCCCCGAUAAGUUACAAAUAUGUACAUAUACUUGAGUCAAAAUAAACAAACAAGAGGGAGCCUUCACAAAGGUUGCUUAGGAGAAGUCUCAGCAGUCGGUAGAGCCCCAGAAAGAGAAGGCACCGGAGGGGGAUCAUUCGGAGCCUCAGUACUGGACAGAACCCUAGAAGGAGGAGGCAUCAGAGGUUGAUCAUUUGGAGCUUCAUUACGCGGUACAGCCCCAGAAGACGAAGGCAAUAAAUGCCUUUGGAACAAACCCACAAAUCUCUGAUGAUCAAGUAAAACCUGACCAUCAGAUUCCUUCAUCUGGUCAAGCUUCCUCUUCAUGUUUGUAGCAUAGUCAUGUGCGAGCCGGUGCAACUGUUUAUUCUCAUGCUUGAGCCCUCUAAUCUCCUGUUUGAGACUCAUCACUUCAGCCGCCAAUGAUUCAACUUGGCGGGUUCGAGCAAAUAGGCGUUGGGCCAUAUUAGACACAGAACCUGCACACUGAACACUGAGAGCCAGAGAAUCCUUAACAGCCAACUCAUCAGACCGUUUGGAAAGUAGUCUGUUAUCUUUGGGAGUGAGAAGGUUCCUGGCCACUACCGCAGCGGUCAUAUCAUUCUUCAUCACGGAAUCCCCAACGGUAAGAGGACCAGUAGGGGAGACGAAGGAUGGGCGCCAUAUGUUGUCUGGAGAAGGCGGGGCUGCCUCUUCAACAAGGUUCAAGUCAAAACGACGGUCGGAGGGGCCAGACAUUUUCAAAGGUGUUGAAGAGAGAAGAGGUCGGACAAAUCAAGAUCUUAGAAGUGCAAGAAUGGAGCUUCUACUGGUGGAUAUUCAAGUGUGCUUUGGAACUUAAUGUCAGCCCCUAUAAAAAUCUGCACUCGACGAAGCUUCAGAAAUCGAAGAGGCGCCUGCUCAGAAAUCGAAGAGGCGUUUGCUUUCUCAAAAGCUGGGCUGCUCAGAGACCACGAGGGUCGAUCUCAGAAAUCGAAGAGGCGUUUGCUUUCUCAAAAGCUGGGCUGCUCAAAGACCACGAAGGCCGAUCUCAGAAAUCGAAGAGGCUUGCUUUCUCAAAAGCUGGGCUGCUCAGAGACCACGAGGGCCGAUCUCAGAAAUCGAAGAGGCACCUACUUUUCCAGCCUUGUCAGCACCUGUCACACGCACACUCAGCUUUGCGGAAAUUAUGGGCAUUCUGUCGAAGAUUUCUGGCGAAGUAGAAAGCACAUGAAUCGUACUGUUCAAUCACCCACUUCCCACACGCAACAGUAGCUCAUGGGUACCACAGAUAACUUUGCCAAAGUUCUCUGACAAAGUUGAGACACGUGAAGCUUGCAGCUCCCACUACAUCGCUCUGACCAAGAAGGGUAAAAGAAUUAGCAAAGAAACAACACUAACAAAGUUUAGACACAUAAAUUUUGAAGGUCUAGCUACCAUAUUAUUACCCACAAGGGUAAAGGAACAGUACCACUGCUGGAUAAUUGGAAAGUCCCGGUGUGUCAACCUCUGUGCUUCGUGGCAAGGUAGACUAGCAAACAUGCCCAACCUUUACUCACAUUCGAGAAAACACUCCCAACAAGAUUGCUUGCUCCAAAAUCGAAGAGGCACCGCCCUCCGAAUCUCGAGAGCCAGACUCCCAACAUGAUUACUUUCUCAAAAAUCGAAGAGAGGGUAAAGGAACAGUACCACUGCUGGAUAAUUGGAAAGUCCCUGUGUGUCAACCUCUGUGCUUCGUGGCAAGGUAGACUAGCAAACAUGCCCAACCUUUACUCACAUUCGAGAAAACACUCCCAACAAGAUUGCUUGCUCCAAAAUCGAAGAGGCACCGCCCCUCCGAAUCUCGAGAGCCAGACUCCCAACAUGAUUACUUUCUCAAAAAUCGAAGAGAGGGUAAAGGAACAGUACCACUGCUGGAUAAUUGGAAAGUCCCUGUGUGUCAACCUCUGUGCUUCGUGGCAAGGUAGACUAGCAAACAUGCCCAACCUUUACUCACAUUCGAGAAAACACUCCCAACAAGAUUGCUUGCUCCAAAAUCGAAGAGGCACCGCCCUCCGAAUCUCGAGAGCCAGACUCCCAACAUGAUUACUUUCUCAAAAAAUCGAAGAGACACCGCUCUCCGAAUCUCGAGAGCCAGACCCCCAGCAGGAUUGCUUUCUCAAAAAUCGAAGAGGCAUCGUUCUCCGAAUCUCGAGAGCCAGAUCCCCGACAGGAUUGCUUGUUCGAAAACCGAAGAGGCACCACUUUCCCAACUUCAAGAGCUGGAUCUCCUUGGAUAAAGCUUGUCUGUAAUCUUCACACGCAACAUCAGCUUUCCAGAUACCACAGACCACUUUUUCAAAGUGCUCUGACAGAGUUAAAACAUGUGAAGCUGGCAGCUCCCACUACCGUGCUAUGACCAAGCAGGGUAAAGGAAUAGCAUUAUUACUUGAUGUUAGGGAGACUCCUAUAUAUGUCGACCUCCAUCCCCAACGGACAGGCAGACCUGCAAAAAUGCUCAACCCUUCCUCUUAUCUGAGAGGGCACUCCCAACGAAGCCUUUCGAAAUAUUCAGCUUUCUUUCCCCCCGAUAAUACCUCUGUAAACAAGCUAUACUAGAGCAAGAAUAUCUCAUAUCAUCAGGGUUAAAAGCAAGAGUAUCCCAUAUCAUGCUUUUUCCCUGUCUUUUCCUUUGGCCUUGUUCUUACCUGCAAGACAAGGAGAAAGAGAGCAAUCAGUCAGCACUUGGAAUCAAGCUUCCAGCCAGGAACUGACUGCCUGGAACCCCUUACCUGAUUACUUACCUGGCAUUGCUCUCGAGUACUCAUCUUCAACAUCUUAUGCUUCCAGGGAAGAUACCGCAUCUGCCUGAGGAACAGAUAGGGCAAGUGAGAAGGAUACAAGGAAGCAUGUGGAGACAAGCGUAACAGCACACGUGCCGAUACAUCCAUUACUCUGUCAAAAGCAAAAGUAUCCCAUAUCAGCAGGGUCGAACGUACUCUAGAUUUGAUGGACUUGUUUUGACCCUCAAAUUCUUCAGUCGGCCUUAUACUCUGGAGGAAACCAGAAAACCCUCCAGCCCAGUUCAAGAAUAAGCCUGUGGAAAGUUACUUCUUCAAAAGCAAAAGUAUCCCAUAUCAUCUCUUCUCAUUUUUCUUCUCUUUAUCCUUCAUGCUGCCUGCAAGAUAGGGAGAAUGUGAACAAUCAGCCGGAGCUCUGAUUGCUUACCUUGUCUGUCACCUCUUUCAGCAGAUCCCCUAGCUCGGCGACUUGGGGGACUCCUACUACAUGGUUUGUAUCGCGCUUGACCAAGCCUGAAACUACAAGUAAGCUUCAAGUGACAAUUGAUACAUUACCUUGUGCAUCUCCACCAGUUACAGAUACCACCCCUGGAUGGAGGAAGAGUACUUCCAGAGAAGAUGCCACAUCUACCUAUGAGACAGAUAAGGAAAGUCAAGACGAUACCACACUCCGGUACUUAGAAGUUUCGUGGUUACGAGAUCAUUCUCCCACAAUAUUUCCUAAUGUCAUUUGUACUAAAUCAUUCACUUGUACUCACUAAAGGAGAGCUUGAACCUAUGUACUUGUGUAAACCCUUCACAAUUAAUGAGAACUCCUCUAUUCCGUGGACGUAGCCAAUCUGGGUGAACCACGUACAUCUUGUGUUUGCUUUCCUAUCUCUAUCCAUUUAUAUACUUAUCCACACACUAAUGACCGGAGCAAUCUAGCGAAGAUCACAAAAAAGUGACCGUUUUCGCUACCUAGGAUCUAUCUUGCAAGAGAACGGAGAAUUAGAUGGAGAUCUCAACCAUAGAAUACAAGCUGGAUGGAUGAAGUGUAAGAGUGCAUCCGGCGUGUUGUGUGACCGUCGUAGGCCACUGAAGCUCAAGGGAAAAUUUUAUAGGACGGCAAUAAGGCCAGCGAUGUUGUAUGGCACAGAAUGUUGGGCGGUGAAGCAUCAACACGUACACAAAAUGGGUGUAGCGGAGAUGAGGAUGCUUCGUGGGAUGUAUGGGCACACGAGAAAUGAUAAGAUUGGGAAUGAGGAUAUCCGAGGUAAAGUAGGAGUAGCCAAAAUUGAAGGAAAUAUGAGAGAAAAUCGGUUCUGGUGGUUUGGACAUAUGCAAAGAAGGCCUACUGACGCUCCGGUUCGAAAAUGUGACUACUGGACAGAGGUUCAGGACCGAAGGGGUAGAGGAAGACCUAGAAAAACUUUGGAAGAGACCCUAAGAAAAGACUUGAGUACUUGGAUCUAACGGAGGACAUGACACAAAACCGAGCGCAAUGGCGUUCUAGGAUUCAUAUAGCCGACCCCACUUAGUGGGAAAAGGCUUUGUUGUUGUUGUUGUUGGUUGAUUUUGUAUGGACGAUGUAUUAAUUUUUUUUUUUUUUUGGGAUUUUGUGUAUUGGGUAUUGUGUAGAACCAGCAAUGCAGGAUCUGAUCAGUCACGCCCGAAAAGGGGUUUGUUUCUCAAAUCACAUUAAUUAAUUAGAUUAUUAAUGUGCGUUGGAAGGCUCUUCAAUAUGAUUUCUAAUUUCUCCUUUCCAGCAUUCUCUUUUUGGUUUUUGGAGUAUGUAUGUGAUUUGUAUUUGAUUAUAGAAUAAAAAUUAAUAAAACACGAGAUGCAGCAAUUAAUUUGCAUCCUUAUGACAACACAUAUAUGAAAGUGCAUUCAAUUUCAAUGUGCGAAUGUGUGACAGGACAGGAUGUGCCUGCCUGCUGGUGGUGGUAUGCUUGCUGUUGUUUCUUGCGUUGUUAAUUUUUUGUGUGUUGAUUUGAUUAACAAUUCAAGCGUAUCUUAUUUUUUUUGUGUUGGUUAGCAGCCAGUUUUAUGGCCCCGAUCUAGUGAUGCUUCUCAGUGACUGGUAAUUGCAGUUCAUUGCCACCAGUUGGUCAGCUACCUGCUCUGAAAGAGCUCUACGUAGAAGGGAUGAAAGUUGUUAAGAGUGUUGGUGUUGAGUUGUACGGGGGAAAUCAACCAUUUCAAUGUUUAGAGAAGGUAAAGUUUCGGGAGAUGCCAGAGUGGGAGGAAUGGCAGCCUAGUCCAAGUGGAUGUGAAAGUCCAGACUUUCCUCAUCUUAAGGAGCUGAGGUUAUCCGAAUGUCCGAAGCUGAGAGGAAACUUGCCCACUCAUCUUCCCUCCUUGAAAACACUUUAUGUGAACAAGUGUGAGGUUCUACAUAAAAACAGGGCCAGUAAUACCCUGAACGUGGAAUCCUUACGAGGAUCUCUUGAAAAACUGACAAUAAAUGGAUGCCCGGGUCUCUCAUUGUUACUAGAGUCGAUGGAGACGCUGCCGUCGCUUCAGAAGCUUGAUAUUGAUAGUGUUGGUGGGAAAGAGUUGUUGGUGCAAAUGGUGCACAACAGCAAUCGUCUUCAAAGUUUUGACUUUAUAUAAAUGUUCCUCACCCUUGUCGUUCCCUACAAAUGGUCUGCCCACCACGCUGACGUCACCGAGCAUAACAGAUUGCAAGAAAUUAGAAUUCCUAUCACGUGAGAUGAUGGCCAAAUUGACUUCCCUUCAGUCUUUGCGUCUAUCCAACAGCUGUGAAUGCAAAGGCUUGAGUAAUUUUUGUGAGUCUGCUGUUUGGUUUUUUUUUCUUCAUUUUAGAGAUUUUUCUACUGUUUGGUUUUUGGGUUUUGUCUAAUUUUUGUGGUCUGCUUUAUAGAUUGUUCUCUUUGGAAGCUUCUUUCCAGCCUUGACCUUCUUCUUGCCUGGUGCCUUCUCAUUGAGUAUUGGAGGAGCAUUAAAACACAGGUGUGUGUGUUUUGUCGAUGUAAGAGAUGAACGACAUAAAAACAUCCGUCUUUGUAUUUUUUUGUGCUUUUUCUAACCCAUCAAUUUCUUUUGAGUCAACCAAAUAGUCCCAAAUUGCAACUUAUGUUGUGAGGUAUUAUUGUCUAAAAUUAAGUAUGCAUGUAUAUUUUAUGUUUGUGCGCGCGCACACCUCCGCAUGGUGUUAAUCUCUGUGGGUCAUCUAUGUAUAUGUAGACAUAUCUAUAUGUGUAUGUGUGGAAUGCAACAUAUCGGAUUUAGGUUAUACUGUGCAUAGUUUUAUUGCCUGUUAUUAUCUACGAUAUCACUAUGCCAUUUCUAUGCAGGCUCUGAAAGUUAUCCAUGAGCUUUAUAAGCACUUACCAUAAUUUAAGCAGUCUGUUUUGGGUUCUUUUUCAUUAGGUCAUUAGCUACAGAUUAAUGGAGAAACGAGGACCAUGCAACUGAUUUGGGUUCUUUUUCUAAUUUUCUGAUUUUGGGGUUUUGCAGGGAGUACUGAUGUACUGAUUUUCUGGGAUUUUUUUUGUCCUUGCAGGAUUUUUGGUCUUUGGAAUGGGUAUGUGUUGUUUUUAACGUUUCAGUUCUAGCUUGUUCCGUUCUUCGUUGCUUCGUGAUUCUCAUUUUUUAGUGUUGGGUGAUGGAAAUUUGUUCAAGUAGUUGGUAGUUUUUUUAGAAAGUUGGCAUUUUUAGUUAUAUUUUCUGUUUAAUCCUAAAUGUUAGACUGGAAAAUCAUUGAAAUGACGGUUUUUUAAAAACUCAUAAUUUUUUUGUUCUGGGAGUUAAAAGCAUCUUUUCCAGAUUGGUUAUAAGGGUUAUGUUCUCUUCAAUUGGUUCACCUAAUUUUGAUUAGUUUUAAGUUUUGUCCUUUUAAGUUUUGUCUUUUAAGUUUUGUUCUUUAAGUUGUCUUUUAAGUUUGUUCUCUAAGUUUUGUCUUUUAAGUUUUAUCUUCUGUGCUGUAAUGAGAGAUUUCUGUUGGCCUUUCGGAUUUUGGCAUGGGAAAGUUCACUUAUUUGUCUAAUUAGAUUGUGUAUGCCUUCGAUUCUUUAUUUAAUUGUUCUGUUUGUGUUCAGGUGUGAUGAUCUAAAUUUCAUAUGUUUGGAAUUAUUCACUUAACACCAAUUUGUUACAUUCAGAUCUCCACCCCACAUUUCACUAGUUCAAAUUCCAUAGAAGUCGGUUACUGCAGAUUGCGUCUACAAUUAGAUCAGAGAUCAACUGCUCUUUUGUUAUCCUGCAGAAGAUUGCUUUUGGGAAGGAUCUGAAGUAGUUUCUUUCUGUAAGUUUAUUCCCAUGUAGCUCUGUCUUUUCUAAUUGAUGGUGUUGAUAUUACACUGUAAUUCAUGAUGAUGAUUUAAUUGUUUAUUGAUUUGUAAUUGUUUGUGAAUAAUGUGGCAUAUAUGACUUGCAAUAUGUGUUUGUAUGAAAGGGAUGACAUAUUAUGUUGCUGACUUAAUUGUUUAUGUUUUUCAUAUUUGCGAAUGGUGUUAUGAUCAAUUAGGUGAUUGCUGACCUGUGACUUUGUUUGGAGCUCAAAUUUUGUGAGCAUUACAUUGGAUUGUUUUGAUGUUGUUUUGGUUGACAAUGCAGGGAUAGGAGAAACAAAGAGGAUGACACUUAUAACUGCCCUUCCCCAUCGGCCGUCUUCAAAUUUGGAUCACAAGAAGGGAGCAACAUAGGUGUUUUCCUUCUUCAUUUAGAUAUGGUUAGUGUAAAUAAUUGGACAAAAGAGCCAAACAAACCCUGUUCUCUCAAAUGGAGUCGAUGAUGUGGUCGAUGGCCACCAGCCCCAACUCAAGAGUUUGGCCUUCAUAUAAUUGGAUUGUAGUAUAAUUUUAUUUUGGUUCAUUUCUUUUUUCCUUUAUAUAAGUGCAGGUGUUGUGAUGUUUUGAAUAAAGGGUGAUGAAAGGUGGUUCACACACUUCCUCCUUACUUAAAGCAAGUGGAGAUGAUGGGUUGUAUAAAAAGAAAAACUUGCCAGGUACUUCGAUUUUCUAUUUUAUUAAUUAUUGUUUGGUUUUCCAAAUGUUGUAUUCACAAAGAGAGACCAAUGAUGUCUUUGAGAAACAAGUUUCUUUGUCUACAUUGCGAGAAUUUGCAGUUUGCAACUUUCAUUGGUUAUUAUAUUUGAUUGAGUUAAACUUGGAUUUCUGGAUUUUGACUUUUUCGUUUGUUUCUUUGUUGUAGAGUUGGCUUCAUUUCAUUCCAGUAACUCUAUUCCAGUAACUCUCUAAAAUAGGGCCAAGAACUCACUAAAUAGGUAGUCAAGAGGAAUUCAGUUUUGCCUUCAAUUUUUGCCUUCUGUUUACAUUCUUCCUGGAUGCACUCUCACCGCUUCUCUCGCUUACCACUUUUGUCUCACUCACCGCUUCAUCUCUUCUGUUGCUUACAAGGUCGUGUCAUAUAUUUUUUUAAUUUUUGUGUGUUUAAUUUAUUGAAUAUUUGAAAAAAGAGAUAAAAUUUUCAAUUUACAAUUACUGAUAUGAUGUUUGUUUUGAAAAUCAUUAAGGUGAAUGGAGAGAUUUACAACCAUGAAGAGCUGAGGAGCCGUUUGCCAAAUCAGAUUUAUAAGGUCUCAUCAAUUAUAAAUAAACGACUUUUCAUUCCCAAUGACCUUUAUCGUUUUUCUUAAUGGGUUAGCUGAACAUGAGGUAGAUGCUGACUUUAUAAAAUAUGAGAAUGUUUUAGGAUUUCAUUCUAAUUUUUUGGCUGUUUGAUUACUUUGCUUUUCGUAAUUUGUUUUGCUUAUCGUCAAUUGGAUGGGACAACAUAUUUUUGUAACCAGUUUGUACUUUUUUUUUUUGUGGAAACUAACCAGUAUGUACUUUUACCAUCUCGGUUUUGAUGGAAUUGGAGCUUUCAGUAAUGGGUUCUGAGGGAAUUGGAGUUUUGAGUAAUGGGUUUUUUAACAACUAUAGUAUCAUUUGUGAUUCUUUUAUUUAUAAGAUAUUAUAUAGGAAACUGUUAUUAGCACUCUAAUAAUCUUAUUCUACACUCGCGACAAGUGUAUUUUUCUUUCUAAUUAUGGAAAGUUUGGAGUGCAAAAUGAGAAUUUUGGAGUGCCAAUAACAAUUCCCUAUUAUAUAUAGCUCUACUAAGAAGGCGACUGUAUAUGUCUUCAUCCUGUUAAAUUGUAUAUGGCUCUUGAUGUCGGCUGAAUUAAAUCAAAAUGAAAACCAAGCUGCUGAUCUUACCAGCCCAUAUCACUUAUCACUUAUUUAAAUUAUUUGAAGAUGCAUACGUGGAUUGGUGAUUUUGUUGGAUUCACUUAGCUCAAAUAUAUGUUAUCUGAGUCGCUACAUUUGAGAAUGUGAUUCUGUUCCUACCACCAUUUUGCCCACUUUUUGUGGAAAUUAUUCAUUCCUGUUGUGAAUAAUAUCCCCGGCAGCGAAGUGCGGGCGCAUUUUCUAGUUUAAGUUAAAUCACACAAUGGGUCAUCAAUAAUGACAAACUCGUCAUUUAUGCGAGUCAAACAUGAGACCACCUACCUACUAGUUUAGUGGAAUACCACAAGUGACAUGUUGAUACCUUUAAAUCUCAUAUAAUGGAUUGCAGAAUUAGGAUAUACCUAGUCUAAUUUAGUCAGUGCGUGAACCCGAACAAUUAACCAGGGUUUUAUUCUUGCUUGAAUGUUUGUAAUAUGUUCCUAGUUUGACAAGGCAAUUAUAUUUCCGACUACAAAAGUUAUUAAUUUAGUCGAGAAUUGACGCACCUGAAAUGGUGUGAGGAAAACAUGUAGACACAUCAGACGCGGUCCAUCCUGAGCAUUGUGUAUUAAGGAUAAAGCUCAAAGCCAUACAUGAGGGCAUUGUGUAUGUCUUUAUAAGAGAAGUUGCUGUAGUCCUCAACGUGGCCGGCAGCCAAACUCAUCCACUCUACACUGCAACCCUCAUCCAAAUCCCAUGCUUCCAACCUGCCCCCGACAUAGUCAUCGACCAUGACAUAGCUAUACGUUUUUGGUUGACUCGAAGAAGAAGAAGAAGAAGAAGUAUUAUUCAAGCAUGGAGCAGUGUCCACGUACAGAGAAGAAUUCGAUGGAUUCGAACACUUCAAGUAAUAUAUAGAUAGAGAAUUGAUGUCAUAGGUGGGCCAAUAUAGAGAAUCGAUGUCCUCGAUGGGCGGAAUAUUUUGAGACAUGGAAGAGCAAUUGUUGUUGUCAAGCCCAGGAUCUAGAAGUCGGAUUGUUUUGUUAAUGUAGUUGAUUGCCUGGACAUAGUAUUUUCCGGAAGAAGGUAGGUCUAGUACUGUAAUGUUGCUCUCACAGGACAGAGUAAACCUUACGUCGCCACAGUACUUUGGAUCAUCGUUCAGUCGAAAAGGAUGGCUUAUGUUGUGGAUAUGGCCGCAGGAUGAAGUGCAGGACUUGGCACUACUGUUGUCAGCGUUACAAGUUUCACUGCAAAAGCAAAGAAGAAGAAAGGCUAAACUUAAGGUGAAGGACCUGGUUCCACUGAUUUCCAUUGCUCUGAGAGAGAGAGAGAGAGAGAGAGGGCACUAUAGCUUAAACACCAAGGAGUUAUAUAAUAUGGGAGGGGUUAAAGCACCUCGCUUAAAGUUGCAGUAAGCCCGUCAAAUAUCCUAGGGAAAAGUCGGUCAAUGCUGUCCUAUAGAGAAAAGUCGGCCUUGAUGUUUGACACGGUCACACUCUCUCUCUCUCUCUCUCUCUCUCUCAUUGACGAGGGACACUGUAAUUGAAAAAAAAAAUUGUUAUUCAGAGAUAGAUCUUGAAAUUCUUAUUUUAUAUAAAAAAAAGGGGUAUUUAGAUUUUAGGACCUAUAUAAGAUAAUUUUUAGAUUAUAAGGUUUCAAAAUCUUAUUUUAGUCCCUAAUUUAAUAUUCAUCGCCACAUCAUAUUAUAAGAUACCUCUAUUACCUACCAUAUUUACAAACUUUGCCAUUUAAAUUGUCAACCUAUUCUAUAAUUAAGGCUUAAAUAUAUUCCGUUAAUAAACCAUUCGUCAAUAAGAUAAAUCCAACUAUGGUAAAUUAUACUAAUUUAUACUUGCUGACAAACAAAUUAAGUCUAUAGUAAUUUUAGGUCAGUCACCUUAAGAAGUCGAAGAUGAAAAAAUCAAAUACAAAACAAUAGGUUAAAAAAAUUAAAUAAUAACCCUUAAUAUAUAUAUAUAUAUAUAUAUAUAUAUAUAUCACAAAAAAAAAGUAUAACAACUCCUUAUUGUCUAUAUAUAGGAAUUGCAUAAGUGUCGGUACAUAUGUGUAGGUACAUACAUGCACAUAGGUACGGAAGUAUCGGUAUGGAAGUGCCGGUACAUACGUACACAUAGGUACGAAAAUAUUGAUACGUUAGCAUCGGUACAAAAGUAUCGGUGCGGAAGUGUCGAUACUUAUGUACAUAUAUAUAGGUACGCAAAUAUUGAUACAUAAACAUCAAAAGAAAAAAUCGGUAGAUUCGAUGUAUGAGAAGGUAAAAAUAAAUCAUCAACACUAGAAAAAAAUGAUAAAAGUAAAUCAUGCACUAUUAGAUGCAUAAGAAGAAGAAAUAUUAGAUGUGGAUGGUGGCCCUAGCCCUCUCUUCUAACACGGUUGAAGAUAAUUUUUUGGGUUGGACAAAAAGUUUCAUUUUUAAGGAGAACCAUUUAUGUUAGCAAUAAAACUGAAAAGUUAUAAAUAAAAUAAAUAUAAGACAUUAUAAUUCACUCAAGGAUAAUAUAGGAAGAAAAAAAUUACAUAAAAGGAAUUAACUCUGACAUUAAAUAUAAAUGCUGACUUGGACAUAAGUCAAAGGACUAUAAUUAGUUUUUUAUCUUGGUUAAGGUUUUAGUCUAAAGAUAAUCUUUUUCAAGGAUUAAUAUCUAGUUUCCUAUAAAAAAAAACACCUAAUAUUAAUCAUUCAAAUGAAAUUGUUAAAAUUAAGUAUAAAUAAUACAUAAUGAAAACUGAACACAUACAAUCAACGGUCACGACCAUGAAAUCCUCCGGAUCCUCAGAAAAAAAUCCGACGAUGAUCUUUUUCUGUGUAAAAUAAUUUGAGGGUAUAAUACUGGAUGUGCGAUUAAACCGAAGAACCCACCCACCUCCAUCUUCUCUGACCAACUUGAACCCAGCCACUACUACAUGUCAUCCCGACAACCCACUCUCAGCUUCCCAAACCGCCAUUUUUCACCCAAUGGAACAUUUAAAGAAAAAAUCCAUCUGCAAAUCGAAAACCACCGAAAAAAAUUAAAUCAGAUACAUUGGAAAAAACGCAAAACUCAAUGGAACAACACUGGCGUGGAAGAGAAAAAAAGCAGAAGGUGAGAAUGGAGAGAAAGAAGCGAACGGAAAGAAAAAGCAAAGAAGAGGUUGGAAACGGAACAACAGAAGAACAAUAGAAGAACAGAAAUGGGUAUGGGAAACGGAACAACAGAACAAAAAGCAGGCGGUGUAUAGAGCAAGAAAAGCAAACCUCACGAUGACCAACACGUGCUAAGAGAGGCCCCGGUUCACUGUGUAUCACAUUUUUUAAUAUUUUUUUUGGUCUUCCCACCGGCUAUACAUGGGAUUCCAAAAUUAAGAAGGUAUAAAUUUUUAUUGUUUCUUGUGCCACAAACCAUGUGGCCCAGUCUUAAUCACAUUUUUUAAAUAUUUUUUUUGCUCUUCCCAUCAGCAGUACAUGGGUUAAAAAAAUUAGGAAAGUAUAAAUUUUUAUUGUUUGUUGUGUCACAAACCACGUUGCCCGGUUUUAAUCACAUUUUUUUAAUAUUUUUUUGUCUGCCCACCAGCUAGGUUUAAAGAAUUAAAAAAGGACUAAAAGAAAGACUCCACAGAUGGAGGAACAUGGGAAUAGAAAGGGCAAAUUUGGGAUUUUACUGUACAAAAAAGACAAAAAGUAACUGCUGAAGACUAACUUGAGGGGCAUUUUGGUCUGCACACUGCCCUAGAACAGUAACCAUCGGAUUGGGUUUUAGUAUAUAUAGAAUAUGUUUAGAUAAGGACAAUAAACUUAGAAUUUUGCCAAAAGUCAGAAUUUAUAAAUUGAUACAAUCAAUUCAUUUGUUUGGAUUCAUAAACAUAGAAAUUUAGACUUUCCGCGUGAGAAAAAACUUGGAAUUUGGGACCUUCAAUUCUCAUGUUUAAAUUUCAUGUAAAUAGGUGUCAUUUAUAAAUUUCAGUAAGUGAGAGUUUAAAAAUAACAAACAUGUAUUCAAAUUUCAUUCCUCCUUUGGUUAACCAAAAAAGAAAAUUUAUAAAUUCUAGAAAAUAAAAUUUCUUUAUUUUAAUUUCUGUUAUUUUAAAAUUCUUAGGGCUUGUUUGGUAUUCUACUUGAAUCCAACUUUUUAAACUAAAAAAUAAUUUUCAAGUUUUAGGCCUUAAAAACUUAUUUGGUAGAACUAUUUAAAAAAACUGAACUUAAGACUAACUAAAAAAUAUAAUAUAUUAUCUAAAAACACAAAAAAUGAGUUUUUAGAAUUUUUAAACUUAAAUUCACUCAUUUCUUUUCUCUCCCUCCUCCCCUCUCACUCCAAAUCUCUCUCUCUCUCUCUCUUUUCUUCUUUCUCUCUCCCCUUCUCUUUUUUUUAACCUUUUUUUGUCUCUCAUCUAAUCCGCUCUCUUCAUUUUCUCGGUUCUUUCUCUCACUCAUAUUCCUCUCUAUCUCCUCCAAUUCUCUCUCUUCAUUCUUUUUCAACCAAUAAUUUCUUACUUUUUUCCUCUUCUCUCCUCUUGAUUCUCUCUCUUCAUUCUUUUUCAACCAAUCAUUUUUUACUUUUUUUCCUUCUCUCCUCUUUCUCCCUCGACUUCCUCUUUUUGGAUCUCUUUGUUCAGUUUGAGCUGUAAGAUUUAAAAUUAUUUUAAAUCGUAUACCAAACAAGUUUUUGAGUCUUAAAGAAAAUUGUUUUUCAAAAAAUGUUCUUAAGAAAUGUUUUGAGAAAUGAUAAAAAAUUUCAAAUAAGAUACCAAACAAGCCCUUAAUAAUCUUAAAUUUUCCCAUCCAAACAAAAAAUUUUCUUGUCAUAGAACUUUCAAUUGGAAUCAAAGAAGACAAUCUUUUCACAACUAAUUAUUCUCACCAAAAGCAAUUUUUAUUUUAAAGCAAUCAAUACCAAACUGCAAAAGCAAAGUAGGAAGGCUAAAAUUAAGGUGAAGAACCUGCUUCCACUAAUUUCCUUAGGAGGGAGAGAGAGAGGGGGAGAGAGAACCAAGCGAGCGAGCAGAGAGAGAAAACACCAAGUAGUAUUCUAAUGUUGGUGGGGUUAAGUCACCUUCCGUGAAGUUGCAGUAAGGACUUCUAUCCCAGAGAAAAGUCAGUAAAUGAUGUUGACACAGUCAACGACAAAGACAGAAUUGUGUAACCAUAAUUCUCUCUCUAUCUCUUUUUCAUUAUCGGAUGACAGUGUAACACUACUACGUAUAUAUCUCUGCUCAAUUAUUGAAAAGAAAAAUCCAUGUGCAUUAUUUUUAUUAUUAUUAUCUCAGAAAUGCAGAAAUUGAUCAUCUCUUCCUUUUGCAUAUUGAUACUGGUUUUCUUCAAACUAGUUGAAGCAAGUCAAUAUGUGUGCGCGAAAUCCAACUGUAGCAAUGAUCAAAGCGGGGCUAUCCAUUUCCCAUUAAACAUCAGGCGCACACAUCAUUGUGGUAAUUCUGGGCUUGAAUGCAAUGGGAGAUAUGAACAGCAAAUACUAAUAAAAUUAUUUGUCAAAGACAUAGAUUACAAGCGUCAGGAAAUCCAAGUCUAUUCCCCAAGUAACUGCCUGCUGCUAAAGCAUGUUGAAAUCCCAAACAUGCCACCCUCUCCCUUCAACGUGUCAGUCGAUGACUACAUGAGUAACCUUACCUUAUUCAGUUGUCCUACUUCUUUUGCAAGACGAGAUACGGAUGUGUAUCAAGUCCCCUGCCUCGGCGACCGUGGCAAGAGAACUUAUGCCAUUUAUUCUGAUUAUGGUUUUAGAACUCUCUUCCGGAAUCUACAAUCUUGUACAAAAAUGUAUGAUGUUUUAUCAGUUCCAAUACCCUCUGAAUAUUAUGUUCUUCGUUUCAAAUGGUCUAUACCAAAUUGCAGAAAAUGUGGAGAGGGAAAGAGGUGUGAAUGGCAGAACAAUGAAAUUAAAUGUAUUCAAUGGAGGAAACCAAGUAAGGAUAACAUAUGUAUUCAUUGCUAGUUUUAAACAUCUUUACAUUUGUUUCUCAGUAAUUAUUGUUUAAAACAUGUCCAAUCCAUUUUUACUAUGAAUAUUAACUGACAGUCUCAUUUGAAUUUGCCUUUAUCUUUUACAGGCAACACAUGGAAAUUAGUGGUCACAGGGGGAAUCCUGGGUUCUUUGCUUCUUGUUCUACUGAUGAUUGCAGCAUAUCGGGUAUAUAGCGUUGAUAGAAAGAAAAAAGAGAUUCGAUUACGAAUUGAAAGAUUCUUGGAGGAUUACAAAGCACUCAAACCAAGCAGAUACUCGUACGCAGAUAUUAAGAGGAUUACAAAUCAAUUCAAGGACAAGUUGGGCAAAGGAGCCUAUGGAACUGUCUUCAAAGGAAUGCUCUCUUCUGAAUUCUUUAUUGCUGUCAAAGUCCUCAACAGUUCCAAGGGAGAUGGGGAAGAGUUCGUAAAUGAAGUGCGAACGAUGGGUCAUAUCCACCACGUAAACGUGGCUCGCUUGGUUGGAUUUUGUGCUGAUGGAUUUGUACAAGCUCUUGUUUACGAGUUCUUCCCCAUUGGUUCCCUGCAGGAUUUCAUUUCAUCUGCAGAUAGUAAGAAUUCAUUUCUUGGUUGGGAUAAGCUGCAAGAUAUUGCCCUAGGCAUAGCCAAAGGAAUUGAAUAUCUUCACCAGGGAUGCGAUCUACGAAUCCUGCAUUUCGACAUCAAACCCCAUAAUGUUUUGCUAGACCAAAACUUCACUCCAAAAAUUUCUGAUUUUGGUAUGGCCAAGUUAUGUUCCAAGGAUCAAAGCUUGGUGUCCAUGACUACAGCUAGGGGGACCAUGGGCUACAUUGCACCUGAAGUGUUCUCCAGGAAUUUCGGAAAUGUGUCUUACAAGGCAGAUGUCUAUAGCUUUGGAAUGCUGCUGCUUGAGAUGGUAGGAGGAAGGAAGAAUAUUGGUUCAAUCACGGAUAACACUACAAAUGAAAUUUACUAUCCACAGUGGAUUUAUAAUCUUCUAGGGGAAGGGGAUGACCUACGAAUCCACAUUGGGGAAGAAGGAGACGGUAAAAUUUCAAAGAAACUUGCAAUUAUAGGGCUAUGGUGUAUCCAGUGGCACCCGUCGGAUCGUCCUUCCAUGAAAAUAGCGGUUCAGAUGUUAGAAGGAGGAGGAGAAAGCUUGAGUAUGCCGCCUAAUCCCUUUGUGCCUACUGGUUCUACAACUAGGAAUGCAAGACGCCUAGAGCUAGAAGCUAUUGCUGAAUUAGAGUAAAAUGUAUAUGCAGAUAUAUAGACGUAUAGAUAUAGUAAUAUUUACAUUGAAUAAGAUACCGUUUGAUAACCAUUUCGUUUUCAGCUUUUAAUUUUUAUUUUUCACUUUUUUGAAAACUGAAAACUAAAAUCUUGUUUGGUAAAUACUUUUAGUUAAAAAAAAAUGAAGACUGAGAACUAAAAAGUGAAAGCUCAAAGGAAGUAGAUUAAAAGUAGUUACCAAACAAACCGGAAUCUCAAUAAUAAAAAAGAUUGAAUUGCACAAUGCAAUCCAAACCAAUCAAAACAUUAAAAUAGCAAAAAAAUUAAAAUUCUAGUUGAUUAGAUUCUGAACAUAGUAAAAAUGAACAGAUCCGAUGAAAAAACAAAAAAUUCUCAGAUAAAAAUAGGGAUAAAGUAGAAUAUUUAUAAAUAGCUCAUUGUCUCUUAUGUCAUCAAUUAUUUCUAUAGUAUAUACAGGUUUUUGGAAAAAUUAGGUUCCCAUCCCUUAUUUUCAUAUUACAUUGAUUGAAAUCUUAUUAUUUUUCUAUUUUAGAUCAAGGUCCCUUGACUUAUUCCAUGUCAUCAUUUUAGUAUUUAAAAUAUUACACGUCAUCAUAAACGAAAUCUCAUCCCUUUCUGCAUUUAAGGCAAAAUAAACUAUAUAAGUAAGUUUAAAACAAGGAAAAUCCAUUUGAACUCCUCCAUUCUUCUUCUUCCCUUAUGCACAUCUGGAAUCUACAACACCCCAAACCCAAUUUUCUCCAUUUUUCUUCAUUCCUGAAUUGAUCCAAUGCAUAUAUGUUGAAUAAACCUAUUGUGAUUAAAAUACAAAUUAGCAUCAAUGAUUUUAUCGGCUUGUGAGAUUUGUGUGGCAUAGGCAAGGCAAUGCAGGCAUCGCUUUAUCAAAGAAUCUGGUUGAUUCAAACAUGCAGAGACUGUAGAGUGAGCGGGCUAUGUAAAAACUGUACCAUUUUGAAGUCAUUUUCUUUUGUUCUUUACAUUUUUUUUUCUUUUAUUAUUAUAUAUUAGUCUUGAUUAUUCAAUGUCUGGUUGGCUACACUUAUAUCCAUGGGUACAUUUUUAAUCUACAUGUUUCGUUCUAAUAUAUCUAUUGCUAUAAUAUGUUUUGGUUGGUUCAAAUUUGUUUUACAUAAAUAUAUGGGUACAAAGUUUUUGUAGAAUAUUAUGUAAAAUGGUUUUUAAGGUUGCUGCAUUUUACGUACCCACAUAUGCAUGUCUAUAAAACAAUGUGGUAUGAUGUACAUUCUUUUCUUUGAGUUUUUAAAUGUACCCAUGAGUUUUCUUGUAAAUUCGGUAUGUACCCAUAUGCUAUUUAUGUUAUGGGUACAUACAUUAUUUUUGGUCUAAGUUCAUGGGUACAUUACUUUUGUAUGUAUGAAUUCAUGGAGUACAUUAUUUCCCUUAAUACUACUCAAUAAAAUUCACAAAAAUAUGUGUAGCGUGCAUGAUUUUUUAUUGUAGAAAUUGUUUGUUUUUUUUAAGUCUCAUAAUUCAUGAAAUUUGUACAUAUAUGAUCACAUAAAUUUUUUAAUUUUAUUAAAUUUCUUUUAGACUUGAUCGAUUGAUUGAAUCUCAUAAUACUAGGAUUUUGAAUUACAUAAAUUCUUGGAUUUAAAUCCCUUAAAUGUUGAACUGCAAUCAAUAUUUUAAAUUACAGUUUUUUAUUUAAGAUAUCAAAAAGAUGACAUGGAAAUAUAGUAAUACUAAAAUGCUGAGGUGUACAAAGUCAAAGGACUUUGAUAAAAAAAUAAAAAACAAUAAGAUUUCAAUCUAACAAUUGAAUUGACUAGGGAUCGGAACCAAAAUGACCCUAGAUUUUUAUUGAGUUUAAUCUUAAUAAAAAAAAGACUUCUUGUAUCACAAAAAAUACAAGAACCAUUAUUUGAAUGAAAUAAAAGCUAUGGGAUGGAGAUAUAAAUGGAUCCUUUAUUUCACAAUUGGAUUAUAUUUAUUUGAUACACUGUUGUCAAUAUGAAUGCUGAGAAAAGACUACAAAAGAAAAAAACAAUUUAUAAAUAUAACUAACAAUUCCAAUUUCAAUCAAUUAGACAAUUAGAAUUAUAAGAAGAAAAAAAAAAGAAAUUUCAGUUUUCAGUUUAAAAAAAAUGAAAAAAAAAUGGUUAUCAAAGCCGUCCAAAUAAUACAAGUUUGUUUCCACUCUUUGUUUAAGCAUAGAUGCCAAUUUUUGUUUAUCAUUUUUUUAACCUUUAUUUUUUGUUACAGUAGAAGCCCUGGAAGGAAAUCGAGCACUGGACUUACCAAACUCUUAACUUAUUUCUACACACCAAGAGCUUGAUUUCGGUUCUUAUUUAUACUAUUUAAGCUAUAAGCCGUGACAAGAAUUAGAGAACUAUCAUUUGUUGUGAGCUUCAAUUGGUUAGCACUUUGUAUGUUUUCAUUAGAAUAUAUAUUUCACUUAGACUUUCUUAUUAAAAAAGGGAUCAGCUGGUGACUUUACCACGACAAUCCAAUUUUAUGGGGGUCAUGAAUACUCACAAAGGCAUUUCAGCCUCCCCCUAUAUCUACCGUCGCGUGAUUCACCAUUGUCAGAAAUCGAACCCAAGACGUGUUGUAUAGAAUACGGGCCUAAAAUUCAUUUCUAACCACUGAGUCACCCCGCGUUUGAUUAUAUUUCACUUAGACUUAUCUUGCGGUAUAGCAUGUCAUCCCCGCCCAAGUUUUUCCCUUCGCGUUGACUUUGGGAUACCAAAACUUGCCAAACAAAGUAGAUUGAUUAGUAAGCGAAGCUAAUUAUUCGACUAAACAUUGUUUAGAAUUUUAAUUAAAAGAACCAAUAUGAAUCUGUUUUUUUUUUUUUUGACAAACUAUAACGUUAAGGAGUUAAAUUGUUAGUUGUUAAGAGUACGGGGAUAGGUGAGGAUCGAACCUCCACCAUAGUGCAUAGACAUUAUUGGUUCUACAACUGCUGUAAAUCACAUAAAACAAAACGUAAUACUUUGAGGAUGGAAGACACUUCGUGGAUAGCGGGCAAUCAACACUAUCAGUUGCUAUCCAAAACUUGGAAUUAUGUUUAUUGUCCGAAGGAUUUUUCUUCCAUUAAAUUGCUAAGGAAGAUGAGGAUGGGUAGAGUGUCUAAAUGUCAAGGUUGAUAAGAACGUGUAUGGUGUUCAGCUUGCGAUUGAGAUUUGUUGAGUGGCACAACAAACCACAUAAAAUUUUCUAAAUGAUAAGCUUGAGUAUAAUUUUUUACCACGUAUUUAUCUUUAAAAUCAUUAUAAUUAGAUUUUCUCUUAAUUAAUAUAGACCGUUAGAUUCAUCUAAUGACCCAAGUUUUUUUCCUCUUUUCUUUCUACUCUUUUUUUCUUCUCUGAUUUUCCAUUCACCGUGUAGCAGUCGUUCUUCCCCAACUAAGUUUCUUAUUUUUCUUCACAAAAAAAUUGUAGAAAAUAUUAAGAAAAGAAAAGUCAUCAAUAUCAGACUCGACCAGGUAAUCGUUCCAACCUUCCCAGCAACUCUCAGUCUUAACAAGGCACCAAAUUUUCUCCGCCACCUAACUCGUCAUUCAUUUAUGGGUGUUUCAAGCUUGGUGAAAAUUGAUAGAGUUCCAUGUGUGUACACGGAUGUGAACAUAUUGGCCACUCUCUAAUGUGUUGGUUUAUCACAAAGAACCCAGAUACAAAAUUUUAAAAAGCAAACAAUUACAACUUCUCAAAUAUUAUCUAACAAACUUUCAAUGAAAUGUUGCUCAUAAUUGAAAAAAGGUUGACGAAGGACGGAGUUGGAGUUAUUUUAGAUGGGGAAGAGUUAAAAGAAGGAAGCACCAUUUAAUUAAUAAAAGCGAUUGGAGAAAUAGUAAUUCAAUGGUGGGCGUUUUUAAGGUGUGGACCUUGUAUCACACCCCGAUUCCAACAUACAUUGAGGAUCAACACGUGACAUGGGGACAUAGGGGACAUAAAUCUUAUGUAAGAUACAAAAUGAAAUACUAUAAAUAAUAUCCCAAAAUGAAUAUGAUAGUGGGUUCACCCCUAUAAAAUAUAUACGAGUUUGUACAUUCACAAAAAAAAAAAAAAAAAAAAAAAAAAAACACAUACACACACACAAAACUCUCGCUAGGCCAAGACUUGCCCAUGGUGCUCAAAGGAAAGUCCCAAAAGAAAGAGUACAAUGAAGGAUAAAGGGGUAACCUAAACACUCCAAGUCUCUGAUCUCUGCACUGCUACCCUCACCGGCUCCUCGUAAUCUACUCAGACCUAUCACAUGUACAAACAGUGCCUACAUUGUGGGAAUGGUGCAUCGGGCAAACAAAAACCCGGAUAAGCUGCAAAACUCGUGUGAGUGACAAUAAUGCAACAUAUGUGAUAAUCAAGAAAAACAUACCAUCGAUCGCAGUUUAUAAACCUCAAAUAUAACUUCAUACUUAUGAAAUCAUAAUCAAGUCACUGAAAACUUCGAAUGAGUCACCCAGACAUCCAACGACUUUUUAAAAUCAAAUCUCAGAGAUUCCAAAACUAUCAUUCACAAAUACACUAAAAACUAGGGCUAGAGUGACACAGUUCGGCCAAAGACUACAUAAGUAACCAAACAAGAAGUGGCCCCCCAUAGCGGAUUAACCAAGCAGAGCCACUCCUGAAAAAGUAACCAAGUAGGUAGUGACCCCCAUCACGGAUUAACCAAGCAAAGUCACUCCUACGAAACUGUUAGGUAGUGAUCACCCAUCGCGGAUUAACCAAGCAUGAUCACCCCUAAGUACGUAUGGCCAUACCUAAGAAAUAAGGAUCGCCCACCGCAGAUUAACCAAGCACGAUCCAAAAAUAUUAUGGGUCCCCUAUCACGGAUUAACCAAGCAUGACCAUCCAUGUACCACUACUACAUGGUGUAAAUUCGGUGUCACCUAACCUCGUGACACUAGGGUAACGGUCCUUUACUAGCCCUCACGUUUUUCAAACAUUUCAAAUAUAUAAUUUAAAACACAAUUCAUAAACAUUUCGAAUAAGGAAGUCACAUAGUGUUUAAUAAUGUAGGUCAAUGGAAAACUUUAAAAACAAUUAUUUAGCAUAAAACAUAUUUUAGAAAUCCAUGUUGUAUCCACAAAGUAUACUAGCAUGGGAGAUUUUCAGGGUAAUAACUCUAUCAUAUAUAUUAAAGUCACUCACCUGGAGUCCACACUAACGCACCCUAACACGAAUAUCAAGACGUCACGUACUAUCAUCUGUAACAUCCCACAUCAACCAACGGAGAGAGGGUGAUGUGCCUUAUAUGUACAUGCCCACCUCCAUAGCAUGAGACCUUUUGGGAGCUCACUGGCUUCAUAUUCCAUCGGAACUCCAAAGUUAAGCGAGUUUGGGCGAGAGUAGUCCCAGGAAGAGUGACCCACUGGAAAGUUCUCGUGUGAGUUCCUAGAAACAAAAUCGUGAAGGCGUGGCCGGGGGGGGGGGUUAAAGCGGACAAUAUUGUGCUACGACGAAAUUGAGACUGAGAUGUGACAGAAUGGUAUCAAAGCCACUCUGCCGUGUGGUGCGAGUGUGCCGACGAGGAUGUCGGGCCCCUAAGGGGGGUGGAUUGUAACAUCCCACAUCGACCAACGGAGAGGAGGUGAUGUGCCUUAUAUGUACAUGCCCACCUCCAUUUAGCACGAGGUCUUUUGGGAGCUCACUGGCUUCGGAUUCCAUAAGAACUCCGAAGUUAAGCGAGUUCGAGCGAGAGCAUUCCCAGGAUGAGUAACCUACUGGGAAGUUCUCGUGUGAGUUCCCAGAAACAAAAUUGUGAGGGCGUGGCCAAGGCCCAAAGCGGACAAUAUCGUGCUAUGGCGGAGCCGAGAUUGGGAUGUAACAUCGUCACCUAAGACAAAGUACAAGUCCACAUUUAAAGUUCUUCGUGUAUUCACAUAAUAAAAAAUUUCCAUAUGCCCCCUACAACUAAUGAAGAGAAAUCGAGACACGUUGACAAAAAGUCAACUGUUGAUCAACGGUAGGGUCCAUAACCCUACGUAACUCGAUCUGCAAGAUCCAGCCACUGUAUUUGUGAUUCAUAAGUUCCUAAGGUCCUUAAAUCUUACGUACAAUAACAUACUAAACUUUGGUGACGAUCUAAUUGUCGAAUCAUCAUUUGCUAUAAUGUUCAAAUGACGCAAAUUCAUCAAUCAGAUGUUAAAUAUGGAAUCGGUCAUCGAAUUUAGCUUAGGAAGGUCAAGUGGUGUCUCGAGCCACGUGCUGCCGUGCGCAGCAGCUGGCAACCCAAAUUCGUCGGAAAAAUCACCUAAUUCCAAAAUGAAUGUCGUUAGACGUGGAGUAAAUUGUAUACCUGUGAAGAAGCCCAAUUUGGUCGGGAAGUGGCCUGAAAUCACUUUAGACCGUCGGAAACCCUAAAAUAGGUGAAUCUCGAUUCGUCAUCUCCGGUAUUCCACCGUCCUCAAACUUGUUUAGGGUUUGCUCCUGGUCUCAAAAGAAUGCUAAUGAUGGUGGUGAUUGAAGGAGAAUGUUUCAGAAAUAAUGAAUCGUCGACGAGGGUUUCACGAAACCGACAUGGGUGUUCCUUGUGGAACUAAGACCAAAUCUCAACGGUUUUGGCUAGAAAUGGAUGCUGGGAUGUCGUGGUGAGGUUUGGUAGUGAUGGGAGGUCGAAGAAAGCCAAAAAAAUCGACGAAAAAACAGUCGUCGGAGUCGCAGGAAACGGGUUAGAAAAACGAGUCGCCAGGUCUGAAACGGGUCGAAGGCUUUUGGGACAGCUACUUACUCUCUCUUCUUUGAUUAGUCACUCCACUCACUCUCUCAUUUGAUUAGUCCAGCCUUCCCACAUGGUGGGAGUUCCCUCAUAUAGUAACCCAAAAUUUACUAUUUAAAUCUGGUAUCGAACGUUCGUAACUUUUUCGUUAUAGUUUCGAUUCGCAAACAGCUUUCGCCUACGCGCUCGUAUGAUCGAAUUAUACUCGAAAACAUUAAUUGUGACCUCGAAAAGGUCUACGAGUUUUAAAAGAUUAAUUACAAAAAUUCACACCUUGUAACUAUACGAUCCAAAUUCUAAAAUUAACGGAAUUAAAAUAAACUAAAAAUAAUGUAAACACGAAAUACAGACUUUAAUAAUGAAAUACGUAAUUAAUAGUAGUAUUCCGGGAACGGGAUUUCACACCUUGCGUCCGGACCUUGAGUGCGGAUCAGAAUCCAAAGGUCGUGAUCUGACAAGCUCAUGCAUAGAACGGAGUCGUUGUGACCCAAUGCAAUUCAAAACUUUUAUGUUUUUUAUUUGCUGGGUACGUUUUUGUAGGAGGAAAAGGGGAAGUCGAGGGAUUCUUUGCGCAUUAAAGAGGGAAAGAGAGAAAGGGGGAGCUAAGAGGUUCUUCGCGCGUUAAAUUUUUGCUUCUAAUUUUGCAACCUAGAAAUAAAGUAUUUUCUUUAUGGUUUAUGGUUCAAGAAUAUAAUGGAUGCAACCUAAAAAUGUUUCUUUUUUUAUUUUUUACUUUUUUUCUUCUUAUGUUGGCUUUUGGUUUAUUUUUAUAACGCACUAUAUAUUAACUAAAUUUAUAAACAUUUUGUAUCUUUGUUGCAGUCAAAUUAAUCAUAUGGGUCGGCAUGACUAAGUUCGACUGAGACAUACAGAUGUUUUGCAAUCUUAAGUCUAACCUGACACACCUCGACCUCAAUAUCCAGUGAACACCAAAAUUAAGGUGUGCUGGCCAUCAUCCGGAUGGGUGACGAAACCAUAAUAUGCAUGAAAACAUAACUAAAUUAUCAACCAAUAAAAUCUAUUGAAAAAUUUGGCAGAACAUCCCUUAAAAUAGGGAUAUGCCCAAAUUAAAAACACUUGCACAUGAUCACAAUUAUUCAAACACAUCCCGAAGGGCCACACUUAAUGGGACUUCGACCAUCUAUUACAUGCAUGAGAAUAUGUUCAGAGAAUAAUUACCCAAAUACGUCUUAUUAAAAUAUUGAGUAAAUACCAUACAAGAUAGAAUACGUCAGAGCUGUUGCAAAAUACCUCAACGUCGGAUGUAAUCACUGAUAGAAUUACUGAAUCAUGUAUAAAUGGAAAGCUGAUAAAUACAUGUAAUUUGAGUGGAUACUUACCAACAGCAUGGAUACAAUAUCAUCCACCAGUCGUAACUAGUGAAAACUGGAUAAUAUAAUCAUGUCAUUGCCGAGUAAUCUCAAGGCAAUGACAAGAUGAGAAUGUAACUGAGUAAUCAUAUCAUUACUAAAUAAUUUCAAAGCAAUGACAAGCUGAGAGUAUAACCGUAUAAUCAUGUCAUUACCGCGUAAUCUCAAAAUAAUGACAAGCUGAGAGUAUAACUGUAGUACCUCUUAUUAGUGCAAUGCAUGAUAUGAAUUCCAUCUCACAUAUAUAUGCAAGCCAUAAUCAAACCAAUAAACAUCCAACAAAAGCCACAAUCCUUUUAACAUUCGACCACAAGAUCAAUUUUCAUAUUUCCCAAACCUAGGUUCCGAAGCAUUGUUUCGAAUUAUUAAUACAAGAAACCACCACCACCUCAAUCAAUUCCUAUUCAUAAGUGUAAGCAAUUACUAAAUGCAUCACUUUCGACUCUAGUCUUAAUUAGAUUACUUGGGAUACUCAUUCACACCAUCAGAUCCACGUACAAUUUUGAUAAACUUUAAAUAGCAUGGUUAAAAUAAAUGAAACAUUUGAAUGAAACACUUUUAGAAAAUAAGUGAAGAUGUUGUUUACAAAUAUAGAUGCAUCUGUAUAUAAAAGCUUUGGCGGUUGAUUCGUAUACUUCCAGAGAUAUAAGCAAGUUCAUUGGAAUAUGCAUACAUGGUUAAUGUAUUACGGUAUAAUUAAUAAGAAAACAAUUGCAUCCCCUUCAGAUUAUAUAUAUAUAUAUAUAGACACACACACAUACACAUACAUACACACAGGCCCUUUAUGCAAAGGAAUUUCCAUUUUUUUUCAAAAAAUGGGGAUUAGUUGUGGGGCCCACGCUGCAUUGAACUUUAACGAUCCGAACAAUCUAUUUUGUAAGUCUCGAUUCAUAGAUCAUCCUUGCAAAAAUUCAAUUCAAUCCGAACCCUUUUGCCUAUUUAAUUAUCAAGAUAAAAUUUCAUUGUUUCUUAUAUAACAAAGUAUUCGUUAAUUUCUUUGAACUCAAUUAGAUAUCUUAAACAUUUCCGAUUUGGCUAAUAUUUUGCAAAGAUGAUCUAUGUGGUGCAACUUGAAAAAUAGACGAUUUCGAUUGUUAAAGUUCGAUGUGGUGUGAACCCUACAAUUAAUCUUCAUUUUUAUAAAAGAAUGGGAACCCCUCCCCUUAAAGGUUUCCUAUGUAUAUAUUUGUUCUUCAGACAUAUGCAAAAGGUAAUGUAAAACCAAUGAGAACUUAAAUAGAUAUUCCAUACAUAGGACAAUUCCAUAUAUGCUUUUUCAACAUUUAUAUCGAAAAGCCAAAUUGUUUUGAGGAAAUUAAUUGUAGUAAUGGUCCCUUAACUUUUAUCUUAUUGGAGCAAUGGUCUCUCAACUAAAAAUUCAUGACCAUUGGUUCCUUAACUCCACAAAACGUGUAGUUAUGGUCAUUUUCAUUAACUCCGUCAGAACUUUUGUUAAAACAAGUAAUGUUAGAAGAAUCAUUGCUACAAUCAGGUUAAAGUUGGGGACCAUUGCUCUAAUUGAAUUAAAGUUGAGGGAUCAUUACUCCAAAUUGCUUAAAGUUCAAGGACCAUUUCUACAAUUUUCUCAUCUAGUUUCCCAUAUUUACCCCAUGAUUCAGCUUCACAUGCAUUGCACAUGACUCAUUUUGACAAAAGUUUUAACGAAAUUGACGAAAAUGACCAUAAAUGCACGUUUUGAAGAGUAAGAGACCAAUGGUCGCAGAUUUUAGUUGAGGGAUCAUUGCUCCAAUUUGGUUAAAGUUGAGGGACCAUUGCUACAAUUUGCUCAAAUGUUUCGUAUGCGAAAAUAGGCAUUUGUAAAGUUUGGCUUGUUCAUGGCAUUAUUACUUUAGUCUAAAGUAAGGCUGGAAAUGGCACUGUAGAAAUGAAUAGUGUUCCAAUCCGAAUUUCAGUUUAAUUACAACAAUGCCAUUGCUCUUUGUGUUGCCUUUAGGUGAGCAACCCAACUUCCAGCCAGGCCCAAAUGUAUUGGUUUUAGCUGAGAAGCCCGACCUUUGGUCAGGCCCAAAACUUUAAAUUACAGUUUUGCCCAUACAAAAUAACAAUUUGAUUGUAUCGGGAAGGACAAUUUUGUCCUUUUAGUUUUGGGCGAGAUAGGGGGUAACCGGGUAGAUUUCAUUUGCUGUCGUUGAAUGAAGGUUUCGGGGAUGAAGGUUGUGUGUGUGUGUGAGGGAGAUGACGAUGGAAGGAGAGCGAAGGGGAGGGGAAGGGUUCUCGGCACUGUUGCUGCAUGUGGAUUUCACAAGUGGGUGAAUGGGUAUGGUUAGAGAAUACCAUAUAGGUUGUCGGGAUUUCAGGAAACGGGGUAGGGGUCAUGAAUGAACCCUGCUGAGAGUGGGUGCCGGAUCUUGCGCUGCAUGCCUCAAAUCAAAGAUAAGUUCAUUUUUUUAUUGUAUUCUUUAAUGGUAGCUUAGCUUUUGGAAUUGUUUAGUAUGUUAGGUCCAGUUUUGGGGGAUUUAUCUUUUAGAGAGAGAGAUGGACAGGGAGAUAAAGAUAGACAGAGAGAGAGAGAGGAGGAGGAGGCGGAGGAAGUAUGGCUGUGUGCUAUUUUUGGUGUUAAUUAAUGGGUUGGUGCGCAGGGUGAGUGACAGAGUGACAGAGUGACGGAGGGAUGUGUGGGAGGGUAUGGGUUUUUAGUUCUUUCUUUUGAUUCAAUAGGUUAUACACUGUUUGAAAAACCUUUUUUUUAUUUUUUUGUUCUCGUUUGCUUUGUUAAAACCAUCAUUUGAAUUUUUGGGUUUCACUGUGCUCAUUUCUCUGUUUCUUCAUAAUUUGUUGGUGUUUGCUUCUCAUCCCUCUGUUGGUAGAUCUUUUUCUCAUUUCUUGGUUCCUUAUGUAUUCUUUGGUACAAAUCUGUUUACUUUUUGGUUGUGUGAUAAUCUUAGCAGGUGAACUAUAUGAACGUUUUUUUGAAACGAGCACAGUGAAGCAAGCGUAGAUUGGGAGGCAACCCAAUAUUUCUAUUCAUUGCCUUUUUCUGUCAUUUUCAAUUUUCUUGCAUGCUAAACUGAAUUAUUUCUUUUCUUUGUAUUUGGGUUAUGUCCACCCUUGGAGUUGAUUGCGGAAUUAUAGUUUGGGGGUCAUCAUUUGAUUUCACUGCAAAUUGGGGAAGUUUUUAGUCCAAAUGCCGGAUCACUUCAAGUAUCACCUUCCAUUCGAAGUUCACUUCCAUGCCAUGGAACCUAUGGGAGUGUGACUGGAGGCAUCGUCCGGCUGCAAGACGUUAAAGAAAGCGCUUCUUGGGAGGCAACCCAAGCUUUCUAUCUUUCAUCUUUAUUUUGAAUAAUUUUAAAUGUUCUUGUUCUGUUUUUCUCUUAUUUUCUGGUUUUUGUAUUUAAGUCCUACUUUUGUUCCUUUAUGCAGGUAAUGAUUUUGCAAUCUCUACCACAACUUCUUGCAAGGUAGUUUUACAUUCAUAAAAACGAAAGGAACAUUAAGCAUAUAAAUACAAGAGGGAGCCUUCACAAAGGCUGCUUAGGAGAAGUUUCAGCAGUCGGCGGAGUCCCAGAAGGAGGAGGCAUCAGAGGUUGAUCAUUUGGAGCUUCAUUACGUGGUACAACCCCAGAAGACGAAGGCAAAUGCAAAUAAGGAAGAUCUAUGAAUCGCUUCACAAUCGAAAAGGAACAUAUGGUAGAAAAAUUCAAAGAUGAGCAUACAAACAAGAAGGAGUCUUCAUUGGUCAGGAGGUGUCGCAGCAGUCGAAGGAACAUCAGAAAGACGAAGUGUCAGAGCUUGAUUGUCCGGAGCACUUGGUGAAGCACCAGAUGAUGAAGGCAGAAGUUGCCUCAGGAGUAAAGCCAUAAACCUUUGAUGAUCACUCCGAGCCCGAACUUCAGCCUCUUGCAGCUGGUCCAACUUCCUCUUUAUGCUUGUUGAGUAGUUAGUUGCGAGCAUGUGCAACUCUUUAUCUUCAUGCCUCAGCGCUCUGACCUCUUGCCAAAGGCUAGCCACUUCAGCCAUCAACGACUCCACUUGACGAGUUCGAGCAAGAAGGCGUUGGCCCAUGUUUGAUACUGAGCCUGCACUUUGGACGCUGAAAGCCAAAGAAUCCUGAACAGCCUGCUCGUCAGACCGCUUAGAUAGCAUCCUACUGUCUCUUGGAGUAUGAAGAUUUCUAGCAACCACUGCAGCUGUUGCAUCAUUUCUCAUCACAGUGUCCCCAACUGUAAGAGGACCGUUGGAGGAUAUGAAAGAUGGCUGCCAAAUGUUACCUGGAGACGAGAGGUCAAUAUCUUCUUCGAUAUUCAGGUCAAAACGACGGUCGGAUGGGCUAGACAUUUUCAUAGGUGUUAAAGAAAGAAGAGGUCAGACAAGUCAAGAUAGUAGAAAUGCAAGAAGGGAGUAUUCACAGGCAGAAAUUCAUGUGUGCUUUGAACAUCCUGCGAACCUCUAUAAAAAAUAGCACACAAUGAGAUUUCAGGGAUCGAAUAGGCGAGUUCAGAGAUCGAUGAAGCGCCUGCUUUCUCCAAAGCUAGGCCUACUCAGGAAUCACAGGCUGAUCUCAGGUAGUGAAGACGCGCCUGUCUCUCUCAGCCCCGUCAGCACUUGUCACAUGCAGAGAAAACUUUGAGGAAAUCACGGGCAGUUUGUCGAAGCGCCGAUUCCAACCAUCUGUCUUUCUCAGCCUCGUCAGCUUUGAGGAAAUCACGGGCAGUUUGUCGAAGCGCCGAGUCCAACCGCCUGUCUCUCUCAGCCUCGUCGGCACUCGCUUUCUCAAAAGCUGGGCUUGAAAUCACAGGCCAAUCUUCAGUUUCUAAAUUUGUUCGCACUUGUCACAUGCAACCUCUGCACUCAACGAAGCUCAGAACUCGAAGCGCCAAUUCCGGAUAUUAAAGAAGCCUUUGCUUUAUCAGACGUGUCAGCAUCUGUCAAUUGCACAUCUGCGUUGCGUAAAUCACGCGCAAUCUGUCGAAGAUUUCUGGAGAAACGGAAUGCACGUGAAGUUUACUGUUAAAUUACCCCAGGCUUGCUGACACGAGUACUAGAACAAUGCCUUCCCAGCCAUUAAGAAAAAUUCUACAAAUGUUAAAGGCAACCUCACUCAACUUUCAGCCUCACUCAACCUUUCUUCCUCUCUGAGAAUGUAUUCCCGAAGAAGCCUCCCGAGUCACUCUGUGUUUCUCAUCCCUUGGGAUACCCCUGCAAACAACCCACCCAGAGCAAAAGUAUUUCAUAUCAUAACGGUUGAGAGCAAGAGUAUCUCAUAUCAUGCUUUCUCCCUGUCCUUUGUCUCGCCAGCACUUGGUAUCAAUCUUCCGAGCGGGGACCGACUGCCUGGAACCCAUUCCUGAUUGCUUACCUAACCUUGCUCUCGAGUACUCAUCCUUCUUAUGUUUCCUCUUCGUCUACCACAUAGGGGAAGUGAUAAUGAUACCUCGAAGCAUGUGGAUACAACGUGCUGAUUCAUCCUCAACUAAGGACAAGGGAGAAAGCAAGCAAGAUGUGGGCACUUGGAAAGAUUGAACAAAGAAACAGACUAACACCUCUACCUCGUGCCUGCCUACCGAGCAGAAGAAACAAGCAGAGAAGAAUGCAGACUGCACAAUCAAACAACCCAGGAACUCUGAUAUUCCUCGCUCAGGAUUCCAAACCAGUUUGAGAUUCGCCUACACAAAUUGGUGUGUUCUUUCCUUUUCUUUAUGUGUCUUUAUUUCAUUUUAUAUUUCUUUCCUUCCAUUUUCAUGUCUUAUUGUUCAAAAAUUCCUUUCAUUAUCAUUGGGGACAAUGCUAUAAUUAAGUUUGGGGGUAUUUGGAAAUAUAUUUCGUUAGUUUAUUUCUCUAUUAAAAAAAAAAAAAAAUUUUGCAUUUUUAUUGUUGUUUGUAGCUACUUCUCAAUUCAAUGAUGAGAUUUGAUUUUAAUUUCCUUCUUACUUUCAAGAAAGUCUAAGUUCUUUUCGUUGUCUUUGUGUUAACUGUGAUUUCCAGAAAUCAACUUGAAAAAAGAAAUGUGCCUAGUCUUGUCAAUGUGAAACUUGAGCAUGAUUUAGCGUUUCAUAUGUGAAUCAUGUGAGAUUAUGUAAACCUUGUGAGUUUUUUAGCCUAUACAUGAUUGAACCAUUAUGCAUCAAUCUCAUUCCUUCUUGUGCGUAUGAUCUCACUGUACAUGUAUCUCUAGAACUUGCUUUAUACUACUCGAUUCAUUAAUCAAUUCAUGUAAUAACUUGGAAGUGAUAUAGGCCAUCUUUGGAUCGUUUGAGCCUUUCAUGCCUACCUUAUAUGCUAUGUUUAUCCUUAGUAGCCCUUUGAGCCUUUAACUAAGCCAUUUCUUUGUUAACCACAUCUCUUUACCUUGCUCCAAUAUUGGAGUUGAGCCCAUACACAAAAAUCGAUUCCUUAUUGUUUUGAGAAAGUAUUACAUGGGUUGUGCUUUUGGGGGUUUCAUUUAUAUAGAAAGAUGGAUGGAGUAUGUGUAUACAAUGAAAUGUGAAUUUGAUGGGUGAUGUAGAUUUUGAAAAUUAUUUCAAAAGAAAAAAAAAACGAAAAAAAACGAAAAAAAUGAAAAUUGGAGAGUGUUGAUUUGUUGAAAAUGUGUCGGUAGAGUAUAAAUUUCCUUUUAAAGUUAAAUUUGGGGAGUAACAGGUGCUCGAGGUUUUAUUAUUUUGCUUUCAAUUUGAGGUGGUGUGAUAUUGAGGUGUUGGAAAACUACCAAAGUGUACUUUCUCAAAAUUUUUGAUUUCCAUAUCCUUUCUUUCAUUAGCCUAUCACCUUUAGCCCCAUUACAACCGUAAUAAAGUCCUAUUGAUCCAAGGUAUUACUUAAAUAUUGAUAAGCGAGUUAGGUGGACAAGCAAGCACAUGGCGGCAUGUACAAUGAGAUUACUUGAGUGAAACACAUUAACAAAAAAUUAUGAGUGAAUGAGCGUAUGUCUUGUGAGAAACUCACAUGUUUGCAUAUGAUGAUUUAAAGGAGCUUGGAAUUGCAUUGACAUAGCUAGCUCACACAUGGCAUUUCAACGUUUUGUUUGAAGGAAAUUUGGUUAACUAUUGGAUGAUGUUUUGAGCUCUUGCUUACUUCUUGGCAGUGUAUCUCAUGACUAGCACUUAUCUCUGAAAUCGAAAUUGAGAAGUUGGCUACUAAGUUGUUGAAUCUAGUCUUAGUUGAGUGGUUUUGUUUUGCUAGAGGACUAGCAAAAAUGUAAGUUUGGGGGUAUUUGAUCACUCAUAUAUUUCAUGCAUUUAUACCAUCCAUUUCUAAAGUCUUUGUGAUGUUUUUGUGUUAAAGUUGUGGCAUUUUACCUUACCUUGUGUUAAUGUACAGUUAAUUUUAUUUUAGGAUCAAUUUCAAAGAAAAUGGGCUGAAAAGAAAAUAAAAGAAAAGAAAUAAAUGGGACGGAAAGGAAGACACUGACAGAAUAAAAGAAUGAAGAAAGAGGUAGAACGGCAGAUAGAGAAGUGGGAAGAAAGUGGAGUGCGCAUGGGAUGGAAGUGGAACAAAAAGCAGGAGAGGGAGUGAGGAGUGCGGGAUAAAAGCAAAGAAAAAUAGAAGAAUAAGAAAGAAGUGGGAGGACACGGACUGAGUGGAAGAAUUAAAGAGAGAAGCAGGGUGCAGGCACGGACAGAAAGGAGAACUGAAGAAUAAAAGAGAAGACAGAGAAGCAGAAAAAAGAAGAGAAACUGACGUGAAAGCCAGUGCGCAGAGGGCGCAGAGAGAUAGGAGAGAUUGUGCGGGAGCAGAAGCACAGAAGCAGAGGGAACAAAAUCACAGACUGACAGCAGACGCAAGAGGCACGGCAGAGAGCAAAGCUUCACUCUAUUUUUCUUGGUUUUAUCUUCUCAAACCCAUGUUUUACUUUUGGUUUAAUUUGUGAAUUAUGUGUAACUAAAUUUUAAGUAGUUAGGGGCUGUUUUGAAGCCCCGAAUAUGAUUGUAAGUUUGUUGUGAUAUUUUGUUUGAAUGACUUUUAUGAAAGGAUGAAAAUUGUUUCACUACUUAUGUGAUUGAUAAAUUCUUUAUGUGUUUCUAUGGAUGCAUACAUAGUGAGCAUAUCUAGGAUUUUAAUGCUAUGAAUAUAUGUUUACCUGCCCUUGUUGAAUGAGGACCUACAUAUGUUCUAGAGUAGCACUUGUUAAUUGUGGUUAACAUGUGAACCGAUUUCUAGGAUAAGUAAGACAAUGCCAGUACUUAUCAUGCCUUGUGAUGACUCAAACUCUUUUCGUUCUUAAUGAUUUCUACUUGUUAAAUCUAUGAACACGACAUUCUAGAUUACAUGCUAGGGACUACGUUAAGUUGAAAACGCUAUUCUCUUAACAUACUACGUAAGAAAAAGUAAUAGGUUGUGUUCUAACAUUGAGCCAACUUGAGCAUCUUCAUCCGGAAAUAAAAGGAAUUUGAAUGAAACAUAACAUGUUUGCAUGAUUAUUUGGUGGUGGAUAGCAUUUCCCCUAAUUCGUUUUCUUAACUUGUGAAUUAAAAUCUAUUGGUAUUAUUUAAAACUGGUUGAGGUCCUGUUUUGUCCGAUUUAAUUUAAAUAGCUAAUCAACUUCAAAAAUCCCAAACAUUUGUGUGAGCAUAGCUUGGUGUGUCUAGUUUAUGUGUAUAAAAUUUCGUUGCAUUUGGAUAAGUGUAAGUUAGUCUAAUAAUUAUUGUUCGGUGGCUGGUCAGUGGAGACAACCAUCCUGUUUUUGUGACAUUUUAAGUGUUUGGAUAAAACAAUUUUCUGCGGAAAAGACCCUUAUUUUCAUAUGCUACAAUCGACAAAAUUUUAGUGUUAAUAAGGAAAAUCAAUAGGAUUAUUGUGGGCUACUUUGUGGUGCGUUAUAAUUACUACCAUGCUGUCAGUGGGUGUUAAUAUCAGGUACCCAUGUUCAGUUUUUCGUUUUGAUUUGAAGGAAUUUCUUGCGGAGAGGAGCAAGGGUUUCUUGGUGAGUUCUUCGGGUUGUGCAUAUGGGUAAUUUUCUUUUCGGUUUAACCCUCUGCUUCUGCUGCUCUCUCUCUUUCUCUCAUCCCUGCCUGCUCCUCUCCAAUUGUUUGCUGUUCUUAAAUAUUGUGUUCAUUGCCUGAUACAAGGGGCUGCAGCAAUCUGUUUUAUCCUACACGGGACAACGAGGCAAUGGCGUGACAACAGGUGAGCUUGGAUAUCCAAAGAAAAAGAACAGUUGGUUCAUCUGCUGGAGUCUGAGCUUAGAGAAGUGGAGGAAAAUUGCAGGUGUGCGAGAAAUUUUAUUUUGCUGAUAGGACUCCUUAUUUACUGAUGCAUUUUGAAAUAAUUGAAAAGUUGGAUUUGAGUUAACAGCUAUAAAAAUGUAGACAUGAUUGCUGAGAUUAUGCUAUGAAAGUGGAAUAAAAAAAUGGUAGUUUAUAAUAUUGCGUACCAAUUGUUUUCUCUCUUUUUUACCAAAUGAUAAGGGUGGUGGCUCAGGCCGCCCCCCUAAGCGUCCCCACUCUUCGACAAGUUGAAAUCGUGGUGAUAGUUUAUGGGCUGUGGUCUUGGGAUUCUGCAAAUAGAAUGAAAAACAGACACUUAACUAUCUUGUUAUUAAGCAUUUCUGCAUCAUUCAGUUGCUCUUGAUUUUCGUCUUUUAAGCGAUCUUAUUUCUGCGAUCUGACUUGAGGAGGGUUUUUAGACCUAUGGUUGUGGGUGUUUUCUCUGACCCCAUUAUCCGAGAUUUGUAGACUUGCGAUCGGCGGUCAAACAUUUUGUGAUUCUUGUUUUCUCUGCCUUUCGGUCGUUAAGCGCCGGCAGUCUUUAGAUCUUUGGCAAAUCAAUUUAAUACAACCGAGGUAUGUUUUAUAACUGCUGUCUUUCAAUUUUUGUUCUGUAUUUUUGUUAAUUUGGAUGAAGCUCUAAUAAUUUUGUUUUGGAUCAGUUGUGGUCCUCUGUUAGGAUUUUCCUGGCUAAGAGGGUAUUUGCGUUUUUGUUGCUUGGUUGGUCGAUCACAGAUUUACGAACAGCUGUGGUGGUCCUGUUAUUUUUUGGUAUGUUUUUUCUCCUUUUUGGUUUUUUUCCCGGUUUGAGCACCCAUUCUUGAAGAAUUAAAAUGUGUUUUAUAGUUUUUUCAGGAGAGAUUAGAAAAGUGAUUUCAAUUUGGGAAAAUUUAAUGUUGGUUAAAAUUUGUUUAUAAUUUUUGGGAAGGAAUGAGAGGACCCAUUGAAGUAUGUGUUGUGAUUAUUUUUUAUUCAUAUUUUUAACAAAUUGGGCAUGAAUUGGUAGGUUAACUGUGUGUGUUUAUUAUUUGAAUCGGCCAUGUUUGUCUUUCUAUGGUUCUAAAAAAUUUGUAAAGGCUGUUAACUUGGAAGAAAAUGGGAUCGAGGGUGAGGGGAAAACGGCAGAGAAAGCAUGGAAGAGAGAUUUGGGAUUAGGGGUAGGAAAACAGAUGAAAAGAAUAUGAUAGAGGAAUGGGUUCAGUUCAUUUUCACUAUUUUUUUUUAACUGAUUUGGAUUUUGUUUGGGUUUAACUCCGCCUAUGUCUUACAUGGCCGGUCCCAAGCCCGGAUAAAGGAGGAGGGGGAGGGCGUCAGGUAGUCGACAGCCGGCACUCCAUGAUCAUGUCGAAUCCUUAUGAAAAUGAAUCCAGAACAAAAUCGCGCUAAAGCUAGGACGUCACCCGUAAGUGGCGCGCUGUAUGGCCCGAGCACAGUGAUAAGUGAGCAAGGGUCGCUGUAUCUCCAUCGGCACCCGGAUGCAGUGUUAAAUGAGCAAGGGGGCCAUAGAAACUUCUUUUCGAACGACUCCACUCAAAGUUGUUUGAGAGCAUAUGCUCCUAUCAACUUUACCCGGGACACACAAAAGAAGUACUUUGAUCCUAUUAGACGGGGGAGGGUGAAGAAGCUAGGACAGAAGGGUAGAGUUCAAGAGAGCAAAAUGCGUUUAGGAACGUGGAAUAUAGGAACCUUAACGGGAAAAUCUAUGGAAGUAGUGGAAGUUAUGGUGAGGAGAAGGAUAAAUAUUAUGUGCCUACAAGAAACUAAGUGGGUUGGUAGUAAGGCAAAGGAUCUAGAAAACUCAGGGUUUAAACUUUGGUAUUCGGGCACAAAUAGAACGAGAAACGGUGUUGGCAUCAUCGUGGACAAGACCUUGGUACAAGAUGUUGUAGAUGUCAAGAGGGUAGGAGAUAGAAUCAUGGCAAUCAAGAUUGUAAUAGGACAAGAACUUAUCAAUGUGAUUAGUGCGUACGCACCUCAAGUAGGGUUGGAUACGAGUUCGAAGGAGAAAUUUUGGGAAGAUCUUGGAGACUUGGUGCAAGGAAUUGCUCAGACGGAGAAGUUAUUUAUAGGAGGAGAUUUAAAUGGACACGUGGGCAGGGAGACAGGCAACUAUGGAGGUUUUCAUGGUGGCCAUGGUUUUGGGGAGAGAAACGAGGAUGGGGAAGCUAUCUUGGAUUUUGCAAUGGCAUAUGAUCUCUUCUUAGCCAACACCUUCUUUAAGAAGAGAGAAGAACAUGUGAUCACCUACAAGAGUGGGUCGUCAAAAACACAAAUAGAUUUUCUUCUAAUGAGGAAAGGGGAUCGUAUAACUUGUAAGGAUUGCAAAGUUAUACCAGGAGAGAGCGUGGCUAAUCAACAUCGCUUGUUGGUGAUGGAUGUACAUAUCAAAAGAGUAAGACAAAAGAACAAGACUUGGAAGUGCCCAAGGACUAGAUGGUGGAAUCUAAAAGAAGAAAAACAAGCCAUUUUCAAAGAGAAGGUAAUCACCCAAUGUGUGUGGGAUAGAGAGGGGGAAGCUAGCCAAAUGUGGGAUUCCAUGGCUAGUUGUAUCCGAAAAGUAGCAAAAGAGGUAUUAGGAGAGUCCAAGGGCUUUGCCCCACACCAAAAGGAAUCUUGGUGGUGGAAUGAGGAGGUACAAACAAAGGUGAAGGCUAAGAAGGAAUGUUGUAAAGCCUUAUACAAGGAGAGGACCGAUGAAAAUGGUGAAAGGUAUAGAAAAGCGAAGCAAGAGGCGAAGAAAGCUGUCAGAGAAGCUAAGUUAGCGGCUUACGACGAUAUGUAUAAACGACUAGAUACCAAAGAAGGAGAGUUGGAUAUCUAUAAACUAUCUAGAGCAAGGGAAAAGAAGACAAGGGACCUAAACCAAGUGAGGUGCAUCAAGGAUGAGGAUGGAAAGGUUCUUGCUACAGAGAACGCGGUUAAAGACAGAUGGAGAGGUUAUUUUCAUAAUCUUUUCAAUGAAGGACAUGAAAUGAGUGCUUCUUUAGGGGAGUUGAGUAACUCAGAAGAGUGUAGAAACUACUCUUUUUAUCGUCGAAUCCGGAAGGAAGAAGUGGUUGUAGCUUUGAAGAAGAUGAAGCAUAAAAAAAGCAAUAGGCCCAGACGAUAUACCAAUCGAAGUGUGGAAACUUUUGGGAGAGACAGGUAUAACAUGGCUCACUGACCUUUUCAAUAGGAUUUUGAAAACGAAGAAGAUGCCAAAUGAGUGGCGAACGAGCACUUUGGUGCCUAUCUACAAGAAUAAGGGCGACGUACAAAAUUGCAUGAACUAUAGGGGUAUUAAGCUAAUGAGUCAUACAAUGAAGCUCUGGGAGAGAGUCAUUGAGCAUAGAUGAGGCAAGAGACACGGGUUUCGGACAACCAAUUCGGGUUCAUGCCAGGGCGCUCAACCAUGGAGGCAAUCUAUCUCUUACGAAGAUUGAUGGAAAGAUAUAGAGAUGGGAAAAAGGAUUUACACAUGGUCUUUAUAGAUUUGGAAAAAGCGUAUGAUAGGGUCCCAAGAGACAUUCUUUGGAGGAUUUUAGAGAAGAAAGGAGUACGAGUAGCAUAUAUCCAAGCUAUAAAGGAUAUGUAUGAAGGAGCAAAGACUGCCGUAAGAACUCAUGAAGGACAAACCGAAAGCUUUCCCAUAACUGUAGGAUUACAUCAAGGCUCAUCCUUAAGUCCUUACCUUUUUGCGUUGGUAAUGGAUGAGUUAACAGGACAUAUUCAAGAUGAUAUUCCUUGGUGUAUGCUUUUCGCAGACGAUAUAGUGUUGAUAGAUGAAACUCAGGAAGGGGUAAAUGCAAAGCUUAACCUUUGGAGAGAAGUGUUGGAAUCUAAAGGUCUUCGCCUAAGCCGAUCAAAGACAGAAUAUAUGGAGUGCAAGUUCAGUGCAAAUGGAGGCCAAAACGAGUUAGGGGUGAGGAUCGGAGAUCAAGAAAUACCAAAGAGCGACCGUUUUCGUUACCUAGGAUCUAUCUUGCAAAAGAACGGAGAAUUAGAUGGAGAUCUCAACCAUAGAAUACAAGCUGGAUGGAUGAAGUGGAAGAGUGCAUCCGGCGUGUUGUGUGACCGCCGUAUGCCACUGAAGCUCAAGGGAAAAUUUUAUAGGACGGCAAUAAGGCCGGCGAUGCUGUAUGGCACAGAAUGUUGGGCGGUGAAACAUCAACACGUACACAAAAUGGGUGUAGCGGAGAUGAGGAUGCUUCGUUGGAUGUGUGGGCACACGAGAAAGGAUAAGAUUAGGAAUGAGGAUAUCCGGGGUAAAGUAGGAGUAGCCGAAAUUGAAGGAAAGAUGAGAGAAAAUCGGUUACGGUGGUUUGGACAUGUGCAAAGAAGGCCUACUGACGCUCCGAUUAGAAGAUGCGACUAUGGGACAGAGGUUCAGGGCCGAAGGGGUAGAGGAAGACCUAGGAAAACUUUGGAAAGAGACUCUAAGAAAAGACUUAGAGUACUUGGAUCUAACGAAGGACAUGACACAGGAUCGAGCACAAUGGCGUUCUAAGAUUCAUAUAGCCGAUCCCACUCAGUGACUUGGAUUUUCCAAGUCUCCAACCGAGAAGUUUUCCUCACUCGGAAAAUUAAGGGAACACUACCCCAACCUACAUGCUCCACUCAGAAAGCUUCAACAUACAAGCUUCAACAAAAGAAAAUUCAAAGAACUUAGCGAAGAAGGCUUUGGUGUAUUUAACACAAUACGUUGAAAUGAAGGAAAGCUUAUUUAUUGAUAUCCCCGAUAAGCUACAAAUAUGUACAUAUACAUGAGUCAAAAUAAACACACAAGAGGGAGCCUUCACAAAGGUUGCUUAGGAGAAGUCUCAGCAGUCGGUAGAGCCCCAGAAAGAGAAGGCACCGGAGGGGGAUCAUUUGGAGCCUCAGUACUGGACAGAACCCUAGAAGGAGGAGGCAUCAGAGGUUGAUCAUUUGGAGCUUCAUUACGCGGUACAGCCCCAGAAGACGAAGGCAAUAAAUGCCUUUGGAACAAACCCACAAAUCUCUGAUGAUCAAGUAAAACCUGACCAUCAGUUUCCUUCAUCUGGUCAAGCUUCCUCUUCAUGUUUGUAGCAUAGUCAUGUGCGAGCCGGUGCAACUGUUUAUUCUCAUGCUUGAGCCCUCUAAUCUCCUGUUUGAGACUCAUCACUUCAGCCGCCAAUGAUUCAACUUGGCGGGUUCGAGCAAAUAGGCGUUGGGCCAUAUUAGACACAGAACCUGCACACUGAACACUGAGAGCCAGCGAAUCCUUAACAGCUAACUCAUCAGACCGUUUGGAAAGUAGUCUGUUAUCUUUGGGAGUGAGAAGGUUCCUGGCCACCACCGCAGCGGUCAUAUCAUUCUUCAUCACGGAAUCCCCAACGGUAAGAGGACCAGUAGGGGAGACGAAGGAUGGGCGCCAUAUGUUGUCUGGAGAAGGCGGGGCUGCCUCUUCAACAAGGUUCAAGUCAAAACGACGGUCGGAGGGGCCAGACAUUUUCAAAUGUGUUGAAGAGAGAAGAGGUCGGACAAAUCAAGAUCUUAGAAGUGCAAGAAUGAAGCUUCUACUGGUGGAGAUUCAAGUGUGCUUUGGAACUUAAUGCCAGCCCCUAUAAAAAUCUGCACUCGACGGAGCUUCAGAAAUCGAAGAGGCGCCUGCUCAGAAAUCGAAGAGGCGUUUGCUUUCUCAAAAGCUGGGCUGCUUAGAGAUCACGAGGGUUGAUCUCAGAAAUCGAAGAGGCGUUUGCUUUCUCAAAAGUUGGGCUGCUCAAAGACCUCGAAGGCUGAUCUCAGAAAUCGAAGAGGCGCUCGCUUUCUCAAAAGCUGGGCUCCCUAGAGACCACGAGGGCCGAUCUCAGAAAUCGAAGAGGCACCUACUUUUCCAGCCUUGUCAGCACCUGUCACACGCGCACACUCAGCUUUGCGGAAAUUAUGGGCAUUCUGUCGAAGACUUCUGGGGAAGUAGAAAAAACACAUGAAUCUUACUGUUCAAUCACCCACUUCCCACACGCAACAAUAGCUCAUGGGUACCACAGAUAACUUUGCCAAAGUUCUCUGCCAAAGUUGAGCACGUGAAGCUUGCAGCUCCCACUACAUCGCUCUGACCAAGAAGGGUAAAAGAAUAGCAAAGAAACACAGCACUAACAAAGUUUAGACCCAUAAAUUUUGAAGGUCUAGCUACCAUAUUAUUACCACACACAGGGUAAAGGAACAGUACCACUGCUGGAUAAUUGGAAAGUCCCUGUUUGUCAACCUCUGUGCUUCGUGGCAAGGUAGACUAGCAAACAUGCCCAACCUUUACUCACAUUCGAGAAAACACUCCCAAUAAGAUUGCUUGCUCCAAAAUCGAAGAGGCACCGUCCUCCGAAUCUCGAGAGCCAGACUCCCAACAUGACUACUUUCUUAAAAAUCGAAGAGAGGGUAAAGGAACAGUACCAUUGCUGGAUAAUUGGAAAGUCCCUGUGUGUCAACCUCUGUGCUUCGUGGCAAGGUAGACUAGCAAACAUGCCCAACCUUUACUCACAUUCGAGAAAACACUCCCAACAAGAUUGCUUGCUCCAAAAUCGAAGAGGCACCGCCCUCCGAAUCUCGAGAGCCAGACUCCAAACAUGAUUACUUUCUCAAAAAAUCGAAGAGACACUGCUCCCCGAAUCUUCGAGAGCCAGACCCCCAGCAUGAUUGCUUUCUCAAAAAUCGAUGAGGCAUCGUUCUCCGAAUCAAUCGAAGAGGCGCUCGCUUUCUCAAAAGCUGGGCUGCUCAGAGACCACGAGGGCCGAUCUCAGAAAUCGAAGAGGCACCUACUUUUCUAGCCUUGUCAGCACCUGUCACACGCACACUCAGCUUUGCAGAAAUUAUGGGCAUUCUGUCGAAGACUUCUGGUGAAGUAGAAAGCACAUGAAUCUUACUGUUCAAUCACCCACUUCCCACACGCAACAAUAGCUCAUGGGUACCACAGAUAACUUUGCCAAAGUUCUCUGCCAAAGUUGAGCACGUGAAGCUUGCAGCUCCCACUACAUCGCUCUGACCAAGAAGGGUAAAAGAAUAGCAAAGAAACAGCACUAACAAAGUUUAGACACAUAAAUUUUGAAGGUCUAGCUACCAUAUUAUUACCCACAAGGGUAAAGGAACAGUACCACUGCUGGAUAAUUGGAAAGUCCCUGUGUGUCAACCUCUGUGCUUCGUGGCAAGGUAGACUAGCAAACAUGCCCAACCUUUACUCACAUUCGAGAAAACACUCCCAACAAGAUUGCUUGCUCCAAAAUCGAAGAGGCACCGUCCUCCGAAUCUCGAGAGCCAGACUCCCAACAUGACUACUUUCUCAAAAUCGAAGAGAGGGUAAAGGAACAGUACCAUUGCUGGAUAAUUGGAAAGUCCCUGUGUGUCAACCUCUUUGCUUCGUGGCAAGGUAGACUAGCAAACAUGCCCAACCUUUACUCACAUUCGAGACAACAGUCCCAACAAGAUUGCUUGCUCCAAAAUCGAAGAGGCACCGCCCUCCGAAUCUCGAGAGCCAGACUCCCAACAUGAUUACUUUCUCAAAAAUCGAAGAGACACUGCUCUCCGAAUCUCGAGAGCCAGACCCCCAGCAUGAUUGCUUUCUCAAAAAUCGAAGUGGCAUCGUUAUCCGAAUCUCGAGAGCCAGACUCCCAACAUGAUUACUUUCUCAAAAAUCGAAGAGACACUGCUCUCCGAAUCUCGAAAGCCAGACCCCCAGCAUGAUUGCUUUCUCAAAAAUCGAAGAGGCAUCGUUCUCCGAAUCUCGAGAGCCAGAUACCACAUACCACUUUUUCAAAGUGCUCUGACAGAGUUAAAACAUGUGAAACUGGCAGCUCCCACUACCGUGCUAUGACCAAGCAGGGUAAAGGAAUAACAUUACUACUUGUUAGGGAGACUCCUAUAUAUGUUGACCUCCAUCCCCAACAGACAGGCAGACCUGCAAAAAUGCUCAACCCUUCAUCAUAUCUGAGAGGGCACUCCCAACGAAGCCUUUCGAAAUAUUCAGCUUUCUUUCCCCCCGAUAAUACCUCUGCAAACAAGCUAUACUAGAGCAAGAAUAUCUCAUAUCAUCAGGGUUAAAAGCAAGAGUAUCCCAUAUCAUGCUUUUUCCCUGUCUUUUCCUUUGGCCUUGUUUUUACCUGCAAGACAAGGAGAAAGAGAGCAAUCAGUCAGCACUUGGAAUCAAGCUUCCAGCUAGGAACUGACUGCCUGGAACCCCUUACCUGAUUACUUACCUGGCAUUGCUCUCGAGUACUCAUCUUCAACAUCUUAUGUUUCCAGGGAAGAUUCCGCAUCUGCUUGAGGAACAGAUAGGGCAAGUGCGAAAGAUACAAGGAAGCAUGUGGAGACAAGCGUAACAGCACACGUGCCGAUACAUCCAUUACUCUGUCAAAAGCAAAAGUAUCCCAUAUCAGCAGGGUGGAAAGUACUCUAGAUUUGAUGGACUUGUUUUGACCCUCAAAUUCUUCAGUCGACCUUAUACUCUGGAGGAAACCAGAAAACCCUCCAGCUCAGUUCAAGAAUAAGCCUGUGGAAAGUUACUUCUUCAAAAGCAAAAGUAUCUCAUAUCAUCUCUUCUCAUUUUUCUUCUCUUUAUCCUUCAUGCUGCUGCAAGAUGGGGAGAAGGUGAACAAUCAGUCGGAGCUCUGAUUGCUUACCUUGUCUGUCACCUCUUUCAGCAGACCCCUAGCUCGGCGACUUGGGGGACUCCUACUACAUGGUUUGUAUCGCGCUUGACCAAGCCUGAAACUACAAGUAAGCUUCAAGUGAAAUUGAUACAUUACCUUGUGCAUCUCCACCAGUUAAAGAUACCACCCCUGGAUGGAGGAAGAGUACUUCCAGAAAAGAUGCCACAUCUACCUAUGAGACAGAUAAGGCAAGUCAAGACGACACCACACUCCGAUACUUAGAAGUUUCGUGAUUACGAGAUCAUUCUCCCACAAUAUUUCCUAAUGUCAUUUGUACUAAAUCAUUCACUUGUACUCACUAAAGGAGAGCUUGAACCUAUGUACUUGUGUAAACCCUUCACAAUUAAUGAGAACUCUUCUAUUCCGUGGACGUAGCCAAUCUGGGUGAACCACGUACAUCUUGUGUUUGCUUUCCUAUCUCUAUCCAUUUAUAUACCUAUCCACACUAAUGACCGGAGCAAUCUAGCGAAGAUCACAAAAAGCGACCGUUUUCGCUACCUAGGAUCUUAUCUUGCAAGAGAACGGAGAAUUAGAUGGAGAUCUCAACCAUAGAAUACGAGCUGGAUGGAUGAAGUGUAAGAAUGCAUCCGGCGUGUUGUGUGACUGUCGUAGGCCACUAAAGCUCAAGGGAAAAUUUUAUAGGACGGCAAUAAGGCCAACGAUGUUGUAUGGCAUAGAAUGUUAGGCGGUGAAGCAUCAACACGUACACAAAAUGGGUGUAGCGGAGAUGAGGAUGCUUCGUGGGAUGUGUGGGCACACGAGAAAGGAUAAGAUUGGGAAUGAGGAUAUCCGAGGUAAAGUAGGAGUAGCCGAAAUUGUAGGAAAGAUGAGAGAAAAUCGGCUCCGGUGAUUUGGACAUGUGCAAAGAAGGCCGAAUGACACUCCGAUGUGACUACGGGACAGAGGUUCAGGGCCGAAGGGGUAGAGGAAGAUCUAGGAAAACUUUGGAAGAGACUCUAAGAAAAGACUUAGAGUACUUGGAUCUAACGGAGGACAUGAUACAAAACCGAGCGCAAUGGCGUUCUAGGAUUCAUAUAGCCGACCCCACUUAGUGGGAAAAGGCUUUGUUGUUCUGUUGUUGUUGUUGGAUUUUGUUUGGGUUUGAGGCCAUCAUUGGCGUUAAGACGUUUAUUAUCAGAUCGUGUGUUUUUUGCUAACUUUUAUUGGUAAUUUUAAUGUUGUUCUUAUGAUUUUGUGUGGUAGGGUUUCUGAUUUUUAUCGUUAUUCAUUUGGUUUUUUGUGUGUGUUGGUUUGUUUAUUUUGCAGGUUGUGUUUGUGCUGGGACAACAUUUUCCACCUUCUGUUUGCACUGGGAUGAUUGCGUUUUAAAACUGUUGGGGUGAGAUUUACAUAUGGAAUCAUUCCAUUUUUUUUCUUCCAAAUAUGUGCAUUUAGUUCUCUUUUAUUUUAAAUUUUAAAAAUUAAAUCGUUAUUUGAGUAAAAUGUUUUAUCAGUUUAUGUUAUGUGUUGUGACCAGGAAUUCUGUUGGAUUUGCGAAUUUUGGUUUGAUGAGAGAAAUGAGGAGUUUUUUUUGUUUGAAUUUUUUAUUGGACCGAUUUUCAAUUGGAUUGCAUUCUGCCUUUUUGCACCAUUCGUAUGCAAGCAAUUCAUUGUUUUAAAUACAAUUUGAAGAGAGCUGGGUUGCGGGUUGGAUAUAAAAUGUUAAGGUGAGAUAAAAUCGAGAUACCAAGGGUGGAAGAAUGAUUCAGAAUUGGGGGAGGAAAACAGAGGGAAGAUAGAAGAGUAUAAGAGAAGGAUAGGGUUGACCUCAUUUAGAGUUUUUAUUUACUUAUUUUUUUUUAUAAAUUGAUUCAGGACUUGCAUAUCAUUUCUAAAUUUCUAACAUUUUUGUUUAAUUUGACUCCAGUUGAUGGAAAACAGAGCUCUUACUCCUAUCAAUCAGUUGGUCCCGUACAUAAAUGCAGAAAAAUCAAGGUUCGAGUUUGCAGAGUAUGCAGACCAAGGUUUCCCGAAACUACUGGUGCAUAUUCAGGCUUGCAUUGUAUAUUACUUACCUAUUAAAAAUUUGUUUGGAAUUUGCUUUUCCCACAGAGGAGAAGAGCUGACAGUUACGCUGUGGGCAGAUGUUGCUCGAAGUAUUGCUUCUUUAUCCAUUGAAUCAUUGUCUCUGCCGAUCAUUGUGGUUUUCACAAGUUUAAAGGUCAAGCUGUACCUAGGUAUUUGACUUAGUUAAAAACUAAUCUAUUUACUAUUAAUUUUUCUAUUAUAUUCAAACGUUAUUUAAUAUAUACUCUACUAAUAUUUUCUUAACAUGUCACACAAACAUAUUCACUUCUUUUGAUCAAUUUUUUACAGCGUUUCAUAUAAAAGCUAACAUUUAGUUGAAAUUGAUUAGCAACUCUUUUCUUGCAUGUAUACAUACGAAUUAAACAAUAGUAUUAAACUAUUUGUUAUCAUUCUCAGUUUUUGUUUUAGAAUUAGAUUAAUAUAUUUAACCUGUUUUAGAAUUAGAAUUAUUUGGUAUCACUCUCAGUAUUUGUUUUAGAAUUAGAAUUAGAUUAAUAUACUGAGAUUAUUUAGACAAAUCUAGCAUUUUCUCAAAAUAUUUGACUUUUAAACUUAGAUUAAUAUAUUUAGCAGUUUUUUAACAUGCAAUUUUUCAUUAAUUUUUCAACACACAGACAAGAUAGUCUUGAACACCAUUGGUUCAUCACUUUUCUUCAUUGAUCUAGAUAUUCUGGAAGUAAAUUCAUACAAAUCAGUGUAAGUGUGUUUACUUUGUUUAAAAAAAUAUUAUAUGCUCUCACAAUAAAAGAAGGGCUAUUCUCACAAAAUUUAUGAACUAAUGUUCUGUUUUAACCUCUACAGCUUUUCCAAAUGCACAGAACCUCUAAAAAUACUGCCACCUUUUACAAAACAGGCCCGUGAAGCUCAAAUCUUGCAGACAGCGAAGGUCACAAUUGCAGACGCUGAAAUUUUCAUGCCAAAAUAUGAUGUGGAGGAUGAGAAAUUGUUUGCUGUUGUUCUCUUUUCAGUUUUGCAGGCGAUGAUCUUUUACCAAAUGUCGAGGAGCUUCCAUGGGACAUGCUCUAUGCUCUCGCUUCCCAGUUGCCUCUGUUGGGGUUGGAAAAGCUACAGAUCACAAUGUAAGUCAAAAACAGUAAAGUUCCCAAGAUGUUCUGUGCUGGAGCAGAUUUAAAGGUACGAAUUUUUAAUUUUUUUGUGAAGUCGAUGUUUUGUUUUAAAAGGAGUUAUAAUGGAUUGAUUGGACAAGUACAGAGUGUUUGUUUGUUUGGUUGAAUGUAAAAAGGAAUUGGAAGAAUGAUGAAAGUACUUGCAUUUGGUUGUAGUUGGUCAGGCACUGAAGGACCGGUCAAUACGAAGUGCAUCUGUGGGACAAUAGUUGAAAGAAGGCCAGAGCAGGAAGAGAAGGCAAGGUUUGUGAAGAAAAACAGUAAAAGGUCGUACCCAGUGCACAAGGCUCCCGCUUUACGCAAGGUCUGGGAGAGGUGAAUGUCGGCUAGCCUUACCCCCAUUCUGCUUUUGUUUAAUUAGAAGAAAUGUGCAUUUUUUUUUCCCAGUCAAAUUCUGCUUUUGUUCUGACUAUUUUCCUUACUGUAUGCUGAUUUUAUUAUUUAAUUUUUGGUUUUUCCUUGAUUGGCUUGGGAAUUACAAUCAAAUGAUGAAUCUUCAGUUUACUUGGGUAAGCAUUUUUUAACAUAUAAUUUAGCUGACCAUUUUAACUGUCAGACCAUGUUGUUUUUGGUUAUCUAAUCAUUCCAAGAUGGCAAGUUAGGAUUGGAAGGGUUGCUAGAAAUAAGGAUUAUAUCUUGGGACAUUCGGUGAGUGAUUUUUCAAACUUUCAGUUUUACAAGACAAAAUAUCUAUUUUUGUGUGUAUUCUUCAAGCAUGUUAUCAUUAUUUAGGUUGUAGGAAAAAAAGAGAGUGACUUGAGGUGUUUUUAGAUAUUUUUGUGUGUAUUCUUCACAAUGUAUUAAAAGCGCGAGGCGUGGGCGAGGCGUCCGAGGGAUAGCCCACGCCUCACGCCUUACGGGACCUAAAUUUUUUAAUAUAUACACUGAGCGUACACAUAUAUUAUAUUAAAAAAAAUUAUUAAUCAAUAAUCACCCUGAGCACACAUAUAUAUUAUAAAUACAUAUAUACACAUAUAUAUACAUAUAUAUACAUAUAUUAUGUUAUAUAUAUAUAUAUAAAAUAGAGGAUGAAAAGCACAAUGAGCACACAUAUAACAAUGCAUGCAGACAGCACACAAUAUAGUGCAAGGAAUAGGUAUGAGGUAGUUAAAACCCUACCCAAAAUCUGGGUUUGGGAGUAAAAAUAAAAAAAAAAAAAAAAAUUGCAUGAGGCGCGCCUAGACGGCUCCGACAACGCCUUCCGGCGCCUUCCGCCCACUCCCUCAAAACAAAGGCGGCAACCCUCAAGUCCAGCCUCACAGGGUGCCUAGGCGCACCCUGAGGUGAGCCUUUUAAAACAUUGAUUCUUCAAGCAUGCUAUCAUAAUAUUUGUAACUAUAAAAAAUAAUAUACUAUUAUACCUCUGUUUCUCUUUUCUUUGUUUUCAUGAGAAAUUAAUUGCCAUUGGCAGCACUAUAGAAAGCCAUCUUUCUCCAUUAUUCUCCGCUUCAUGCAUAAUUACAUAAUUCUACUAUCACAGUUGUCAGUCCUGAACAAUAAUGCAAGUCUAGUGGCAAAAACCACCUCAAUGAACAACUCACACACACACACAGACACUGAUCAUACAUCUCUAACUCUCUUUUUCAAAUAACACACUCUGAUCCAAAACAGGGUAAAUAAAAUGCACAUCCUUAUACAUUUCUAACUUUGUUUUUCGAAAUCCAAAAUAGGGUAUUCUAACUCUCUUUUUCAUUCAUUUCUUACAAACCAAUCAUACAUUUAAAAUAGGCUUUGAAUAAAAAUAGGGUAUAUAAUUAUAUACCUCAAAAUGCCUAGGAACCAACUUCCCCCUCCAACGAUUCAAAUUCUUGAAAUUGCCAACACAGUAAAUCCAUUAGUACUAUAUAAAUGAAAACACAAUUGAAACCCAUCAAACAAAACAAUCCCACAAUUUAAAUGAUUCAAUCCUACUACAAUUGAAAUUCACAGAAAGAAUGAAAAACCAGAACAAAACUGCAGCACCUAAAAAGUUGUCAUACAAAAAAAAACAUGGAAUGUAAAAAUAUGUUAAGAAAUCUAGUUCGUUAAUUUCCAGCUGCUAAGUGGCAUUAUGUAACUUUAGUAGUAUAACUAAUUAACUACUUAUCUGGUGGGUUGCACUUUUAUCCAAUUGGUAAGGAAAGGAAAAUAAAAAUCAACCCCUUGGUCUUAGUUGUGGCUGCAAAGUGCAGGCCACCACCAAGUCUCAGUGUUUGUGUUUUAGCAAAACACUUAAAUAAAUUAAAUUCUGAAACGUAAAUUAUAUUCCUAUAACUUUAAGAUGCACAUAUAGUAUUGUUGAAGUCGAACUGAAAGCACUGACAAUUCCAAGCAACAAAGCAGCAAUUAUUAAGAGCCAAAACUCAUUCCUAGUCUCCUCAUCCUGGUACUCAACUCCGUAAUCUUCUGUCAGCAUCAUUGACUGAAAUUAGGAGAGAAAAAGAAAAGGAAUUUCAGAAAUUGUCUAUGAAGCAAAGGAUACUGCAGUUACUUCAAGACAUGUAAAUUGCAUAUGUAUAAAGUAAUUUUCUACAUAAAGUAAUGAGGCAUAACUUUCUCUCUCCUCUUCAAACCCUAAACAGAGCAAAGCAAACUUUACAGAGAUUAGAAUGAGAACUGGAACUAAUCGAACAAUGACUGAAAAGUAACAUACUUGAGGAGUGAAUGAUUUAGUGUUUCCAUCAUCGGAAGCCGGAGUAAGUCGCUAAGAGAGGUCGCAAACAGCCCAAAGGGACAAACCCAGAUCCCCGGCCCCGAUCCAUACCCUUCCCCCUCAAAUCCCGACGGCCCCCAUACUUUUCUCUGACUGUACCCCCUCUCCCACUCAUGAAAUCGAGGAUCUGUCGCAAUGGUACUGAGAUCCCCACUCCUCCCUCUCCCUUUCUCUCUGUCGCUCUGUCUCCCUCUCCCUCUGUCUGUCUAUCUUUAUCCCAGAGCGGCAUGGCCUCCCAUCCCUGAAACCCUCACCGAAAGUUGGCAAUUUUGUAAAUAACUUGAAAUCCACCAACAGCAGGGGUAGAGAAUUGAAACAAACAUUUAGGCUCGUUCGAUAACCAUUUAGGCCAAAACUGAGCACACCUAAACCAUUCCUACUCGUGCCAAAUGUUAGUGGGGAAGCAAGAUGAUGACUUUAUUAUUCAAAACCAAAAGAAAAAAAGAGAGAAAACAAAAUAACAAAUGUAAUGGUUGUAGUGUAAAAGCUGAGAACGUAAAUAAACAUGCAGGGAAAAAAAUUGAAGAUACAAAGUAGCUGCAUCAUGAACACUUACUCCAAUUAGACGCAAAAAGUGAUGGUGAUGAGAAGAGAGAGAAAAUGCAGUCGUUUUGAUUUUUCUGGCUUUUAAAGGGAGCAGCUUUCUUCGACCACCAAAAAAAGGAAGCUGCUUUUCGUGUGGUUGUGAUUUCCUGAGUGUAUGUGAGCGGGUCUAUGGCACUUGCACUGUUUGUGUCGGUUACGGUAACCGGGCGAGCUGGACACGGCAGCGUGGGACUGAAUUCGGAGAGGUGAGAAAAAUUAAAAACACAAAAAGAAGGUGUUCAUUUUGUCACAUUUUUAUUACGAAAAAUUCAAUAAAGUACAUUCAUUAGUAUGGUAACUUAACUAUUUAAUUCCAUCUCAUUAAACUAAAAAAAACAAUUACAAAAAAAUAAGGAAAACCUUGUCCAGAGAGACCUGAGAGAAAGUGACGACUUCUCCUCUCAUUCAACUCCAUACUUGAUCUCUAAAGUCCAUUUGGCAUGUAAUUGAUGUUCACUUUCAAAUUUAGUGGUAGCAAUUAGCAAAGCUAAUGAAAGAAUCAAAUAAAAUGAAAGAAAAAGCAUCAUGAAAUAAAUCAAGAUGAAGAAUGAAAUUUUGGCAACUCGCCAUUCUCUUCUUUUAUAUAAAAGAUACAUCCUAUUUGUAGUGAAAACAGAUCCCGACAAACCCAGUUAUCCUCAAGAAGUAUUUUGUAUGACUUUAAAAACAUAAUCCGUGAAAUUAUCUCUUGGCUGAGAACAACAACAAAUCUUCAUGCAUAGCUUGUAGAGAAAGACAUCAGGCAUACAAAAGAACACGCAAGCAUAAAAUAAACGAAGCAGGGAAAACCAAAAAUACAAUUGAAUACGCUGUCAAAAGAACAUGAAUAAAUGAAAAUACCAAACAAAGCAGUGAUGAGAAACCAAAGUACCCAUUUCAUAAUCUAAUUGCUUUUUAGUUUGCUUGCCAUUUUUAGUUCUUCAAUUUAGAGAGACACCAUAAUUCAGCACAUGAAUAAAGUGAAAACGUAAAAGAUAUGUGGGAUAGGCUGACAGCCAUCCCUGAGUAAUGCAUUCACUUCUGAACCCCAAACACACUGAAACAAAAAUUCACACACAUGAACUACAGCUCCGCUUUGUAACAAGAAUUAAAAGCAUCUCAAAACAAAAUGGCAAACUAUAAGAGCAUUGUAAAAGUAAAAUUGCAAGAAAUCUAAUACUUGGAGGGCAAGUACUCAUCAGACGAAAAUGAAAGAUUGAACUACCUCGCGUGGAACUGUGCCUUGGUUUUUUCCCAUGCUUACAGGAAGCUUUGCACUGAGCUCUUAUAGUCCAAAUUUUCUCUGAAGGAAAAAAACACAAUUUUGAAAUAAGAUUUUCGUAUUAUACCUUAAAGAGAAGAAUUAGACAACAAAAUAGAGAACAAUGAGUACUAUUCAUCAUAUAUUGUUAGAGUAUGUGGCCCUCUGGUCCAAUGGUCCCGCAGCCAUAUUUCCUUUAUAACUCUUUCUUUUAAUCUAAAAAACAUCUUGAAUCUCAAAUUAGUAUGAAUACGGAUUCAUACUUUAUAACUAAAGAUCUUACUGCUCUUGAUAAGAUGAACAAUACGCCAUUUCUCGCAUGCAUUGCAUUACAAUCACAAUGCAACAUCUCAUUAGAAAUCCCCACACAAAUUUUUUUUAUUGCUACUUUGAUUUUAGUUUAUAUUUUUUCUGAAGCAUGAGGGAGCUAAUUUUUUUUUUUAAAUUUUUUAUUCCAAUAAUGUUAUAGGGAGGGUUGCAAGGAUAUUAUCAAUUGUAUUUGAUUGGUGGAACUUCUACAUCUAUAUUUUAGGUUUUCAAUUUUAGCACUGGGAGAGUCAUUCAUAAAAUGUUUGACAGUGAGAUUACCUCCAUGGACUAUGCUCACAAUGGACAGCUCAUUUUCCGCGGUGAUGGGACAAUAUAUUUCAGUCAUUCGCCAUUCAAUCAAUUCAAACUGAGGAACAUGCAACAUCAAGAAGAGGAUCUACCAUGUCAGGAUCACUAUCGUCCAAUUAAUACAAAAAAAUCUAGAUAAAAACGAUCAAUUUACAUAAAAGCCCUUCAUUUUCUCAGCAACCAAGCAAAAGAAAAUACCUAUCCGUUAAACACUCGAUUUGGGAGUAAAUGUUGCUGAAACUGGACUUCAAUCCCCUCAACCGCAACAACCGAAUCGAGGUGUGCAAGUCAUUGAAAAACUCACCCAAGAUUUCAAAAUCUGCAUAGAGAAAUAAAUAAGCACAUAAAUUAGCCCAACCCAUAAAUCAAAGAAAUCAAAAUCCACCCAGAAUCAAAGAAAUCAAAAUCCAUCCAGAACCAAAGAAAUCAAAAUCACACACAGAUAUGCAAGACAACGCAAAUUUGAAGCCUUACUUUUCGGGUAGCUUGGCGGCUGACAUGAGUCUUCUUCAGAGUUUCAUCCAUCCAUGGAUCCAUUUGGUCCGCCCGUCGCUUCUGGGUCGUACAAUCUUAAAAUCUGCAAAAUGAAUUUAAAGAAUCAAUUUUUACGAUUGAAAAGCCAAAAGUGCUACAAACUCCAAAUUGCUGAGAACCAAAGUGGAGUAACAGUUACAGGUCACGAGAUGAGAUGAGGACAUUGUCGGAUUUCAGGGCGAACCUGACUCUGGAAAUUGCAUCUCGGAUCGGGCUUUCGAACUUCAAAGGAGCUCCGCUCAUUGUGGUCCUUGCAGACCGAACUGGCCUAACAAUCAGCGAGAGAAAGGAGACGGCGGCAAGAUGAGGGAUACAAUGGAUGCGAGAUCGUCUGUAUCGUUCUCGCGGGGGGUUUGCAAGACGGACGAGGAAAGUAGGGUUUGAUGAGGCAUUGUCUUCGCGCGGGGUAUGUGUCCUUCCCAUUCCAUGAUUAUCAACACGUGUGCAUCAACAGAAGCGGCAGAGAGAGGCAUUAUUGUAAAUAAAGUGAAAUCGAAGGGCAAUGGCCCUUUUUUUUUUAAGGUAAUGGCAUGGCCAUAAAUAGAAUGAAAUCCAGAUCAAAACACUGUCAUUUGUACAGUACAAUUUCUCCAUCUUCUUUAGACUAAAGUAAUGUAUAUGUUAUACGCACCAACACAAGUCCUUCUUAGAUAAAUCCAAGCCAAACAAUUACAGACGAUAGUUAUUCACAAAAUCACUUUAAAGUAAGAAUUUAAUUAAUAAUACAUUACUGCACUUUCUUAACAAUUUGACUAUCACCUAGCUGACAAUGAACAUGUUAGCUAUGCGUUAGAACAUAUUGGGUUCAAUCCAUUGUCUUGAAUAUUACCCCCAGUCACAGCCGUCUCUUGGGGGCAUACAGAAGGCCUGAGAGGCAUUUGCAGACAUUCAACAUCUCCUCCAAGCAUUUCGACAACUUUGGACAUCGAAGGGCGAUCACUUGGUUUCAUUUGAAUACACCACAAGGCGGUUAUAACCACCUUUCUUAUCACUUUCUUUUCCUUCUCUGUAACAUUGUCUAUUUCCAAGUCAUUUCCCACAAAAUACUGAUCGUAUACCUACAGCGGGAAGUAGAUUUGGCUUGGAUGCUCUACCGUUGCAUUCAAAUUCUUCCUUAUGCUUGCCAUUUCCAUCAACAACAUUCCAAAACUAUAGACAUCGGCCUUGUAUGAGACACCUCCAAUAUUUUUGUAGAACAACUCAGGAGCAAUAUAUCUCAUUGUACCCCGUGCUGUCGUCAAAGAGACAAUGCUAUUAUCUACUGGAUACAAUUUUGCAAGCCCAAAGUCAGAAACCUUUGCUUUAAAGUUCUCAUCAAGAGGGAUGUUAUGAGGCUUGAUGUCAAAAUGUAGAAUUUUCAUUUUACAACCUUGAUCUAGAUAUUCGAUCCCAUGACUCCAAGAGAAAUCUUGUACAUAGUCUUGAUAGUUAAGGGAAGACUUCCUUCUUUGGAAUAAAUGUAUUUAUCAAAAGAGCCAUUAGGCAUAAAGUCAUAUAUUAGAGCGCGCUUUGAUCCCUCGACACAAUCACAAUCACAAUCACAAUCACAAUCACAAUCACAUUCCAACAUGGAAUCCUCAGACGACAUGCCUACUGCAGAACAAGUUUCAUCCUUACUUAACUUCUAUUUAGUCCACUUCCUGUUUAGAUUGUAAUCCUAGUUCUGCGUGUGUUUGUAUAGUACUCCUAUAAAUAUCAAUGAAAACCGCUCACUCUAAUUAGGAGUUGAGAUUCUGCAAAUCAUAUUUACUAUCUUUCAUGGUAUCACGAGCCAAGGUCUAACGACAACGGUUCCUGUUAUAAUUUUUUUCUCUUUUGUAGAUCCUAAACUAUGGCAUCUUCUUCCUCCUCCGAUGCUCCCUCCGUCACAAAUUUUCUUACGAUCAAGCUCGACCUCAACAACUACCCUCUCUGGCGUGCUCAAUUUCUUCCCUUGCUGCGCAGCCGCAACUUACUCUCUUAUGUUACUGGCGAAACUCAAUGCCCAUCUGCCUUUGUUCUUGAUGACAAUGGUAAAUUCACAGACAAAGUCAAUCCAUUAUAUAAUGAAUGGAUCCAGACUGACUAGAUGAUCCUAUCUUGGAUUACGAGUUCUCUUACUCCCAAGGUUCUUGCUACGAUCGUCAACAAAAUUGAUUCGACCUCUGCUUGGUUGUCAAACCCGAAUUAAUCUGAUUAUGGGGGUUUUAUUUUAUAUCAAUAUAUUGCAGCAGAAGUCGCACUUUGAAGAGUUCAUGCUGCACAGAAAGAUUCUUAAAUGCUACCUGUUGAGUCUAUCAUUGCUCCAUUGGAGACAGAGCUGAAGCUUGCUGCAGGAGUUAUACAUUUGUUAUGCAAUAUGACCCCUUUAAUUUUAUUUUAAAACUGAUACAAAAAUUUAUGUAGUAUUUUUGUAUCAGUUUUGAGUGUCUAUUUUGGCUUCCAUAUUUCGUCUGUACAUGUGAGAGGUAUAGCGUUCAAUAUGUAUUUGGUUUCUAUAUUGUUAAUGGAUCUUUUUUUUUUUAAGAUAACCAAGUUGCAGGAUGACAGCAGAACACUUGAUCUGUAGGUAAACCUUCAAUUUCCAUAUGAAGUUUGCAUGUUCGUUGUUUCUGGAAUUUGAGUUUUUAUUAUUUCUCAAUUCUAUCACAUAGAUUACGAUUUCACAUAUGGGAUUAUUAAUGGCAAUUAGAUGAUGGAAGAAUUGGGAUUGGAAGAAGAUAUUGAGUUGUUUAUUUAUGGGGAUUAGAAAAUUUUUAUCAUAAGUGUGGAUGCAAAUUUCUUCCUCCUUGAUCUUGGACAAAAUUGCACCUACAAAACAAUUAACACCUUAGGUCAAGGCCAAGAGCCUCACGCGCUCACGAUGAAGGGGGGGGCUUUGGUCGAAGAACCUCCGAUGCCAAAGUUAGAAUUUAGAGAGAAAAAGUGUUUGAGAAUUCUAGAGAAUUUUAGCAAGAGUUGCAACUAGGUUUUGGUGAGAAAUGUGGGGCUUUCUAUAGAGGAGUGGCCGGCCUCUUAGGGUGAGAAAGGACCGGUCACAUAGCCUAGUUUGUGGGUUUUGUUCAUGAUUUAAGAUGAUUUUGGGAGUUAUGUGAUUAAUUGACUAAUUAAUUAGGAAAACUAAUAAAAAGGGCUUGAAAACUUUGAGUUUUAAUGAUAAGGACAAAAUAAAGGGUAAAGUGAAUAGUACCAGGAUUGACUUUUUAGUGUAAAAAUGUGGUUUUUCGUUAAAAUGAACAGUACCGGGUGCUUUUCGUUAAAGUUCCCUAAUUAAUUUGGCGAAAUAAAAUUAUUACCAAAUGAAUUAGCUAAUUAAUGGGAUGAAAUGGGCAAAUAUCAAGAGAUAAACAAAACAUGACCAAUUCCUUUUCUAACAAUAGGUGGCCGGCCCUUCACUUGUUUUUGGGGUUGCAUGGAUGUUUUAAUUGACAAUUAAGGAAUUGAUUAGGCAAUUAAUCCCUUAAUUAGUCAAUUAUUAUGAUUUUAAAGGAAGAUUUUAGGAAAUAUGAAAGGAAUAUAUUAUUUAGCUAAUUGAUUAGCUAAAUGGAAUAAAUUAGGUUUUGGGAAUUACCUUAAAUGAGGAUGGAUGAGAUAAUUUGGAAUUGGUUACCUUUUUGGAGCAUUUUUGACUUGGUUAAGGAUGAUUGCCCGCUACUUGCGCAUAGGAAUCCCGUUAUACCUCAAGGGUAUUUUUGUCAUCUUUUACCCAAAAAACCACGUGUCACCUUGUGAUUAUUUUUGGCUCCACAAUACGAGUGAUAUUUAUUUUUGUGUGGAUUGUUAAUAUAUAAAACUAUAAGCUUUUGAGAUUGGGAGACAAAACCCACAAAUUCAAUUCAGACAAAAUAAAUAAAAAAUUUAACUGACUUAAAGAUCAAACUCCAAAAGGGUAUUAAAAACAAGGCUUAUUUGAUCCAUUGAGUGUGAAAGUUUUGAGCUUUGAAGAAGCAGAGGAGGAGAGUUGUUAACCAAGCUGCAUUAUCUAUGUAUUAGGAUGUUGAGGGUAGGCAGGAAAAAUACUUUUUGACGCCAAAUCCAGAGGAGCAUAACGACAGGCCUGCAUUUUUGCAGCAAGGACCAAAACAAGUAUAAGUGAAGGCUUGACUGUUUGGGUAUUAAUCCUAAACCUAAUUAUUCUUAUUUAGGUUUAGGAUAAAUGAUUGAGUGUGUCUCGAUGAUUGUAUUACUAUGUUUGAUGAAUGAUUUGAGGAGUUGGAAAUGGUUUAUUGCUUAUGUUUUUCUUAGGUGUGUACUUUGGUUAUUUCCGAGCUUUUCACGACUUUUGAUACCUAAUAAAGAAUAUGGAAACCCCAACUUCAAUUUUAUGAAUUGAUUUUGGUGCCUAAAAUGAAAUCUAGCAUAGUGAAAUCUUGCAUAAUGAAAUUAUGACAAAUUUCCCUUCAUCUUUAUAUUUUCAUUUAAUUCAAUUGGUAUGCAAUUUAGGGUUAUUCAAUUCAUGAGUGAUCAAAUUAUGUUUUUAAUUCCUUCUUUUGAUUUACAGUUCAACAUUGUCGUACAAAAUGAAAAAGGCGCCAGUAACAGAGUUAUGGAUUUGGAUGCCUUUAGUGGAAUAAAACUGAAUUUUUUAACUUUGUAUAGUUGUAAACAUAAAAUACUCCAUGAGGUAGACUCAUAGCUUUUGAAAACAAUCCUUGAGGAUGGCAUAACAACAUCUCCAACUUUUGUCAUGUAAUGUAUGAAUGUAAAUAGCACUUCGUAAACAUAUGGAUGUAAUAUAUGUAUAUAAACACUCUUUAGCAUGUAUAUUUUUCAAAACUUUCUACAUCUUCAACAAUGUUUCAAUGAUUUCUUGAUGUAAACAAUGAUAAUUUGAAGAACCAUUUAAAGUAUUUUGGUAAUCAUCAUACUUAAGCUUAAAUGUGAUAUAUCCGUUUAUUAUUUUUUAUACAGUGAUAAUACUCAAGUAUAAUUUACAUCAUAUAUCUUUUGAAGUACAUGAAACUAUGAAGAAAAAACCCUAAUUAAUCUGAUUAUGGGGGUUUUGUUUUAUAUCAAAAUAUUGCAGCAGAAGUCACACUUUGAAGAGUUCACGCUGCAUAGAAAGACGAUGAAAUGCUAUCUGUUGAGUCCAUCAUUGAUCCAUUGGAGACAGAGCUGAAGCUUGAUGCAGGUGGUAUACUUUUGUUAUGCAAUAUGAUCCCUUUAAUUUUAUUUUAAGACAUAUAGGGUUGAAAAAAAUUUAUGUAGUAUUUUUGUAUCAGUUUUGAGUGUCUAUUUUGGCUUCCAUAUUUGGUCUAUACAUGUGAGGUAUAGAGUGUUCAAUAUGAAUUUGGUUUCUAUAUUGUAAAUGGAUCUAUUUUUUUUUUAGGUAACCAAGUUGCAGGAUGAAAACCGAACACUUGAUCUGCAGGUAAACCUUCAAUUUCCAUAUGAAGUUUGCAUUUUCGUUGUUUCUGGAAUUUGAGUUUUUGCAGGAUGAAAACAGAACACUUGAUUGGUUAUUUCCGAGCUUUUCAUGACUUUCGAUACCCAAUAGAGAAUAUGGAAACCCCAACUUUAAUUUUAUGAAUUGGUUUUGGUGCCUAAAAUGAAAUCUAGCACAGUGAAAUCUUGCAUAAUGAAAUUAUGACAAAGUUCCCUUCAUCUUUAAAUUUUCAUUUAGUUCAAUUCGUAUGCAGUUUAGGGUUAUUCAAUUCAUGAGUGAUCAAAUUAGGUUUUUAAUUCCUUCUUUUGAUUUUCAGUUCAGCAUUGUCGUAUUUUGGAUGCCUUUAGUGGAAUAAAACUGAAUUUUUUUAACUUUGUAUAGUUGUAAACAUAAAAUACUCCAUGAGAUAGACUCAUAGCUUUUGAAAACAAUCUUUGAGGAUGGCAUAACAACAUCUCCAACUUUUGUCAUGUAAUGUAUGAAUGUAAAUAACACUUUGUAAACAUAUGGAUGUAAUAUAUGUAUAUAAACACCACUCUUUAGCAUAUAUAUUUUUCAAAACUUUCUACAUCUUCAACAAUGUUUCAAACCCCGCAGCAACGGGCGGGUACACUUGCUAGUAUACAUCUAAAAUUAUAAGACUAAAUCCUUUAGUUCUUGGAUUCAUCUAAGAACUACUUAUUCAAGCAGAUGCUAUGCUUGCACUACUAGAAUUUAUGGCUUGCCCUGUCAACUAUUGCGCGACAGAAGAUUUCGUCGGUUUCACCUUUUUUAACCGACAAAAUAUAAGUUUAGUAAGGCAAAAUCAGUCAACAAACUUGGUUUACUGAAUAGAUUUACAGGAUGUUUAGAGUUCGUAGGUUAAGACAUCAGUCGUUGGGCAAACAUUUGGAGCGAAGAUGUGAGUGUUUUAACUGACGAAUAAGCUGGUCGUCAUGUAGAUCUUCUUUCCCGACUGACGGUUCAACGGGUAGCUCUUUGGAUAACAAAUCAUCUUCAAGGGGAACAGGUUGCCCCUCAGAUGAAUGGUUAGAGGCAAUUGUGAGACUAUAAUUUUCUAGGGCCGGAAAAUCUGUAACCAUCCACCAAAUACCCCUUCUUCCCUUUCUAUUUCUCUCUCAGUAAUUUCCCCUGACCUAAUCACACAAUCCAACCAACUCUUUUUAAGCCUCCCUCAUUGAUUCCAUGGAUUUCAUGGACUUAUCCCACCCUCUCUCCUUCCCUCUAUAUAUAGCAAGUCCCCUUGCCUCAGUGUCCCUGGCAACAGAAUUUAUGGUGUGUCUUCGUUCUUUCAAUUAUUUGAAAGCUUUCCUGCCCUGCAGUCUUGUACAAAGGCGUAUGGUGUUUCAUCAGUUCCAUUUGGUGGUUGGGUGGGAAAUGAAAUUAAAACAUUGAUUUCAAAUGGUCUAAACCAAAUUGAAUCAAAUGUGAAGCAAAGGGCAAAAGGUGUAGAUUGAAGAACAAUGGCACCAAGAGCGAAAUUGAACUUGUUGACAGGAGGAAACCAAGUAACGAUAACGCGUCUAAAUCUUAUUUCGAAUCCAUUCAGCUUAUGAUGUUUUUAAUGAUGAUGAUCUGUAUACUUUGCUACAUGCUGUGAUUUUUUCGCUUUCAUGUAAUUAACGGCUUAUAUUUAUGGUAAAGAUAUUGAUUAAUUUUGAGAAAUGACAGUCUAAUUUUUGCAACUGUCUUUUGCAGGCAAAACAAAGACGUUUGCAAGGGUGAGUUUUGUAGGACCGGUGUUUAGCUUUGUUUCAUGUCCAAAGGACACUUGAGAAUAAAUGUUUACUCAUGGAUAAUAUCUAUCUAUUUGCAUGAGCAACCCUGGGUUCAUUUGUUCUGUUACUGCUGGUCAUUGCGGCAUAUCACGCCUACAGCACUGACAAAGUAAAAAGAAAAUCGAAUGAAAUUUGGUAAGAUUUUAGCGGACUACAAAGAUCUUAAGCCAAUCAUAUAUUCCCAUGCAGAUAUUAAGAGGUUUACAAAUCAAUUCAAGUACAAGUUGGGCCAAGGAGCAUACAUAACUGUUUUUAAAGGAAAGCUUUUUUCUGAAUGCUUUGUUGCCAUGAAAGUACUUAACAUUUCCAAGGGUGACGGGGAAGAGCUUGUAAAUGAAGUGGGGAACAAUGGGCCAUAUUCACCAUGUCAAUGUGGUUCACUUGGUUGGUUUUUGUGCUGAUGGAUUUAGAUGAGCUCUGGUUUAUGAGUUCUUUCCCUUUGGUUCACUUCAGGAUUAUAUGUCAUCAGUAGAUAGAUUUCUUUCCUUGGUUGGCAUAAGUUGCAAGAUAUUGCUAUCAACAUAGCCAAAGGAACCAGGGAUGUGAUCUACAAAUCCUCCAUUUCGAUAUCAAACCCCAUAAUGCUUUGCUCGACCAAAAAAUCACGCCAAAAAUCUCUGAUUUUGGUCUGGCCAAGUUAUGUUCCAAGGAUCAAUCAGUGUGACUAAAGCAAGGGGGACCAUGUGACUAAAGCACCUGAAGUGUUUUCCAGGAAUUUCGGAAAUGUGUCUUACAAGGUAGAUGUCUUGAAUGUUGCUGCUUGAAAUGGUAGGAGAAAAGAAGAAUAUUGGUUCAACCAGAGGACACGACAAAUGAAAUCUACUAUCCAAAAUGGAUUUAUAAUCUUCUAGAGGAAGGAAUGACCAACAGAUCCAUAUUGAGGAAGAAUGUUAUGGUAAGAUUCCAAAGCAACUUGCAAGUUUAGGGCUCUGGUGCAGCCAGUGGCACUUGGUGGAUCGGCGGUCCAUGAAAACGGUGGUUCGGAUGUUAGGAGGAUGAGAAAACUUGAUGAUGCAAGCAACCCUAAAAGCCUCAUACAAUUAAAAGUAAUUGCUGAAUUAGAGUAACAUAUGUAUAUGUAUACGCACCAACACAAGUCGUUCUUAGAUGAAUCCAAGCCAAACAAUUACAAACAACAGUUAUUCACUAAAUCACUUUAAGGCAAGAAUUUAAUUAAUAAUACAUUACUGCACUUUCUUAACCAUUUGACUAUCACCUAGCUGACAAUGAACACGUUAGCUCCGCGUUAGAACAUCUUGGGUUCACUUCAUUGUCUUGAAUAUCACCCACUGUCACAGGCGUCUCUAGGGGGCAUAGAGAAGGCCUGAGAGGCAUUUGCAGACAUUCAACAUCUCCUCCAAGCAUUUUGACAACUUUGGACAUCGAAGGGCGAUCACUUGGUUUCAUUUGAAUACACCACAAGGCGGUUAUAACCAUCUUUCUUAUUACUUUCUUUUCCUCCUCUGUAACAUUGUCCAUUUCCAAGUCAUUUCCCACAAUAUACUGAUCGUAUACCCAUAUUGGGAAGUAGAUUUGGCUUGAAUGCUCUACCGUUGGAUUCAAAUUCUUCCUUCUGCUUGCCAUCUCCAUCAACAACAUUCCAAAACUAUAGACAUCUGACUUGUAUGAGACACCUCCAAUAUUUUUGUAGAACAACUCAGGAGCAAUGUAUCCCAGUGUACCCCGUGCUGCCGUCAAAGAGACAAUGCUAUUAUCUACAGGAUACAAUUUUGCAAGCCCAAAGUCAGAAACCUUUGCUUUAAAGUUCUCAUCAAGAAGGAUGUUAUGAGGCUUGAUGUCGAAAUGUAGAAUUUGCAUUUCGCAACCUUGGUGUAGAUAUUCGAUCCCUUGAGCCACUCCAAGAGAAAUCUCGUACAUGUUCUUGAUAGUUAAGGGAACACUUCCUUCUUUGGAAUAAAUGUAUUUAUCAAGAGAACCAUUAGGCAUGAAGUCAUAUACUAGAGCUCGUUUUGAUCCCUCAACACAGUAUCCAACAAGUUGCACCACAUUGGCAUGGUGAAUCCUUCCGAUUGUAGCUAUUUCGCUAAUGAAAUCUUGGCCAUCAGCUUUGGGCUUGCCCAAAACUUUAACUGCUACAAAUCGACCACUGCGUAGCUUUCCCUUAAAUACAGAGCCAAAGCCACCUUCGCCCAACUUGUCCUUAAACGUGCGAGUCAUUUUCUUGACGUCCGAGUAAGAGUACCUUAUAGGCAUGAAGUUGUUAUUGCAUUGCAGAAAAUCUUCUAUUGUGUUAUACAUUGAUAAAUGUCUUCUGCGCCAUGUGUAGAUUAGAAAUGCAGUCACAACUGGAACUCCAAAAACAAAUCUGGCUAGGAAAAAUAACCCUGCAUGCAUGGACAUUAAUAUGUUAGAUCCACUGCGUACUACUUUUUCUUCCCUUUCUUUCCAAAUUACUUUGUCUUUGAUGUAAUUAAAGAGAGAGAAUGAGAAAUCUACAUAUGUUGAUAAUACAAUCUCAUCUUAGUCCUUACCGAUGCAUAUGAGUAUAAACCAUCCACGUACUGCAACAAAAUCAAUCGACUAUGAGUUUGAAAAGUGCAUAAAGUGAAAAAUAAAUAAUAAAUAAAAUCAAAGGGUGCCUUUAUUGACACCCAAAUUUUAGUUAGUUUUACUCAACUAAAAAAUUUUUGUCAUCAAACUUUUUAAUUUGCCGUUGAAAUUGAGUUCACCCAACCCACAAAGCAGCAACUACCACUCACCAAAAAAACCAACAACACACACCCACCACUCACCAAUAGAAAGAGAAUGAACACACAGACCCACAAAGAGCUGGCAUCGACGCUGUCGAUGAGGGAGGGACCAGAGGAUGGUGUAGUUUUGUCUAGCGCGCGGUAGUGGUUUUGUCUGUUCAUUUUCUCUUUCUUUUGGUAGGUGGAGGCUGGUGUGGAUUUGGGCGAACUUAAAAAUGAGGGGAAACUAUGAAGUUUGACAAAAUGUUUUAGUUAGGGGAACUUAACUAAAAUUUGGGUGCCGAUAAAGAUACCCAAUAUCAAAAAUACUUGAGCGUAUAGACUAAUUAAAUGAAGUUGAUCAAGUUUGUCUCGAUCGAAAACUUGUAAAUAAAACAAAAAGAGGACCCCUUACCGAUUUGUUGCCAUAUAUAUUGAAAGAAACCUACAAAAACAAAGAAAGAACAAGACUACAUGCAUUAGCAUAACAAGAGUGAGGUGUAUAAGCCGUUAGAAAAUAAAUUUAAAAUUCUAGUGCUGUCAAUACAUUGAUAAUAUAUAUAUAUAUAUAUAUAUAUAUGUAUUAUUUUUUCUGAAAAUUUAACUUUUUCCCUCCAAACUCAUUUUUCUAGUCUCUAGCCCAUCAUAUAAUAUUUAUCCGAAUAAAACCAAAUGAUUAGGAUCCAACUAAGAAACUUACCAAAUUAAGUUUGUGUGUCCAUUUUUAUAUUUUUUGGAUCCCUAAUAUACCCCAUCUAAGUCAGUAUGGAAAGUUCUUGUAAUUUUGCUUUAAGUGAUCACGUGCAUUGAAUUUGGCAAUGUCUUGUAGCCAUGAAAUAUGGUUGUAGAUGGAGGAAUUAAUUUGGAAUUUUUUUUAAUUUCAACAACAAAUUUAGUGUUAUUUUCAACAAUAUCUAUUGUUUAAUUUUAUGAAAAUAAUUUACCUAAUAUGAAAAUUAAUUUUAUGAAAACAAUAUCUAUUGUUUUAUUUUAUACCUACAGGAUAAUUACAUGAAAAUAGUUUACCUACUAUGAAAAUUAAUUUUUUGAAAGCAAUAUCUAUUGUUUAAUUUUAUGAAGAUAAUUUACCUACUAUAAUUACAUGAAAAUAGUUUACCUACUAUGAAAAUUAAUUUUUUGAAAGCAAUAUCUAUUGUUUAAUUUUAUGAAGAUAAUUUACCUACUAUAAUUACAUGAAAAAAUUUACCUACUAUGAAAAUUAAUUUUUUGAAAACAAUAUUAUUGUUUAAUUUUAUGAAAAUAAUUUACCUACUGUAUAAUUACAUAAAAAUUAAUGUGCCUACUUUUUAAAUUUGUAACAAAAUUAAUUUACCUACUUUUUAUGGUAUUAGUAUACAUAAAUGUAGAAUAUAUGUCCGUAUAUAUUUGAUCUAAUUAGGUUUUGGAUUGGAGGAGUUGACACAAAAUUAUAAAUAUGUUAAACAAAUUUAUCAAUUCUAAAGUUGGAGGGGAAUUGGUCUGUACAUUGCUACAGUAAACAAAUGCUACUCAAUUUCACGUUAUUUACAACAAAGCUAUCAGAUUUGGGUUGGGUUGGAGGGUAAUUUGUUAAAAGUUAGGAGGGUAAUUUGUUAAAAGUUAGGAGGGUAAUUUUGUGCAUAGGGUUUAGGUGCCCUCCUAUACAUGACCCUUGAUUUUACUUUAUUUACACCACUGCCAUCAUAUAUGUGGCUGAAUUGGGGGGGGUAUUAUUAAAAGUUAAGAGGGUAGUUUUGUUCAAGGAAGAAAAUAUCGGUAAUAUCGGAAAUAUCGGUAGUCCGAAAACACGGAAAUAUCGAUGGAAAUAUCGGGAUAAUAUCGAUAUCGAUAAAAAUUACAUGGAAACCACGGAAAUUGUAAGAAAAACUUGGAAAUUUUUAUUGAAAUUUUGCAGGAUGUUUAUUUAGUCAAUUAUCUAUUAGUUUAUCACAAAAAAUUGGAAGGAAAUGCAUUGCAUGAUGGAUUUAACUUAUUUAAGUUGAUUAUAUAGCGAGCUGACAAACAUUGUGAGUGUAGAAAAUAUGUAGUAAUUAAUGAAAGAAGUUUAAACUUUAUAUAUAAUGACUUAGUACAAUAUUUUACACUUUAUACAUUGCAUGGUAAGAUACAUGAGUUACACAAACAACGGGAAAUUAAUGAGAAAACCCUUCCCAAAACGUCAGCACCCGCUUUUUUAAAUAACUUAUAUAAUGAACCUGUCUGGAUCACUUGUUCUAAUAUAUAAACACAAAACAAUACUAUUUGUAUCACAUUUUCUGACAAUCUCAUUGACCGCUUUUAAUUAAUAAAUUGGUCUCAAGUCUAGUUUCCUAAGAAUUUGUUUGUUUGGGCUCAUCUUUGUUGUAAUAACUUAAUUGGGCUUAGAGUUUUAUUGGGUUUACCUAGCCCGUGCGAGCUCAUCUUUGUAUUUAUUUGACGGAUACCCCGAUUUGUUAUGGCAAAAGCAACCACGCAGUCGACGCCCGAAAACCCUUCCCUCUCUCAUUUGGUCUUCGUCUGUUUUCCCGCAUCAUCCAACAGGUGGACUCGGCGCUUCUCUCUCUCUCCCCCCUCUUCGCCCUCUCCACCAAACCCUAACCCCCCAAAUUCCAACCUUCCACCAUUCAAUCCAACCAAAAUCCCCCCAAUCGGACCCCUACCCGACCCAGUUCAUCUCCGAUUGCCUCCAAUUCCACUCCGCCCCGACCCAUUUCUUCAAAAUUCCAAUUCCACUCCGCCCCGACCCAGUUCCUUCAAUUUCUCAGGUAGGUAAGCUUCGGGUUUUUCUUUUUAUAUUCUAGAUCGAAGCGUAGAUGUGAAAUUGAAGUUAUAUGUCGUGUUUUUGCAAGGUUUUUGGGAUGAAAUCGACUCGGGAAUAAGUACACCCAUCUCCGGCGAGGCUAGGGGGUAGUUUUACAGUCGACCGGAGCUGUAGAAGCUCCAGCGUUCGUCUCCGACGUGCACAGUUCCGAAAUUUCGCGAUAAUAUCGAUAAUAUCGCGAUAUUAUCGAUAUUAUCGCGAUAUUAUAACGAAAACACCUUGGAUACCAUUUAAAAUAUCGGUUCGGGAAAAAACCGAUAAUAUCGGCGAUAUAUCGCCGAUAUUAUCGAUAUUUUCUUCUAUGGUUUUGUUCAAGGGGUGGGGGCGACAUUCGCAGACAGGGCGAUUGGAGCCAUGCCCAUGCCCAUUGCACAGAGAGAAAGGGAGUGAUGGGGGAAAUUACAGACAGAAAGGGAAGGGAUGGGAGGAUUUGAUGGAUGGUCACAGAGAAAGAUUCGGUGAGGGAUGUGAGGGGAGAUUACAGAGAGAUAAAUUAAAGGGGGAUCGGGGGAUUUGAGGGAUGGUCAGAGAGAGAAAUAGUGACGAAGGGAGGGAUGGGGGGGCUAAUUUUCGGUUCCUCCUUCAGAUUUGUUCCGUAAAACUUGUUGGGUACAAUUCAAUUUCCUCCCCCUUUCCCCUGAACGAAAAAUUCGAAACCUACAAUUCAAUUUCCUCCCUUCUUGGCUUUCCGCUUUACUCAUCUCCCGGUGGUUCUUUCUCUCCAUACGAUUCGAUUUCGGUGAGUUCUUCGUUGCCCUCAUGAUUUCCCAGUUUGAUUUUUUGAGCGUCCUUAGUCGUCGUUUUUAUCUGGGUUUAUUGCAUGGUUGCUUUUAGUUUAUGGAUUUUUAUUUUUUCCGCGGUUUGAUGAAUCGUGGUUAAUAAUUUCACACCAUGGGAUUUUUGCACUUCUGAUGGAAUUGAGCGCAGGGAUUCGGGGUGGGGUUUUACUGAUAGUUUGUCUUCAUUCAAAUGAAUGGUUAAAAUUUCUGAAGUGAGUGUGCAGGUGGGCCCGUUCACUAACUAAGCUUUCAAGGGAACCCAUCAACGGUUUGCUUGCUGGGGAACUCGGAGACUACUAUGAUUUAGUUAUCAUUUAUUUUUUUACUUAAUUUUAUCCAUAUAUAAUAUGUGGGUAAAUUUACACUAAACAAUUGUGAUAAGCCAAUAUGCCAAACGACUUUGAAAGCAUUGAUUUUGUGUAUAGUUUGCAUUUUUGCAUUGUGAAUGUUGAAUUUUGUGUUUAAUUUGGAUUUUUGUGUUUGAAUUUGUAGCAUGAUCUUCCGCUGCAGCAUCCAAAUUUUGUAUUUGUAAAUUGUCAAAGAAAAACGAACAACAACAACAACAACAACAAAGCCUUUUCCCACUAAAUGGGGUCGGCUAUAUGAAUCCUAGAACGCCAUUGCGCUCGGUUUUGUGUCAUGUCCUCCGUUAGAUCCAAGUACUCAAGUCUUUUCUUAGGGUCUCUUCCAAAGUUUUCCUAGGUCUUCCUCUACCCCUUCGGCCCUGAACCUCUGUCCCGUAGUCACAUUUUCGAACUGGAGCGUCAGUAGGCCUUCUUUGCACAUGUCCAAACCACCGGAAUCGAUUUUCUCUCAUAUUUCCUUCAAUUUUGGCUACUCCUACUUUACCUCGGAUAUCCUCAUUCCUAAUCUUAUCCUUUAUCGUGUGCCCAUACAUCCCACGAAGCAUCCUCAUCUCCGUUACACCCAUUUUGUGUACAUGUUGAUGCUUCACCACCCAACAUUUUGUGCCAUACAACAUUGCUGGCCUUAUUGCCGUCCUAUAAUAUUUUCCCUUGAGCUUCAGUGGCCUACGACGGUCACACAACACCCCGGAUGCACCCUUACACUUCAUCCAUCCAGCUUGUAUUCUAUGGUUGAGAUCUCCAUCUAAUUUUCCGUUCUCUUGCACGAUAGAUCCUAGGUAGCGAAAACGGUCACUUUUUGUGAUCUUCGCUAGAUUGCUCCGGUCAUUAGUGUGGAUAAGUAUAUAAAUGGAUAGAAUUAGGAAAGCAAACACAAGAUGUACGUGGUUCACCCAGAUUGGCUACGUCCACGGAAUAGAGGAGUUCUCAUUAAUUAUGAAGGGUUUACACAAGUACAUAGGUUCAAGCUCUCCUUUAGUGAGUACAAGUGAAUGAUUUAGUACAAAUGACAUUAGGAAAUAUUGUGGGAGAAUGAUCUCGUAACCACGAAACUUCUAAGUACCGGAGUGUGGUAUCGUUUUGACUUGCCUUAUCUGUCUCAUAGGUAGAUGUGGCAUCUUCUCUGGAAGUACUCUUCCUCCAUCCAGGGGUGGUAUCUGUAACUGGUGGAGAUGCACAAGGUAAUGUAUCAAUUUCACUUGAAGCUUACUUGUAGUUUCAGGCUUGGUCAAGCGCGAUACAAACCAUGUAGUAGAAGUCCCCCAAGUCGCCGGGCUAAGGGAUCUGCUGAAAGAGGUGACAGACAAGGUAAGCAAUCAGAGCUCCAGCUGAUUGUUCACAUUCUCCCUAUCUUGCAGGCAGCAUGAAGGAUAAAGAGAAGAAAAAUGAGAAGAGAUGAUAUGGGAUACUUUUGCUUUUAAAGAAGUAACUUUCCACAGGCUUAUUCUUGAACCGGGCUGUAGGGUUUUCUGGUUUCCUCUAGAGUAUAAGGCCGAUUGAAGAAUUUGAGGGUCAAAACAAGUCCAUCAAAUCUAGAGUACGUUCGACCCUGCUGAUAUGGGAUACUUUUGCUUUUGACAGAGUAGUGGAUGUAUCGGCACGUGUGCUGUUACGCUUGUCUCCACAUGCUUCCUUGUAUCCUUCUCACUUGCCCUAUCUGUUCCUCAGGCAAAUGCGGUAUCUUCCCUGGAAGCAUAAGAUGUUGAAGAUGAGUACUCCAGAGCAAUGACAGGUAAGUAAUCAGGUAAGGGGUUCCAGGCAGUCAGUUCCUGGCUCGAAGCUUGAUUCCAAGUGCUGACUGAUUGCUCUCGUUCUCCUUGUCUUGUAGGUAAGAACAAGGCCAAAGGAAAAGACAGGGAAAAAGCAUGAUAUGGGAUACUAUUGCUUUUAACCCUGAUGAUAUGAGAUAGUCUUGCUCUAGUAUAGCUUGUUUACAGAGGUAUUAUCGGGGGGAAAGAAAGCUGAAUAUUUCGAAAGGCUUCGUUGGGAGUGCCCUAUUAGAUAAGAGAAAGGGUUGAGUAUUUUUGCAGGUCUGCCUGUCCGUUAGGGAUGGAGGUCGACAUAUAUAGGAGUCUCCCUAACAUAAAGUAAUAAUGUUAUUCCUUUACCCUGCUUGGUCAUAACACGGUAGUGGGAGCUACCAGCCUCACAUGUUUUAACUCUGUCAGAGCACUUUGAAAAGGUGGUCUGUGGUAUCUGGAAAGAUGAUGUUGCGUGUGAAGAUUACAGACAAGCUUUAUCCAAGGAGAUCCAGCUCUUGAAGUUGGGAAAGUGGUGCCUCUUCGGUUUUCGAACAAGCAAUCCUGUCGGGGAUCUGGCUCUCGAGAUUCGGAGAACGAUGCCUCUUCAAUUUUUGAGAAAGCGAUCAUGCUGGGGGUCUGGCUCUCGAGAUUCGGAGAGCAGUGUCUCUUCGAUUUUUGAGAAAGUAAUCAUGUUGGGAGUCUGGCUCUCGAGAUUCGGAGGGCGGUGCCUCUUCGAUUUUGGAGCAAGCAAUCUUGUUAUGAGUGUUUUCUCGAAUGUGAGUAAAGGUUGGGCAUGUUUGCUAGUCUACCUUGCCACGAAGCACAGAGGUUGACACACAGGGACUUUCCAAUUAUCCAGCAGUGGUACUGUUCAUUUACCCUCUCUUCGAUUUUUGAGAAAGUAAUCAUGUUGGGAGUCUGGCUCUCGAGAUUCGGAGGGCGGUGCCUCUUCGAUUUUGGAGCAAGCAAUCUUGUUGGGAAUGUUUUCUCGAAUGUGAGUAAAGGUUGGGCAUGUUUGCUAGUCUACCUUGCCACGAAGCAUAAAGGUUGACACACAGGGACUUUCCAUUUAUCCAGCAGUGGUACUGUUCCUUUACCCUCUUUUCGAUUUUUGAGAAAGUAAUCAUGUUGGGAGUCUGGCUCUCGAGAUUCGGAGGGCGGUGCCUCUUCGAUUUUGGAGCAAGCAAUCCUGUUGGGAGUGUUUUCUUGAAUGUGAGUAAAGGUUGGCAUGUUUGCUAGUCUACCUUGCCACGAAGCACAGAGGUUGACACACCGGGACUUUCCAAUUAUCCAGCAGUGGUACUGUUCCUUUACCCUUGUGGGUAAUAAUAUGGUAGCUAGACCUUCAAAAUUUAUAUGUCUAAACUUUGUUAGUGUUGUUUCUUUGCAAUUCUUUUACCCUUCUUGGUCAGAGCGAUGUAGCGGGAGCUGCAAGCUUCACGUGUCUCAACUGUCAGAGAACUUUGGCAAAGUUAUCUGUGGUACCCAUGAGUUACUGUUGCGUAUGGGAAGUGGGUGAUUGAACAAUACGAUUCAUGUGCUUUCUACUUCGCCAGAAAUCUUCGACAGAAUGCCCAUAAUUUCCGCAAAGCUGAGUGUGCGUGUGACAGGUGCUGACAAGGCUGGAAAAGUAGGUGCCUCUUCGAUUUCUGAGAUCGGCCUUUGUGGUUUCUUAGCAGCCCAGCUUUUGAGAAAGCAAGCCUCUUCGAUUUCUGAUAUCGGCCUUCGUGGUCUUUGAGCAGCCCAGCUUUUGAGAAAGCAAACGCCUCUUCGAUUUCUGAGAUCGACCCUCGUGGUCUCUGAGCAGCCCAGCUUUUGAGAAAGUAAACGCCGCUUCGAUUUCUGAGCAGGCGCCUCUUCGAUUUCUGAAGCUUCGUCGAGUGCAGAUUUUUAUAGGGGCUGACAUUAAGUUCCAAAGCACACUUGAAUAUCCACCAGUAGAAGCUCCAUUCUUGUACUUCUAAGAUCUUGAUUUGUCCGACCUCUUCUCUCUUCAACACCUUUGAAAAUGUCUGGCCCCUCCGACCGUCGUUUUGACUUGAACCUUGUUGAAGAGGCAGCCCCGCCUUCUCCAGACAACAUAUGGCGCCCAUCAUUCGUCUCCCCUACUGGUCCUCUUACCGUUGGGGAUUCCGUGAUGAAGAAUGAUAUGACCGCUGCGGUAGUGGCCAGAAACCUUCUCACUCCCAAAGAUAACAGACUACUUUCCAAACGGUCUGAUGAGUUGGCUGUUAAGGAUUCUUUGGCUCUCAGUGUUCAGUGUGCAGGUUCUGUGUCUAAUAUGGCCCAACGCCUAUUUGCUCGAACCCGCCAAGUUGAAUCAUUGGCGGCUGAAGUGAUGAGUCUCAAACAGGAGAUUAGAGGGCUCAAGCAUGAGAAUAAACAGUUGCACCGGCUCGCACAUGACUAUGCUACAAACAUGAAGAGGAAGCUUGACCAGAUGAAGGAAUCUGAUGGUCAGGUUUUACUUGAUCAUCAGAGAUUUGUGGGUGGGUUUGUUCCAAAGGCAUUUAUUGCCUUCGUCUUCUGGGGCUGUACCGCGUAAUGAAGCUCCAAAUGAUCAACCUCUGAUGCCUCCUCCUUCUAGGGUUUUGUCCAGUACUGAGGCUCCGAAUGAUCCCCCUCUGGUGCCUUCUCUUUCUGGGGCUCUACCGACUACUGAGACUUCUCCUAAGCAACCUUUGUGAAGGCUCCCUCUUGUUUGUUUAUUUUGACUCAAGUAUAUGUACAUAUUUGUAACUUAUCGGGGAUAUCAAUAAAUAAGCUUUCCUUUAUUUCAACGUAUUGUGUUAAAUACACCAAAGCCUUCUUCGCUAAGUUCUUUGAAUUUUCUUUUGUUGAAGCUUGUAUGUUGAAGCUUUGUGAGUGAAGCAUGCAGGUUGAGGUAGUGUUCCCUUAAUUUCCCGAGUGAGGAAAACUUCUCGGUUGGAGACUUGGAAAAUCCAAGUCACUGAGUGGGAUCGGCUAUAUGAAUCUUAGAACGCCAUUGUGUUUUGUCCUGUGUCAUAUCCUCCGUUAGAUCCAAGUACUCUAAGUCUUUUCUUAGGGUAUCUUCCAAAGUUUUCCUAGGUCUUCCUCUACCCCUUCGGCCCUGAACCUCUGUCAUAUAGUCGCAUCUUCUAAUCGGAGCGUCAGUAGGCCUUCUUUGCACAUGUCCAAACCACCGUAACCGAUUUUCUCUCAUCUUUCCUUCAAUUUCGGCUACUCCUACUUUACACCGGAUAUCCUCAUUCCUAAUCUUAUCCUUUCUCGUGUGCCCACACAUCCAACGAAGCAUCCUUAUCUCCGCUACACCCAUUUUGUGUACGUGUUGAUGCUUCACCGCCCAACAUUCUGUGCCAUACAGCAUCGCCGGCCUUAUUGCCGUCCUAUAAAUUUUUCCCUUGAGCUUCAGUGGCAUACGGCGGUCACACAACACGCCGGAUGCACUCUUCCACUUCAUCCAUCCAGCUUGUAUUCUAUGGUUGAGAUCUCCAUCUAAUUCUCCGUUCUUUUGCAAGAUAGAUCCUAAGUAACGAAAACGGUCGCUCUUUGGUAUUUCUUGAUCUCCGAUCCUCACCCCUAACUCGUUUUGGCCUCCAUUUGCACUGAACUUGCACUCCAUAUAUUCUGUCUUUGAUCGGCUUAGGCGAAGACCUUUAGAUUCCAACACUUCUCUCCAAUGGUUAAGCUUUGCAUUUACCCCUUCCUGAGUUUCAUCUAUCAACACUAUAUCGUCUGCGAAAAGCAUACACCAAGGAAUAUCAUCUUGAAUAUGUCCUGUUAACUCAUCCAUUACCAACGUAAAAAGGUAAGGACUUAAGGAUGAGUCUUGAUGUAAUCCUACAGUUAUGGGAAAGCUUUCGGUUUGUCCUUCAUGAGUUCUUACGGCAGUAUUUGCUCCUUCAUACAUAUCCUGUAUAGCUUGGAUAUAUAUGCUACUCGUACUCCUUUCUCUCUCUAAAAUCCUCCAAAAGAUGUCUCUCUUGGGUCUCCCCCUAUCAUACGCUUUUUCCAAAUCUAUAAAGACCAUGUGUAAAUCUGUUUUCCCAUCUCUAUAUCUUUCCAUCAAUCUUCGUAAGAGAUAGAUUGCCUCCAUGGUUGAGCGCCCUGGCAUGAACCCGAAUUGGUUGUCCGAAACCCGUGUCUCUUGCCUCAAUCUAUGCUCAAUGACUCUCUCCCAAAGCUUCAUUGUAUGACUCAUUAGCUUAAUACCCCUAUAGUUCAUGCAAUUUUGUACAUCGCCCUUAUUCUUGUAGAUAGGCACCAAAGUGCUCAUUCGCCACUCAUUUGGCAUCUUCUUCAUUUUCAAAAUCCUAUUGAAAAGGUCAAUGAGCCAUGUUAUACCUGUCUCUCCCAAAACUUUCCACACUUCGAUUGGUAUAUCGUCUAGGCCUACUGUUUUUCUAUGCUUCAUCUUCUUCAAAGCUACAACCACUUCUUCCUUCCGGAUUCUACGAUAAAAAGAGUAGUUUCGACAUUCUUCUGAGUUACUCAACUCCCCUAAAGAAGCACUCAUUUCAUGUCCUUCAUUGAAAAGAUUAUGAAAAUAACCUUUCCAUCUGUCUUUAACCGCGUUCUCUGUAGCAAGAACAUUUCCAUCCUCAUCCUUGAUGCACCUCACUUGGUUUAGGUCCCUUGUCUUCUUUUCCCUUGCUCUAGCUAGUUUAUAGAUAUCCAACUCUCCUUCUUUGGUAUCUAGUCGCUUAUACAUAUCGUCAUAAGCCGCUAACUUAGCUUCUCUCACAGCUUUCUUCGCCUCUUGCUUCAUUUUUCUAUACCUUUCACCAUUUUCAUCGGUCUUAUCCUUGUAUAAGGCUUUACAACAUUCCUUCUUAGCCUUCACCUUUGUUUGUACCUCCUCAUUCCACCACCAAGAUUCCUUUUGGUGUGGGGCAAAGCCCUUGGACUCUCCUAAUACCUCUUUUGCUACUUUUCGGAUACAACUAGCCAUGGAAUCCCACAUUUGGUUAGCUUCCCCCUCUCUAUCCCACACACACUGGGUGAUUACUUUCUCUUUGAAAAUGGCUUGUUUUUCUUCUUUUAGAUUCCACCAUCUAGUCCUUGGGCACUUCCAAGUCUUGUUCUUUUUUCUCACUCUUUUAAUAUGUACAUCCAUCACCAACAAGCGAUGUUGAUUAGCCACUCUCUCUCCUGGUAUAACUUUGCAAUCCUUACAAGUUAUACGAUCCCCUUUCCUCAUUAGAAGAAAAUCUAUUUGUGUUUUUGACGACCCACUCUUGUAGGUGAUCACAUGUUCUUCUCCCUUCUUAAAGAAGGUGUUGGCUAAGAAGAGAUCAUAUGCCAUUGCAAAAUCCAAGAUAGCUUCCCCAUCCUCGUUUCUCUCCCCAAAACCAUGGCCACCAUGAAAACCUCCAUAGUUGCCUGUCUCCCUGCCCACGUGUCCAUUUAAAUCUCCUCCUAUAAAUAACUUCUCCGUCUGAGCAAUUCCUUGCACCAAGUCUCCAAGGUCUUCCCAAAAUUUCUCCUUCAAACUCGUAUCCAACCCUACUUGAGGUGCGUACGCACUAAUCACAUUGAUAAGUUCUUGUCCUAUUACAAUCUUGAUUGCCAUGAUUCUAUCUCCUACCCUCUUGACAUCUACAACAUCUUGUGUCAAGGUCUUGUCCACGAUGAUGCCAACACCGUUUCUCGUUCUAUUUGUGCCCGAAUACCAUAGUUUAAACCCUGAGUUUUCUAGAUCCUUUGCCUUACGUCCAACCCACUUAGUUUCUUGUAGGCACAUAAUAUUUAUCCUUCUCCUCACCAUAACUUCUACUACUUCCAUAGAUUUUCCCGUCAAGGUUCCUAUAUUCCACGUUCCUAAACGCAUUUUGCUCUCUUGAACUCUACCCUUCUGUCCUAGCUUCUUCACCCUUCCCCGUCUAAUAGGAUCAAAGUACUUCUUUUGUGUGUACCGUGUAAAGUUGAUAGGAGCAUAUGAGCCUAAACAACUUUGAGUGGAGUCGUUCGAAAAGAAGUUUCUAUAGCCCCCUUGCUCAUUUAACACUGCAUCCGGGUGCCGAUGGAGAUACAGCGACCCUUGCUCACUUAUCACUGUGCUCAGGCCACACAGCGCGCCACUUACGGGUGACGCCCUAGCUUUAGCGCGAUUUCGUUCUGGAUUCAUUUUCAUAAGGAUUCGACGUGAUCAUGGAGUGCCGGCUGUCGACUACCUGACGCCCUCCCCCUCAUCCUUUAUCCGGGCUUGGGACCGGCAAUGUAAGAUAAACUUACACGGCGGAGUUAAAGAAAAACGAAUGAGGAAAUUAUAGGAGAUUGUGUCGGCUUUGGCCAUGAAGGGUAUCAGCAGCUUUUUCCUCCCAUACAGGUGAUUAAUUGUUUUUCAGUCUGUGUUCAGUUUUAUUUAUUGGAUUUGGUUAGCAGCCAGUUUUAUGUAUUGGAUUUUUUAUUUGGAUUUAUAGCACUAAGGGUAUAGGUGAACGGUGAAGCGGUUUGUAUGGGCUCAUGUGUGUUUUAGAUAAUCUCAAGGACUAUGUAGAUACUAUGAUUUGGGGUUGCUUUUUUAAACCAUGAUAAAGCAUUCCAAGUAAUUUUAACAUAGAUAUCAUUUUUUAUGUAAGCAUGAGUAUAUGAAAUGUUAAGACGAUAAUAUAUCAUGUGAUUUAAAAUUCAAAGAGAGACAAUGAACCGUGUUUGAUAUUUUGUUUGUCUUGGUUCGUUUAAAUUUGGGCCUUUUUCAGUUGGAUUCAUGGGUUUUGUUUAAGAUAUCAUUUUUGGUUUAUGAAUGGUUUUAAACAUCCACAACAUCGCGCAGGCACACUUUCACUAGUAUUUUACUAAACUAGUGCACUUGAAUGUCCGUAGCUAAAUAUAUUAUAAUGAAUUAGUGGAACAUAAGAAAAUAUGGAAAAACGUAAGUGUACCAAAAAGUCCGUACCUAAACAUGGUAUACUAAAUUAGUGUAACAUUAUGUCUGUACCUAAAUAUAUUAUACUAAACUAGUAUACCGAAAUAUUCAUACCUAAACAUAUUAUAUUAAACUAGUGUACUGAGAUGUCUGUACCUAAAUACAUUGUAAUAAAUUAAUGGCACAUAAGAAAAUAUGCAAAACAUAGGUGUGCCGAAAAGCCUCUACCAAAAUAUUUUCUUAUAUAAGAUACUUACAAUAAAUUGGUGAUGCAAAAUGUCAACAAAUAAAAGCUAAUUCAUUUGAAUUCAAAUGAGUAUUAAAAUUUAAUUCAUAUCAGCAUAAAAUUAUAAAUAGGAAAAAAAAAUAAAGACAUUGAAUGCAUAUGCUGCCAUUAAAUAGAGUCUAGGAACUAAAAUAAAUUUUUAAUCUUGUGUGAGACAUUUUUCUAAAUUUUAUUUUAUUUAAGGAUUAAAAUCUAGUUUUCUAUUACUUAUAUUUCUGACUACAUAUGGUUAUUAGUUACUUUAGUCGAGAGUUGACGCACCUGGAAUGGUACGUGGAAAACAUGUUAGCACUUGAUUCCCAGUCAAAGCCACACACGAGAGCAUUGUGUAUGUCUUUAUAAGUAAUAAAAACUAAUAACCUGAAAUGCUCUCGUAUUUCUAAAGGCCCGACUCCAAGUUCAAAGCCAUACACGAGAGCAUUGUGUAUGUCUUUAUAAGAGACGUUGCUGUAGUCCUUGACGGAGUAGUCAAAGUGACCCAAAUUCAUCCAAGCCUUCCCCUCUGCACUGCAACCCUCAUCCAAAUCCCAUCCUAUCAUGGCCCCGACCUUGACGUAGCUAUACGUUUUUGGUUGGCUCGAAGAACUUGUAUUAUUCAAGCAUGGAGCAGUGUCCACGUACAGAGAAGAAUUCAACGGAUUCAAACAUUUCAAGUAAUAUAUAGAUGUUGAAUACAGUGAUGAAUAUCGUACGUAUGGAUGAGUAAUGAGCGGAAAAUUUCGAGGCCUGGAAGAGCAAUUGGUGUUCACAAGGCCAGGAUCUAGAAGUCGGAUUGUUGUGUCAGUGUAGUUGAUUGCCUGGACGUAGUAUUUUCCGGAAGGUAGGUAUAGUACUGUAAUGUUGCUCUCACAGGACAGGGUAUACCUUACGUCGCCACAAUAUUUUGGAUCAUGGUUCAGUCGAAAAGGAUAGCUUAUGUUGUGGAUAUGGCAGCAGGAUGAAGUACAGGACUUGGCACUAGUGUCGACCUUAGCGUUACAAGUUUCACUGCAGAAGCCAAGAAGAAGAAAGGCUAAACUUAAGGUGAAGGACCUGCUUCCACUAAUUUCCAUUGGGGAGAGAGAGAGAGAGAGAGAGAGAGAGAGAGGUGUACUAGUCCACACCAAGUAGUUAUAUAAUAUAGGAGGGGUCAAGCACCUUCCGUGAAAUUGCUGUUGAAAUAUCCUAGAGAAAAAUCGUCGUCAAUGGUGUCCUAGAGAAAAGUCGGGCGAUGGUGUUUGACAGUCAGUCAACGGCAAAGAUAUUUCUCUUUCAUUAAGGAAGGAUACUGCGUAAUUACUACGCAUAUAUCUCUGCUUAAUCACACAAAACAAAAAUUUCCAGCUAUAGUAUCAUUUGUGAUUCAUUUAUUAAUAAGAUAUUAUACAGGGAACUGUUAUUAGUACUCUAAAAAUCUCAUUCUACACAAGUUUAUUUUUCUUUUUAAUUAUAGAAAGUUUGGAGUGCAAAAUGAGAUUUUUGGAGUGCCAAUAACAAUUUCCUAUUAUAUAUAGCUCUACUUGGAAGGUGACUAUAUGUCUUCAUCGUGUUAAAUUGUAUAUGGCUCUUGAUGUCGGCUGAAUUGAAUCUAAAUGAAAACCAAGCUGUUGAUCUUACCAGCCCAUAUCACUUAUCUCUUGCUUAUUUAAAUUAUGUGAAGAUGCGUAUGUUGAUUGGUGAUUUUGUUGGAUUCACUCAGUUCAAAUAUAUGUUAUCUGAAUCGUUACAUUUGAGAAUGUGAUUAUGUUCCUACCACCAUUUUGCCUACUUUCUGUGGAAAUUAUUCAUGCCUAUUGUGAAUAAUACAUUCACCUCCUGCAGCGAAGCGCGAGCACAUUUUCUAAUUUAAGUUGAAUCGCAAUGGGUCAUCAAAAAUUACGAACUCGUCAUUUAUACAAGUCAAACAUGAGACCACCUACCUACUAGUUUAGUGGAAUACCACAAGUGACAUGUUGAUACCUUUAAAUCUCAUUUUCCAUAUAAUGGAUUGCAAAAUUAGGAUAUACCUAAACUAAUUUAGUCAGUGCCCGAACAAUUAAGCAGGGCUUUAUUCUUGCUUGAAUGUUUGUUAUAUGUUAAUAGUUUGACAAGGCAAUUAUAUUUCCGACUACAAAAGUUAUUAAUUUGGUCGAGAUUUGACGCACCUGAAAUGGUGUGAGGAAAACAUGUAGACACAUAAUCCGCAGUCCACUGUCCUGGGCAUCUAUCUUCAGGAGGUAUGAAUCCAAGCUCAAAGCCAUACACGAGAGCAUUGUGUAUGUCUUUAUAAGAGACGUUGCUGUAGCUGUAGCUAAAGCCAACGGAGUCGUAAAAGGAAUCCAAGGGCAUCCACUCUACACUGCAACCCUCAUCCAAAUCCCAUCCUAUCAUGGCCCCGACCUUGACGUAGCUAUACGUUUUUGGUUGGCUCGAAGAAGAACUUGUAUUAUUCAAGCAUGGAGCAGCAGUGUCCACGUACAGAGAAGAAUUCAAUGGAUUCAAACAUUUCAAGUAAUAUACAGAUGCAGAUCUUGGAUACCGUGAAUAUCGUACAUAUGGAUGAGUAAUGAGCGGAAAAUUUCGAGGCCUGGAAGAGCAAUUGGUGUUCACAAGGCCAGGAUCUAGAAGUCGGAUUGUUGUGUCAGUGUAGUUAAUUGCCUGAACGUAGUAUUUUCCGGAAGAAGGUAGGUCUAAUACUGUAAUGUUGCUCUCACAGGACAGUGUAUACAUUACAUUGCCGCAGUGCUUCGGAUCAUGGUUCAGUCGAAAAGGAUAGCUUAUGUUGUGGAUAUGGCCGCAGGAUGAAGUACAGGACUUGGCACUAGUGUCGACCUUAGCGUUACAAGUUUCACUGCAGAAGCCAAGAAGAAGAAAGGCUAAACUUAAGGUGAAGGACCUGCUUCCACUAAUUUCCAUUGCAGAGAGAGAGAGAGAGAGAGAGAGAGAGAGAGGUGUACUGGUACUCACCAAGUAGUUGUAUAAUAUAGGAGGGGUCAAGCACUUUCCGUGAAAUUGCAGUUGAAAUAUCCUAGAGAAAAAUCGUCGUCAAUGGUGUCCUAGAGAAAAGUCGGGCGAUGGUGUUUAACACAGUCAGUCAACGGCAAAGUUAUCUCUUUCAUUAAGGGAGGACACUGCGUAAUUACUACGCAUAUAUCUCUGCUUAAUCACACAAAACAAAAAUUUCCAUUUUUUCCCUAAAAAUUAAUUUUCUUUCACCUCCAACCCAUC